rnacentral:lncRNA from 1 species
UCAGCUACCCCGACCUUCAAAAUGUCCUCUAAUCCUUCUAAGCAAACAGUGACGAUCUUUGGAUCAGCGCAUAGAAGCAGAUCACACAAUGGUUUUACACACCCCUCUCUCACAAGGUGCUUGAUUUGCUCAUGAGUGCCAAACUUGGUGGCAUUUGAAAUUGCCCAAGCGGCCUCCUUCUUUGCAUCAAAUUCAGCAUUUUGAAGUAGAUUGACAAUGGGACCAAUUAAGCCGGAAUCAAUUACCGCCUGAAUCUGCUCCCCGUUUCCAGCUGUAAUAUUUGAAAUAGUCCGGCAUGCAUCCUUCUUAAGGCUCUCUUCAUGAUCAUGGAUCAACAGGCCCAAAAAGUAUGGCAGUGGAUCACAGUUAAUUAUAUACUGAGUCUGGAAAUCAUCUCCCAUCACAAUAUUUCCAACAGUCCGCAGGGCAGGGGCAAGCACUGAGGAUGAUGGAUGGCCAAGGAGCUCAACAAGUCGUGGACAGACACCUGCCUCGAUCACAGCUUGAAUUUUGUCAUUCGUACCAUCAGAAAGAUAGGAGAGUGUCCAACAGGCGUCACUCAACACCUCUUCAUCAUCUAAAUGAAUAAGCUGUGCAAGUGCCGGAAGAGCUGCCCUUACCUGAUCAAAUGGUGGUCCUGGCUUGCCCUUGCAUAAAUUAUACAAUGUCCUUGCGGCAAUUCUCAGCAUUGAAAGCUUGGCAUGCUCAUUUAACUCUGCCAGCAAUGGAAUCAAAGCUCCUUCACUAAGCACAAGAUCACGGCAUCCAGAUGAGUCACCAGCAACAUUUCCCAAUGCCCAAACAGCCUGCUCGCGGACAUCAUCACUUGGGGAAGCAAGCAGCUUCACAAAUAUUGGAACGGCACCGUGGUCAAUCACCACCUUAAUGUUCUCUGAAGUUCCAGAAGCAAUGUUUGAAAGAGCCCAAGCAGCCUCAUACUGAAGUUGCGGAUAGUCUUCCCUCAUAAGAAACUCAACAAAGCGCUGGACAACGCCAGAUUGUAUGACUUUAUCAAUUUGUGGACUCCUCGCAAUCGAAAGCAGUUUGCUGAACUGAGUAGUUGCUUCCAGCUGUAGGCCGCUGUCAUCUGACCAAACCCCAGCAACCAUCCCGGGUAAACUCGCCUACUUAUUUAUUUUAGGAGCAGGAGCAAGAGGAGGAAAUUAAGUUAGGGAUUUGGAGUGAGAGUGAAAGUGGAGAAAAAGCAAGAGAGGGAAAAAGCUGAUUGUUGAGAAAUAUAUACCUUUCGUAUGGUUGUGUUAAGGUCGUCCUUCCAAGCCCAACAUGCUUUACCCCGCCCCUGCACUUUGUGUAAUUUGGGCGUACUUAAUUUUCCUUCAGAGAAAAUCUUCAUAUCGGGGCAAUCAUCCACCACUAAUCUUUCCAAAGAUGGGAACUUGAAAGCACAAUUGCCAGAGCAGAAGCUUGUUAGUCCUUGUAAGCCUAAAAGCUUCAACUUCUUCAAUUCUCUGAAAGUAAUAACCUCAUCUUUUGCUACAACAUCAUCCACCAGUACUAUUUCUGUUAUCCUAUCGCAUGAUUGUAUCUCCAUAUAUCUAAGUCGCACCAGAGUCUUUGCAAUUGAGGAUGUUAAUACGAUUUUCAAUCGUUUACAACACGAUACCACCAGAUUUGUAAGAUUCUGAAAGGAUGUCGACGGUGGCACUAGAUCGACCAAAUGGUCACACCACUUUACAUGUAGAAUAACCAAGUUGUUCGUAACAGAGGACUCCUGUAUCAAAAUGUGCUCCAGAUGAUAACAAUCAUUUGCUUCUCUCACAUUAACCCCCAUCCCAUUUUCAACCUUCUCUUUCGGCAACCAAGUAUAAGAUCCUCCUCCUAUUUGCAGGACUUUCAUUGUGUGAAGUCUCUGGAGGAAGUCACCAAGUGAUAAAAUAGUCCGCUCAUCAACCAACUCCACGUAAAGAUAUUUUAGUUUGCAAAGCAAGUCUUCAGAAAAUAGAUAUUUAUUUGUUCCUAUGUACUUUGCAUCAACUUUCAACUCUUCCAACAUAGGGAAUACCUGGGAGAUCGAUCAGAACCCAAAAAAGAAAAAAAAUAAAUACAAGAUGAAUCAGUUGAUGAGAAUUAUAAGUUACCACUAAUUUAUAAAAUAUAUUUUAUUCAAUAAAUCUUAACCUUUAAAAAAAUUAGUAAUAAUAGUACGCCUAACAUCUAGAAUAAUUAUGAAUGAAUACUAUACACUAAUCUGUAAGAGAGUUACGUUGCUGACAAUUUGAGUUUUAGUAAGAAACCAAGCGAUGAAGGCAAAGGCAAUAUAACUCUAAACUCUAUGAUAUAAACUCUCACAGUACAUACAUAAGAAUUGAAAAAUUGAUUAUAAAAUUCUUGUACGUACCCUUUCCGUGAAGAUACUAGUAGUUCUUUUGUAUCUCAUCAUGAAUUCAGGACAAUGGAAUAUCCUUAAUUCUUUCAAGGAUGGAAAUUCAAGAAUAUCAAGAUCUCCAGUGCAGAAGCUUGUGAACUUUUUAAGAUCAUACAUCUUCAGAUAUUGCAACUGGGGAAACGUUACAAUAUUAUUCUUCAUUUCUUCUUGGUUGUCCACGACUAUUAACUCUUCCAGGACAGGACAUACACUUAUAUCAAUGCGUUGGAGUCGAACAAAGCUACUAACGGUAGAAGAUGAAAAUAGACAUCUUAAAUUCAUACAGCCGAACAGGGUCAAGUGCGUUAAAUUCUGAAUACCACAAGACUUGACUGUAACUUGGUUCAGCCAAAUCCUCUCAACAUUUAUUGAACCCAACGUCAACUUCUCUAACUCUGGUAAUCGAACCUGCUCGAUCAAAAAAUCAACUCGUUAAUUACAAGCAACAAUGAUUUCUGUUGAUGGACAAAUCAAUAAAAUUACUCUUUCUCUGUUUAUAGUUCUUUUCAGUUUUUCAUACAAACAACCGUUAAUCAAGUUUUCCAAAUUAUUCCUUACUAAAUGUAUAGAUUUAGAGGGCGGCUAAUAUAAUUCAUAUUGCAAAUAUUCUUUGAUUGUAACGAAUUUUGUAAUAUUAAAUUUUGUUUGAUUCGCAAUAGGACCUACCAUCCAGCGCGAGCAGUUCUCGGGGAUUUAACUACUGGCACCUCGAUUAUAUAAAAAUUUGGAAUAUUUUCAAAGGAAAUCAAAUAAUUCCCCCUUGCCAAUAGUAAUUAUCAUUAAUUGCCGCGGGUUCACAUAUAAUUCUAAGAAAUUAGGCGAGAAGAGUCUCAUCAACAAUCAAUCAGCAGAUAUCACGUUCGGCAGAUCAUCAUGAUUUCCUCAGAUGCUAGAGAAUCAACGUGAUUUCCGCUCAUGCAGGAGUGGACACAUUAUCUUAGAGCAUCCCUUACUGAGAUCUUUUAAAAAAUUUAUAUUAUAAAGUGAACAACAUAUUUAGUAUAGAUUUAGACGGCGGCUAGUAUAAUUUAUCUGUAUUCUAAUGACGUAUAUUAAAGAAAAUGACUAACCAUAAUUUCAAUCAACUUAUUAGUCUAUAUAUAUAUAUAUAUAUAUAAAAUAUUCAGUGAUUACAACAUAUUUAGUAUUCCAUAACAUGAUGUUUAUAAUAAUAAUUAUUAUUAAUUCACUUAUUGUGUCAAGAACCUUUUCUUUCUCUAAGAAUGAAUUUGUUACACCCUACUAUACUACGGAUGAAAAAUUUAGAAUCAUUGUGAAAUGUGAUUAUUAAUCACUCUUUGCCAUAUUUGCUACCAAACAAGAAUGCAACAAAGAAAAAAAAAACAAAAAUUAUAGAGCAUUAAUAAGACCAUUGACUUAUCAAUAACUGACCUUCUCAGCGAAAAGUGUAUUAGAAAUUUGGACAUUGUCCUCCAAAAUGAUUUCAUGUGACCGCAAAUUAUUUGUUGAUUCCUCCUGUCUCUGCUAACAUUGCAGGUGUAUUGAUUUUAGAGUGUAAGCUUAAUUGUGAGCACAACCUUAAUGCAUAGAUACAAGAUCUUUAAAAAUUAGUACAAUAAACUUAGCACUAAAUCUAAAUUUGAUAUUUUGGAUUCCAUGAUUAAGAUUUUUUUUAAAUGAAAAUUUAAUAGGGUUAAUUUAAAAAUAAAAAUUAAAUAUGAAAAAUUAGACUUGCAAUUAUGGAUUUAAUUUUGAUAAAUAAUGAAUGUUCUCUUAAUAUUUUUUUUAAAAGGUAAAAGUGCGUGCAAAGCCCAAAUUCAUUUUUUUAGUCCCUUACUCUCCCAUGAUUCAAACUUGGGUGGUUGUGGGAGGACUGAAAAUAUAUAAGACCGUUAACUUCACUUUUUUUUUCUUUUUUUUUUUUUUUGUUGAGAGAAAAGAGAAGAAGGAUAUUACAAAGCAUGAAGCUCGUGCAAUAUAAGGACAAUUAUGGUUUUUUCUUUAAAUUAAAAUGGUAAGAUUUUGAAGCUAAAAGAUUAAAAUAUUAAUUAAAUUGCAACCAUUAAAGAUUUUUUUUUUCAAAUGGUUGCUUUGAAAAUGAGAAUAAUAUAAUAUUUGAAGACUUUUCAAAAUUAAUUACUGUGAUAGAUGCACUAGAAAUUUCUAGCUUUAGUCUAAUGUAUAAAUUGACAAAACGAUAUUAGAAUUCCAGGUGAAAAGAACCCUCUCAUACCAUUUUCUUAAAUUAGGAAUGAUCAUACCUCUGACUCUGCCGGACUGAGGGUGAGGUCUGAACCCCACAUCUCGAGACGCUUGAGAUGGGAAGAGCCCACAUUACGAAAAUAAUCGACAUCUUGCUCUUGCAAUCCACGUAAUUCAAGGUCUUCAAUUCUCUGCAGUUGCACGAUCAGCGAAUCCUUCAAGCAAAUGUUGUUAUUUAGCUGGAGACUGAAUUCACGAUACCAAAUGCCGGUGCUCUCCCAAUAGCCAACAUCUCCAAUGCGUAUGAUGUACCUUUCCAGCUUCUCCAAGAGCAGGCCUCUGGGCAGAGUGCUGACGUCAUAGACGUGUAAUUCCAAAGAGGUCAAGUUGGGCAAAUGCUUCAACUCCUCAAGGCUUGCAUUCUUAACCCCUUCUUCCACCUCCACCUCCCAUUUAUCAAAGCUUUCACCUAUAUAUAGUUCUUCUAAACGGGAUAAUUUUGACAGUAUAUUUGGUGGAAUAACUUCUAGUUCCUCACAAUCUCUCAAAUCAAGCAAAUUUAGCCAAGUCAAUUCACCUACUUCUGUUGGCAUCUGCUUAAUAUCGGAGCCUCUUAAGCAAAGGAUUUCUAGAUUCUUCUUCAAGUCUACUACAAAACUUAUAUCAGGCAAGCUGCAGCGACACAAACUCAGUGUUCGAAGGUUUGACAGGAGACCAAGUGAUGAAGGCAGUACCAUGUCAGUCAAGUUUACAACUCUGACCUCGAUCAUGCUCUUGAAAAAGUUGUCUGGAAUUGUUACUCGUGAAGAUUCCCAAGGAUCAUUACUUAGAAAAAGAAGUUCGAGUUGAGGACAUUCCAGUACUUCAGGAAGCAAAUUAGGCUUGAUAUCAUGUAAGACGAUUGAAGUGCAAUGCUUUAUUGCACUUCCGUCUGACCAUUCCCUGCAACCAUCAACCUGCUCAUUUGUAGCAGUAAACACAUUUCGUUCAGUAGAUGCAAUUGAUACGGCGACAUCGCGAACUACAUCAUGCAUAGAAAACAACUCUUUCUCCUGGCUUAUAUGGUCAAGCAACAUACAAGAAGCUUUGAGUGUGCGCACCAAUGUAUGUACUCGAUUUCGUGCUACUUCAAUCUUAUUCACACCUUGAAAUAAACCCAAUCCCAUACCACACAUUAACAAGUCAUCAAUAGAUGAUAUGGCUGUAUAUCCUAUUAGCAAAAAGAUGUUCUUGAGAUCAUCCCUUCCUAGUUUAUUGUAGCUCAACUCGAUAGCUUUAAAUGCGGCUGGCUGUACAUCCUUAAAAUUCGAUGAAGAAGGCCUUCUUAGCUGUUCCAAUGCAUCCUUCCAUUCACGUAUGCUGUUGCUCCUUAAUGCCCUUGCAACCGUCACAAUGGAAACUGGUAGACCUGCACAUUCCUCUGCCACAUUCCUUGCCACCUCUUCCAAUUCACUACCUUCAACAUAAUCACCUGCCAUCUUCUUGAAUAGACUCCAAGCUUCUUCUUCGUUUAAAACACCAACUGGGAAAUUUGUUCGACAAUCCAUCUUCUCAGACAAUACAUUUAGACUUCUGGCCGUCAACAAUACUUUACAACCAUCUCCAAGAGGAAUUCGGACAUUCCCCAAAUUAAGAUUCUCCCAAAUGUUGUCUAAAACUAUCAGGAUCUUCUUCACUUUUUUUAUACCUUCACAUAACCUGCCUGCCCUUCCUUCAUCACUUUCCUCAUGCAACUUCAGGCCUAAUUUAUCUGCAAUUACUCCUUGAAUCUUUCGUAUGUCUUGAUUCUGAGACACCUCAACAAAAACCACCUGAUCAAAGAGUUUGUCACUCUUGACUUUCCUAGCAACUUCUUCGGCCAGCGUCGUCUUUCCGAUUCCGCCCAUUCCAUAGAUCCCAAGCAUGUUGACAUCGCGAUCUUCUAGUGCACUGAGUAUACUCAUCAAAGUGGACAUUCUUGAUUCAAAGGGCUCGUAGUCUUUGCUAGGGAUAAGCCGAAUAUCCUCUGGAGCAGUACGGUAGGAAAUUCUAUCAAAUCUUCGAUCUUCUCGGACUUUGACAACAGCCUCCUUCUUCCUCUCUGCUUCCUUGCUAAGUCGACGGCGGGUCUUCAAAUUAGGACACAACCCCUUGAAACAACGUUUAGUUGCAGCGGCUUCAUCUUCUGUAAAUUUAUCUGCCUCUUCAAUGACUUUGUUGGCCCCUUCAAGCCAACUCCUAACGUUCUCUUCAAUUUCUUCCCCGUUUCGUUCAGCCUCAUCAACCUGGUGCUCUGUACGCACCCUCUCAGACUUUAGUUUCUCAACUUCAGUCUUGAGAUUCUGUAAGUUGCUCGUGUACUUACUCUCACGCAAAUAGCUAAUUUGGCGAUAUGCGGGAGGAGCCAAGCACUUCACAACUUCUACAACAAUAGUAAGAAUGAAAUCAGCCAUCUUCAGUCCUUUGUCCCUGUCUCUCGAUCUCUCUUUUUCUGAAUUUUUGAAAAACAAUUGACUAUUUAGGAAGCACACUGAGUGAUUGAACACAAGUGACUACAACAAGAUGGAACAAAAUAAAAAGGAAAAAAAUACAAAGAGUGGAUGGAGAAUAAAACAGAGACAGCGGCACAGCUGGACACAACUAGAUAGAGAACAGAGGAAAACCAAAUAACAAGACUGAAGAUUACAACAAACAGAGGCCAAGUAUUGUUGAGAUCAGAAGAUGGAAAAUUCAAAAGAGUUGAUGGCAGAUGCUGAAUAACAGAACAACAAUGAACGCAAUAAACAGAAGCAAAGUGUGUUUGCGAUCGACAGACGGAAGUAAGGAAAGCGGUUGUUGAUUGAAAAUGAAUGAAUGCAAAGAAAGACUGAUGUUGAAAAUUGAUGUCAAUAGCGAAGGAAUAAUUGAACUUUCGCUGAAUUAUUGUUUGUGGCCUUCUUUUACUUUUUAUUUGUGGGUCAUGUCUUUUGGAACUAAUCAUCUUAGCUUAUGCCUUACAGCUUUAAGGCCAGUAACCGGUGUCCGUUGGAUAAGCAUAUAGAAAUCCAACGGUGGAUAUAUAUCCUUGCAGAACAAAAUUCAACAGCAACACCCCAACUUUAAAUAUGAUUAUCUGUUGGGGAGUGCUGGGCUGCAGUUUCUUAAGGAGAUUUAUAUAUCCUCCUCAAAAAUAAAUGUUUUAAGAUAGAUAUUUAGACUAUUUCAUCAUAAAAUAAAUGUAAUUAAUUUUUUUUAUAAAUAUUUAUUUAUUUUUUUAAUUACUAAUGACCUUUGAAUAUACAUAUCACUAAUUCAAAAAAUAAAUUGUGAUUAUUUGUUAAUGUAUGCGAUUACUUGUGAUGGUAAACUUUUGAAGUUAAAUUAAAAAAAAAAAACAGAGCUUUUACCAUUACUUGCUUUAUCAUCUUUUAAAUUAGAAUUAUUAUUCUUUUAUUUUUUUCAAGUUGCCAACUCAUCCGCAUUCUUUUUUAUUGAAUUUGAAGAUCAAUGAUUAUAAAUUUGUGUAAAAAUUUUAAGCCAAAAUUUUAAAUUAAAAUAAUCAUUAACUUAUUGGAAAAUAAUAACUUGGUAUAACAAAUAUUAUAUCCUAUACUUUAUUGCUACAAGAUUACAAAACCUUAUAUUAUAUUAUGUUUCCAUAUUUCUCCUUUAUAGUAAAGACUCAUACUUCUUCUCUAGUAGAUGUUAAAGUAUUGGCUUAAACUUUUUAACCAGCACAGUAGACUAUUAAGCUAUAUAUGCUAUAAUGUCCCUCUUUCCUCACAGAUUAAACCAAUCUAAUCUCAGAGUGAGUUGAUACCAUGAGUUUGCAUUUGUCAUCAAAGGAGCAUCAUUAUUAAUUAAUAUAGGUUCGAUCAAUAGGUAUGAUAAUAAAUUUUUUUAUCUACAAAUACUAUUUUUCAAAAUAUUAUAUCUUUAGACUUAACUAAAUAUCUUCUAACCAUAUAUGUACAGUUUGUUUGAUCUCUUUUAAAUAUUGGAGAUUACAACAGAACAGAUGCGAAUUAGCAGUGACGCUGAGUUUAGAAGAUUGAAAUUAAGAAAAUUAAGGAAAGGAUAAGGAUGUAUUUUCAAAGUGAAUUAUUGAGAGAUCUUUGAAGAUUACUUCCGUCAAGAGCUGGGUCCCAUACUCUUUCGCCUUUGUCCUCCAGUCAACCAUAAGACAAAUUAUUAUUGAGUGUAAACGGACUUAUUAACCACCAAAUUUUCAAACUUGUGAUCCUUAUUGAAUCUGCAUUCCCCUUUACAAAAGUAAAAAAAAAAAAGUGCAAAUAACGAAAAAAAAUUUUGUUCCUUGACUGCAAGUGCUGUCGACAUUUUCAGACUUGUAAGACCCUUCUACUUGCAAGAUGCCACUGAAUUUGUCUUUUUUUUUUUUUAAAUUACACUAUACUAUUUUAUAUUUUAUAAAAAAAUUUAAUAGAUAUUAUAAGUUACAAAUUUUUAUAUUUAAUAUUCUCAAAAUAAAUUAUUAAAUAAAUGAUUCAUUUACUAUUUUUUCCUUUAAAUUUUUGUUAUUAAAAAGAUUUUUGGAUAUUGAACGUGAAGGGCUCAACUGAUCGCUAAUUUUGCAGCAAUUGCCCUUUUCUUUCUCCCCCAAUUGUUUUGAAAAAUAUCCAGACUCAUUCAGCGAAGUAUCCGAGGCCAAAGGGCUAAAAGAUGGGACACCCGCAUGUGCUUCUAAUUACAAAAUCUAAAGUUAGGGGGACCAUAACUUACAUUUAAUAUAAUUUAUGAUAGGGGUCCGCCUAUGUUACCACUGUACAAUAAGUUUGGUCUUUUCUGACUCAGUUGUGAUGAGCCCCUUGUACUCGAUAUUAUUUACUAUUUAUUUAUAAGUAUUAUAAAAAUUUUUGCUUACUUAUUAUAUAAAAAUUUAAUUGGUUCCCUUACACUCUUAUUCAUUUACUAUUUUUUUGUAGUAUCAAAAGAAUUUAUAUUUACAACCACGAUACAUUAAUUAUCAUAACACUCUAAUAUUAAUAAAAAGACAAAGACAUCCUUAAAUUAAAACAAAAAAAAUACUUUCUUCUUUUGAGGAAUUACGGUAUCUCAUUUUCCACCACUCAUUAUCAACAAAAUUUUUAAGGAUAUAACCAUUCAUCUUCUUUAUAAUAUCAUCUCGCAAUAAUUAAUACUUUCAUGAAAAAAUAAUUAACAAAAUAAAAAAAUAAAUUCCCAUUGAAUACAUCCCUCUCCACUAUUAAUUUCUCUUCAUCAAUAACCUUUAUCGACAAUUAAAACCACCAUUAGACUCAUCAUAAAGAGAGAGUAAGAGAAAGAAAGAAGAAACGAGAAAAAAUAUAUGAACCUUUUAUAAUUUUAUAGUGCGUUCACUAAACGAGAAUCGAAAUGAGGUGAAAUCAAAACGAGAAAUUAAGGGCCCGUUUGGUAUUGUUUUUGAAUCUGUAUUUUCUGAGAAUAAAAAUGAAAAUGAAAAUGGUGUUUUGCAGUUGCUGUAUUUUGAAUUUAAGUAUGCGUCUGGUAUUAUUUUCUGUAUCCUGUAUUUUAAAACUGAAAACAGUAACAUGCGUUCGGUAGACACAGUCGAAAAUGAUAAAAACAGAGAAUAUGCGUUCGGUAAUACUUUUUUCAAAAACAGUUUUUACUAUUAACCAUUUACAUCAUAUUUAUAGUUAUAAAAUAAUUAUUUAGCUAAUACAUACACAAAUACAACAUAAUAAUUUAAAACAAAAUUAUUAUAAAAAAUUUACAUGAUGAUAAAGUUUUAGAAUUAACAUUAAUUAAAAAAAAUUACAUUGUCAUUGUUUUUACAUCAUAAUUAAGAUAUAUAUUACAACACAUGAUUUAAACAAAAUAAUUAUAAAAAAAAUACAUGAUAGACAUUAUACAUUACGUAUGUAAUUAUGCCACAUAGAAGUUGCAAUUCUAUCUCUUGUAGCACUCAUCUCGGCGACACUUGCUGGAGAUAAAUCAAUAUUAGUAAGUGGCCUACUAGUGUCUCCUUCUUCGAUGGUAACCAAAUCUUGUACAUCAAAGUCCCCAAAUAACCUAUCACUUGCAUUUUCUCGUCGAAUAAAGUUAUGUAAAGCGCAACAUGCAAUUGGAAUUAGACGUUGCUUACGUAAACUAUAAUUAUGCAUAUCCCUUAAAAUUGAAAAUCGCGCUUUUAAAACACCAAAGCAUCGCUCAAUUACAUUACGCAAUGAUGAAUGUCUGUAAUUAAACAAUUCUUGGGGACCUCUAGGUGCUCGACCUGAUCCUCUAUAAUCACGUAAAUGAUAUCUCUCACCUCUAUAUGGUGUCAAAAAUCCUUUCAUAUUUAUGUAUCCAGAAUCCACAACGUAGUAAUAUCCUAAAAUAUAGAAACAAUAAAACAUAACUUAAUUAAAAAAUAAAGGCCAAAGAUAUUAACACACACACACACACACACACAAACAUAUAUAUAUAUAUCUCAAUAUUCUUACCUUCUUCCGGACGUGGAAACCCAGAUUCUGGUCUAUUUAAGGCAUCCAUAAACACCCUUGAGUCAUUGGCGGUACCUUCCCAACCCGUAUAUACAAAUGUGAACAUCAUGUCAAAAGAACAUGCACACAUGAUAUUUUGAGUCACCUGAGUCUUUCUAUCUCGAUAUGAUAUCUGUUUAUGUGCAGGUGACCAUGCAGCAAUGUGGGUUCCAUCAAUUGCACCGAUACACUUCUGUGAAAAUAUGUCAAAAUUAUUAAUUUAUUAACCAAAUGUUAAUGUCACAUAAACUUUGAAGUAACAUGUAUUGAAUUUCUUACCUCAAAAUAUGGAAAAAAAUUUGGAUUGUUACUAAUCUCUGAUGGCGUUUCCCCUUGAGGUUUUGGUUUUAUAAUGUGAUUUGCCAAUUGACAAAGUGCUUUUAAAACACGCUUAAAGUGUGAAAAAACAGUAUCCCCUGAACGUUGAAAACGCUCAGAUACAACCCUCACAACAGCACCAUGGGACAAUACAUACAAGCACAUUGCUACAGCCUCCUUGAUACAAACAUGUCUAUCAUUCUCUAAUAACUGUAGAUGUUCAAGUGUAUAACAUAAUCAAAUAAGUGUAUAAAUAAAACCAAAAAAUAUUAUUUUAAUUUAAUACGAAACUAUUUAAUAUACUACAAAUAUAGUUUUACCUUAAUAUAUUCAGCCCAAACAGCUUCCGAUGCUGUGACCGUAUUUGAAACAUGAUCCCAACCAAACCCGGUAUGAGCUACUAAGUCAGAAAACUCUCGAUGUUUUUUGCGCAACCUAUUAAACUUGGACUUAAGUUGCCCUACAUUGAAUCUUUUUUGGCAUUGUUCUAACAUCUCAUCACUUAUAGUGUUCCAAAUUUUCUUAGUGAAAGUUGAUGUUUGUAAAUCACCCUUUUUAACAUGGUCAUGUACAAUACGAAUAAAAACGGUUUCGGUCCGGCUAGACCAAUCAGCCUUAUCCUCAACAUCAACAUCAUGUGAAUCCAUAUCUUGAAAAAUUAGAAAAAAUAACACAUAUCAAAUAAUGAUCAAAUUCAACAUAACAUAUACAUAUUUCAGCAACAUGUCAUACAUUAAAAACUGAAUGGUACCAAAAAAAAAUAAAAAAUAAAACAUAUAUCAAAUAUUAAUCAAAUUAAAAACACUGCUAUUAAAUUUUUAGAUAUAAACAUACAAUUUUCAGUACAUGCUAUUAAUCCCCCACUAAAUUUCAGUAAUGUAAUCAACAUAAAGGUUGCAUUGCUAUGACUUUUUGCAUUAAUAUUGAUAACUAAAAGCCUUAACUUGCUUUUUGAACUUGGUUAUUUGUUACUCAAUGCAGACAGCUUACAACUUGAAGAUUUGGGAAUCAUUUACCACGGAAAUACCCACCCAGGUAUUUGGUAUGCUAGUGUAGUGUUUUUGGGAACAAUUUAGUCAUCAAGAUGUCUGGUUAUGGUGUAGCUAAUACCAAAAUUUGUAGAAGUAUCUAAAUAAAAAUAAAAUGUGCUCUUUAUUUUGCUAAUAUUUUUUGUUCUAGUAAUUUCAUAGAAUUUAUAUUGGUACAGAGAUAGCUAUGUCUCAAGCCUAUAGUAAUUGCAAUUUUCUAAAUGGCUCAGCGUCUUUCCUUGGUCUGAGGAACAAACAUGGGGAUGAAACAAAAAUCUGGCAUCAGAAUCCAUAUGCUGGCUAUUUUUAACAUUGCUUUUUUGGGUUUCAGCUAUCAUAGUCUAGAGUACUUUUGCACGGUUAAUUAAGUUAAUAACAGUGGAAAGUUUUCCAAUCAGCAUAAAGGAAUUCCCACAAGAAAUUGUUUGUUUUAAUAGAUUUAAUCUCUAAAAUAAAUGAGGAAAAAUUUCAGCUCAUAAAUAAACAAUUUGUCACUACAUAUGAACAACCUCAGAAAUUUCCAGAAUUAAAAAUCACUCAAAUCAUCUCUAAAAAUUUUCAGUUCAUAAACAAAAUAAAUACCAGCAAGUGACAGAUCCGGGAGAGCAACAAUGGUUGGGCAAGUGCAGAUCCGAGAGAGCAAGUGCACCGAGAGAGCAAGUGCAGAUCCGAGAGAGCAAAGACGAAGUAGCAGCAGCUGGACGGAGUCGGAGUAGCAGCAGCUGGACGGAGUCGGAGCAGCAGCGGUUACAGCGGAGAAAGAGCAGCGGCAGUGGCUAGCACACCAAGAGCGACCAAGAGAGAGAUUUGCUGCAACUGGAUUGAGAAAAUUGAGGGGAAAGAGGGUGCUGCAGUGAACUGGAUUGAGAGUGAGGGUUGCAGUGAAGAGAAAAGUGAGGGCUGCAGGGUCACGAUUUUUUUGUUGUUUUUUAAUUCAUUUUUAGGUUUAGUUUGUAAAAUUUGGAAAACAUGUUUAACUUGUUUUCAGUUGUAUAGUUAUAAUAAUGAAUCCGGAUUUUAUGUUUUGUAAUUUAUUUUGUGAAACAAAUCUACCGAACAUGUUUUAUGUGUGUAUUAUAAAAAUGAAAACGAAAACAUGGCUUGCAAAACGGUACCGAACGGGCCCUAAGUUAUCUGACAUCAGAUGACCGCUGUCAUCUGACCAAACCCCAGCAACCAUGGGAAAAAUCACCUACUUGUUUUAGGAGCAGGAGCAGGAGCAGGAGGAGGAAAUUAAGUUAGGGAUUUGGAGUGAUAGGGAAAAAGCUGAUUGUUGAGAAAUAUAUAUACCUUUUGUAUGGUUGUGUUAAGGUCGCCCUUCCAAGCCCAACUUGCUUCACUCCGCCGCUGCACUUCGUGUAAUUUGGGUGUACUUAAAUUUCCUUCAGAGAAAAUCUUCAUAUCGGGGCAAUCAUCCACCACUAAUCUUUCCAAAGAUGGGAACUUGAAAGCACAAUUGCCAGAGCAGAAGCUUGUCAAACUUUUUAAGUCUAAAAGCUUCAACUCCUUCAAUUCUCUGAAAGUAAUAACCUCAUCUUUUGCCACAACAUCAUCCACCAGUACUAUUUCUGUUAUCAUAACGCAUGAUUUUAUCUUCAUAUAUCUAAGUCGCACCAGAGACUUUGCAAUUGAGGAUGUUAAUACGAUUUUCAAUCUUUCGCAACUGAAUACCACCAGAUUUGUAAGAUUCUGAAAGGAUGUCGACGAUGGCACUAGAUUGACCAAACGGUCACACCCCUUUACACGUAGAAUAACCAAGUUGUUCGUAACAGAGGACUCCCUUAUCAAAAUGUUCUCCAGAUGAUAACAAUUAUUUGCUUCACUUAUUUCUACUGCCAUACCAUUUUCAACCUUCUCUUUCGGCGACCGGCCACCAUAUCCUUGUAUUUGGAGGACUUUCAUUGUGUGAAGUCUCUGGAGGAAGUCAUCAAGUGAUACAAUAGUCGGCUCAUCAACCAACUCCACAAAAAGAUAUUUUAGUUUGCAAAGCAAGUCUUCAAAAAAUAGAUAUUUAUUUGUUCCUAUGUACUUUGCAUCAACUUUCAACUCUUCCAAAUUAGGGAAUACCUGGGAGAUCGAUCAGAACCAAAAAAAAAAAAAAUACAAGAUGAAUCAGUUGAUGAGAAUUAUAAGUUACCACUAAUUUAUACAAUAUAUUUUAUUCAAUAAAUCAAUAAAUACAAGAUAAACUUUCACAGUACGUACAUAAGAAUUGAAAAUUUGAUUAUAAAAUUCUUGUACGUACCCUUUCUGUCGAGAUAUUAGUAGUUUUUUCGUAUCUCACCAUGAAUUCAGGACAUGCAGAUAUCCAUAAUUCUUCCAAGGAUGGAAAUUCAAGAAUAUCAAGAUCUCCAGUGCAGAAGCUUGUGAACUUUUCAAGAUCAGACAUCCUCAGAGAUUGCAACUGGGGAAACGUUACAAUAUUAUUCUUCAUUUCUUCUUGGUUGUCCACGACUAUUAACUCUUCCAGGACAGGACAUUUGACUAUCAUAACGUGUUGGAGUCGAACAAAGCUACUAACUGUAGAAGAUGAAAAUAGACAUCUUAAAUUCAUACAGCUGUACAGGGUCAAGCGCGUUAAAUUUUGAAUACCACAAGACAUGACUGCAACUUGGUUCAGCCAAAUCCUCUCAACAUUUAUUGAAUACAACAUCAACUCCUCCAAAUUUGGUAAUGCAACCUGCACGAUCAAAAAAUUAACUUGUUAAUUACAAGCAACAAUUAUUAAUCACUCUUUGCCAUAUUUGUUACCAAACAGGAAUAUAACAAAGAAAAAAAAACAAAAAUUAUAGAGAAUUAAUAAGACGAUUGACUUAUUAAUAACUGACCUUCUCAGGGAAAAGCGUAUUAUAAAUUUGGACAUUGUCCUCCAAAAUGAUUUCAUGUGACUGCAAAUCAUUAUCUGAUUCCUGUUGUCUCUGUUGACGUUGCAGGUGUCUUGAUUUUAGAGCGUAAGCCUAAUUGUGAGCACAAUCUUAAUGCAUAGAUACAAGAUCUUUAAAAAUUAGUAUAAUAAACUUAGCACUAAAUUCAAAUUUCAUAUUUCGGAUUCCAUGAUUAAGAUUUUUUAAAUAAAAAUUUAAUAGAGUUAAUUUAAAAAUAAAAAUUAAAUAUGAAAAAUAAACUUGCAAUUAUGGAUUUAAUUUUGAUAAAUAAUGAAUGUUCUCUUUAUAUUUUUUUUAAAAGGUAAAAGAGCAUACAAAGCCCAAAUUCAUUUUUUUAGUCCCUUACUCUCCCUUGAUUCAAACUUGGGUGGUUGUAGGAGGACUGAAAAUAUAUAAGACAGUUAACUUCACUUUUUUUUUUCUUUUUUUUUUGUUGAGAGAAAAGAGAAGAAGGAUAUUACAAAGCAUGAAGCUCGUGCAAUAUAAGGGCAAUUGUGGUUUUUUCUUUAAAUUAAAAUGGUAAGAUUCUGAAGCUAAAAGAUUAAAAUAUUAAUUAAAUUGCAAACAUUAAAGAUUUUUUUUUUCCAAAAUUGGUUGCUUUGAAAAUGAGAAUAAUAUAAUAUUUGAAGACUUUUCAAAAUUAAUUACUGUGAUGCACUAGAAAUUUCUAGCUUUAGUCUAAUGUAUAAAUUGACAAAACGAUAUUAGAAUCCCAGGUGAAAAGAACCCUCUCAUACCAAUUAUUUAAAUUAGGAAUGAUCAUACCUCUGACUCUGCCGGAUUGAGGGCGAGCCAGAGACGCUUGAGAUGGGAAGAGCCCACUUUGACUAAUUCAUUACGAAAAUAAUCGACAUCUUGCUCUUGCAAUCCACAUAAUUGAAGGUCUUCAAUUCUCUGCAGUUGCACGAUCAGCGAAUCCUUCAAGCAAAUCUUGUUAUUUAGCUCGAGACUGAAUUCACGACACCCAAUGCCGGUGCUCUCCCAAUAGCCAUCAUCUCCAAUGCGUAUGCUGUACCUUUCCAGCUUCUCCAAGAGCAGGCCUCUGGGCAGAGUGCUGACGUCACGGGCGCGUAAUUCCAAAGAGGUCAAGUUGGGCAAAUGCUUCGACUCCUCAAGGCUUGCAUUCUUAAUCCCUUCUUCCACCUCCACCUCCCAUUUAUCAAAGCUUAUACGACCUAUAUAUAGUUCUUCUAAACGGGAUAAUUUUGACAGUAUAUUUGGUGGAAUAACUUCUAGGUCCUCACAAUCUCUCAAAUCAAGCAACUUUAGCCAAGUCAAUUCACCUACUUCUACCGGCAACUUCUUAAUAUCAGAAUCUCUUAGGCAAAGGAUUUCUAGUUUCUUCAAGUCUCCUACAACACUUAGAUCAGGCAGGUAGCACCAACACAAACUCAGUGUUCGAAGGUUUGACAGGAGACCAAGUGAUGAAGGCAGUGACCGUAGAUCCAUGUCAGUCAAGUUUACAACUCUGACCUGUAUCAUCCUCUCGAAAAAGUUGCUUGGAAUUGUUAAUGAUGAAGAUUCCCAACGACCAGCACUUAGAAACAGAAGUUCGAGUUGAGGACAUUCCAGUACUUCAGGAAGCAAAUUAGUCUUGAUACCAUGCAAGACGAUUGAAGUGCAAUGCUUUAUUGCACUUCCGUCCGACCAUUCCCUGCAACCAUCAACCUGCUCAUUUGUAGCAGUAAACACAUUUCGUUCAGUAGAUGCAAUUGAUAUGGCGACAUCGCGAACUACAUCAUGCAUAGAAAACAACUCUUCAUCCUUGCUUUCAUGGUCAAGCAACAUACAAGAAGCUUUGAGUGUGCGCACCAAUGUAUGUACUCGAUUUCGUGCUUCUUCAAUCUUAUUCACGCCUUGAAAUAAACCCAAUCCCAUACCACACAUUAACAAGUCAUCAAUAGAUGCUAUGGCUGUAUAUCCUAUUAGCAAAAAGAUGUUCUUGAGAUCAUCCCUUCCUAGUUUAUUGUAGCUCAACUCGAUAGCUUUAAAUGCGGCUGGCUGAACAUCCUUAAAAUUCGAUGAAGAAGGCCUUCUUAGCUGUUCCAAUGCAUCCUUCCAUUCACGUAUGCUGUUGCUCCUUAAUGCCCUUGCAACCGUCACAAUGGAAACUGGUAGACCUGCACAUUCCUUUGCCACAUCCCUUGCUACCUCUUUCAAUUCAUUACCUUCAACAUAAUCACCUGCCAUCUUCGUGAAUAGACUCCAAGCUUCAUCUUCUUUUAAAAAUCCAACUGGGAAAUUUUUUCGAGACUCCAUCUCUCCAGACAAUGCUUGUUCACUCCUUGCCGUGAACAGCACUUUAAUUCCAACAUCCAACAAAUCAAGAUUUUCCCAAAUAUUAUCCAAGAUUACAAGGAUCCUCUUCUCUUUCUUCAGUCGAUCAUAGAGUCUUCUUGCCCUACCCGAUUCACUCUCCUCAUCAAAUUUUAGACCUAGUUUAUCCGCGAUUUCUCCUUGAAUCUUUCUUACGUCUCGACUCUCAGACACCUCAGAAAAAACCACCUGAUCGAAAAGCUUGUCACACUCUGCUUUUCUGGCAACUUCUUUAGCUAGCGUCGUCUUUCCGAUUCCGCCCAUUCCAUAAAUCAAAAGCAUGUUGACAUUGGGAUUUUUUAAUGCAUCAAUUAUUUCAUUCAGAAUGGACGUUCUUGAUUCAAAGGCCUCGAAGUCUUUGUUAGGCAUAAGCAAGGUAUCCUCCGGAAUGAUGCUGUAGGAAAUACUAUUAACUGGUCUAGCGUCCAGGACUUUGACAACAGCCUCCUUCUGCCUCUCUGCUUCCUUGCUAAGUCGAGGGCGGGUCUUCAAAUUAGGACAUAACCCCUUGAAACAACGCUUAUUUGCAGUGGCUUCAUCUUCUGUAAAUUUAUCUGCCUCUUCAAUGACACUGUUGGCCGUUGCAAGCCAAUUCUCAACGUUCUCUUCAAUCUCUUCUCCUUUUCUUUUAGCCUCAUCAACCUGGUGCUCUGUACUCACCCUCUCAGACUUUAGUUUCGCAACUUCAGUGUUGAGAUUCUGUAAGUUGCUCGUGUACUUACUCUCACGCAAAUAGCUAAUUUGGCGAUAUGCGGGAGGAGCCAAGCACUUUACAACUUCUAAAACAAUAGUAAGAAUGAUUUCAGCCAUCUUCAGUCCUUUGUCCUUGUCUCUCUAUCUCUUUUUUUCUGAAUUUUGGAAAAACAAUUCAACAAGUGACCACAACAAGAUGGAACAAAAUAAAAAGGAAAAAAAAUACAAAGAGUGGAUGGAGAAUAAAACAGAGACAGCGGCACAGCUAGACGCAACUAGAUAGAGAACAGAGGAAAACCAAAUAACAAGACUUAAGAUUACAACAAACAGAGGCCAAGUAUUGUUGAGAUCAGAAGAUGGAAAAUUCAAAAGAGUUGAUGGCAGAUGCUGAAUAACAAAACAACAAUGAACGCAACAAACUGAAGCAAAGUGUGUUUGUGAUCGACAGACGAAAGUAAGGAAAGUGGUUGUUGAUUGAAAAUGAAUGAAUGCAAAGAAAGACUGAUAUUGAAAAUUGAUGUCCAUAGCGAAGGAAUAAUUGAACUUUCGCUGAAUUAUUGUUUGUGCCUUCUUUUACUGUUUAUUUGUGGGUCAUGUCUUUUGGAACUAAUCAUCUUAGGUUAUGCCUUAUAGCUUUAAGGCCGGUAAACCGGUGUCCGUUGGAUUAGCAUAUAGAAAUCCAACGGUGGAUAUAUAUACUUGGAGAAUAAAAUUCAAGAGCAAAGGGAGUGCUGGGCUGCAGUUUCUUAAGGAGAUUUAUAUAUCCUCCUCAAAAAUAAAUAUUUUAAGGUAGGUAUUUAGACUAUUUCAUCAUAAAAUAAAUGUAAUUAAUUUUCAUAAAUAUUUGAUAUCAAUAUUUAUUUAUUUUUUUAAUUACUGAUGACCUUUGAAUAUUCGAUACAUAUUAUUAAUUCAAAAAAAAAAUUGUGAUUAUUUAUUAAUGUUUGCGAUUACUUGUGAUGGUAAACAAAGUAGAUAUGGUAUAUUUUGAAGUUAAAUUAAAAAAAACAGAGCUUUUACCAUUACUUGCCUUAUCAUCUUUUAAAUUAGAAUUAUUAUUCUUCUAUUUUUCAAGUUGCCAACUCAUUGUCUUUUAUUGAAUUUAACGAUCAAUGAUCAUAAAAUUGUGUAAAAAUUUUAAGUCAAAACUUUAAAUUAAAAUAAUCUUUAAGUUAUUGAGAAAUAAUAACUUAAUAUAACAAAUAUUAUAUCCUAUACUUUAUUGCUACAAAAUUACGAAACUUUAUAUUAUGUUUUCAUAUUUCACCUUUAUAGUGACGACUCAUGCUUCUUCUCUAAUAAAUGCUAAAGUAUUGGCUUGAAUUUUUUAAUUAGUACAGUAGAACCUUAAGCUAUAUAUACUAUAAUGUCCCUCUUCUCUCACAGAUUAAACCAAUCAGAUCUCAGAGUGAGUUGAUACCAUGACUUUGCAUCAUUCAUGAUCAAAGGAGCAUCAUUACUAACUAAUAUAGGCUCGAACAAUAGGCAUGAUAAUAAUUUUGUUUAUCUACAAACACUAUUUAACUCUAUCUCUUUUCUCUCCCCCACGCGAAGACUACUCCUUUCUCUUUGGCUAAUUUUUAAAAACCUCCCCUGAGGUUUGGACUUGUUGCAAGUAGAUGGCGAGAAUUUGUUUAUUUGUAAAAAACCCCCUACCGUCAAUUAACUUUAACAUUGACCGUUAGUUGACUGUGCAAAGAUAAUAUUACCCUUAACAAUAGUUUGUAGACGGAAAUAACUAAAAAAAAAUUUAAAAUUAUUGGCUAUUUUAUCCUCUUUAAAUUAUUGAUAUUUUCUUAAAGUUCCUACAAGAAAGAUAAAAUUUAAAAUUUAAAAUUUAAAAAAUCCUCUUUAAAUUAUUGAUAUUUUCUUAAAGUUCCUACAAAAAAGAUAAAAUUAAAAACUUGAAAAUGAAAUAGUUAUAAUCUUUACCCAUAAUAUUGUAAAUCUUUAGAAUUGACAAAGAUAAAAUUGUCAAAAAAUAGGGUUUGUGCUUUUCGCGCCAAUAAUUUUAAUUUUUUUUUAGUUAUUUCCGUCUAUAAACUGUUGUUAAGGGUAAUAUUAUCUUUACACAGUCAACUAACGGUCAAUAUUAAAGUUAACUGACGAUAGAGGGUUUUUUUAUAAAUAAAUAAAUUUUCGCCAUCUACUUGCAACAAGCCCAAACCUAAAGGACGUUUUUAAAAAUUACCCUUUCUCUUUUGACAUUUUUUACGCGUUUCUCUUUUCUCUUCCCCCACGUGAACACUUUUGCCUUUUGCUCGUUCACGUGAAAGUCGGUUUAGAAUUUUGAUCUUAUUUCACAAAGCUAAUUUUUUAUCACAAGCAGGAGAGAAACGGCAUUUCUUAGCAGUAGUUCAUCACUGUAGUGGCGAGCUAGUGAGGAACAAAAUUACCAACAAUUAUAAAAAAAUAAUUAUAAAAAAAGAUCACAUGCUAUAAUUAAUCAUGACCAUUGACAACAUUACUCCCACCGAGCAAAAGUUAACAGCAUCUUCUCCCACAUUUAAAAAAAAAAUAGUAUUAUAUAACCCACCAAAAGUAUAAAGAGUCUUUCUUUAUUAAAAUUAAUAAAUUACUCUUUAUAUUGAGAAAUUAAAAUUUAAAAUAAAAAUAAUUGAUAUGUUUAUUAUUUAAAAUAAAAAUAAAAAUAAAAUUUACAAAAUCAUAUAUUUUUAAAAUUAAAGAAUAAGAAUUUAAUUUCUUAUGGAGAGUGUUGGAAAUCAAGUUCUUAUUGCUUAAACUCCUAAUUUUACCUCACAAAAAUUUUAUAAGUUCACUUUUAUCCUUAAUUAAAAUAUUAUUAUGUUAUUAUUAUGGUUAUUAUUCUUAUUUUUGUAGUAGUUGCUGCUGUUGUUGUUGAUGAUGAUAAUAGUUGAUAAUAAAAUUAAUAAUAAUAAUGAAAAUAAUAACUAUAAUUUUAACAGCUACAAUAAUAAUCAUUAAUAUUAUUGUUGUCGUUCUUAUUAUUAUUAAUAAAAAAUAAUUAUUUUGAAUAAUAAUAAUCACAAUUAUUAUAACAAACAACGACAAUAAUCAACUAAUGUCAUUGUAAUAACUUGUAACAAUUCAUUUUUUAUUUCAAGACAAAGUAACCAUAUCAAUAAUAAUAUAGGUUAUUUCGAUUCUAAUUCUUACAAGUAAAAUAAAUAAUUUAUUCUGAUUCUCAUUUUUCAUUUUGAUUUUAUUCUAUUCUGAUUCCAGUUGAUUCUGAUUCCAGCCAAUUCAAAUUACCAACUAGAAAAUGCAUUGUUACUACUUUAAUAAUAACUAAUGAUUCUCCUCACAAUUCUUAUAGGAUUAUCCUUAUUUUAAAAUAAUUUUUUAUUCAUAUUUAUCAUAAAUUAAUUAAAUUAUACCAAUGAAAAUUAAAAAAAAAAGAGAAAACAUAUGUUUCGGUUUGAAUAAAAAAUUAAUAAUAAAAUAUUUUCCUUAUAUAUUUUUAAUAUUUUUAUUAUAAUAAAUAUUUAUUUUAUAUUCUUAAAAUAAAUUAUUAAGUAAACGAUUCAUUAACUCAUUUUUUUCCUUUAAAUUUUUGUUAUUAAGAAGAUUUUUGGGUAUUGACCGUGAAGGGCUCAACUGAUCGCUAAUUUUGCAGCAAUUGUCUUUUCUUUUUCUUUUUUUUAAUUGUUUUGAAAAAAAUAUUCAGACUCAUUCUGCAAAGUACCUAAGGCCAAAGCGCCGAAAGUUAGGACACCCACAUGUGCUUUUAUUCACAAAUUCUAAAAUUAGGUGGGGUGUCCAUAACGUACGUUUAAUAUAAGAGAAAUGCUAAAGGUCGGGAAUGCUGAGAGAACACUGAGAGAAACGGCAGCUUGGGCUGCCGUUUCGUGUUCUCUCACCUCCCUACUAAGAAAACGAGCCUCCACGUGUUCUCUCAGCUCCCCACUACUUCAGCUCAAGUUACUUUUGUCAAAAGUUGGCGUUUGGCCCCACACUCAAAACACUUUUGCCAAGUGAAUUGUGCCCCCCACGUGAAAGUUUGAGUUAUUUCUUUGCUCAUGACCAAGUAAAGCUAAGUUAAGUUUGAGUUCUCUCCUUACUCCUUCACUCGUUCACUUCUCCUUCGUUUCUCGUUCACUUUUUUGCUCAUCAAAAACCAUUACUUCAGCUCAUCCAAUCAGUGAAUUAGUGGCCAUUACUUCAGCUAAUUCAUUUUCCGAUCUAGAUCUUGAAGCAACACCCAAUUGGUAAUUAUCUCAGCUUAAAGAAUAAUUUUUUAUGUGUUUAUUAUUUUUUUGUUAUAUCAUAAUAAUAGAAAUGUCCUUGCAUUUACUGAUUAAAUGAUAAUGUGUUUAAUUUAUAAUUUUUUAGAAAUCUUUUUAUUUAAAUGAUAUGUUUGAUUUAUAAUUUUUUAAUUUAAAUUUUGUUUGAACAUAGAAUUAUUUUUAAUUUAAAUUGUGUUCGAUUUAUAAUUUAUUUAAUUUAAAUUUUUAGAACUUUAAUGGAUUAAAUUAUUACUGGAAAAAUGUAUAAUAAUUUAUUCUUAAUUUAAAUGUUGUUUCCACAUUGAAUUUUUUAUUUAAAUUGUGUUCGAUUUAUCAUUUUUUAAUUUAAAUUGUUAGAACUUUAAUGGAUUAAAUUAUUGCUGAAAAAAUUUAUAAUAAUUUAUUCUUAAUUUAAAUUUUGUUUCCACAUUGAAUUUUUUUAUUUAAAUUGUGAUUUAUCAUUUUUAUUUAAAUUGUGUUCGAUUUAUUUAUUUUUAUUUAAAUUGUGUUCGAUUUAUCAUUUUUUAUUUAAAUUUUUAGAAUUUUAAUGGAUUAAAUUAUUACUGGAUGGUGUUUGUAUAAAUUGAUCUUACAUUUUGCUUAAUACGAAUAUUAAUUAUUUUGUUGAAAUUGAUAAUUUGAAACAUGAAGAUGGAGUCAAAGAUGCGCAAUCGGAAAAAUAUGAGCCGACUCUUGGGAUGUUAUUUGAUAGCCAUAAGAAAAUGUGGUAAUUUUCAAUAUACUUAAGUAUCGUCAUCAUAUACUUAAUUCUUUCAUUUUCAAUCUUUAUUAUUAUUAUUUUUAAUAUUGGGUUCCAUGAGGAUAUUAUAUGCAAUUUUCCAUGACAUAAAUCAAUACAAUAAUGGCAAUAAAAAACUUAUAACAAUAACUUGAAUCUUAUAUUUAGAGGGACAGUACAAUCAUAUAUGUCUACAAACCAUACAAAAUAAAUAAUUGUACAAAUUAAAACAACUUAUAAAUAAAACUUUAAUAUAAAGCAUAACACAAUAAUCAUCAAGGGAACGGUGAACAUGGAGGAACGCAAAUGGAUGUUUACACUGUGGGCAUGUUGGAUUCCUAACAUACGAGGCCCAUCGAAGGAUGCAAGCUGCACUGCACAGAACAAAGAAAGAACGUCCAUUAAUGCUACCAUAAACGUCCAUUAAUCAUACAAGAGAUGGUAAGCUGAAAACCCCACAUAUUAACUCAUAGUCCUACAUAGAACUCUAACCUAUAAUAUGAAGAUGAUCAACGAGCCUUCAUAUAUGUCACAGUUCCAAAACCAACAAGUCAUGAGGCUGAUUAUAUUAAGGAAACCUCUAACUAUGUGACAACACAAAUAGAUUAAUUCUUGCAACAACAUUUUUAAGUUUUUCAAAAUUUUCUCCUUUUUUACCAAAACAAAUGCCUAAGAAAACCAAAAAAUAAACAAGCAGAUUGUCUCUGUAAAUUGAAUUAACAAGUUCUAUUACUAAAAAAAGGGUAACAAGGAAAGAAAAAUCCAAAAAAUAAACAUAUUGAAAGUCCAUUUCAAUUGCAUGGCACAACAUUAAAUUGAAGAAUUGACUGUACAAAAAAGAUCCAACAAUAUUUAGGUAUGAAAAGGAAAUUGAAUCCAAACCACAAAACUAAAAGCAUACUUCACUCGUGUGUACAAACUACAUGCUGAUACUCAUUUACCAUAAAAUAUUGCAGCAUCGAUUACCGAAGAAGAAAACAAUUCAAAGAAUGCCCCCAAGGCAAGCUCUAUCAAAGUUACAUAUGCAACAGACAUAGUAUUAUAGCAGAGAAACUCCAAUAAACACUCAUCAUGAUGCUUGACAAGAGAAUUAUUCAACAACUAACAACUACAGGGCCUAAGCUCAACUUAAACAUAUACUUGCAUCAAAGCCAAGUCCACACUCCAUAUAUGCUUACAUAAACCAUAUUUUCUCAAUUCUAACUGCAUUUAACUUAAUUUAUUUUGAUUUAUUUAUUCACUGGAAAUUUAUUUUGAUUGCAAAUUCUUCUAUCAUCCACUAAAAUGAUUUAAAUACUAGAUACAUAAAUACACACAUAUGACGAGUACGAAGGGUGAGAGAGAGAGAGAAGAGCUGCAGUAACAGCAAGAAAGUUAAGAUUUGUGACCUCGAAUCCAAGGCCUAUUUCAGAUGUCCCUAAACACUCUUAACUUAUGAAAGGCGCUAAUAAGUAAUCUGCACAGGAAGAUAGGGGAUAAUAACAGAAUUCGUGAUGCAUAAAUUCCAUUCCGAAUAACAUAGCAAAAAGAUGAGAGAUUUGAUUAGAACAAACCAGUAAGCGUGCUCGCAACCUUUUACAAGAGCUGUUGCCUAAAGAACUGUCUUAACCAGAGAAACUAAAAGAUCAAGAGAAAGUAAAACGGCUGGAACGAAGCGAGUUGCUGCUGGAGUGAACAAAAGGAAAGGAGUUGGAGUUAAUGUGGGAGUGCUGGAGAAGGAGUUGAAAAUAGAAAGAAAAAGGAGUUGAAAGGGAGUGCUGGAACAGAUCUGUUCUGUUGAAAGCGAAGAAGGAAGUGGAAGAAGGAGGAAAAUGAUUUGAAAAGGAGCACUUUUUCUUUUUCACAUGAGACAGAUAUCUGUUACUCACGUGGAAGGGGGGGGGGGGGGACGAAACGGCAGCACAAGCUACCGUUCUCUCAGCGUUCUUUCAGGAUUCCCGAUGUUUAGCAGCGCUCUUAAUAUAAUUGAUGGUUAGGUAAAAGUCCUUCAUUAACCCAUUAAAUUUUAAUAUUAUAUUAUUUAUUUUUAUAUUAAAAAAUAAUUAAUGUAGGAAAAUUCUUAAAAGUUAACGGAGAAGGAAGAGAAAAAGAAAAAGUGAAAACAAAAGAAAAUAUAAAGAAAAAAAAUUAAACGAGACAAAAAUCUGUGGCGUGGAUCAUUCAUAUCUUUUGCCUUUUCUUUUGUAGAGGUACAUAACAUGGACUUCCCUGCGGUGCCACAGUGACAUGGUGCCACAGUUUUUUGUCUUUAUUCUGUGAAGCCGUUGGAUGGUUAAUCAUUCAAUCCAACGGUUUAAAUUAAUUAUUGGAGGAAGGCCGCCAGAACUGACAACCUUUGUAGCCGGUUUUGGGUGAGUGUAAUACCAUCUAAUAGUGAGCGUGCAUUUCAAGAUCUUUUGAACUACGAAAUUUCGUUUCAGCGAUUUCAUUUGAAAAUCAAUCUGUAGACAGAAAGUGAACGCACGAAAUUGGUAUUACUGGAUCGCAAUUAUUGGUGGAAUAAUAUCAAACGGUUGAUGUGUACAUGAAUAUGUCCGCGCAGUCCGCGCAGUUGUAGGGAGGUGAUGGUGAAAUAAAAAAUAAAAUUCCCGGCAUGUGCAUUCGAAGGAAUUUAUGAUGCUGAAAGUCUGGGCAUAUCGAAUGAUCCGACGUAGUAGGUAAUUCGAUAUAAACUUGCAAUUUGUUUUAGUUGGAAUAUUUAUAAAAGUCGUGUUUAGGGUUAGUUGAAUAGUUGGUGGAAGAGUUCAGUAAACAAGUAGUAAUGGGGAAAAUUUUCGAUUAAGUAUGUAAACAGGGGUCGUCAAAGAAUGUGAGGUUACUAGGGAGGACUGAUUUGAGGAAUCUCACUGCACUAAUUGUCGGAUUGAAGCCACAAGAGGGACUUAAAAGUGUUCGACGAUGAAAUGAAAUUUGUUAGUAAGUAAAUAUCUUUUGUAAGUAUCAAUUAGUUAUAUGGGUAAUUGAUGAGGACAUACUUUUAUGGCAUGUUCUUAUAAUGAAAUUGUUAACUUUGUUUUAUCUUCUGGUGACCAAUAAUGUAUGGAUGAGAUGUUAGUGUUCAAUUGUUAAUUUGACUGUUGGAAUCAAUUAGGUGGUUGAUGUAGACAUGAAUGUGUUUCUUAGAAAAUCGAGAAUGUUGAUGAGCAUUUAUUGUGUGAACCCCCUCGAAAUGAGUCUAUGAAAAUGAUUGAUUAACAUUGUAGGCGGUGGCAUGGUUGUUACAGAUGAGUCUAUUUAUAGAUUGUGAUCUUAUUGUUGUGGUUUUACUAUGCCCUGUAAUUAAAUUCUGUAAAAUCAGAAUGGUGCAGUUCGUUAGAAGCACUCAUUUAUAAUUUCACUGCAGCAAUGAAGGUAGGGGAGGUUCGCAAGCGAAAAUGUAGGGACGUAAACAGCUUGAACGAAGAUAUGGAAGGCAAUCGAACAAUAGAACGUAUUAGCCAUUACGGAUUCAUCAGUUAUUUGUAAGUAUUUUUACUAUCUGAAUAAAUAAAUUUUAACAAUGACGAGUGGAUUGGAAAUGACUUGAGUUACUUUCAGUGGUGCAACUGUGCGUAGAAUGAAGGCAACAGAUGCAAACACCAGCAUUACAAGAGAGGUGCGUUAAAUGGAAAUAAAAUUUAGUGUACUGCAACACCUUUUUAAUUGGCAAUAAGGUGUAUGUCCGUGUGUUUCUAUUAACUGCUUUGCAGGUUCGAAGGGAAAUUGCGACGUCAUUUAAAAAUUUACCACCAAAGACGAAAUGGAAGUACAAAGUCCGAGUCGAACAAGCAGUGAAAGGGGAAGCAACUAACACAUAUUUUACGCGAUGUGCACCAGACAGAUUGGCAUCAGCUCUUACAAAUCUAUCUGAUGAACAAAGAGAAGCUGUAUGUGAAAUGGGUAUGGGGAGCAUGCUUGAGUUGAAUAAUGGUAGGCUGAAAAGGAAGCUUUGUGGUUGGUUGGUAGAUAGGAUUGAUGUAUGUAGGCGCGUACUAGUUUUGAAUGGUAAUGAGGUAGAGCUCAAUGCUAAUAGCUUUGGUCAUGUCAUGGGAUUAAUAGAUGGGGGCAUGCCUUUAAGAUUAGAGGGUGACAUCAAAGAAGUUGAAUCAUAUGUACAGAUGUUCAGUGCAUCAUCUAGAGGAAUCAACAUCAAGAAAUUGGCAGAAAUGUUGAGUAAUUCGACGGCAGCCAAUGAUAGAUUCAAAGUCACAUUUAUGUUGUUUACUCUAUAUACUGUUCUAUGUCCCCCUGGUGGAGUACACAUAAGUUGUAAUUUCUUAUUUUCUUUGAAAGAUGUGAACUGUAUCCAGAAGAGGAAUUGGGCCACAUUUUGUUUUCAUAAAUUUCUUGAAGGCAUUACUAGGUACAAGGAAGAGAAAUUUGCAUACAUAGGUGGCUGUCUUUUGUACUUAGAGGUGAUAUCGCAUCUUGGAAUGAUAUAGUGUCAAUAUUUUCCUUCACUUUGUUCAGUUGAGUAACUAACUAUAAUUUGCAUUGUUGUUUUUGUUAAUUCCAGAUGCUUUAUUUUAAUUCUAUAGUGUAUGGAAAAGUACAAAGAGACAGGUCUAUGUGUCCCCUGGCCUUGUGGAACGUAGAUGAGAUAAAGCGGUUGAUGAAAUGGAUAGAGAAUAAAGGUGGUUAUAGUAGCGAUGAGGUCAUCUCAAAAAGGAAUUGUAAAUUUGUGGGAUUCUAUGAAAGCAAAUAAUAUACUUACGAUGAAAAACAUGCGAUCCGUGAAUACUGCUUUUCAAUAUGUCCUUGCUUUACAUUUAUUGUAGUUGGAUGUUACGUAUAAAUUUGGUUCAACACUUUACUUAUAACUUCGUACUUGUAAAAUUGUUUUACUAGAUACGAGUCUGUGCUGCAUCUCUAAUAAAGGCCAACUCAAGGUCAGAUGGAUGCAGUAUGCCUGUGGAAAAAGAUUUUAGAGACUCGGAUGUUAGACAGAUGACAACAGCCCCGGGAAUGACGAAGAUAAAGUCAUUUAGUCAAUUGGAUAAGGCAGUAGUGAUAUCAAGUAGGCCAUCAGGAUAUAUUGAAAAAUUAAAGACAUAUGGAUCGUGCCGCAACAACCAUGGCAAUAAUGCUAAGGGGAAGCACUGGAGUGAUGCAACCAAAGGAGAGGGAGUUUGCACCAACUAUGAGAGUAAGCAAUUGUACAAAAGUGCAGCAAGUGGCAGUAUAUACCAGAAUAAUGAAAUCAAGGAAAAAGAAGUUUGUGAAGAUGCACAACAUAUGGAUUUAAUUGACGUAGCAGAUUUUGUCAUGGAGACUCAGACGUCCCCACCAUGCAGUGAAAGCUUGCAUAGUAACAUAAGGAUUGAGGUUAUCUGUAACUAAUAAAAGUUAAAUCUGAAAUUUUCAUCUUCGUUUAGUUGUUUUUUGUUAACCGAAUGUAAUUUAUGUUUUAUAAUUUUGUAAUUAUUAUGAGGAAAAUAUGUUGCAGGAGCCUGCUAUGGUGCAGAAGUGUUCAGAACCGAAUAAAAAGAUUGGGAAUGUAGUCCAUCCAAAGUCACCACUUAAUCAGAUAGGUGCUGGCAGAGCACGUUAUCAGGUUGGACCAUAUGUGAUGCAAAGACCUUUGAGUACUGAUGACGAGAUAUUGAUUAACUUAUGCAUGGAUGAAAAUUUGAAUAAGGGGUAACGUAUUACUUAUGUCGUUGAAUUAGUACUGGCAUUCAUAUAAAAAGUUACUUGAUUGUGUUUGAGCUUCGAAUAAACGGACUUAAUUGUAGGAAAUCAAUAAUUAUGGAAAAAAAUGUCUGCAUGAUAGAUUUUCCGUUGCAGGGAAAUGGUUUUUAAGACGAACUUCAAUUGCAUCGGCAGAAAUGAUAUUAUGUCUCUAUCUCCUAGAAGUACAAUCAAUGUGAAGGUACAACCACCUUCUGUUAAGUGAUGUACUUGUAUGAAUAAUACAUACACAUGUUAUACUGAUUGCUCUUGGAAUUUAAUAGGGCUUGAUGUUUUUGUUAUUUGUUUAUAUGUUGAAUUAAGUCAAUACCCCUUACAUGAAAUUGUUAAUACUCGUAAUUUUCAGAUUGUUUCUGCUGUCUCAUAAUUGUUAUCUGCGAAAGCGAGUGUAAAUGUUGGAAAUAGUAAUUUCAGCCUUUUUCUGCCAGCGUAUUCUGCUGUAAGGACUUUGUGUUAUAUUGCAAUAUUGGAAUUUUAUCCCCUAAGGGGCAGUUUAACAUAAAAUUUCGUGUGUUCAUUCAAUAAGGUGCAUUUGUUUACUAUGCAUGUAAGUUGAGAUAUUGUUCUUGCAAUUACAUUUAACUAGAGCAUUACAAAUAUUUGUUAUUCGAGUUUGGCAACCCACUAUUUCCAUUGCCUAUAAUUUUUGUUUCGGUUGUGAUAGCGUUGAUGUUCUAUAAACUAUACAGUUGCACGAUAACAUCAGUGGGGACCCCACAGACCUUACUUUUGGUAUUAAACAAUUUAUCAGUGGUGAUUUAUACCUGGCGAAUAUUGGUUCGUGUAAACAAGUAAGCAUUUUUUACUUAAGCCAUCAGCAAACCUCGUUUUUAGUUAAUUUUGAUGUUAUCUGUCAGUUUAUUUCACCCUGGUAUUGCAAUCAUCAAUAAAUUUUUGUCCCGGUGAACCAUGGUUUUACACACUGGUACUUAUUGGUUGUAUUAAUAUACAAAAUGCUGGUGGAGAUAUGGGAUCCACUGCCCACUGUAAUGAAGUCACAAAUGUUCGUUGUUGAAUGCAAACGAGCGGUGAGUUACCAUUGUAGAUGCCAAUCGAGUGUACUUUGUUGGCAAAAAAAAAAAUACUUAUAAAUGAACCAUUGUUGUUGUAAAUAAUCCUCCUUUGUUUUAAAAGGAAGUGUCAAAUAUUACUAUUGUUAUUACUGCAAUCUAUCGAUUGACGGAUGUUCCUGCAGCUAAAAUUCAUUGAGAUGGCGUUGCAACAUUGUGGCUCAAAUUGUUUAUCGGGAAGGUUAAACAUGAGCGAGUUCGUAAUCCAGCUUUGUACCAGACAGGCCAGUAUACGUAACGAAUCUGAUUGUGCACUAUAUGUUAUGUUGAUGAUGGAGAGACAUAAAAUGUGGUCGUGCCUUUCUGAGGCAGAGGUGCGUAACAUUUUUAACUGUUCAAUGCUAUAACCCAGGCCGUUAAUAUUAUUUAUGUAUCGAUUCAAUUUUUGCUGCCUUGUACUUAUUGUGUUUGUUCAUUUCAUUUAGAUAAAAUUUGAUUCAGAUAGUGAGAGGGCACGCAUUCUGAUAGAUCUCAUGACAUACAGUUUCAACUGUUUGAAGGACAAAGUUCGUUUGAAGGCUGAGAAGCAUCGAUGGCGUGUUGACGAUGAAGCCCAUUCAAUUUAUGAAGCGAUUAAAAAGAAGCGCGUACGACAGCUUCGGAGUGCGAACCAAAUAGGGCAUGGUCGCCGCCAUUAGCUGCAUUUUCUUUGACGUUCUAUUGUAUAAGUGCAUCCAUGCUUUUCGGAAAGAAAAAAUUGCUAGGUUUGACAGUUGCAGUUCAUCAUUCCAAAAAGCACAAUCAACCACUGACAAUUGUGAGUGAUAAACAACUUAUGUUUUGUUGUUGGCAUAUAACAAUAAAGUUUCCAUCGUGGAUGCCACAGUGUCUCAGUACUGAACUUAAUCAUUUAUGAGUUUACAUUGCUGUUAAUUUUUAAUUUGUCAAGACGGUUGUUCCUAGAGUAUUAUAUCAGUACAUGCUGUUAGCUGAAAUAACAUAUUCUCUGAAUUCUGCAUUUUAUAUGAUACUGAUACUUUGGCCUAGACAAGUUACUGAAAUAUUCAUUUUAUGUUGUAGUCUUGAGGAAGAUGCUUUUUGUACUAAUUGAACUCAACGAUGGAUUGAAUUAAGUUACGCAAGUUGUGCUUAUUUAAGCCUGGCAUAGGUAUAAAAAUUAUUUCUCAACUGCCUCUUAAAAUUUUUUUUUUCCAAAAUUAACGGAUAUAGUGGGAGCAAAAAAAUAGUUGUAUUAAAUCCCCAACCUCUAGAUCUUUUUGGAGUAACGCCAAUAUUCUUUUACAGAUUCCAAAUGUGGGCGUAGUUAGUUGGUGUAAAAGAUGAGGUUGCAAUGCAGUUGGAUUCACUUGCAAAGGCACUUGUGUUUAGAGUUUGGUCGGUUGAUUGACUUACUGUACUGGCUGAAAAUUGCUAGAACCAUGACUCUGAUGUAGGAGAAAAUGGUCUACCAUUUUCUCCUAUUUGGUACCGCGACAAAAUGUUCAUGUAUCGUGUGGGUUGUUGCGGCACGUGGUUUGUGUCUGCUGCAUCUGUCGCAUUUGGUCCCAUUACAUUACUACCACAAAAAAAUUCCAUGCAAUGGCUUGAACAGUCAUCCAGCUGUUGUCUUGUCCCUCCUCUUUUUUUGCACUUUCUAACAUUGUGGCCUCGCUGACCACAUCUGCUACAUUUUCGUUGUUGUGGUUGUCCCAUCUUCGUUUUUUUUUUAUUGAACCUUUGGUAAGAACAACUUCCGGAUCUUGUACCACUGUCUCUCUCCUCUCUAAAGGUUGCCUUGCUGGUUCUUUGGUCUGAGACAUUGCCUGCAACUUCAAAGUCAACUGGUGAAUAUAAGUAAUUGCCACAUUGUAUGCGGCCAAACUUGAUCCAACGAAUCUUAGCAAACUUCGACAUGCUGCAUAUAUUUGGCCAAUACGAGCCUGCUCUGUCAUGUAAUGUGAUUUAUUACAACUUAUAUCAGACAAAGUGUGAGCUUUUAUCUUUGCAGUUUUACUCCAUCGAGAAAGAAUCAUCGAACUUGGAAUUUCUGUCAUAUUCUGAGCCUUGAACACAACAAAUGAAUGCGAGCAUGGAAUUCCAAUUGUCUCAAGCAACUUGCAGGUGCAGGAUAAGGUUUUGCUAGUCUCAUUAAUCACUACUUUCACCUAUUUCCCAACCGAUCCAAACCGCCUAACCCUGUACGUUGUUGACAUUAUAUCCCGAUCACACAUUUCUGCAGUUAACAACGCUUCCUUGUCGAUUUCUUCUUGUACGAGGCGAAACAUGGCCCUUGUGAACUUUUCAGCUGCUUGCUGCUCAUACAUCUUUAAAUGUGUAACCAAAACAGGACGUCCAUCAGAACUGUUAAAGUCAUCCUUCCCCUUUGCUUCCUUUUGUCAAUCCAUUAGUCGGUCCAUCUGUUUAACAAAUUCUAUCAAUCGGAGCCUUCUAUUCACGUAAUGGUUUAGAUACGCAUUCAUUCCUUCCGACCUUUGAGUGCUUCUCAUUCCCCCAAAAAACUUUCCCCGCAAAUAAGCCUCAGCCCACAUAUGUCUAUCUUCAAACAUCUUAACAACCCAUUCAUUUGCGGCAACAUCAUGGUUAUCGACCAUCAAUUUCCAUUUUCGGUCAAAUUCUUCUUUUGUGUAAGCGUUCAUCAUGCAGCGGCGGAAUUCUGUUGUAAAUUCAGGGUUUUGAAUAUUUGUUUGAGCAUUUCGGACCAAAUGCCAGCAACACAACCUGUGUGAAGCUUCUGGAAAUGUCUUGCUUAUUGCAUUUCGCAUUGCUUUGUCCCCGUCGGUUACAACUGUCCUCAGAUCCUUGUUGUUCAUGGUUGUCAUCAAUGUCUCUAACAACCAUGUGUACGUGUGUUCUGUCUCAUCUGACAAUAGAGCAAACCCGAAUACAAUUGUUCGCUGAUGGUGAUUUAUCCCCAAAGUAACCACGAGAGGCUUCCGAUAUGCAUUGGUCUUGUAAGUUUGAUAUUUUUUUUAAGAUUUUAAAGAAAUAUCAAUAAUUGAUCCUGGUCAAAAUAUUUGUUUUAAUUACUUAUGAAAUUGUAAAUAUUUGGAAUUGUAAAGGGCGAAAAUGUCAAAUAAAUAGAGUCAGUUCCCCUUACGCAUCAUAAGUUUCAGCCCUUGUACUUUAGUUGUGUCAGUCUAUAAAUUAUUAUUGGGGGUAAUAUUAUCUUUUGAAAGUCAACAGUUAGUCAAUAAAAAAUUUUAACUUACGAUACGGGAUCUUUUACAAAUAAAAUAAUUUGAACCCAUGUACUUGCAACAGCCUCCAACCUCAGGGGAGGUUUUAAAAAUUACCGUUAAUAAACUUUAGCAUUUUAGGGUGACCCUUAAACCUUUUGGAUCCGACUGUCGUGCAAUAGUUGCACGCUACCCCAAAUUUUGUAUUUUUUCAACUCAGCGAACGGAUCAAUGGGUAAAGGGUUCAACGGCUACAAUGUGUUUAACUGGUUCUAUUAACACUUAAGUCCCUACUGUUUAUUACAAAUUCAUAAAAGCUUUACGUUUUUAAAUAUUCACAUACAUAACUUGUGUUAACAUUUUUAAAGUUUGAUCCAUUGACUUAAUUUGGUAAAAAAAAUGAUUGAUGCCUUGAUCGUGUAAAUAUAAUAAUGUAAUAUCGCAUAAAAUGUUUAAACACCUUUUAUAUUAACCUUCAUAGUUUAUAAAAUUAUAAAAUAAAAAAUGGAUUGGGCCACAUUGCAACAGUAGUACCGUGCCACAGUUGUACCUGUCGUUGGAUCUAUUUAAAUGAGUAGGGUGUGUUUGGUACAUUAUAUCAUAUUAUAUUGUAUUGUAUUAUGUAAUGCACAUGUAUUAAAUUAUAUUAUAUUCUAUUACAUUAAUAGUAUAUUAUAAUAAUUAUAAUUAUAUUAUACAACGUUUGGUAAAUGGUAUUAUCAUGUAUUGCAUUAAUCUUAAGAAUUUAGUCAACUUAUAUUAUUCUAUAUUCAUUAUUAAUUAUAUAAAAUUUUAUUUUCAUAUAAAUUAUUGUUAAAUAAAUAUAAUAUCAUAUAGAAUAAUAUUAUAUUAUAAUAUUUUAAUCUUUUAAUUUAUUAUAAUAAAAUAAUCAAAAUGAUUAAAAUAUAUUCAAUGCUUAAUUAAGGUUAAAUAAUAAAAUUAACAAAAUAUAUUGAUGACGACGACAACGACAUUAAUAUUAAUAUAAUAAUAAAUAUAAUAAAAAUAAAGAAAUUUAUUAAUAUUAAAAUUAUUCAUAUAAUAUAAACAAUAAAAUCAUAAUAAAUUCAAUAUUAUUAAUAUAAUAAUAAUGACAUUAAUAAAUAGUAAUAAAAACAGGAGGAAACAGUUAAUGUUUUACUCAAAAGACAUUUUAUGAUUUUAUCCAGAGAAAAUUACCUAUAUCUACAAAUUUGUAACUUAUGGUAUGUAUUCAGUUUUCUUAUAAAGUGAAAGGUAAUAUUGUGUAAUUUUUGGAAAAAGACAAAAUUCAGUGAUACCGUUAAACUGUUACACGGUAGGCGGACCCUUGUCAUGUGCCUUAAUAUGACACCAACUUCAAGUGGUGCAUUACUAAUCCAAGGCGUCACAUUAAUACUUGCUUGCCACUUAUUAUUUGAUGCCAUUUGGUAUAAUGUGUACUUGGUAACAGAUGUUUAAUGCUUCAUCAACAUUUUGCACGUUGUGAUGACACCAUGUUCAAUUCACUUGUUGUAACACCACCCGUUUUUUGUUUCAUCUACUCUUGUGCAUUCCUGAUUUGCAACUCCUUUUGUUCCUUAUAAAACCACAACUAUUCAUGGACACUCCAUAUUUUUUACGUGAGUCACAUACAACGUUUUACACUUACUUACUGUUACGGUUUGAGGUUGUCAAUAAGUAAUAUUACAUUUUCGUUACAGCAUCGAUUACCAAACGGGCAGGUCGCAUAAGUGGCUUUCUGUUUCAGCUAUCAUCAAUCAUUCAGGUGCAUCAACAAAGGAUAUGGGUCAUUACAUAAUAUAAAUCAGUCUGUCCAAGGGAAUUCAAGGAAACCAGUUGCAAAUGUGUUUGUUCGAAGUUACAAAAGCACAUAAAUAUAUCACAGAAAACAUAUCCAAUGGAAAUAUUACACAUUAAUUCCAGCUCCAAUGGAAGUCCCGCAGCAUAUCGAACUCUAAUGACAUGAAUCGGCCCCAAUAACACCAAACACAUCUAGUUGACUGUUUCCCUAGUAACCCGAAUGUUAACAGUAGGAGACUGUAUUCGAAAGUUGAGAAUUUUGCGACAGAGUGUUUGCAAUCUGGCGCCUUGAACACUUCCGUGGCAGUGGUAUAUGAACUUGUCCAACACUUUACUAUGCCACAGGAAGUACUCCACCAGGCGUACGUCAUCUUUUCCGUCAGUAAAUGCUUUCAUCUUUAUUUUUUUGACGCAUUCACUCAAGCAAUGGGGCACAUUUUCUGUCUCCAGCCACCCAAGUUCGUGGUCGUUUACGUCGAACCAAUCUCCCUGAUAAGUUAAAACAGGCAAACCCAUGGUUAACAUAUUGAACCUAGUUCCUGAUGACUGCACAUGACUAUUGUCUUACUGACCUUCGUUAAUAUACAAGUACGCAAGUUGUAGGUGGCAGUGAGGAUAGUAUGUAGACCUUUCCAGCCACUUCGUCGAACUUCAACAUCCAAAAAGGUGAGGUUGUCAAACCAAAUCAGGGACUGCCUUUCGCAUGCCCGCUUAAGUGCUUGUGGUUUAAUUGGUUAUUACACAAACAACAACAAUAACAACGUUCUGUCACUUUCAAGUAACAAAUAAUUAACCAACUUAAGCCCUUUUGUUGAAAUGCAAAAUUUGGCCUGAUUGUCCAAGGCUUGCUGACAUUCCUUAACAGUUCAAGCAAAACAAUACAUCUCAGCCUUAUGAUCAAUACAAAAACCUAACAGUCAUAACAGAUGAAAAAAUUGUAUAUCAAUCUCUGUCUACCUUUCUCCCUGCAGCGCCGCUCUGUCAAAAUAAUACUAUGUACAUAUCACAUUCGGAUUGAGGACAGCGGCGCAGGGAGAGUUUCAUAAAUUAUAUAAAUUUAUGACAGUACAUGUCGUCAUUCAUCAUCCAUAUGUAACAUAGGUUAACAAUAUAUAAUUCAUUUCACAUCACCAAGUUCAAACAACACACAAACCUUUAUAUCAUCUUUUUGUGGUAAUUGUUUUGCUACUCUACAAGGACUCAACCACCACCAUUGUUUUUUGUUGGUGAAAUUUAGGAUCAUGUUUCUGACAUUUGCAAUUUGACAGUGGAAAUAAUGACAAUUUAAACUACUAUAUAAUCCAUUUACAUGCAAUUACUUACUUGGCCAAUUUAAAUGUCAAACCAAUCUUAAACUAAACUUUAUACUAAUUGCAUGUGUGUGAUCACGUUGUUACAUUGAUACAAUAUGUCACAUUGCAAAUGUUACCCCUUAUAUGCUAGUUUACAACCUAAAAUUACCCGGUACUUUUUUUAAAUGAAUAUUUAGAUGCUGGUAUAGUAUGGGAAUGCUUACCAAAAGAACACCACCGGAUAGGAUCAGACGAGCUGUUUUUGCGACACCCUCAAUGAGGUUGCGAGCACGUUGUGGAUCAACUGUAUCCGAUUCCCAAUGUUGAAGAUCUAAAGUUGCUUACUGGAUGGAUUGCAUCUCAUGUACCUCAUAUUCCAUCAACAUGUUAUCAACAAUAUGGAUUAGUUGGAGAUUUGGCGCCAUAAUGACAGCACAAUGGUGGUAUGACAUCCCUCGCAACGAGGUGAAGAGAACAACAAACGUCAGUGUGUUAAGAGUUGCCGACUGAAUGAUGAAGUUCGCUGGAGGAUCAUCUGGUUGUAUCAAAAUUGUCAGACAGAGUUCCGUCAGUGAAGGGCAACUACAAAACAGCUUCUCUUUAACUCGGUUUUCAAGAUGGGUAAUACAUAUUUGAAGAAUCUUCAGUUGGGGAAAACACACACCAUCCGGAGGAUCUUAUAAGCGAAAUGCAGUGUGUAGUCGAAGAACUUCAAGCGUCAUCGAGCUGUACACAUAUGCAGGCAACUGCAUGGGUGCGUACUGGAUAAUAUCGAUUUCCAUCUCCCGAACAUUCCGCAUUAUUACCUGAGAUACCCACAAAGGAAACCGAUCACUACGUAUAGCGUUGACACUCUGAAGAGAGAACGUAUGUAUUGAUACGGGGUCCGUUCCAGCCAUCACUGAUUCUAUGAAGUUGUUAAAUUCAUCCACCAGGUCAGGAUUGUCAGCAGCAGCCCCCAUGGGACCCCCAUCAUCAAAGCAGAGGUUGCGAACUGAGGUCCAUACAUGCCUCCAUCUUCGCGAAAGACUUGAAGUGGCCACUGCAUCUUCGAGUGGCAGAAAAUUUAGGAUAUUGGACAUCACAGAAUCAGGCAAUGCACUAAUCCUGUCUUCGGGUACUUUUUUUAGCACUCUUCCCCGUCGGAUCCGCGGAACCGAACCAGUUGAUCUCCUCAUCCUUAAGGCAACUCACCUUGGCCUGUGGGACCAUUAAAUACAUUUAAAUUCAUAAUAAUCUGCUACAAAAAUCAAACCAUUUACACAGACGUUAUUUAGAUGUACAAUGUAGGUUGUUAAAUUCACUUCCACACACAUGGUCAUAGUUAACAUUUAUAAAUAAUUUAAAGGUUUAAUUAAGCAGUUACAGUAUGAAUUGCAUUCAAGCAUAGAUUUUUUAAAAAUGAAAAUUUUAUUGACUCAUCCUGAAAAUUAUAUAAUCUAUUGAGGUCGUUGAUUAAUCAAUUAGAAUCAGGUGUACAGAGAUAAAAUAAUACACACAAAAGUCCAGACAUUUCACCAAUUAGCUAAUCCUUUUAGUAUUAUUCCCCAACUUAAAACGAUAUAUCCUAAAACCUUAUCCUUUGUAAGCAUCGCGAUGAAUUUCCCUAACAUAUAUCCAACACAAGCAUUCAAUGUUUAGGUUCAGACUCAUUAACAAAGAUCCACCAUUGCUAACUUAUCGUCGUCAAAAUAAAACAAAUAUGGCACAUUCGCGAAUGAACCAAACAAUUCACCAAAAGGAUAGAAAGUAGAAGGGUUCAGCUGUCUAACGAAAUAUUAGGGGCAAUAAUGGGGAAAAAACAAAAAAAAAAUUGAUGCAUUUGUUCUGGGAACUGUCGUCGUUAUGUAGUGAGUUAAUGCUUGUUUUGUUUGGUGGUUAUGUUAUUGGCCACUGGGCUGUACAUUCCCGGGAUGUGUGACUACAUUGAUCAUUGUCACUCUCGAGAUUGCGGCUUCAGUUCAAUCCGUUAUGAAUCCUUGUGCCAUUGUGGCAACUGGCAACUGCCAUGUGAAAUUGAAAUAUUUGCUUCAGACAAUUACUCGGUGCUUCAAACAAUAAUAUUGUGGGCCCAUUGUUUAGGUCAGUCGCUUUCUCACUUCCCUUGUCUUUCUGGAUUGAACACGUUUGGAUGGUCUUUCAGUUCAACCUUUUUCAUUGCCUCAUUUGUCUCUUGUGGUGCUUGUCAACUUUAGAUCCUUCCAUACUUGGCCGGACACACAAAUUUAAUUUUUUAGAUUGCAUGGGGCCAUGGAAGUAUGAUGACUUCAUUCGGCAUGUGCGCAAUGUGACAACAAGUUUUUUCAUUUUUCAAUUAUGUCCUUUUUUAUUUAAUAUUAUUUAACCAUAAGCUUAUUAUUAUAUUUGUUCUUUUAUAAUUAAAUAAUAAAUAAAAAUAAAAUAAACAUAUUCAGUAGUUAGCAUUACAAAUUGAGACAUUUUUAUUAUUAUUUAUUUUUGUUAUUUAAUAUUAUGUACACAUACAGUUAUUAUUUAAACUAAUGCUUUCAUCAAACAAAAUAAUGCAAAAUAAUAAACAAAUCAUUAGUAACAAGUGUUAACAAAUAAAAUUAUUCUUUUAAUUUACCCAUAGGCUUACAAUUAUAAAUAAGCUUAUUUGAAAACUAAAUAAUAAACAAUUUUAAUAGUGUGUUACAUAUUAUAUAUAUAUAUAUAUAUAUAUAUAUAUAUUAUAUAAAAAACCUCAUUUUAUUUUAAUUUAGUCAUGUAGGUGCAAUGGCCAAGUCCGAAUGUUCAUAUUUGACCUUUUUUUUUUGCUGCGAGUUUAUACGUGUUAAUAUAUAUGCGAAUUAUUAUUUAUAUUAAACUAUAUGUUUCUCUUUGUACAUAUUUAUUGAUAUAUAAAUUUUAUAUGUUUCUCUUUGUACAUUUGUCCCUGCUUUAAUUUAAUCUUUAUCUGAAGGUAUUAUUAUGAAGAUUCUAUUUAACUUAAUUUUGAUUCGUGUUUUUUUUUAAUUUAUAAAUAAUACCCAAUUAAUUAUUAACUACUUGUCCUUCAGCGGAUUAUGUAGACAGACAAAAGAAGAAAAGGAAUUUAGAGAAAUUAAUGUGCAUUGAGAUAACCGCUAAUGUAGGGACGAAAGAAUUAUGCACAUGACCUUCUUAAUGCAAGUAUGAACUUGGUGAAAAUUGAGAAACUUUUUUUAUGUUAUUAUUACUUAACUUUUUGAACGUGGUUUCUAAUAAUUCGCACAUUUGCUUUUGAUCUUCUUUUGUUUUUAUAGAUCUUUAACAAUAUAAUUUUACUUCUUAUUUUCAUGACUUCUUAUUUGAUUUAUUUUAUUUUUGCAGCAUACUUCUUUAGGGUCUGCCUACCGUGCAACAGUUACACGGUACCAUUGAAUUUUGUCUUUUUCCAACAAUCAUACUACACUACCCUAUAUUUAUAAGAAAACUGAAUAUAUACUAUAAGUUACAAAUCUUUAUAUAUAGGUCCUUAUCUCUGGAUAAAAUUAUAAAAUGACUUUUGAAAAAAAAUUUAAUUGUUAUUAUUAUUAUUUAUUAAUGUCAUUCUUAUUAUUAUUAUUAUUAUUAUUAAAAUUUAUUAUUUUAAUUGUUAUGAUUUUUUUAAUUGUUAUCAUUAUUAUUAUUUAAUAAUUUUAUUACCGUCACUAUUUUUAAAAUAUAUUAAAUUUAUUACUGAAUUAUUAUUGAAUUAUUAUUUUAUUAAUAUUAAUAAAUUUAUUAAUCUUAUUAUUGUAAUUAUUAUAUUUAUAUUAAUGUUGUUGUCGUCAUCGUCGUCAUCAUCAUUAAAUUUUAUAUAUUUUUUUUGUUUUGACUAUUAAAUAAUACCACUGUCAUUAUUAUUAUUUUACCUUAAUUAAGCAUUACAUAUAUUUUAAUUAUUUUUUAUUUUUAUUAUAAUAAAUAAAAAAUAUAAAAAUAAAUUAUAAUAUAAUAUUAUUUUAUUAUAUCAUAUAAUAUUUAUUUAAAAAUAAUUAAUAUGAAAACAAUUAUUUAAUAUCAUUAAUAAUAAAUUUAAAUAUUUUUAGUUAAAUAUUAGUACAAAAUUAAUGCAGUACAGGAUAAUACCAAUUACUAAAUGUUGCAUAAUUUUAUUAUAAUUAUUAUAAUAUACUGCUUAUAUAAUAUAAUAUAAUAUAAUAUAAUAUAAUAUAAUAUAAUAUAAUAUAAUAUAAUAUAAUAUAAUAUAAUAUAAUAUAAUAUAAUAUAAUAUAAUAUAAUAUAAUAUAAUAUAAUAUAAUAUAAUAAUAAUAUAAUAUAAUAUAAUAUAAUAUAAUAUAAUACAUGUGCAUUACAUAAUACAAUAUAAUAUAGUGUGUCAAACGGACCUUUAACUUUUUGAGUGAUGAUGGUCUAGAGGGAUGUAGAGAAAGUAAAAAUAAUCCUAGUAGAUCUUUUACAAUGGUUGAUUAGCUAUCAUCACAAAGUUUAGGCUAAUACAAUAAAAGUUAACGAACUACCUUAUAUUUAAAAGAGCAUUUGGAAAUCAAUAAAUUUACUAUUCAAUUAUUUUUAAUCAAGAAUAAAUAAUAAAUGAUCAUUACAACAAGAUUCACAAGCUCAAAUAUCUUAAAAAAUGAUAAUUCUCAAGAAAUAUGAAACUCAAAUGCUUUUGAAAUAUUCUUCAAAAAAUAAACUAACUUCCUUUUAUGUUAUUCUUUAUUUAUCUUUCUAUAACUUUGUUGGGCUAUGUAUAUAUUGAUAUUUUAUAGGUAAAUUAACAUAUUGUAUGUAUAAAUAAACUAACAUGUCAACUAAUGUUAAAAACAAAAAUGUAAUAAAAAAGUAAAGUUUUGUAAUAUUAAAAUAAUAAAAUUUUACAACCUAAGACUUUUUACAUGUUUUCUUAUUUUGAAAUUUCACCUUUUUUUAUUUUAUAAUUUUCUAAAGUAUAAAGGUUAAUAACCUAUAUUCUUAAAACAUAUUCAAUUUAUUUAUUUUACAGUAAAUAUAGAUUAUAUAACAAAAAAUAUUAUUUACAUUUAUCAAAUUUUCAUGUGUUUAAAAAUUUUAUGUGAUAUUACAUUAUUAUAUUUACACCAUCAAUUAUUUUUAUGAUCAAAUUAAGUCAAUGGAUCAAACUUUAAAAAUUUUAAAACAACAAAAAUUAUGUAAGUGAAUAUUUAAAACCUUUUAGCUUUUAUGAUUUUGUAAUAAACAGUAAGGACUUAAGUGUUAAUAACUAAUUGAACACAUCCUGUCUGUUGAACACUUUAACCAUUGAUCUUUUACAAUGGCUGAGUUGAAAAAAGACAAAAAAAUGGGAUACCGUGCAACUGUUGCACGGUAGGCAGACCCACUUCUUUAUGUUAUUUUGAGGACACUACACAAUACAGCUUUGAACUUAUGAAGAGUUUAGAUGAAGUUGUUGGCAUUUUGUUUAUUUUGUAUUGUAAAAAAUAAAUUAUAUGUAAUACUAUUAUGUUAUGGACUUCAAUCACUGAAGUGGAUUUAUUUUAAUUAUAUGUUACCUGUUUUGUAGUUUGUAAUUUAUGCAUUUGUUUGAGAGCUUCCAAAUUAAUUUAAAAAUAUAUUAUGUUACAAAAUUUUAAUUACUUACAAAAACCUAAUUCACAACAUACAUCUGCAAUUUUUUAAAAGAUAUGUAAUAAAAUAGUAGAAGACAACAUUUACGGCUUGUGGUUAAAAACUUUUCAGCAACAUGCAAAUAACUCAUGUCUAAAACUGUUUUCGUAUGAAUGGUUCCACCAAUUACCUAACCAUGAAAUACUACGAUACUUUUGAUAGUAAUAUUAUGAUUAAGGUGCAUGAUACGAUUAUAUAUAGCAAAAGCCACGCAUCCCGAAAGACAAAUCGAUGCACACAUUGAACAAUUGACAAAUUUGUAAGUGGACCAAUGUACUUAACGCAAAUAACGUGAUAUUUAACACAACACAAGAACUUGUUCUAAUGAUUACAAAAACAAUAGUGGCAACAUCCAAGGGAUAUCUUGUACGUACGCUUCAUUCGUCUACCAAAAAAGACUACAAUAAAGUACAAUAUAUAUAAGUCCACAUUUUCCCUACGUUCACAUAUACUACCAACGAAAGAGGCACACCCCAAAUGUUGAUUAAUGUAACGCUUCCCUAUGAAGCAAAAUCGGGUGAUGAACUCAAGUGGCGCAUUAGGCAGUUCCAUCAGCAGUCUCCACCGUUGUUCCAACGCCGUUAGAUUGGGAUCCAUGGCAAUGAUCGCCUCCCUGCUAGAAGUCAAUAGCGUUUAUACAGACAAAAAUGAAAAGAUCAAUGCCACUAUACAUUUUAAAAAACGAUGAAUUGAUUACCCCAACACGUGGAUAAAAUAAACCUAUGCUAGUUAACGAUAAUAACGACAUCCAAUUAAUUGAAAGCUUUGCAAUCACAGAAAUGCUUCGAAGAAAUUUUUUACCGUGGCCGGAGUUGGAUUUACUAGCUUGCAUGUGCGCUUCCCAUGUCCGUCGGCCUUACACACCGUACACCUGUACUUUUGCUUCACGCCCACAACUUGGGCACGUGGUAUAAUGGGUUGUACAGCCGUGGUUGCUGCAGGGUUUUGGUCAGAAUGGGCCACCGCAUCCUUGACCACCGGGACAUCCUCUCUGGUAUGGCACAACGUCGAGGGGGGCCCAAGUGUUGGAGAGUGAGCAGCGUUAACGGAAAACCGAACUAGAACAUGGAGACUGCAACUUCCCUUUAUCAUGGACAAGUGGAUAAUGUUUUUCAACGCAUCGUCCGUGUUGACGUCCACCAUCCGACCAUCCCACGGGAGAACGACUUUAGGAUGGAAAUAAUGAACCGCAGGAGAAUCUCUAGUCUGCAGCACGAGAGCUGCAAUAUUGCAAAAUCUGAGAAGAGUGUAGUGCAUGGGCCUGAUGGAUUUAAUCAUCAUGGCUGACCCCAUGUACUCCAAGACAAAGAUGAAUGGUGGAGGCAUUAUUGGCGUUACCGUCGCCAUGUAUUAGGGAAACUGAGAUGUAGGUGCGAACUAAAAAAAAUGAUGAUCAACUGCGAUGUUCGUACUAUGUGGUUAUGUAAAGGUCAUUCGUGAAUGGUGGCAAUAUACACAUUCGUUGAUAAUAAUACGCAUUACAGAUAAAAAAUUCAUCCAACUAUUUUGAAUUUAGUGGGAAUUCUUAACCAACGUAAGUAGUCCAUAAAUAUAUGGGUAUUUUAUAUGGCCAAUGAGACAUUAGAAGGUAAUUAUUUCUGUGUUUCGUUUAAAAAUUCCAACCUUAAAUUAACUCCCGCCUUUGAAAGAGGCUGGUUAUAGGCGACAAAAAUACUUCCUACUAUUUACAUACCUUGCCGUUGAAGAUUUUGCACUGACAAACUAACAGUGACAACUACUAUACUGUUUGCAGUGCUUUUAUGGUAACUCACGAUAACGAAGCUUCCUGUGGGGUCAAAUGCGCUGAAUGUUAUUAAUUGCCAAUAUUCACAGCAGUUGCAUUCUGUCAGGGAUAUAUUUUCCAGUCAGUGUCUUCUUGAUAAAGGAACAUGAGGCGGCGGGUUGUUUCCUGUGGAUGGCCAUGCAUUUAUGUAGUGGCCGCCGCUAAGCGAGGCCGUCUGUUGCACCGGUGAAAGGACACGACACAAAGAACAUCGCUUCACCCACGUGGCCACGUUUUCACAGAGGAUGACCGUGUUAUUAGCCUUUUUUAGUUCACUUUUGGAGUGCAUUGAAUCGACUUGACUAGCUAAGUGAUAAUCUGUAAGCUACUGACUGCAGCAUCAGCCGUUGGAUACGGUUGGAUGUGAAGUGAGAAACUAAACUAUAAAAUGGGAUGGUGGGAUGAGGGGAUACGUUUGUUAUGGAAUCUGUACCAUAGACAGGUCCACAUUGAAUAUGUUCGUGCCUCUUUCUUCGAUACCCCCAACACGUGGUAUGACUUAAAUCCACACACGUUCAAAAGUUAUCACGGCAUUUACAUCUACAGCCAAAAGUUCAAACUGGUUUAUGGGAAGUAAUCUGUCAAUUGGGAAGCUUCCUGUGGCCUUGCACACAUCGGGUUCAUUGACUACAGCAGUGGAAAACGAGAAGGGUAUUGACGGAAUAUAGAAUUUAUUUGAAUUAUUUGUGAUGAGACAGAAGCAUUUGCUUAUUAGUUAAAGUGACCGUUGAUAUCUUCCCGUUGUGAACCAUUACGUGGAAAUGUCCCAGCAAUGAAUGAGAGUUUAAAUACCGCCUUCUAUCGUUUUGCAUCUAUGAGGGUGCACAAUAUUCUUCCAAGAAAACCAUUUUUCGCAUGUCUUCGUCGACCAAUAGCACCAAUAACAUGAGUAACAACCACGACGGUGGAGAUCGUCGUAGGUGGAUUAAGUUGAAAAAUUGAUAUUGCAACUGUUAUAAUGGCCGGCGAGCUGUAAUACGGAUUUCUAAAUCGUCAAAGAACCCAUGACGUCUUUUAUUUUACUGCGACACCUGCAAGUUUUUGCAUUGGUGGACUCCGGAUAACGAUGAAUGACACAGUCUUCGUGAGUAUGUGCAGGAACGGACAGGAGCCUACCGUCUCAGUCGCUUACAUGUAGUGGCUUGCUUUGUUGGGAUCAUUAUCUCGAAUAUACUGGCAAGAGCGUUGGUUGUGCUAUACUUAUGGUGGUUUUCGGUGAGGACCUCGGCCGAUCCAGGAGUGACGAGCCAGUGGUUUUAGUUUCAGCAUGGGUAGCAGUAUGGUGGGUGUUAAAGUAUAAAUAGUUUCCAUGUAUAUGUUUUAAUUUAGAGCUGAUCCAGCAAUAAACAAGUGUCACCAGUAAAUUUACAUCGUUUUUUUCCAAGUAUAUAGUCAUUGUUUUUGUGCAUCGUGGCUUGAAAGUGGGGCUACAGUGUUUGUUUUAUUCACGUUAGGCGCAAAUCAUGCUAAUCAUCGUGUUUGCUAUGAUUAGUAAGGGGAUUGUUAGGGCUAAGAAAAAUGAAAUUAUUGACCUCCCUGUCAAAUAUUGUUACUAGCUCCCAUGCACUAUAUCGUUGAAGGCAUCUAUUUUAUUGUGCAUUAAGGUAUUGAAUGUGUUGAGAAACAUACACUGUUAAUUCAAGUCAGUUCCCCUUAGUUAGGAUAGAACGAAGCAUGGUUGCAAAUUGAAAAUAUGGUCGAAAAAGACGUCCUUUUAUUAAUCCACCAGGUGACAACAUUCUGGGCGAAGGGUCAUAUUUGUAAAAACCAAGCUGACAAAACAGGAAAACGCUAUUGAUGCAAGUCUGCAACACCAACAACUCAUUUUUUAACAAUCUAGAUGCUACCCCUUAUAUGCGAUUACGAGGACAAAAAGAAAUAAAUAAUAAGACCUUCGCUACCAUUAACGAGAAAAGGAAAAUGAGUUCGCUAUGUGAGCAUUUUUGAAAUAAGUGGCAGCAUUUAGAAUUGUGCAUCUUCAGUGUGGACGUUAAUGGUAGCGCAUGCGAUUGUAGACCAACCAUGCCAAGCCGAACAUUAUGGAUGCCUCAUCAGCCUCGAUGUGAAAAGUGAAAUUUGAAAGAAAGCCGUCCCAAGUGAGAAACACAUCAACGAAUGACGACGUAAACAGCACCUGGCACGUCCGCGAUUCAAGAUUGACCGCUAUGUGGAAGUUCAUGAUCAGGUGAGAAAUCUGUUCCACCUUGAGGAAAGGCAUCGUAAAAAACAAUGUCAUUUUACAGAAAAAAAAAUAUUUGAAUAACAGGAAAAAAAAUCCACACUUCCUAAUUGGAUGUGCCCUAGAGUUUGGAAGCCGUAAAUCGCGACAAAAUUGCCGCAAUUCAGCCCUUUUAAACUGAAACAACUACCGCCGGAUAACAGAUAUCCGUAUCGAAGAUGCACGUUAUAAAUGACCCACAAAAGAGGAAUGAGGUACUGAUUUAGAAAGCGAUAAUGGAGGUGCUGGGAUGAGAAACGACUGUUUGUACACCCAAAUGAAGCUGGGUCCCUCAAAAGAUACAUUUUGUGAACUAUAAUUAAUCGUGGACCAUGAUCAAACGGUGGUGCGACUGAUAGUAUAACCCCCUAAACCGAAGCUUCACCAUAAGUACAAUAACAUGGGGGGAACUGAAAUAAUAUGUUAAUAGUCCUCAUUAACAAAGUUGAACCAUGGAGAUGUAUAUUAAGUAUAUAACAAACGUUCAAAAGUUGUAUACUCAAGUGAACAGGUUGUACAAGUUUGGAAGAGGGUCACGCGGACGAUUGGAGGGACGUUAACGCAUGUAAGAGAAGUGGACCGGCCAUGGGAUCAUAAUAUCAGCACUGAAACAUUUUACCAUAUUUCCCAAUACAUUUAUCACAGUUGUAAAAAAACUAAGCAUCAAAGCAGGAAAGCAUCGAACUGAAAAGAUCAUGUGCAUAGAGAGACGCGUCGAACCUGUGAAUGCUCCUGUUAGUUGGAGUCCCGACCGGAGACGCGACGUGCUGUACACAGCAACAACUCCGGGAAGAUGACUUCGAACUAACAGAAGGAAAAGUGAGGCGAACUUGUCAAAAGCAAUGACAAUCUUGUCACUGACUAAAAUUAUAUGUGGACGAUAACCAGCGAGUGCUAGCAUCUUAGGCCGUGUUUGGACGUGUGCAAAAAGAGGGAAAUAACUUUUGUGUAAGUUUUAAUUAAUAGUAAACACAACCGUACAUAAAUACCGUAAUUUAUCAACCGGGCAAAGCUUACCUUACAUAUAAUGUAACAAAAAACCAAUGAAUAUAAGUCAUUGAUUUUGAUAUUCCUUAAAUCCAAUGGAAAAAAUUAAUUUUAACAUAAAACAAAAUACAGGUGAAAUAUAUAUUGAUAAAAGCUUUUAUUUAUAAUCAUAUAUUUACGUAAUUUUUCAAAUACGUCCUCAUUGAGUUUUUAUAAUGAAAUGGUUUUUUCAUUAAUCUUUUCUACAUUUAUUUUUAAACUGUAAACAUUUUUUACAAUAUUUUUAUAAAGAUUUAUAUGAUUAUUAUAUUCAUAAAGAUCCACAAAUUUUGAAUAUAUUUUUGCGCUUACAUUUAUAAUUUCUUGUCUCUCUGGAGACAUAAACUAAAAUUUUCUUCUAACACAUACACACAUUCAAUCUAUUUUCGUUCUUAAAUACAUAGCAUCAAUGCCAUCACACAUAUUUUGUAAUCUAUAUUUAGUAUCAUGAAUUAUAAUAGACAUUAUAUGUAAUGAAUAUCUUAUAAAUCUAAUGAAUUAUUAAAAAGAUGGUACAAUGAAUAAAUUACCAAAACCUCUAAUAAAAAGAUUACAAUUCUUUGAUCUUAUCAAUGAUUCAAACAUGUGGAGAAAUAAUCAAUUAAAUUGAAUGUUACUAUUUUUAUUAAAUAAAUUAGAAAAUAUAAAUAUUUCUAUAAAUGAUAUAGAAAUGGUAAACAAAAUAUUAGAAAUUCAUAAUUUCAAUGAAGGAAUAUAAAAUAAAAUAAAAAGUUAAGAGAUCAAGUGAUCAACUUAGUAAAGAAUUUAAUAAAGUUAAACAAUUCAUAAAAGACUUCAACAUUAAAAAUCAUGAUAUAUUAAACCAAGAGAUUAAUAAUAUAAUGAAUAAAAAUUCAAUAGAUAUAAAAUUUAACAAGUUAUAGAUUCAAUGAAAUAAAAUAAAUAAAAUCGUUGAGCAGUUUCAUACUAACUUUGCUAUAAAUAUAAAUGAAGAACUUCAAAAAAACUUCAAAUAUUGCUGCUUGGGUGCAAACAACCUGGAGUAUAAACAAUCUGGGGUAUAAUGUAAAACAUUAAAACUUAUUGACUUUUUUAAUAAUUAUUAUCUUUUCUAAGGGUUUAAGAAUUUAUAACUGUAACAUACAACUAAUGUAACAUGAGCUUUGCCUAUCAACCGUAUUAAACAUCCAUGGAAAUGUAUUGAAUGUUAUUAGUAAUCGUGAAUUAGUUGUAGACGAUGCGUGCAUGUAGGGAAUUAUGCACAUGGCUGGAUCUAGUAGUGGUAUGAUACCAGUGAGCUACCAUAGUUUUCUCCGUAAAGAUGUAAUAAUUAGAAUAGUUUGAAAGGAAUAUUUUUUUUUUCCCAUUAUAUGAUGUAGGUCCCCCACAUCUUAUAUUUGUAUGUAAACAUAGGGCAAAACGAUAACAUCACUUCAAGCAGCCAGUUUCAUAGAUUGAUAUUUCCAAUUUUUCUUUUAAGUUGACCUUAUAUUCGCACAGUAAUACACACAAUUACGAAUCUAAUUUUUGUGAUCAUAGUAUAAAUAAGUACCCGCGAGAAAUAUGUCUUGUACAGUAAAAUUACUGUUACAAAUAACAGACAAAUUUGUCACUUCAUUAUAGGUAUAACAUAGUACACUCAAUUUAUUUCGCCCAAACUAAUUUAAUUAUAGUGAGACAUUCUUAACUGUUGCAGAAUAAAGUAAUUUCAAUUUUCAACAAAAAUGUGUAUUUUUUAUUGAAUGUAAUGUAAUAUCUAUUUCCAAUAUUAAUCUCAUGUAAUAGUUUAAAAAUUAUGACAAUUUACCAUGAAAUAUAUUAGUUAUCACAAGUUUCUCUAUUACUUGUCAUCGUAUCAUUAAAUUAAAUAGGCAACAUUAUAUUAUUUAUUAAUUAAAUCCCAAAAUAGUUAUGGUGGUUUGAUGAAUAAAUUGUAAGGAUUGUUUACUUUUCUUGUUUUGUUUAAUUGAUGCACUGCUUUCUUUCUAAUUAUUUAACUAUCGAAUGUCAUGCUAUCUAAAGUCUAUAUGUAUUCAAAUGACGGGAAUCAAGACCUCUCAACAAAUUUCGAAUAUAUAAGAUUGAAACAGCACAAUGUGAAAUACUAAUGUUCAUUUUAUCCUGUAACAAUAUGAAGAAGUUGUACAAUUUAUUAGGAAUUGACCAUAGUUGUGGAACGAAUUGUAAAGCAUAAUCUGGGAAUAGUAAGGAGAUUGUUGUGACCAAUACAACAAAAAACAAAUCAAAUACUUAGUAAAAUGUUGUUACAAAAUAAUUACGUCCACUGUUAACUUGGAAUUCACAUGAUAUUCCCCUAAGUGUAUUGAUGGUAACAUAUGUUGCACGGCUUAUAAAACCCCCGAAGUUCACAAAUUACACUGCAUAGGCGUGAGACUGGGGCCUGACAUUUUGUAUUAUUGAUACGGGCUGGGAUAAACGUCCAUGUGACAAUUACGUCGUUGGUCCUUGAAGAUUAGGAUAUUUACUGACGAAGUGAUAUCAUGGUUUCCACCCAGUAGUAGGGAUUAGUUGGUUAGAACAGGGGAGCUAUUUGCCAUGAUGGUAGGUUUUUUCAGAACGCGAGGGAGUGUUGGUAAAAGUCUGGGAAAAAGGAUAGCUCAUCGAAGCUUCGUAGCGGACAAAAGCGGCGGCCAAGUACAGUUUCCCACGCAACCACUGACAAUGAAAGGAAAGAAAUUGCAAACUUCCGGCAUUUUAAUUUAUUUUUGUGGCAGUCGUUGCUUUGGAAGGUUAAUCCAUAAAAAUAAGGUGAAAUGAUGAACGACAUUUGCGCAGGAGAGGAAAUUUCUUUCCAAAAAUUUCAUCAUAGGGAGUUUCAUAAAUCUGUGCAUGAACAGGAUCCUGUAAAGACUACAUGUGAAACCCAUAUAUCGAUUCGAAGGAAUAACUUAGGAGUGGGAGCCAACAACACCACAGAGAAGGAGAGUAUGCUAAAUACAUACUUCACAGAGUGACACCAGGUAAACAUCAAAAUUAUAUCGUGCUCAUGUUUAUUAAUGACAAGUCUGUCUCACAUAUGUUCAUUCCGCUGGGCAAUGAAAUUGCAUGUGACGGAAAUGUAAUAAUCACUUUAAAACUGCUGUAUGGGUAGUUUAUUGUAGCACGAAUCAGGUUUGCAAUCGUACGGUAGACGCAUGUUUACAUUACAAAAAAUUGUUACGUUAGCUAUUACUUACAACUUCUCUGUUGAAUAACAAUGUGCAUUUCGUUUAAAUUUGUCAUAUUAAACUUGCAUUUAAAAUGUAUAUUUGGCCACACCAUUAAUUACUUGGGAAGAUGGCCAGUUAUGUGCAUUAUUUGAAGAAACUAUCCCGCAUUUCACAGUUUAGGCCGUCAUGGAAGAGCAUCAGCAUAUCAAAUUUUUCAUUUGCUCAUGCUUGUGGUGAUUUAAUAAACAGAUAAACCAAAUUCAAAGCAAGUCAUGGAAGAGGAUCAGCAGUCUGUUGUCAAAGGUAUAAAAGAGCCAAAGAAGCGCAGGCUUAUUAGUUCUACGAAUCACGCUGACCUCUUGAACUGUUCGCCAGAAUAUGUUCGUUCCUGUAGCUCAACAAAUAGACGAACGGCUAUAUUGGAUACUGACAUGGCCAAAUUGCAAAAGGCAUUAUAGUUUAAGAAUGAAAAAUAUAAUAGAAAAAUGUCCAAGGAGUUAUUUCCCAGUACAAAAGGCAAGGACGAACUGGUAGAUCAACAAUGUCGGGUGCUUGGCAAGGGUAACCCAAGUUGCACGGAACAUCUAAAAGGGAAUAAACAAACCCCUGUGUUUCUUAAAACACGUUGGCCAACAGGGUGGUACUCGGAUGAUGAACGAGACACGUUGGCAGACGUAAACGAUGAUCAACAACAAUUAGAAGGAUACUCGUCAGAAAAAGAGAAGGACAAUUUGUACGGAUUGGUAGAAAACCAAUUAGAUGAAGAUGUGGGUGACUGGUUCAUAUUUGAUGACAGUGUACAUCAUAGACUAGUAUUAUAUCACGGCCAGCGAUUUAAAGAUGUGACCCAGUUUAGGAACACUAUUCAAGUGUAUGCAAUUCGUGAACGGUUCAAGUUGUGCAUUAUGGAAAAUCGAUCUCACAUUGUCAGUUGCGAGUGUUCUGAUCUUUCUUGCGACUGGCAGGUUAAAGCAAUCAGAGAUGUCCGUGGUAAGGGUUUUGUUAUAACAGAAUUCUCACUAAAACACAAUUGCCCUCGACUUGACCACGCAUUCCACCCUGCAUCAAAGUGGAUUUCAGCAAUGUUUCUUCAUCGAUGGAAAGAACAGACAAGUAUCACCACAACAGAGGUCAAAAAUGAUAUUGAAUCCAUGUAUAGGAUUAAAUGCCCUGAGUGGAAGGUGUUUUGUGCAGCAAACAGAGCAAAACAGAUUUUGGGCCUGGAUUAUGACGAUGGUUAUGCAAUGCUGCAUCAGUUCAAAGAAGAAAUGAAAAGGAUCGAUAGGGACAACAUCGUGCUUCUAGAAACUGAGAGCCAUGAAUCACGAAAAGAAGAAAGGUUCAAGAGGGUGUUUGUAUGCUGUGAACGUACAUCCUAUGCAUUCAAGGUGCAUUGCCGAGGUAUCCUAGCUGUUGAUGGUUGGGAAAUUAACAAUCCGUGCAAUAGUGUCAUGCUGGUGGAAGCUGGACUUGAUGGGAAUAAUGGGAUCUUAACAGUUGCCUUCUGCGAAGUUCAAGUCGAAGACUUGGAUUCUUGGGUUUUUGUUUUAAAGAAUAUCAACAGCGCGCUGCGUUUGGAGAAUGGCAAAGGUCUAUGCAUAUUGGGUGAUGGAGACAACGGUGUUGAAUACGCUGUUGAAGAAUACCUUCCUAGAGCUGUGUACCGACAGUGCUGCCACAAGAUUUUCAACGAAAUGGUCCGGAGAUUCCCCACAGCACCUAAACAGCACUUGUUCUGGUCCGCUUGCCGCACCACGAGUGCUACAAGGUUCUAUAACUAUAUGGAAUUGAUAUAUCUUGGAAGUCAACAAUGCCAUGACUGGUUGAAGAAUUCAAAUUGAGAAAGGUGGGCACUAUUUUGUAUGCCUCAUUAGGUUAAGUGUACCUGUGUCACAUUAACGAUUACUGAGAAACUUCGCACUUCCUUUGACCACUAUUUGGAGAUGAGCAUUACUAGAAGAUUUGCGGCCAUUGCACGCUCAACGGCUGAAAUUUUCGAACGUAGAAGGAUGGCUGUCUGGAAAUAGUAUAGGGAGAAAAUAACGCCCACAGUUCAGGAUAUCAUUCACAACCGUUGUAUUGAUGGUCGGUGCUUCAUCGUGCGUAAGCAGACUGGCACAAUAUUGGAACUGACUGAUAGUUGUUCAUUAUGUUAUGAGCUAAACAUGGAUGCGAUGCCAUGUAGUUGCGGAUUAUGGCAGAUCUCAGGAAUUCCAUGUGCUCAUGCUUGUAGGGGAAUCAAAUAUAUGAGGCGCAAGAUUGAAGACUAUGUGGACAACACGAUGUCUAUACAAAAUUAUAUAUCCACUUAUGCGACAUGCAUGAUGCAAUUACCUCAAGAAUAUGCUUGGAAGUGGGACGCAGGUCACACCCUGCUUCCACCCAUCAGUUUGCCUCUCAAACCAAUUUCGGCCAAAGGCACCGAUGACUUGACAUCCAACAAACAUUUACUACACACGGCUGAUCAGUACCUCACACCUACACGUAACCUUCAGGUGCAUCUUUUCCUUAUACAACUUCUAUGUAUAUUUGCACUGCACAUCCUUAAACUAAUGUCACCUUUGCGAAAACUUAUAUUAACUCCUUCACUACAGUGGACACAGGAUAAGAAUUCGAGCAACUCUUCUGAACAUUCCAGCCUCCUCAGGCUCAUAUCCACCACCAGCUCUAAUACUAUUAGUAAGGAUCCGUUACUUUUUACUAUAUUUUGCAACAAACUCAUAAGUCAUUCACAAUUCCUUAGUGUCCAUGCUUAUGACAACUGCUCUUAACUCACUAAAUGAUUUUUACCUCAACAUUCUACCAAAUUCACAACUACCAUAUGUAUAUAAUGUGCUUAAUUGCAACUAAACUAUUUUCUGUUCGGCUGGUUCUUCUUUUAUCUAUGCCUAUGCAAAUAUUGUGACAGUGACAGAACCAAUGCUGCUCCUGACAUAAACAACUUUUCAUAUUCGCAUACUGCAAUGUAUCUGUUGCUAUUACUGCCAUCUUUAACUAAUGACCAAGAGCUUCAAGCAUGUGAGGGUGAAAUAAAACUUUUGCACAUUCGACUGACACCAUCCUUGUUGGAUGGUAGUGGUAUCCAAUUACUGUUAUAAAUGUGUCGAAUAUGAUUGUGCCAUGCUGAGAAUGACGUCAAUGUGAACUUUAUAAUUGCACUGUUUCUUAAUGACUAUUACUGCCUAUUACUUAAUUUUUUAUUUUUCCUUGGUUGUUUCAACUGGGAGCCCAAUACUUAAAAUUUGUGCUCUAUAAAAAUCGUUGCACACCAGUGCAAUUUCUUUUCCUUUAAAUAUAGAAAUUGUUUAUCUACAAAAGUUUCCAUAUUUUCACACAAUAUGAUCAAUUUAUUGUAUUGCAGGCCUCUGAUAACGGUUUCAAUUGGAUGGAGGACUUGCACUUCAACUUUUGGCCUGCAGACCACCAUUUUUGGAGAAUGGCGCCAAUGGUGUAUUAUAUAUGUAUUGGUUUGUAGUGGGAUGGUGCAUGUUUUGUAUUUGGCUUCUGGGAAGAUGGUUACUGGUACAUAAAAACUUUAACUCUCAUAUAACCAACUUUUGAUAUCCACCAUAACCAACGUUUUUUGUUUGUGAAUGCCGUUUAAUUAACUACGACCAGUUUAAUCUGCAUCUAUUCCCUGUAUGCUUUUGCACUCUUUGUUUGUUUGCUUGUGUCUAAUAACUGUAAUGUCUCAACUUUUGAUGCCGUAGCGUGUUCUAAAACAUCUAAAAUGUCAGCACUAUAGCCAUUAUUCUCUUCUUACUACCGUUACCUAUAAAAUAAAUCCCGAUUUUGCAUUGUCCAUCUCCAUAAUUCCUCCAACCCUUAGAAUGGUUGUUUUGUUUUUCAGAACUAAUUGCCGUUUUUCUUCCCUUACAAACUUUCUCUCUUCCCCUAUUGAGGACCACCUACACAAAUCUGUAGUUUGGAGACAACCAUUUCCUAUUAUCUACACAAUUGUCCUGAAUAAUUAUAACUGUCACUAAAUCGCCUCCUCUAUCAAUUUCCACGGUUCUAACAUAGUAGGAUCCUAGUGAUUAUGUUCAUAUUCUUUUCAUAUGUAAUCUUCUCCAGCUUUUAUAAUUCAUACUCAUUGUAUGUGCUUCACCCAACAUUGUCGUCGCUCUUGCUUUGCAAAUUCAACGUCAACUAUUGGAGAAUAGUAAUAGGCACUGGGGACAUACCCAUUCGGUGGAGCAUAUUAUGCUUCCAUUCAGUGAACCUCUUCCACGACCUUAACAUAACCCAAACACAAUCUUGUGAAAAUCCCCCAAACCAUCCCACUCUGGAACAAUUUCAGUCGGGGUAGUUUAGAUAUAUCCCCGCCAAUCACUGAAUUGCUCGGUAAUUAAAAUGCUGACAUGAUACCCUCUUAUAUUUGGAAUAAAUAGAUAUAUAUAUUAUGCAUAUUUAGGUACCUAAUCAAUUUCGAUGCCACCAACAAAUAGGAUACGGGAAAAUAAAAAAAUAACUAUAACGAUAGAUCAUCCAAUUUUACGACUCAGUUGUGGUGGCCAAAUGUUACCAUCCUCCAAAUAUCUCAAUAGAACUGCAAAUACAUCAAACAUGCUUAUUACAGUUUUACAAGGCCAAAAAUAAAAUUUCUAGGCCUUCAACACCCCCUUCCAGUGCCUUCUCUAGAACCAUUACGAAACUUCCAAUACCUUGUCAGCAACCAUCACCAGUGAUUACAUACCUCAUUCUUCUAAAUCCUAACACAACAUAAACAAACAAAAUACAAACAUGUUUAACCAUUGUAAACGUAAUAACUAACUUAUAUAACAAUAAAAAUUUACGCUAUAUAACUAUACAGCCUCCACAUCUGUUUCAAUCUAUGAUUCCUCGUCCACAAUCUUCACUUCUGCUGUACAGGUAGAUGCCACAGGUAUUAAAUAAAUACUAAUGAGACCACAAUUAAGUCAGUAGUACUUGCGUUUAACAAAUGAAUAUUUUAUAUUACAGUGUAAACCAUAUACCUCCACAACGAGCACACAUCCAUUAUUCAACUUUCACUACACAUCAUAGCCUCAACAUGCCUUGAUGAAUACACUACUUAUUGGACUCAAUGAAUUUAAAUAAUGUUGGUAUCAAUAACACCUCCACUAAUCAAUACAUAAACCAUAACUCACUUUACUAUCUUUUACUAACCAAAGCUCCAAUGCAAUAGUCCGCGUGUAUAUACCUAUAAACAAAUGAAUGCCCCCCAUCAAUUUUCGUUUCUUCAUCGAUUAUAAAGGCAUCCUACAGAAAAUUCGAACAAUUCACUUUUCUAACUUUUCCAUGCAAUCUCUUUCAAACCAAUCCUCUAUCUAACCAUAACUUUAAAUUUAUGCAAGUCUUUUCAUCUUAAAGCCGAUAAAUGUAUUAUGCGUGGCAAACAAAGACAAUUAUAUUAUACAUAUACUUAAAGUGAAUGACCAACCAAAGCACACGCCUCACUAACAAAGUGGUUACAGAUCGAACCACUAAUAUUAUGCCAUUUUUUCCAUUUGUUCUUCGGUGACUCUGUAUGUAUGUAAUUAACCAUUAUUUUUAUGCACCCACUGUCGAUAUUUACUAAUAUACAAUAAAAAAAUUACAUCUACACAAAGUAUGAGCCACCGAAAAUCAAAAGCAUCCAUUGAAACUAUGUUUCUUUCCUUAACAAUUAACCCAUAAAUAAGGUUUAACAUGUCAAUGAUUACCCCACUGCUCAAACCCCUUUACUGUAUUUAUUUCAACCCCUAUACUAUAUUUAUUUCAACCUGAGCAAACCCAGCCAUUCACCUCUUCGCAACCUAGGCAUUUCGAACACCACAUCUUCGAAAUCAACUACAAAAACGCAUUCACAAACAUGAAGCCUACCUAUGCAUGCGAAACGACUCUUCCAGUGCCUGCAAAAAUGCCAGAUUCAUAAUACCAACAAGGCCAUCUUCAAUAAUACAGACAUCAAUAGAAUAUAAUUUCAUAAAUCGGCAGCAACAUUUUUCUUACGGCAAAAUCAAAAUCACGACCACCAAAAAACACACAUUCAUUUACGAUUUAAGGAAAGAAUCUUUACCCUUCCUUGCCUAACGAAAUUUCCGGUUAUUCCCCUCUCUCGCAAAUGUCAGAUUUGAGAUUCAAAUUUGUUUCACAUCCUAUUCUUGUAUUUUUUUUUUUUCCAUGGACUUCAAGACCUUCAUUAGACAACCGGUUUAAACGGUUGUUGUUACUACCUGCGUCCGCUCUCCAAACUUUUAUUUAAACCGUUGGAUUGAACAUACUUAUAUCCAACGGCUUAACAGAAUAAAGACAAACCACAGUGGCACGGUGCCACUGUGGCACCACAGGAUGACCCACAUAACAUAGAGUAGAUAUUUUGAAGUGAAAAGCAGAGCCUUUACUGUUGCUUGCCUUAUCAUCUUUUAAAACUAGAGUUAUUAUUCUUAUAUUUUUAAGUAGCCAACGGAUAGUAGCCAACUCAUCUGUGUUCUCUAUUAUUGAAUUUAAAGAUCAAUGAUUUGGGUCUGCCUACCGUGCAACAGUUGCACGGUAUCCCAUUUUUUGUCUUUUUUCAACUCAGCCAAUGGAUCAAUGGUUAAAGUGUUUAACGGCCAGGAUGUGUUCAAUUGGUUAUUAACACUUAAAUCCUUACUGUUUAUUACAAAAUCAUAAAAGCUAAAAGUUUUUAAAUAUUCACUUACAUAAUUUUUUUUGUUUUAAAUUUUUUAAAGUUUGAUCCAUUGACUUAAUUUGAUCAUAAAAAUAAUUGAUGGUGUAAAUAUAAUAAUGUAAUAUCACAUAAAAUUUUUAAACACAUGAAAAUUUGAUAAAUGUAAAUAAUAUUUUUUGUUAUAUAAUAUAUAUUUAAUGUAAAAUAAAUAAAUUGAAUAUGUUUUAAGAAUAUAGGUUAUUAACCUUUAUACUUUAGAAAAUUAUAAAAUAAAAAAGGUGAAAUUUCAAAAUAAGAAACAUGUAAAAAGUCUUAGGUUGUAAAAUUUUAUUAUUUUAAUAUUACAAAACUUUACUUUUUUAUUACAUUUUUGUUUUUAGCAUUAGUUGACAUGUUAGUUUAUUUAUACAUACAAUAUGUUAAUUUACCUAUAAAAUAUCAAUAUAUAUAUAGCUCAACAAAGUUAUAGAAAGAUAAAUAAAGAAUAAUAUAAAAGGAAGUUAGUUUAUUUUUGAAGAAUAUUUCAAAAGCAUUUGAGCUUCAUAUUUCUUGAGAAUUAUCAUUUUUUAAGAUAUUUGAGCUUGUGAAUCUUGUUGUAAUGAUAAUUUAUUAUUUAUUCUUGAUUAAAAAUAAUUGAAUAGUAAAUUUAUUGAUUUCCAAAUGCUCUUUUAAAUAUAGGGUAGUUGGUUCAUUUUUAUUGUAUUAGCUUAAACUUUGUGUGAUAGCUAAUCAACCAUUGUAAAAGAUCUACUAGGAUUAUUUUUACUUUCUCUACAUCCCUCUAGACCAUCACCACUCAAAAAGUUAAAGGUCCAUUUGGCACACUAUAUUAUAUUGUAUUAUGUAAUACACAUGUAUUAUAUUAUAUUAUAUUACAUUAGUAGUAUAUUAUAAUAAUUAUAAUAAAAUUAUGCAACAUUUGGUAAUUGGUAUUAUCCUGUACUACAUUAAUUUUGUACUAAUAUUAAACUAAAAUUAUUUAAAUUUAUUAUUAAUUAUAUUAAAUUAUUAUUUUCAUAUUAAUUAUUUUUAAAUAAAUAUAAUAUAAUAUAAUAUAAUAAUAUUAUAGUAUAAUUUAUUUUUAUAUUUUUUAUUUAUUAUAAUAAAAAUAAAAAAUAAUUAAAAUAUAUGUAAUGCUUAAUUAAGGCAAAAUAAUAAUAAUGACAGUGGUAUUAUUUAAUAAUCAAAACAAAAAAAUUGUAAAGUUUAAUGAUGAUGACGAUGACGACGACGACAACAUUAAUAUAAAUAUAAUAAUUAGAAUAAUAAGAUUAAUAAAUUUAUUAAUAUUAAUAAAAUAAUAAUUCAGUAAUAAUUCAGUAAUAAAUUUAAUAUAUUUUAAAAAUAGUGAUGGUAAUAAAAUCAAUAAAUAAUAAUGUAAUGAUAACUAAUUAAAGUAAUCAUAACAAUUAAAAUAAUAAAUUUUAAUAAUAACAAUAGUAAUAAUGACAUUAAUAAAUAAUAAUAAUAACAAUUAAAUUUUUUUUCAAAAGUCAUUUUAUAAUUUUAUCCAGAGAAAAGGACCUAUAUAUAAAGAUUUGUAACUUAUAGUAUCUAUUCAGUUUUCUUAUAAAUAUAGGGUAGUGUAGUGUAAUUGUUGGAAAAAGACAAAAUUCAGUGAUACCGUAUAACUGUUGCACGGUAGGUAGACCCCAAUGAUUUAUGUUAAUAAAUAUUUUGUUAACUAUCAAAGUUUUUAUUUCAAAAUUACUGCUAUAAUUCAUUAAAUUUUCAAUUUUUCCUUUUUCUAUUCACACAACAGAUUGAUUUGCCCUCCAAAAAAAUGUAUUAGAUUGUUUAAUAUUGUAACAUUAAGAAACUUAUAAUAAAUUUUUUAAGAGAUAAAUAGAGAAUGUCAGUCUCGCAUCUACUCAAAAUUAAUAAAUAUACCACUAACUCCUUAUUAUUUUUAUAAUAAUUAAUAAUUUUCUUAGCAGUAUAAUUUUAUAGUAUUAUCCUUAUUUGUAAGUACAUUUUUAUUCAUUUUUAUUAUAAAUUAAGUAAAUCAUAUCAAUAAAAAUUAAAAGAACACAAUAUGGUUUGGUGUGAAUAAAAGAUUGAAAAUAAAAAUAUUUUUCUUAUUUUUUUUGUUAUUUUUAAAUGCUUUUCUUGUAAUAAAUGUACAUUUUAUAUUCUUAAGAUGAAUUUUGAGUAAAUGACUCAUUUACUCACUUUUUCUUUAAAUUUGUGUUAGUAGGAGGAUUUUUAGAUAUAUUGAAAAUUGUAAGGUAGUAAGUAAUAAUAUAAUAAUUUUAAUAGAGAAAAAUAAUUAAUUUUAAGACAUUUCAGAAGAUAUUUCAAUAUGCGGUGGACCACAUCCUUGAGUUUUCAUUGUCUCACUCAACUAAAAGGACAAAAUAUUGAGUCAUGAAGGACUCAAUUGAUUGUUAAUUUUACAGCAAUUACCUUUUUUUUUUCUUCUUUCUUUUUUGUUCUUAAUUAUUUUGAAAUGGUAGGUAGCAAUUGCUUACAUCAAAAUAUUUAGCCUCACUCGACAAAGUAUCUGAGGCCAAAAUGCCAAAAGAUGGGACACCCACAUGUGCAUCUAAUUACAAAAUCCAAAGUUAAUGAAAAAGAAAAAAAGAAAAAGUAUAAAUGAACGGUAUUCGCCUCACUUUCAAACAUGUUCAACAUGAAUUUCCUUUUACCAAAAGUAAAUUUCCUCUCGGAUUGUCCUUAUUACAUCAAACGAAUGAUGACGACAUUCUCUGUCCGUUUCUGACUCUUUGCUUUUCUCUCUCACAUCACGAGACACCUCGUUUCUAACUAGGGUACCACCAUCAUAUUUAACUGUUGGGUCUUCCUACUAUGCAGCUGGUGUAUGCAUGAUUCCUUGUGACAUGACAUACAGUCAAUUAAAUUCUGACAUGCUUGCAAUAAAGACUAUUAAAGUGACCGGUUAUUCCGGUUGAAUUCACAAGAUCUCUUGUUUGUGCGUUUAUGUUCCAAGUUGCUUACUAUGUGUUACAAGUUCUCUAAUUAGUCUGAUAUUAUCGCAACUGUUGCUCAAUAAUGUUACAUGUUUUAUAAUAUGUCACUGGUACGAUCGCUGUCACAAAUUUAGAACAAAAAGUUUCCAAUAAAAUAAGUUAUUUAAUUAAUAAAAUAAGAAUAAAAUGAAUUUGUAAAAAAAAUUUAAAUUAAAUUUUGAAUUAUUUUGACCAAAAUUUAAUUUUUUUAAUUUGUUUAAGAAAAUGCGUUGUAAUUGUCUUGUUUUAAUUGGAAAAUCAAUGAAAAAAUUAUGUAACAGACAAAAAAAAAAAAAAGCAAAACGGUUUGUUUUGUACGGAGGCCAUAGAUUCCAAUAUUUCCUUCACGAAAACUACAAAUAAUUAUCAAAGGCAUCAAUUUCUACACUCUCACCGAGCAAUACUUUUAGGUAGCGUUUAUUUUUUGGAUUGGAGUGGGAAUCCUGAGGAGUGGGAAUCAUAGGAUUGGGAGUGUGGAGUGGGAGUGUGGAGUGGGAGUGGGAGAAUGUUGUUUACUUACACUAGAAUGGAAGUAUAUAAUGGAGAUCAGAAUUCAAUUUAUGUGUUUACUUUAUCUUAGGUUGGGAAUAAAUAGUUUCAAAUUACAAUUUUAUCUUUAUUUAAAGAAUUAUAGUUUUUAAUUACAAAGCUAAUAAAAAAUAUAUUUAAUGAAUAAAUAUUUAUUUUAUUAUAUUUGUAAAUUUAUAAUAAUUAUUAAUAUUCUUAAUUAUGAACAUCACAUUUUUUUUAUUAAUUUUAAUUCUAAUAUAAAAUGAAAUGUUAUUUUAUUUAAUAUAAUUAUAUUAAAUUUAUUAUUAUAUAAACUAAUAAUAUAAUUUUAUUUAGUACAAAAUUAAUAUUUUCUUAGAAUAACCUAUUUAUUAUUAUUAAUAUUAAAUAAAUAUAAUACUAUUAUUUUUAAAAUAAAUACAAUAAUAUUAUAUUUAUUAAUUCUCUAUUAAUAUAAUAAUAUUAUUUUAAAAUAAUUUUAACUUAGAAUCAAUGCAAAUUAUUAUUUAGUUAAAUAUAAUAAUAUUAUUCAAAUAAAUAUAAUAUUAUUUAUUUUAUUUUAUUAAUUAUAAAUAUUAAAUUGAAUUAAAAUUUAAAAAAAAAUGUAGAAAAGGGAGAGGUGGGAGUGGAUUCCCACUCCCACUUCUCACUCCAAAAAUGGAUAGGGCCACAGAGUGGGAUUCUCAAUCCUUCACUAAAUAAGUGAAAUAAACACUAAAGUGUGAGAAAUUCACACUCCUCACUCCCACUUCAAAAAAUAAACACAACAUUAACCCAGAAGAAAGUGUAUAAACCAACCCCAAUCUGUCCAUCAAUGUCGUCAACCUCAUACAGCAUAAAGAAAAUCUGUCCAUUAAACCGCCAUUUAAACCGUCUUUAUUGAGCCAUUAGACUAUUCGUGUCAUCUUCCCAUCUCGUUGUAGUAUUUUGCCUUUCAAAUCUAGUUAUCCAUUGGGGAAAAUGGGGACCAAUCUGCAAGUCUUUAAAAUAAAAAAGAAACUUUAAUUGGGCACUAUGUUCACGGUGGUGGACCUAGCAUUAGCUAUUUGUAUUUUAAAAAUUAUUUUACACACUCUAAUUUUAAUAAGAAUAUAUAUUACAAAAUUACUUAUCAUAUAAGUUACUGGACAAUAUAUUAUAAGUCAACAUUAUAUAAUUACUUUGAACAUUUAUAUAGCCCAAUCCUAAUUCAAUUUAUUACUCUCAUGAUUAAAUAUAAAAAUUUUUAUUUCCAACUUCUUAAUUAAUAUGUAGAUGAAUAAUAAGGAAAUUAACUUUGAGAAAAAAUUAAAUACAAAAUAUGUGUAAUACUUUAAAAAAAAUAAACAAAAGUAUUGCACAAGAUUUUUUUUGGGGGGGGGGGGGCUUGGCCAUUCUUCUUCUUCUCCUUCUAUCUCUCUUUUUUUGUAGUAUUUAUGGAACAUUUUCUAUUGUUAUAUUCUCAUUGCAAGUUAUUUUGGGUGUAAAAUUCAAUAUUGAAAAUAAAUUAAAUAAAAAAUUAGUAACUAAAAUUAUGUUAAAUUAUUUUUUAACUUAAUUUUUAGUUAUAUUAUUAGUAUAUGUUAGAUCUCUUAAAAAUCGAGUGUUGAAUAAUUUUAUUAGUUUUUUAAACAAAUAAAGUUAAAUAACUUAAAAAAUUUAAGUAAGGAUAUUUUUAAAUUUUUAAACAGUAUACAAAGUAAAGUUUAUUUUCUUGUCAGUGGCAAAUGAUCACGACAAGAAAUCUGAAGUAGAAACAGCAGAGCUCAACAAAUCACUAAGAGAAAAUAAGACCAAUAACCAAGCAGAUAAAAGAAAAGCAAAAUAACCCAUCUCAAAAUCACCACAUGCACAAUUUAAGGGGUUUGUGACAUGGGUUUAAGCAUGAUUUAACAAGUGCCACCUGUGAAUUGUCAGAGAUUGUAUUUUCAUACACAUGUCAAAUUUUCAAGUCCAACAAAUUGUUAUCUUUCUAAAGAGGCUAAUAUAUUAUUAUCUAUGCAUAGCAUGCUAUAAACAAUUCAUAUUACUGGGCCUUUGUUUUGUGUACACAACAUAUGGACAGAGGAACAAAUGCCUGAGCUAAAAUCAUCAUAUUCCAAAAUAUUCUAUUAAAUCAGCACCACAAAACGCGAACGCUAAACAGAAUUGGAGCAAUUUACCAAAGCUAUUUGUCACGCAAAGCACUAGUACCUCAGAACCCAAUUUGCAAAAAAGCACCAAAAAUGAAAAAUAACAAAUGCCCAGAUGAAAAAUCAGGAAAAAAAAAAGCUCAAAUCCAAAUUACAACCCCAUAAGCUGAGUCGUUCUCUUCGAACUGAAUUAAAAAAAUUAAAAAAAAUUAAAUAGGGAGAUUGACCUCAAACUUUGGAAACAGAAGCGACAUCGAUCUGUUUCUUGUCUGGAGUGUCCAUUUCUAUAAUCUACUUUGUCCGUUUUCAGUCGCUCUGCCACAGAACUUCUUCCCUCUGAAGCUGCAGCUCACACACACUUGCAAAACGAAAGCAUUUUUUAUUGAUUGAGAGGCGGGAAGGCGGGAAAAUGAGAGAAAUUUGCAUUUGUUUUCUCUUGGUUUGGUCACACCUGUGCGGGCCCCAGCUCGACAAGCGGUAUUAUUACUAUUUGUAUAAUUUACAUGACGCGUGUCACGCAAUGACGAUAAAAAUAUAUAUAUAUAUAUUGUUAAUUUUUCACUUAACAUUGAAAUAUCAUAUAAUUUUUCUAAUUUUAUGGUUAUUUUCUCGCCCUUAUGCCACAUUCUUUUGAUCAAAUAAUACAGUAAAAUUUUUCUAUAAUCAUAAUAUUAGAGCCAAAUUAACUUUAUUUCUGUAAAGAGGCUAUAGCUUAAUAAAGGUAAAACUAUAAAAAAUAUUAUUUUGACUCAGUUAUCUUUAGUGCAAGUGAUAUAAAGUACAAAUAUAUGAUAAUUAAUUAAUGAACUAUGUCAAAUACAAUAUGCUGACAAUGAUAAAAAAGAUAGACAUAAUUUCAAGAAACUAAUACAUAUAUUUAUGUAGUGCUGGGAUUAUACAAAAUUAUCUUAAAAGUGUAAAUAGUAAAGUACUAUUCUGAUUAAUUUAAAAAAAAUAUUUUAUCUUAAUCUUUAAUGCAACAUAGCUUUUUUUUUUUUCUUAGCAACAAAGCAUUGUUCCAAAUAAUUAUUAUUGGAUUCAAAUCAUGUCCUAGGCAUUUUUUCUUCUAGUCGUCUUUAACUUUUAAUGAUUUAUUGGCAUGUGUCAAUCAUUAAUGAAAUUAAAUAACUAAGACUUUGUUUUAAUUAACGUUUACAUAAAUAGACAUCAAAACUCACAUGUGAUUCUUAUCAAAUUUUUUCCUGCAAAUUCUUUUCCUCUCAACUAUUCAUAUUUUGAUAUUAAUUUCCAGCAAAUUAUUAAAAAAAAGAAGAAGCGUAAAAUGGAGAAAAGUGAUUGACAAUAAGAUUUGCAUCUUUAUUUCAAAAUUUUCCUUUCUUUGCUAUUUUUGUGGGUUCUACAAUUGUUGUUUUCACUCUCAGCUGCAGUUCAAUGAACUCUAUUAAAUAAUUAGUUUUUAAACUACAAGUAGCUUUGGAACAGCUCUUAAAUUGAUAUAACUUCUAUUAUUAUGUAACUUAGCAAGGUCAGAUAUUUUAAUAAUAGCACAUCACUAUUGUUUCAUGUGAAUGAUGCAAUUGGAUUAGCCAAUACAUACCGUCAUCCCCGGGAGAUGCUAUGGCAAUAGCUUACUCUACCGUGCCAAUGUCAUUAGUAUUAAUCUGUCGAACCUAAGACCAGAUCUAAGUUGAUCUAGAUUCCCCAAGAUUGCACACCACACAGUGAUUAAUGAAUCAAGAACAAUAAACCAUCAAAGAAUCGCAAACUUACAUGUCGGGUUACAUGUAAUAAAUGUUUUAAUUAUUAGAUGAUUCAUAAUGUUAGACCAUUUUUUGUAUGUUUUGUAAUCUACGUUUGAUAAUUUAAUUAGCUGAUAAACACUUGAAUAAUAUUAUUUCAUUAACUAUGUCAUUGAUCCCCAGGAAAAAAAAAAAAAAAAAACCCAAUUUGGGAUGUUAUACAUUACUUUUUCAUUACUUCCCAUUUUAGAUUAAUAUUUAUCACAUAUAUUCUUAGCAACUUGUAACCCUUUUUGCUAAGGGUGAAAUGUGUUUGUUACCCCUUCUAUUUCUGAGAUUGUCCUUACAAUAAGGAUGCCGGCCACAAUGUCAAAAACUGCUAUCUCUAGGUGUAAAUUCCUUAUAAAAUUCUUUUUUAAUUGAAAUUACUUAAAUAAUUGAAGAUAAAUUAAUUUUUUAUUUCAUUCAAAUAAAAAAAAUCAAUUAAACACUUCAAUAAGCUAUCCUUUUAAUUUUUUUUUACACCCAUCCAGUUUCAUAAUUUAUAUUUAUAAUUUAAAUUUUAAUGGGAAUAUUUUUUUGAAAAAUUUUAAGAAUUAAGAAUUAUGGGGAUAAAAAUUAUGUAAUAAGACCAAAAUAAUUUAAAAUUUUAAAAUUUGCAUGUAUUAUAAACAAAAACUUGAAAGAAAUACUCUUUUCAGGGUGAAAUUUAAUGAGAAAAAGAUUAAUUUUAAUUUAUGAAUUAGUAUUUUAUAAGUUAAACUGAGGUAUUUCAAGAAAUAGAAUUCAAAAGGCAUGGGAACGAGGGCCUUGGGUUUCAUUUUGUUUUGUAUGAAUUGGGAAAAAUACACGGACAGACAAAGGGAGCAGUCAUUAUAAUGCUGUGGAGCUUGUCGGAGAUUCCCUGCCCAUUUGUAGCUUAGAAUCCUGGGGUUUUGUUCAUGUCUUUUCUCUUUCCCACUUUCUCAUAUUGCUGUCUCAUAAGAGAAAUAGUCAUACAUAGUUGGUUAGGCCUCCAGUCCAUUAACUUAAUAAUGAAUUUUAUGAAAAUUGAUUAUCUCAUUGGAAUUACAUAGAUAUUGGAAAACAUUACUCCAGCCCCACCAUCCCAACCAUUUACUUAGUUCAUCAGUAAAAGCUGGAUUUUCCAUUUGUUCUUGAGAUUCAAAUUAAGGCAGCAAGUUGCUCAUUCAAUAUUAUCUAUGUAAUCCUGUAAAAGUGAAGGGCGUUUAGAUGUGGAAAAACCUUACUCCUGCCGCAACACCUCAAACAGAUUGUGAUCAGACAAGACUUAGUUCAUCAUUAGCGGUAGUUGGAGCUUCCAUUUGUUCUAGAGAUUCAAAGGCAGCAAGCUGCUUCCUCAGUGCUACUAAUUCUUCCCCGGCAUUGCAUAUGUAGCCUGAGGCUUGUCUGCCAGACAAAGUUGCUCCUUCCAUACUAUCUAUGUAAUCCUGUGAGAGUGAAACCAUUUAGAAGACAUAUCUCUUUUUUUUUUUCAAUAUUUGGAAUGAAACAAUUAUAUACAGUUACCUGUUUUGUAUAUGAGCUGGCGAGGAAGAAGUUCUUCACUGGUAUCUUUUGAUCAGGUCUGAAGGGGUCUUUACCAGGUCCCUCACCUCACAAAGAUUGCCGGAUUUUGACGACAGAUAACCAAAUAACUUCUAAACCUUGGGAUGAUGGAAAUAGAGCUCAAACCUAAUAAAAGGAACCGUGAAUGGAUAGUAUGGACUCAUGUAUAUUAUCCAGAAAGUUGCAUGACCUUUUUUGGUACUCAGGUCACUAAAAAAUGUGAGAUAAACAUCUAGGAUAAGAAAAGCAAAAAAGCAUAACCUAAUACGUAUUAUAUGAAUUGAAGGUGUCACUGAACGCUACCAACCUGCUUUGCCACUCUCCUUCUGAUUUCAUCAUUUGGUAAGGGCAUAUAAGGAUCUCCAGGCGUCAAAAUGCAUCUGAAAUAUAAUAUGGCUAUAGUAAGUAACACAGAAUACAAAGACACUUAGCAAAAGGAAGUCAAUCAGAUUCCAUGCACAAAAAAUAACUAAUAAUGACGAGGAUAAGAAAUUUUUCUUGCUGGAGCAACGAACCUUGCCCUUCUCUGUAGUAGUCUUCUGGUGAAGUGAGUGCUAGAUCUGCAAAGCAAGAUAAAUCUGCAUCUGGAGUAUAUGAAAGGUUAUCUAACCCCACAGCUUGCCUCAAUUGUCUACAUGUUCAAAACAAGGAUCUGUUAAAAAAUGGAAAUUUCUUCAAUGCAUUAGUAAAGGGAAGUGAAGUGAAAGCUGAUUUCUUAGGCCUUCACAGAGCAUCAUGUGUUUGAAUUCCGGUAACCUCACAAAAAAUUAGAGCAUCACCUUGACCGUUCUAGGUCUUGCAACUCAGUAACCCAACCAUUGCAUCUAAGCUGCACUGUGACAACAGGAACUCCAACUAGCUCAUAAAUAUUGUUGAAAAUUUUCAUUUCCCUCCACGAUGAUGGAGGCAAACUUUUAAUUCCAGGGACAUCACAUGCAGCCAUUAAAUAAGAAGUUGAAUAAAGAAAAAUCGUUCAACUAAAUGAUUCAGGAGUUAAAAAAAAAAAUGUAGAAGUAGAAAUAAAUAACGAAGAUUUAACCAUAAACCUGCAACAUAUGCAUCAGCUUGCACAACCUUCUUGUCAGUGGCCUGAAAUAGAAUGAGAAAUUGAAAGACAGUAAGCAUUAAAGAAUAAACUCAAAGAAGCUGCUUCUAACAGAUGAUAUAAACAGUAAAUUUACAAAUGUCAGAUCAUUGCAUUAGCUCUAUGCCUCCAUCAGAGGGAAUAUUAAUAGAUGCAUAAAAAAAUAAUUAGAGCCACAUGUUAAACAAUUUACCUUAGAAGUAGCAAGUGCUUUGACAAAUUUUUCCCCGUUAGCAGAUUUAUCAUAAAGUAUCUCUCUGCAUCCCCACCUAAGAUGGAACCUGUUCUCACAAGAACAGAUCCCAAGGUUGGGAAAAUCAGUUCAUCAUAGGAGAAAACAAAGAAGAUUAACAAAUCACUACAAUGGUGUGAACCCGUAAAUACAAACGUACCUGCCCCCUUUAUCUGUGAUAUAUUUUCUUAUGGGCCCACUCAAAUAAACAUCCGGAGAACCCUUGAGCAUCAGCAAUAGGGAAGCCUCGGUCUUAGUCGCAAACAGUGCAAAUAUAGUGAGCAUACAACGAGCACUGAUGUUAUCACAAUCAAUAAACCCAAGGGCAUACGCAACAGGAUCCCACAUUCUUUGGAACCCUUGGACAAAAACCAAUCAGAGAAGCUUAUCUGUAAGAAGAAAUGAAGUUUUAGGUAAAAUGACAAUCUGUAAGAACAGGGAUUGAAAUUCAACAAACAAGAAAAUAUGAUGUCAUUCUUACACUAUCCAAAUCUCAUAUGUCCUUCAAGGCUCCAUCAGGAUCAACAAGUGCCUUUACAACAGCACUCAGAGCAAGAGCAAGAGCAUUUCUUGCUUUAUCAUAAGUCUGCACUUGAGCAAUUUAUGAGGCAAAGUACAUCAAAAGAGAAUCCAAAAGAGGCAAGAAGCUUCAACAUGAAAAAAGGAGUACUGCCUCAUCAUACUGCUUUGCAAUCACAGUGCAAAAGAUAACAUCAACAAAAUCAAAUUCUAGCAUAAAUCCAUAUGCACUACCUUAAGCUGAUUUGUAGACAAAAGACCCGUUUGGGGCAGCUGCGCGGUUGCAGCGCAGCUGUCCCAAACGGGUCCAAUCAGAAACCCAAAAUCAAGUUCUGGAGUUGAAAAUCAAAAUCAUGAACCAAAUCAGAGUUAUUAUUGAAUUAGACAAUCCAUAAACCAAUAGAAGGUAAAACAAAAAGGAAUAAAAAUUCUUCUAAAUUCUUUCACCAUCAACAAAAUCAGUAAAACACAUACUAAUUCAAAAUGACAUAAAGUUUGUGAAUUGAAAUAAUGCCAACUCCUAAGAAAAAUUAUGACUGCUGAUAUUUUUUCCGAAAUGCUGAUAAAAGCUUCUGCUAUUUACUUUGAAAAAAUAGAGGUUAGAAGCCAAUUUACUUGAAAUUUUGAGUUUAGGCAAGAGGAUGAAUGGCAAAAGUGAAACAAUUUAGGGAAAAAUGUACUUCAGAGGCCAAUGAAAGCAUUCAGAAGAUUGAAAUCUAAAUAAGCAAAACCCCGUGGCCUUGAUCCAACAAAUCCACUGCUGUUGACAUGCCUGCAAGCCCAGCUCCAAUAAUAGCCACUUUCAGCUUUGGUCCUCUAUAAUGUUCCGGUUCUGGUAGAAACAAACCCUUGGGAGCUGCCAAGUAUACCAUCCAAUUAUCCACAGCGAUAAUGGAAAUAUAUAUGUGUUUAAAGGUACUAAAUUCCUAAACAUGAAAUGUAUCCAAAGAGAGACACAAAGCAGAAUUGUGAAACCCAAUAAAUUUUAAGAAUACAAAAUACUCGGUCUGUUCCUCAAUUCCUUUAAUAAAAUUUCCACUAGAGGCUCCGGAAGCCACUCAAUAACACUCCAAAGCCAGAUUUUAAACGUUCUCUUUAUCUUUAACUACAAUCCACAAACAAUUCUGCCACAAAUUCAAUUCAAAAUUGUUCAAGUGCACCGCCACUUCUCCAUCAAUUCCCUCAAAAAUUCAUAAUUGGCAAACACUACAAACCAAAAAGAGCUUCCAGCAAUAAACGCAUAAAAAUCCACCAAGCAACAUAAAACAAAAUACCCAGAAACCAGAAAAGCCAAAAGAUCAAUGCUUGGCAAACAAGCCAAUCAAAUAAAACAAAAAGAAGAGAAAUUUACCAUUAACGCUCAUAUCAGAAACAUUAGUGUCCAAAGAAGCCCGUACACGGAAUCUUGGAUCCUUCACUUGAACCCGAGACCAUGUAACGCCAGUAACUGAAGUUGCAGGAAACAGAACUGAAGAACCCAUAUUGCAAAUCCUGAGCUGAAAUCAAAGAAAUUCAAUUGGAACUCAAUUCAGCUCAACCGAGCGGAGCUCUCUUUUGCUUCAAUAACAAAGUGUUUUUCUUUCAUAUCAACAAAGAUUUGUCAACAUCAACAAAAUUUAACUAAGAAACUAAAAAUAAUGCGGUAUCUUUGAGUUUAAGAAUCUAACAAAGAUUUGUCGACAUCAGGGAACUGUUUCGGAGAGGUUGGCCAAGUGCAUUUUUGUUUUUUUCUUGUUUUGCCCUUUUCAUUAAUGCACAACAUUAGUCCACGUGAAGAGCACAAAAUGCUGGUGGCUUUGUCACUAACGAUAAUGGAUGGAGUGUCCAAAGCAACCAACUAAAUUUUAAAGAGAGGGAAUGAUAAGUAAUAUCUUAAUGGGGUGAUUAAUUAAUUUAUUAUCAAGCAAUUGUAUUUAUUUAUUUAAAAGAUAUCCUUAUCUUUGUACAAGGUUUGAGGAAAGACGACGAUGUUGUGUUGUCACAUAUUUUUACGUUUCUCCAUAAUUCACUGCAACAUCAACUGGGCCACCACCUCUUGCCUCUCCCGGUUCCCCUCAAUUUUCUUAUUCAAUGUCCACCGUUGAUUGUACAUUUAUUGAAAUUCUGUGGUUAUUGUUUUUUUGCAUACAUUUAAUUCCACACGGUCUAUGAAUAGAGCAGGUGCAUCGUAGUUGUGGCCUUAACUGUUAUUGGUAACUCAAUAGCUAAUUCUAAUGUUUCAUCAAGCAGUUUAGAGAUAACCUCUCUCGCUGAACUCCCCGGAGUAACGCAAUCCAGUUUUCCAGUGCAAUCAUCAGACAGUUGAACAGCUUCUGAAUUCCCUUUGCUUUUCUUGUUUUCUUUUCCAUGUAAAGGGAGCUCAGGCUUCAAUAUAUCUGGGGAUUGAGUACUAAUGAUAAAGACAACAUACGAUAGAGGACACAAAUUGUUAUUAAAGAAUGACGCACUUUUCAACUGAGUACAGUAAAGCAAGAAUGGGUAAUUAGUUUUACCUGCAACGUGAAAAUCUAGACUCCCGACGGUAACCGAUCUUUGGUGAAGCAAAUAAAGAAGAAGGCGAAGUAAAAUUCACUGAGUUGAAUGAGCAAUCAUUACGUAUGGACUUGAUUUGUUCAAUGGGUGAAAGACUGCUGAUAUAAUUAAAGACUGGAGAAUCCUGCACGUUGACAAGCAUCAUUUUUAAUAUAACAUAGAGUCUUAAAAACCUAGUCAGUGGCAAAUGAUCACGACAAGCAAACUGAAGUACAAACAGCAGAGCUCAACAAAUCAUUAAGAGAAAAUAAGACCAUUAACCAAGCAGAUAAAAGAAACGCAAAAUAACCCAUCUCAAAUCACCGCAUGCACAAUUUAAGGGGGUUGUGACAUGGGUUUAAGCAUGAUUUAACAAGUGCCACCAGUGAAUUCUCAGAGAUUGAAUUUUCAUACACAUGCAAAUUUCCAAGUCCAACGAAUUGUUGUCUUUCUGAAGAUAUUAACGUUGCAUAGCAUGCUAUAAAUAAAUCAUAUUAUUAGGGCCUUUCUUUGCUGUACACAACAUAUGUACAGAGGAACAAAUCCAUGAGCUGAAAUCAUCAUAUUCCAAAAUAUUCUACCCAAUCAACACUACAAAACCCUAACGCUAAACAGAAUUGGAGCAAUGUACGAAAGCUAUUUGUCACACAAAGCACUGGUACCUCAGAACCCAAUUUUCAAAAAAGCAACAAAAAUGAAAAAUAGCAAGUGCCCAGAUGCAAAAUCAGGAAAAAAAUGCUCAAAUCCAAACUACAACCCCAUAAGCUGAGAUUGACCUCAAACUUGGAAACGGAAGCGACAGUGAUCUGUUUCUUGUCUGAAGUGUCCAUUUCUCUCGCUCCGCCACAAAGCCUCUUCACUCUGAAGCUGAAACUCACCACGCACUUGCAAAACGAAAGCAUUUGAUUGAUUGAGAGGCGGGAAGGCGGGAAAACGAGAGAAAUUUGCUUUUGUUUUUUCUUCGUUUGGUCAUACAUCUGCAGGCCCCAGGUUGACAAGCGUUAUUACUACUACUUGCAUUAUUUGAAGGACGCGUGUCAUGCAACGAUGAUGGAAAAAGUGGUGCAAAACUUCAAUGGUCACGAAAUGACGAUAAAACAAAAAUAUAUGGUUAAUUUUUCACUUAACAUUGGAAUAUCAUAUAAUUUUAUGGUCAUUUUCUCGCUGUUACGCCACAUUCUUUUGAUAAAAUAAUAUGGUUAAACUUUUCUAUAAUCAUGAUAUUAGAACCCAAUUAACUUUAUUUCUAUAAAGUGGUUAUAGCUUAAUAAAGGUAAAAUUGUAAAAAAUAUUAUUUUGACUUAAUUAUCUUUAGUGCAAGUGAUAUAAAAAAUAAAUAUAUGAUAAUUAAUUAAUAAAUUAUGUCAAAUAUAAUAUAUGGACAAUGAUAAAAAAGAUAGACAUAAUUUCAAAAAACUAAUAUAUAUGUUUUUGUAGUGCUGGGAUUAUACAAAGUUAUCUUAAAAGUGUAAAGAGUAAAGUAUUAGAUUGGAUUGAAUUAUAUAUAGUGCUGACUUAUGUUUGGUAUGAUAUUGUAUUAGAUUAUGUUAAAUUAAAUUUACAUGAAAUUAAAUAGUAUUUACAUUAAUAUUUGAAUUUAAAUAUCAACUAUUUAUAGAUAUUUAACAAUAAAUAUUAUAAUUAAUUAAAAACAGCACUAAUAAGGGGUGUGUGUGUGUGUGUGUAUUCAUUUAGUUAUUGGGUAGUCAUAAUUAUAAUAAAGAAAUAUAAACUAUUUAAAUUAUAGGUUAUUUCAAAGAGUAAUGAGAGAUAUCAUUUCAUUAAAUAAAAUAAAUAAAACUAUUCAAAUAAUAAAUUAAUUAAUAAAUUUUAAGUAAAUCAUGAAUAAAAAAGAAAUUACUUAAUUAAAAACAAUAAAUAAAUAAAUAAUUUUUAAGUUAUAAAUAAAAUUGUGUAAUAAAUUAUGGAAGAUAUUAUAAAUACACAAAUAUUUUUUUCACAUUAUCUAGUCCCAACUAAACCCACAUAAAAAUUAGAAUUAGCAAUCCCAUGAAUUUAGGAUUAAAAUUUGAAUUUAGUCCAUUAAUCCAAUCCAAGUGAGCAUGCCAAACAUAGUAUUAAUAUUUUAUCCCAAUAAUAAGUCCAAUCCUACACUAAAUCCUACCUCCCAAACAUAACCUUAAGAAUCUAUUGACAUGUGUCAUUAAUGAAAUUAAAUGGCUAAAAUUUUGUUUUAAUUAAUUUUUACCUAAAUAGACAUCAAAACUCAUGUGUGACUCUUGUUAAUCUUUUUCUUACAAUUUCUUUUCCUCUUAAUUCUUUAUAUUUUGACACCGAUUUCUAGCAAAUUAUUAAAAAAAAGAAAAGGAGCACAAAUUGGAGAAAAGUGAUUGACAACAAGGUUUGCAUCUUAAUUUCAAAAUUUUCCUUUCUUUGUUGUUGUUUUUUUUUUUUUUGGGUUCUAUAAUUGUUGUUUUCACUCUCACUUACAAUUCAAUGAACUAAAUUAGUAUUGCUACUUAUAAACUGCUAUUACCGGGCAUAUAAUUUUAUUGCUACAAUUUUACUGCUGUUUAGCUAUUUUUCUGAGUUUUUAGUUGUUGUUCUAUUGUCUCUUUGGGGUUUGCAACUGAUGUUUGCUGUUUUUCUAUGAAACAAUUAAAUUCUUUUGCUGCUACAUUUUUUGUUGUUCUAUUAUGGCCGGGACGUAUGUGAAAGGGAAAGAAUCUACCCAAAAAAAAAAAUGACAAAGAGUCACAUGUGAGUUUAGAUGUAUUUUUAAGUAAAAAUUAAUUAAAACAAAAUCUUGGCCCAUUAAAUAACUUAAUAUAAUCAAUUUGUUCUUAAUAACUUAAUAUUAUUUAAUCUAUAGAAGCAAGAUCCUCGAAGACAAAACCUAUAAAUAAUUUAAUAUAAUGAAUUGAUUCUUAAUCUACUCCAAAUUGAGACUACAAUUUUUUACUUAAAAAUUGGCUAGCUAACUUUACCUUGAUGGGCUGACUAUCGCCCAUACAUAUUUCUUCAAAUUUAUUAAUAUUUUUGUGCAUAGCAAUUAGGGUUACGUGACAACGAAUUCUCCUUUUAGUAUAUAAAAAGUAUACUCACAAGUAGUGUAGUGUUCCCCUCCUAAAGGGCAUAGCUCACUGACUUUUAGUCUCUUUCUUCAGUUGACGACUCCAGUUAGACUCUUCAAUGAGAUUAAAGAUUGAAUAUAUCAAAAAUAUUAGCAAUAUUUGUGCUUAUAUUUAACAAAACUAGAGUAAUAUAUUGAUUAAUCUACAUAAUUUUAGGCGGGUUCUUAGGUAAUGUUACAAUUACAUAGAUUAUUUUCACAGUAUAAGCCAAAUCUUAAGAAUUAAUUACUUGAAUAAAAGGAAUAAAGGAUGAUCGAUAAAAGUAAAACAAAGAAAAUAAAUUAUGCCGUUAAAUUGGGAUAUUUGGCUGCCUUAAUCGCUAGAGAUGCUUCUCCAAAACCCGCGUGUAAACAAAACACAUAUUUUUAACAUAACAAUAGCCCAAGCACAUAAACAAGAGUGAAAGCCGAGGAAUCAAUUUCAUUACUGUUCACUAGUAUUUUCAAUUUCAUUAUUUCAUUAACUGUCAUUGAUAAAAAAAAAAAAAAAAACUCAAUUUGAGAUGUUAUACAUUACUUUUCAUUACUUCCCAUUUCAAACAUAUUUAUCAUAUAUAGUCUUAGUAGCUUGUAACCCUUUCUGGUAAGGGUAAAAUAUUUCUUACCCCUUUGAUUUCUGAGAUUGUCCUCACAAUAAUGAUGCUGGCCCCAAUUUCUAAAACUACUAUCUCUAUGAGUAAAUUCCUUAUAAAUUUUCUUUUAAUUGAAAAUAUUUAAACAAUUGAAGAUAAAUUAAUUUAUUUUUUUAUUCGAAUGAAAAUUCAAUUAAACACUUAAAUAAGCUAUUCCUUUAACAAUUCUUUUCACACCCAUCAUGUUUCGUAAUUUAUAUUUAUAUUUAUAUUUUAAAAUUUAAUUGAAAAUACUUUUUGAGAAACUUUUAAGAAUUAAGAAUCAUGGAGAAAAAAAUGAUUUAAUAUGAAGAAAAUAGUUUAAAAUCUUAAGAUUUGUAUGUUUUAUAAAUAAAAACUUGAAAAAAUACUCUUUCCGAGAAAAGAUUUAAUCAGAAAAUGAUUAAUUUUUAAUUUAUGAAUUAAUAUUUUAUAAAUUAAACUAGGGGUAUUUUAAGGAAUAUAAUUAAAAAAGAGUGUCAUAAGGAUAUUUAGGGGUGUUAGAAGCCAUACUCAUUUACAUAAGCCAUGGGAGUUAGGGUAUUGGGUUUCUUUUUGUUUUGUAUGAAUUGGGAAAAAUACAGAGACAGACAAAGGGAACAGUCAUUACAAAGCUGUGAAGCGUGUGGGAGAUACCCAUUUGUAGCUUAAACUCCUAGGGUAUUGUUUCUGUCUUUCUCUUUCUCACUUUCUCAUGCAGCAGAUGUACAUAUCAUGAAAUAGCCAUACAUAGUUGGUUAGGCCUCCAGUCCAUUAACUUAAUAAUGAAUUUUAUGAAAAUUGAUUAUCUCAUUGGAAUUACAUGGAUAUUGGAAAGCAUUACUCCAGCCCCACCAUCCCAACAAUUUACUAAGUUCAUCAGUAAAAGCUGGAUUUUCCAUUUGUUCUUGAGAUUCAAAUUAAGGCAGCAGAUUGCUCAUCCCAUACUAUCCAUGUAAUCUUGUAAAAGUGAAGGGCGUUUAGAUGUGGAAAAACCUUACUCCUGCCGCAACGCCUCAAACAGAUUGUGAUCAGACAAGACUUAGGUCAUCAUUAGUAGUAGUUGGAACUUCCAUUUGUUCUUGAGAUUCAAAGGCAGCAAGCUGCUUCCUCAGUGCUACUAAUUCUUCCCUGGCAUUGCAUAUGUACGCUGAGGCUUGUCUACCAGACAAACUUGCUCCUUCCAUGAUAUCUAUGUAAUCCUGUGAGAGUGAAACCAUUUAGGACACAUAUCUCUUUUUUUCUAUUGAUCGUGACAUAUUUGGAAUGAAACAAUUAUAAACAGUGACCUGUUUUGUAUAUGAGCCAGCAAGGAACAAGUUCUUCACUUGUGUCUUUUGAUCAGGUCUGAAGGGGUCUUUACCAGGUCCCUCAUGGUACAAAGACUGCCCGAUUUUGACAACAGAUGACCAAAUAACUUCUAAACCUUGGGACAAUGGAAAUAGAGCUAAAACCUGAUAAAAGGAACCGUGAAUGGAUAAUAUGAACAGAUGUAUAUCAUCCAGAAAGUUGCAUGACCUUUUGCAGGGCUCAAAGUCACUAAAAAAUGUGAGAUAUACAUCUAGGAUAAGAAAAACGAAAAAGCGUAACCUAAUAUGUAUUAUAUGAAUUGAAGGUGUCACUGAACACUACCAACCUGCUUUGCCACUCUCCUAAUGAUUUCAUCAUUUGGUAAGGGCAUGUAAGGAUCGCCGGGCGUUAAAACGCAUCUGAAAGAUAAUUCAGUUAUAGUAAGCAACACAGAAUACAAAGACACUUGGCAAAAGGAAGUCAACCAGAUUCCAUGACACAAAAUGAAACUAAUAAUGGCGAAACUUCUCUGUAGUAGUCUUCUGGUGAAGUGAGUGCCAGAUCUGCAAAGCAAGAGAAAUCAGCAUGUGGAGUAUACAAAAGAUCAUCUAAUCCCAGAGCUUGCCUCAAUUGCCUACAUGUUCAAAACAAGGAUCCGUUAAAAAAUGGAAAUUUGUUCAAUGCAUUAGCAAAGGGAAGUGAAGUGAAAGCUGAUUUCUUAGGCCUUUAAAGAGCUUCUUUUGAUUGAAUUCCUGUAACCUCACAAAAGAUUAGAGCAUCACCUUGACCGUUCUAGGUCUUGCAACUCAGUAACCCAACCAUUGUAUCUAAGCUGCACUGUCACAACAGGCACUCCAACUAGCUCAUAAAUAUUGUUGAAAAACUUCAUUUCCCUCCACGAUGAUGGAAGUAAUCGUUUAAUUCCAGGGACAUCACAUGCUGCCAUUAAAUAGGAAGUUGAAUAAAGGUAAAACAUUCACCUAAAUGAUUCAGGAGAACAAAAAAGCACAAGUAGGAAUAAAUAAGGAGGAUUUAACCACAAACCUGUAACAUAUGCUUCAGCUUGCACAACCUUCUUGUCAGUGGCCUGAAACAGAACCAGAACCUCUAAGACCAUAAGCAUUAAAUAAUAAACGCAAAGUAGCUGCUUCUAACAGAUGAUAUAAACAACUGAUUUACAAAUGUCUGGUCAUUGCAUUACCUCCAUCAGAGGGAUUAUCAAUAGACGAGUAAAAAAAUAAAUAACUAAACUAGCUUUUGCCGCCUAAUUAGAACCAUGUGAGAAACAAUUACCUUAGACAUGGCAAGUCCUUUGACAUAUGUUUCUCCAUUAGCAGAUUUAUCAUAAAGUAUCUCUCUGCAUCCCCACCUAAGAUGGAACCUGUUCUAGCAAAAACAGACCCCAAGGUUAGGAAAAUCAGUAGGAGAAAACAAACAAGAUUAACAAAUCACUGCAAUGAUGUGAACCUGUAAAUAGAAAUUUACCUGCCCCCUUUAUCUGUGAUAUGUUUUCGUAUGGGCGCACUCAAAUAAGCGUCUGGAGAACCCUUGAGCAUCCGCAAUAGGGCAUAAGCAACAGGAUCCCACAUUCUCUGAAUACUCGUCCGUGUCCCACCUUUGGACAAAAACCAAUCAGAGAAGCUUAUCUGUAAGAAGAAAUGAAGUUUUAGGUAAGAUAACAAUUUGUAGGAACAAGGAUUGAUAUUAAAACAAACUAGAAAAUAAGAUGUCAUUCUUACACUAUCCAAAUCUCCUACGUCCUUCAAGGCUCCAUCAGGAUCAACGAGUGCCCUUACAACAGGACUCAGAGCAAGAGCAAGAGCAUUUCUUGCUUUAUCGUAAGUCUGCACUUGAGCAAUACAUGAGGCAAAGUACAUCAAAAAAGAAUCCAAAAGAGGCAAGAAGCUUCAACAUGAAAGAAGAAAUACUGUCUUAUCAUACCGCUAACUAAUCAGAGUGCAAAAGAUUACAUCAACAUAAUCAAAAUGGAACAUAAAUCCAUAUGCACUACCUUAAGCUAAUUUGUAGACAAAAAUGCGCGAAUCCCAUGUAAGGGAGCUCCGACUGGAAACCGGAAAUCAUGUUCUGGAGUUAAAAAUCAAAAUCAUGAACUUAAUCAGAGUUAUUAUUGGACUAGACAAUCCACAAACCAAUUUCAGAGUGUCCAACCACCAAACAUAACUAUCAGUAGUCUUAAGUGAUCAAGAAAUAACCAUACCACCAAUUUCACCACCCUUAUUCACAAAUGUAUGAGUAUGAUCCUUCAUGAGUAAAUUUUUUUGUGUCCGCACUGACCUGUAGACAUCCAUGAAAAACUAUCAGAUUAUAAACACAGGGUCAAUUUAAAGAGGAGCUAUGAUUCUGAUCCAUCAUGAUAUUUGAAGAACAUUUUCAUAUUUUCCUACAACGAGUAAACUAUAACCAGUUAUCAUCACUAUAGAUGGCAUGGUCAAGAGAAAUUAUAGUUCUUGUUUCAAGAAUCUCAAAUCAUAAUUCCUUUGCAUGGCUAGUGUGCUUUUAUAAUCAUUCAAACACACUUAUCCACAACUAAGCAAGCUUUACCUUUUUCAUCAAUCGGAACAGAUUAUUGUAGCAUCCAAAGAAAAUGUGCAGGCCCAUUUCAAUAUGGUUUCCAUGUUUAUCAAUAAAUGAACCCACUUUACCACCAAUGAAAGACCUUGACUCAUAUAUAUCCACCUGGAAGGGGGGGGAAUCUUCUAAUUUCUUUCACCAUCAACAAAAUCAGUAAAACACAUACUAAUUCAAAAUGAAAUAAACUUUGUGAAUUGAAAUAAUGCCUGCUCUAAAGAAAAUGAUAACUGCUAUUCAUUUUUCCGAACUGCUGAUAAAAGCUUCUGCUAUUUACUUUGAAAAAAUUGAGUAACUUCAAAUUUUCAGUUUAGGCAAGAGGAUGAAUGGUAAAAGUGAGACAUUUUAGGGGAAAAGAAAAUACUUGAGAGGCCAAUGAAACAUUGAAAGAUUGAAAUCUAAAUGAGCAAAACCUCAUGGCCUUGAUCCAACAAUUCCCCUGCUGUUGACAUGCCUGCAAGCCCAGCUCCAAUAAUAGCCACUUUCAGCUUUGGUCCUCUAUAAUGUGCCGGUUCUGGUGGAAACAAACACUUGGGAGCUGCCAAGUAUACCAUUCAAUUAUCCACAGGGAUAUUGGAAAAACAUACAUGUUUGAAAGUACUAAACAUCAAAUGUCUCCCGAAAAAAAUACAAAGCACAAUUGCAUAAGCAUUUCAUUUCCCAAUAAAUUUCAAGAAUACAAAAUACUUGGUCUGUUCUUGAGUUCCUUCAAGAAAAUUUCCACUAGAGAGCACGCAAGCCACUCAAUAACACUCCAAAGUCAGAUUUUAAACGUUAUCUUGAUCUAUAAGUACAAUCCAUGAACCAUUCUGCCACAAAUUCAAUUAAAAAUUAUUCAAGUAAAAUGCCAAAUUCUCCAUCAAUAGCCUCAAAAAUUCAUAACUAGCAAACACUACAGAACAAAAAGAGCUCCCAGCAAUAAACACAUAAAAAUCCCACCAAGCAACAUAAAUCAAAAUACCCAGAAACCAGAAAACCCAAAAGAUCAAUACUUGGUAAACAAACAAAUCAAAUCAAAUAAAACAAAAAGAAGAGAAAUUUACCAUUAACACUCAUAUCAGAAACGUAAGUAUCCAAAGAAGCCCGUACACAGAAUCUUGGAACCUUCACUUGAACCCGAGACCAACAAACACCAGUAACUGAAGUUGCAGGAAAAAGAAGUGAAGAACCCAUAUUGAAAUAAAAGAAUCCAAACCCAAAGUCCCACAUCUAAAUAUGAUGGAUCCACUCCAUGCGGCAAUAUGAAAUUUAAGCUCUCUUUUCUUAUGUCACCCAAGGCAUUGGCAGGAUGGCCAAACACCUGAGUUCAAGUCUACAAUAGAGAAUCGAAAUUUUCCUUUGUAAAUGUUCAUAAGUAUUUACCACAGAUAUUCAAGUUAUUCUUGAUAGAUCCCCUACUAUAUAUGCUAUAAUAUUUCUCUUCUUUUAAUUUAAAAGUAAAUCAUUCAUAAUAUCGGACUUGUAAAGAAAUAAAAUUUUCGGUAAUUAACUGACAAAACAAAAAAAGAUGGAUUAUGCGAAAGAAGUUAAUAUGGAGUAAGUCGAGCACUUGACAAUCAAAGUAAUUUACUCGAGGUUGAGUAAGGAUAGUACGAUACUUUCUCAAGUUUUCUGAGGACAUUCACGUGACAUUGGACUAUUGAUUAUAGUUAGAGAGAAGUCCAAGGAUGUAAGUGAUGAUGAUAGAUUCACAAUUCUUUUGAAGAAAAUAUUUUAUAUAAACUUAAUUAUAUGGUAUAAAAUGAUUGGCCUUAAUAAAAUUAAAAAAUAAUACACGCCUGGGUCAUGUAAUAUUUUCAACCAACUAAUUUACAUGCAAAAUUAAACUUUAUGAGUACAUUUAUUUGCUAGCAGAAACUCUGCCAAAUUUUCCGAAAUGUGAAAGUGAACACUUUUAACAACGUCACAAAAUGCAUGUGAUAAUGAAACAAUGUGCCAUCCUUAAACUAAUAUUAUUAGAAACUAUAAGUGAAAGUUUUCAGAAAACAUAUGAUAAAUUUUUCUCGGAAUUUGUUUUCUCCUUUGUUUUGAUUUAUGUGAGAGAUAGUUGUAAAGCGUAAAAUUUUAAAAUCCGUAACAAAACAAAAACUUACAUGGGUUGGGCGCACCAUGUGCAUACCAAAUUAGAAUAAUUGACGAAUCGUAAUAAAAAAUUUAUAUAUAAUAAUUGAAUGAGAUCCAUGGUUCACAAUUGCAAAUUAAAGGUUGGUUUUAUAAUAAAAAUCUUUUUUUGCAUACCAAGUUAGAAAAGAUUAUAAGUAAAUUAAGAUUUUCAAAAUUUGACUAGUAUUAUAUUACGUACGUCAAUAUAAUAUAAAUUUGUUAUAUAUAUAUAUAUUUUACUCUGCAACCAAUGCUUUCAAAAACUUUUUACUUGUAUGUUUGAACAACUUUUAUCGCUUUCUAUUUAUAUACGAUCUCAUUUAUGUUUACAUAAAUUUUCAUAUGUACCCAAAUUAAGCAUUAAAUACACACACUUUGGUAAGACACAUUUCUAGUAUCAGACAAUGAUAUUAUAUUGAAUGUAAUGCUUCAAUGAAUUUUAUUACUAUAUACUAAAAUACUCAACGAUAUUCAUUAAAAAAAAAAAAGAAAUUGCAUGAUUAGAAUGAUUAAAGUUCAUUUAAUGACGAGUUUCAUCAUUGACUGUGUCGAAACACAACAGCAAUCCACAAUACACUCAACACGAGAGGCGCACACAAGCAUGCAUGAAUCUUCCACCAUUAAACCUGAAAUCAUAAAAUGAAAGAAACAAGGUGAGUGUUGUUUUACGGUCUGAAAGCCGAUUCGAAAUAAUAAUAAUAAUAGACCUUUGUUAAUAGUUACUACUAGUGGUCACUGCCUUGUCCAUCUUCCUUCUCUGUAUCAUCGUCCACUUCCAAGCCGCUGUCAUCUGACCAAACCCCAGCAACCAUCGCGGGAAAAAUCACCUAUUUGGAGUGAGAGGGAAAAAGCUGAUUGUUGAGAAAUAUAUGUAUCUUUUGUAUGGUUGUGUUAAGGUCACCCAUGCAAGCAGAACGUGCUUCAGUCCCCCAUGCUUUACUCCCCCACUGCACUUCGUGUAAUUUGGGUGUACUUAAAUUUCCUUCAGAGAAAAUCUUCAUAUCGAGGCAAUCACCCACCACUAAUCUUUCCAAAGAUGGGAACUUGAAAGCACAAUUGCCAGAGCAGAAGCUUGUCAAACUUUUUAAGUCUAAAAGCUUCAACUCCUUCAAUUCUCUGAAAGUAAUAACCUCAUCUUUUGCUACAACAUCAUCCACCAGUACUAUUUCUGUUAUCUUAUCGCAUGAUUCUAUCUCCAUAUAUCUAAGUCGCACCAGAGUCUUUGCAAUUGAGGAUGUUAAUACGAUUUUCAAUCCUUUGCAACACGAUACCACCAGAUUUGUAAGAUUCUGAAAGGACGUCGACGAUGGCACUAGAUUGACCAAACGGUCACACCCCUUUACACGUAGAAAAACCAAGUUGUUCGUAACAGAGGACUCCUCUAUCAAAAUGUGCUCCAGUUGAUAUUUUGCUUCUCUUAUUUCUACCCUCAUCCCAUUUUCAACCUGCUCUUUCGGCAACCAAGCACCAUGUCCUCCUAUUUCGAGGACUUUCAUUGUGUGAAGUCUCUGGAGGAAGUCACCAAGUGAUAAAAUUGUCCGCUCAUCAACCAACUCCACGUAAAGAUAUUUUAGUUUGCAAAGCAAGUCUUCAGAAAAUAGAUAUUUAUUUGUUACCACGUGCUUUGCAUCAACUUUCAACUUUUCCAAAUUAGGGAAUACCUGGGAGAUUGAUCAGAGCCCAAAAAAAAAAAAAAAAAAAAAAAAAAUACAAGAUGAAUCAGUUGAUGAGAAUUAUAAGUUACCACUAAUUUAUACCAUAUAUUUUAUUCAAUAAAUCUUUACCUUUAAAAAAAAUAGUAAUAAUAAUACGCCUAGCUAACAUCUAGAAUAAUUAUGAAUGAAUACUAUACACUAAUCUAUAAGAGAGUUCCGUUGCUGACAAUUUGACUUUUAGUAAGAAACCAAGCGAUAAAGGCAAAGGCAAUAUAACUCUUAAGCUUUAUGAUAUAAACUUUCACAGUACAUACAUAAGAAUUGAAAAUUUGAUUAUAAAAUUCUUGUACGUACCCUUUCCGUCAAGAUAUUAGUAGUUCUUUUGCAUCUCGCCAUGAAUUCAGGACAUCCAGAUAUCUCUAAUUCUUUCAAGGAUGGAAAUUCAAGAUUAUCAAGAUCUCCAGUACAGAAGCUUGUGAACUUUUCAAGAUCAGACAUCCUCAGAUAUUGCAACUGAGGAAACGUUACAAUAUUAUUCUUCAUUUCUUCCUGGUUGUCCACGACUAUUAACUCUUCCAAGACGCGACAUCUGACUAUCUGAAUGCGUUGGAGUCGAACCAAGCUACUAACAGUAGCAGAUGAAAAUAGACAACUUAAAUUCUCACAGACAGACAAGGUCAAGUGCGUUAAAUUCUGAAUACCACAAGACAUGACUGUAACUUGGCUCGGCCAAAUCCUCUCAACAUUUAUUGAAUCCAACGUCAACUUCUCUAACUCUGGUAACCGAUCCUGCUCGAUCAAAAAAUUAACUUGUUAAUUGCAAGUAAACGAUCAUUGAUUAUAAAAUUCUUGUACGUACCCUUUCCGUCAAGAUAUUAGUAGUUCUUUUGUAUCUCGCCAUGAAUUCAGCACAUCCAGAUAUCACUAAUUCUUUCAAGGAUGGAAAUUCAAGAAUAUCAAGAUCUCCAGUGCAGAAGCUUGUGAACUUUUCAAGAUCAGCCAUCAUCAGAUAUCGCAACUGAGGAAACAUUACAAUAUUAUUCUUCAUUUCUUCUUCGUUGUCCACGACUAUUAACUCUUCCAAGACAGGACAUUCGACUAUCUUAAUGUGUUGGAGUCGAACCAAGCUACUAACAGUAGAAGAUGAAAAUAGACAUCUUAAAUUCUCACAGACACACAAGGUCAAGUGUGUUAAAUUCUGAAUACCACAAGACAUGACUGUAACUUGGUUUUGCCAAAUCCUCUCAACAUUUAUUGACUCCAACGUCAACUCCUCUAACUCUGGUAACCGAACCUGCUCGAUCAAAAAAUUAACUCAUUAAUUACAAGCAACAAUGAUUUCUGUUGAUGGACAAAUCAAUAAAAUUACUCUUUCUCUGGUUAUAGUUCUUUUCAGUUUUUCAUACAAACAACCGUUAAUCAAGUUUUCCAAAUUAUUCCUUACUAAAUGUAUAGAUUUAGACGGCGGCUAAUAUAGUUCAUAUUGUAAAUAUUCUUUGAUUGUAACGAAUUUUGUAAUAUUAAAUUUUGGUUGAUUCGCAAUAGGACCUACUAUCCAGCGCGAGCAGUUCUCGGGGAUUUAACUACUGGCACCUCGAUUAUAUAAAAAUUUAGAAUAUUUUCAAAGGAAAUCAAAUAAUUCCCCCUUGCAAAUAGUAAUUAUCAUCAAUUGCCGGGGGUUCACAUAUAAUUCUAAGAAAUUAGGCGAGAAGAGUCUCAUCAACAAUCAAUCAGCAAAUAUCACGUUUGGCAGAUCAUCAUGAUUUCCUCAGAUGCUAGAGAAUCAACGUGAUUUCUGCUCAUGCAGGAGUGGACACAUUAUCUUAGAGCAUCCCUCACUGAGAUCUUUUAAAAAAUUUAUAUUAUAAAGUGAACAACAUAUUUAGUAUAGAUUUAGACGGCGGCUAAUAUAAUUUAUAUGUAUUCUAAUGACGUAUAUUAAAGAAAAUGACUAACCAUAAUUUCAAUCAACUUAUUAGUCUAUAUAUAUAUAUAUAUAUAUAUAUAUAUAUAUAUAUAUAAAAGUGACUACAACAUAUUUAGUAUUCCAUGACAUGAUGUUUAUAAUAAUAAUUAUUAUUAAUUCACUUUUUGUGUCAAGAACCUUUUCUUUCUCUAAGAAUGAAUUUCUUACACCCUACUAUACUACGGAUGAAAAAUUUAGAAUCAUUGUGAAAUAUGAUUAUUAAUCACUCUUUGCCAUAUUUGCUACCAAACAAGAAUGCAACAAAGAAAAAAAAAAUUAUAGAGAAUUAAUAAGACCAUUGACUUAUCAAUAACUGACCUUCUCAGCGAAAAGUGUAUUAGAAAUUUGGACAUUGUCCUCCAAAAUGAUUUCAUGUGACCGCAAAUCAUUAGCUGAUUCCUCCUGUCUCUGCUAACAUUGCAGGUGUAUUGAUUUUAGAGUGUAAGCUUAAUUGUGAGCACAACCUUAAUGCAUAGAUACAAGAUCUUUAAAAAUUAGUACAAUAAACUUAGCACUAAAUCUGAAUUUGAUAUUUUGGAUUCCAUGAUUAAGAUUUUUUUAAAAUGAAAAUUUAAUAGAGUUAAUUUAAAAAUAAAAAUUAAAUAUGAAAAAUUAGAGUUGCAAUUAUGGAUUUAAUUUUGAUAAAUAAUGAAUGUUCUCUUAAUAUUUUUUUUUUAAAGGUAAAAGAGCGUACAAAGCCCAAAUUCAUUUUUUUAGUCCCUUACUCUCCCAUAAUUCAAACUUGGGUGGUUGUAGGAGGACUGAAAAUAUAUAAGACAGUUAACUUCACUUUUUUUUUUUUCUUUUUUUUUUUUGAGAGAAAAGAGAAGAAGGAUAUUACAAAGCAUGAAGCUCGUGCAAUAUAAGGGCAAUGAUGGUUUUUUCUUUAAAUUAAAAUAGUAAGAUUUUGAAGCUAAAAGAUUAAAAUAUUAAUUAAAUUGCAAACAUUAAAGAUUUUUUUUUUUCAAAUGGUUGCUUUGAAAAUGAGAAUAAUAUAAUAUUUGAAGACUUUUCAAAAUUAAUUACUGUGAUAGAUGCACUAGAAGUUUCUAGCUCUAGUCUAAUGUAUAAAUUGACAAAACGAUAUUAGAAUCCCAGGUGAAAAGAACCCUCUCACACCAAUUAUUUAAAUUAGGAAUGAUCAUACCUCUGACUCUGCCGAACUGAGGGCGGGGUCUAAACCCACCAUAAAGAGACGCUUGAGAUGGGAAGAGCCCACUUUGACUAAUUCAUUACGAAAAUAAUCGACAUCUUGCUCUUGCAAUCCCCAUAACUCAAGGUCUUCAAUUCUCUGCAGUUGCACGAUCAGCGAAUCCUUCAAGCAAAUCUUGUUAUUUAGCUCGACUCUGAAUUCACGACACGGAAUGCUGGUGAUCCCCCAAUACUCAAGAUCUCCAAUGCGUAUGCUGUACCUUUCCAGCUUCUCCAAGAACAGGCCUCUGGGCAGAGUGCUGACGUCAUGGGUGUCUAAUUCCAAAGAGGUCAAGUUGGGCAAAUGCUUCAACUCCUCAAGGCUUGCAUUCUUAACCCCUUCCACCUCCACCUCCCAAGCAGCAAAGCUUCUAUGACUUAUAUAUAGUUCUUCUAAAUGGGAUAAUUUUGACAGUAUAUUUGGUGGAAUAACUUUUAGACACCAACAAUCCCUCAAAUCAAGCAACUUUAGCCAAGUCAAUUCACCUACUUCUACCGGCAACUUCUCAAUAUAAGAACUUCUUAAGCAAAGGAUUUCUAGUUUCUUCAAGUCUCCUACAACACUUAUAUCACGCAAGCUGCAGUCACACAAACUCAGUGUUCGAAGGUUUGACAGGAGACCAAGUGAUGAAGGCAGUGACCGUAGAUUCAUGCCAGUCAAGUUGACAACUCUGACCUGCAUCAUCCUCUCGAAAAAGUUGUUUGGAAUUGUUAAUGAUGAAAAUUCCCAACGAUCAGCACGUAUAAAAAGAAGUUCGAGCUGAGGACAUUCCAGUACUUCAGGAAGCAAAUUAUUCUUGAUAUGAUGUAAGACGAUUGAAGUGCAAUGCUUUAUUGCACUUCCGUCUAACCAUUCCCUGCAACCAUCAACCUGCUCAUUUGUAGCAGUAAACACAUUUCGUUCAGUAGAUGCAAUUAAUAUGGCGACAUCGCGAACUACAUCAUGCAUAGAAAGCAACUCUUUCUUCUGGCUUAUAUGGUCAAGCAACAAACAAGAAUCUUUGAGCUGGUGUACCAAUGUAUGUACUCGAUUUCGUGCUGCUUCCAUCUUAUUCACACCUUGAAAUAAAGUCAAUCCCAUACCAAACAUUAACAGUUCGUCAAUAGAUGCUAUGGCUGUAUAUCCUAUUAGCAAAAAGAUGUUCUUCAGCUCCUCCCCUACCAAUUUGUCGUAACUCCACUUUAUGGCUUCAUAUGCAUCUGGCUGUACAUCCUUAAAAUUCGAUGAAGAAGGCCUUCCUAGUUUUUCCAAUGCAUCCUUCCAUUCCUGUAUGCUCUUGUUCCUUAAUGCCCUUGCAACCGUCACAAUGGAAAGUGGUAGACCUGCACAUCCCUUUGCCACACCCCUUGCUACCGAUUGGAAUUCACUGCCUUCAAAAUAAUCACCUGCCAUCUUCUUGAAUAGAUUCCAAGCUUCUUCUUCGUUUAAAACACCAAUUGAGAAAUUUGGUCGAGAAUCCAUCUUCCUAGACAAUACAUCUAGACUUCUGGCCGUCAGCAAUACUUUACAACCUUUAUGACCAUCUCCAUGAGGAAUUCCGACAACCCGCAAAUCAAGAUUUUCCCAAAUGUUGUCUAAAAUUAUCAGGAUCUUCUUCUCUGCUUCUAUACGUUUAAAUAAGCUGUUUGCCCUUCCUGAUUCACUUUCCUCAUGAAACUUCAGGCCUAAUUUAUCUGCUAUUUCUCCUUGAAUCUCUCGUAUGUUUUUAUUAUGGGAUACCUCAUCUCCUUGAAUCUUUCGUAUGUUUUGAUUACGGGAUACCUCAACAAGAACUACCUGAUAAAAGAGUUCACUCUUGACUUUCCUAGCAACUUCUUCCGCCAGCUUCGUCUUUCCGAUUCCGCCCAUUCCAUAAAUCCCAAGCAUGUUGACAUUGGGAUUUUUUAAUGCAUCCAUUAUGUCAUUCAGAAUGGGCGCUCUUGAUACAAAGGCCUCGUAGUCUUUGUUAGGGAUAAGCCGAAUAUCCUCUGCAGCAGUACGGUAGGAAAUUCUAUCAAAUCUUCUAGCGUCCCGGACUUUGACAAUAGCCUCUUUCAACGUCACUGCUUCCUUGCUAAGUCGACGGCGGGUCUUCAAAUUAGGACACAACCCCUUGAAACAACGCUUAUUUGCUGCGGCUUCAACUUCUGUAAAUUUAUCUGCCUCUUCAAUGACUUUGUUGGCCCCUUCAAGCCAACUCCUAACGUUCUCUUCAAUUUCUUCCCCGUUUCGUUCAGCCUCAUCAACCUGGUGCUUUGUACUCACCCUCUGAGACUUCAGAUUGUCAACUUCAGUCUUGAGAUUCUGUAAGUUGCUCGUGUACUUACUCUCACGCAAAUAGCUAAUGCGGCGAUAUGCGGGAGGAACCAAGCACUUCACAACUUCUACAACAAUAGUAAGAAUGAAUUCAGCCAUCUUCAGUCCUUUGUCCUUGUCUCUCUAUCUCUCUUUUUCUGAAUUUUUGAAAAACAAUUGACUACUUAGGAAGCACACUGAGUGAUUGAACACAAGUGACCACAACAAGAUGGAACAAAAUAAAAAGGAAAAAAAAUACAAAGAGUGGAAGGAGAAUAAAACAGAGACAGCGGCACAGCUGGACACAACUAGAUAGAGAACAGAGCAAAACCAAAUAACAAGACUUAAGAUUACAACAAACAGAGGCCAAGUAUUAUUGUUGAGAUCAGAAGAUGGAAAAUUCAAAAGAGUUGAUGGCAGAUGCUGAAUAACAAAACAACAAUGAACGCAAUAAGCAGAAGCAAAGUGUGUUUGAAUGCAAAGAAAGACUGAUGUUGAAAAUUGAUGUCAAUAGCGAAGGAAUAAUUGAACUUUCGCUGAAUUAUUGUUUGUGGCCUUCUUUUACUUUUUAUUUGUGGGUCAUGUCUUUUGGAACUAAUCAUCUUAGGUUAUGCCUUAUAGCUUUAAGGCCGGUAAACCGGUGUCCGUUGGAUUAGCAUAUAGAAAUCCAACGGUGGAUAUAUAUACUUGGAGAAUAAAAUUCAAGAGCUAAGGGAGUGCUGGGCUGCAGUUUCUUAAGGAGAUUUAUAUAUCCUCCUCAAAAAUAAAUGUUUUAAGGUAGAUAUUUAGACUAUUUCAUCAUAAAAUAAAUGUAAUUAGUUUUCAAUAAAUAUCUUAUAUAAAUAUUUAUUUAUUUUUUUAAUUACUAAUGACCUUUGAAUAUACAUAUAUACAUAUCCCUAGUUCAAAAAAUAAAUUGUGAUUAUUUGUUCAUGUAUGCGAUUACUUGUGAUGGGAAAUAAAAUAGAUAUGGUAUAUUUUGAAGUUAAAUUAAAAAAAAAAAAAACAGAGCUUUUACCAUUACUUGCCUUAUCAUCUUUUAAAUUAGAGUUAUUAUUCUUUUAUUUUUCAAGUUGCCAACUCAUCCGCAUUUUUUUUUUAUUGAAUUUGAAGAUCAAUGAUUAUAAAUGUGUGUAAAAAUUUUAAGUCAAAACUUUAAAUAAUCUUUAAGUUAUUGGGAAAUAAUAACUUAGUAUAACAAAUAUUAUAUCCUAUACUUUAUUGCUACAAAAUUACGAAACCUUAUAUUAUAUUAUGUUUCCAUAUUUCUCCUUUAUAGUGAAGACUCAUACUUCUUCUCUAUUAAAUGCUAAAGUAUUGGCUUAAAUUUUUUAACCAGCACAGUAGACCCUUAAGCUAUAUAUACUAUAAUGUCCCUCUUCUCUCAUAGAUUAAACCAAUCUGAUCUCGGAGUGAGUUGAUACCAUGACUUUGCAUAAUUCGUGAUCAAAGGAGUAUCAUUACUAACUAAUAUAGGCUCCAUCAAUAGGCAUGAUAAUAAUUUUUUUUAUAUACAAACACUGUUUUUCAAAAUAUUAUAUCUUAAGACUUAACUAAAUAUUUUGUAACUAUGUAGAUAUAGUUUGUUUGAUCUCUUUUAAAUAGUGGAGAUUACAAACAAACAUAUGCAAAUUAGUAGUGAUGUUGAGUUUAGAAGAUUGAAGUUAAGAAAAUUAAGGGUUUCUUGAUCUAGAGAAAUUUCAAAUGAGUGAAGUGUCCUUGAAAUCGGAAGACGAAAAUAAGGAAAGGGUAAGGGUGUAUUUUCAAAGUGAUUCUAUUACGAGAUUUUGAAGUAGGGGUGGGCAAGUCGGGUUUUGGUUCGGGUUGUUCAAGUUUCGAUUUGGAUUUCAACCCAAUCGGGUUUGAGAAUUGAAUCCAAUCGGGUUGAAAACGCCAACCCAAACUAAACCGAACCGAAUUUAAUUCAGCUUGGGUUCAUAAUUCGGAUUGGUAAUUCAGGUUAAAAUUUCGGUUCGGGUUAAUUUGGGUUAGAAUAAUUCCAUCUAAAAUUUUGGGUUAGUUCGGUUUAAAACAAAUUGAAACAAUUUAAUCCAAAAAUUAUACCAACAACCACUUAAAAUCCAAAAAUCUCAAUUCCAAACAUCCUUAACAACAAAUAUCAACUACAAACUAUCCUUGAUAACAUUUCAACAAUAACAAUAACAAUAAUAACAACAACAACAACAAUAAUAAUAAUAAUAACAACAACUAUGAAUCAGCAAUUCAGCAUAUUGCCAUAUUCUAAAUUUAAAAAAACACACAAAUUAUGUAAUUAAUUAAUUAACAAUCUCCAAUUUAAUUUAUAAUAACAACAAAAAUCCUCUCCAAUUUAAUUAAUAACAAUCUCGAAUUGUUCAAUUACCAGUCAACAACAACAAACCCACUCCAAAUAAUUGAACAAUUGUUAAUUAAUUAAUUAAAAAUAUCUAAUUUAAUUAAUAACAACACCCAAGAGCAAGUCAGCAAUAAACCCACUCAAAAAUCCAAAUAUCAGUAUAAAUUAAGUGUCAAACCUUGAUCGGUGGGAAGCUACAGCGUCGGCAAAUUGUGACCGUGUGGGGCUGAGUGAGACCGUCAACCGAGGGUGUGAGAAGGGAGGAGGGAGCAGGGAGGUAACGAGGUGUGUGUGAGUUUAUAUAUAUAUAUAUAUAUAUAAUUUUUAAAACCUAAAACUUAAAAAAAAAAUUUAACCCAAUCCAAACCGCCCACCUCAUAUUACUUCCGUUAAGAGAUGGAUCCCACACUCUUGAGCCUUUGUCGUCCCAGUCAACUAUAAAAACAAAUCAUUAUUGAGUGUGAAUAGACUUAUUGAUCACCCAAUUUUCAAACUUAUCAUCCUUAUUGUAUCUGCAUUCCCUUUUGAAAAUUUUUUAAAAAAGUACAAAUAAUGAAACAAAGUUUUGUUCCUUCAACAGUUGAUAGAGUUACGCGGCUUGGACUUGCAAGUGCUGUCGGCAUUUUCAAACUUGUAAGACCCUUCAACUUGCUUUCCAAGAUAGCUAUAAUUAAUAAUGACAACAGUCUCCCUCAUAGCGACUAGUGAGCAACUGAAAUUAACGGCAUCUUCUCUCGCAUUUUUAAAAAAAUUGAAUUAUAUAACCCACCAAAACUAUAAAGAAUUGUUAGUUUUUCUUCAUUAAAAUUAAUAUAUUGCUCCUCAUAUUGAAAAAUCAAAAUUCAGAAUAAGAAUGAUUGAUACUGUUUAUUUACUAAAAUGAAAAUAAAAUAUAUGAAGCCUACAUAUUUUUGAAAUUAAAAAACAAGAACUUGAUUUUCCUUGGGGAGUGUUGGAAAUCAAGUUCUUGUUAUUUAAACUCUCAAUUGUAUCUCACCGAAAUUUCAUAAUUCUACUUUUGUCUUCAAUUAAAAUAUUAUUAUAGUUAUUAUUCUUAUUUUUGUAGUUGUUGUUGUUGAUUAUGAUAAAUGGUCAGGCAAAUGAUUCAUUUACUUAUUUUUUUCCUUUUAAAUUUUUGUUAUUAAGAAGAUUUUUGGAUAUUUAGCGUGAAGGUCUCAACUGAUCGCUAAUUUCACAGCAACUUCCUUUUUUUUUUUUUCCCUCAAUUGUUUUGAAAAAAUAUCAAGACUCAUUCAGCAAAAUAUCCGAGGCCAAAGCGCCAAAAGAUGGGACAGCCACAUGCACUUCUAAUUACAAAAUCUAAAGUUAGGGUGUCCAUAACUUACAUUUAAUAUAAUUUAUAAUUAGGUAAAAUUCAUUCAUUGACCCAGUAAUUUUAUUAUCCUAUUACUUAUAUUUUUAUAUUAAAAAAUUAGUAAGUAGGAAAAUUCUUAAAAGAUAAUGAAGAAGGAAAAGAAAAAGAAAAAGUGUAAAUGAACUGUAUUCACAUAAGUUUCAAACAUGUGAUUCAAUCUGAAUUGGCUUUUUUCAAAAGUAAAUACAAAGGAAAAUAAAAAGAAAAAAGCAAUUAAACGAGACUAAAAUCUGUGGCCUGUGUCAUUCAUAUCUUUUGACAUUUCUUUUAUAGCGGUAUAAAGGGUAGAUAUUUUGAAGUGAAAAGCAAAGCCUUUACCAUUACUUGCCUUAUCAUCUUUUAAAUUAGAGUUAUUAUCCUUUUAUUUUUAAGUAGCCAAAUUAGAGUUAUCAUCCUUUUAUUUUUAAGUAGCCAACUCAUCCGCAUUAUCUAUUAUUGAAUCUAAAGAUAAAUGAUUAUAAAUUUCUCUGAAGAUUUUAAGUCCAAACUAUAAAUUAAAAUAAUCUUAUUGAUUAAGUUAUUGUAUAAUAAUAACCUUAGCAUGACAAAUAUUAAUUCUUCUCUAGUAAAUGCUAAAGUAUUGGCUUAAGUUUUUUAACCAGCACAGUAAAUCCUUAAAGCUAUAUAUGCUAUAAUGUCCCUCUUCCCUUACAAAUUAAACCAAUUUGAAUUUAGAGUGAGUGAGUACCAUGAGUUUGCAUCAUUUGAUAUCAAAGGAGCAUCAUUACUAACUAAUACAGGCUCGAUCGAAUUCAUCAUACGAAGCAUAUUAUCGGCUGUAGGUAUGGAAAUAAAUUUUGUAUCCACAAACACUAUUUUUCAAAAUAUUUAAGACUUAACUUAUCAUUUUUUAACCAUAUAUGCAUAGGUUGUUUGACCUAUUUUAAAUAAUGGAGAUUACAACAAAUGAACAGAUGUGGAUUAGUAGUGUUGUUGAGUUCAGAAGAUUGAAGUUAAGAAAAAGGUUUCUUGAUCCAGAGAAAAUUCAAAAGAGCGAAGUGUCUUCGAGAUCAGAAAACGAAAUAAGGAAAGGGUAAGGUUAUACUUUCAAAAUGAAUUUGUUGAGAGAUCUUUGAAGAUUAUUUUCAUUAACAAUUAGAUCCCACACUUGAGUCUUUGUCGUCUCAGUCAGUCAGUUAUAAAGACAAAUUAAUUUUGAGUAUGAAAGGACUUUCAAACUUGUGACCCUUCAAGCUUUCUAUGACAGCUAUAAUGAAUAAUUACAACAGUGCUACCUAAUAGUGAGCAACUUGUUUGAUGAAAUUAACAACUUCUUUUCUCUCAUGUAUUUUUAAAAAAUUGAAUUAUCAAAGCUUUUAUUUCAAAAUUAGUGCUAUAGUUCAUUAAUUUUGAAAAAUUUUCUUUUUUCUUUCCACACAACAGAUUGAUUUGCCCUCCAAAAACUGUAUUAGAUUGUUUAAUAUUGUAACUUCAAAAAACUUAUAAUAAAUUUUUAAAGAGAUAAAUAGGGAAUGUCAGUCUCCCAUCUACUCAAAAUUAAUAUAUAUCAUUAACUCUUGAUUAUUUUUAUAACAACUAAUAACUUUCUGGGCAGCAUAAUUUUACAGUAUCAUCCUUGUUUGUAAGUAUAUUUUUAUUCACAUUUAUUAUAAAUUAAUUAAGUCAUAUCAAUGAAAAUUGAAAUAGAAAUUGAAGUACUAAAAAAAAUGUUUUGGUGUGAAUAAAAAAUUGAAAAUAAAAAUAUUUUUAUUAUAUUUUUUAUUUUUAAAUGGUUUUCUUAUAAUAAAUAUAUAUUUUAUAUUCUCAAAUUGAAUUAUUGAGUAAAUGACUCAUUUACUCACUUUUUCUUUUAAUUUUGUUAUUAGGAGGAUUUUUAGAUAUAAUGAAAAUUGUAAGGUAGUAAGUAAUAUAAAAUAAUUUUAAUAGAGAAAAAUAAAAAAUCUGUAAUUUUAAAAUAUAAGGAGAAAAAUAAUUAAUUUCAAGAUAUUUUAGAAGAUAUUUCAAUAUGCGGUGGACUAUAAACUCGAGUCUUUGUCGUCACAGUCAACUAAAAGGACAAAAUAUUGAGUGCGAAGGGCUCAACUGAUUGCUAAUUUCACAGUAAUUGCGUUUUUUCUUUCUUUUUUUUAAUUAUUGGGAAAUAAUAACUUAGUAUAACAAAUAUUAGAUCCUAUACUUUAAUGCUGCAAAAUUAUGAAACCUUAUAUUAUAUUAUGUUUCCAUAUUUCUCCUUUAUAGUGAAGACUCACACACUUCUUCUGUAGUAAAUGCUAAAGUAUUGGCCUAAACUUUUUAACCAGCACAAUAAACCCUUAAGUUAUAUAUGCUAUAAUGUACCUCUUCCCUCACAGAUUAAACCAAUCUGAUCUCAGAGUGAGUUUGCAUCGAAGGAGUAUCCUUACUAACUAAUAUAGGCUCGAUCAAUAGGGAUGACAAUAAUUUUUUUAUCUACGAACAUUAUUUUUUCAAAAUAUUAUAUCUUUAGACUUAACUAAAUAUUUUUUUAAUCAUGUAUGUAUAGUUUGUUUGAUCUCUUUUAAAUAGUGGAGAUCACAACAAAGCAAAUGCUAAUUAGUAGUGAUGUUGAGUUCAGAAGAUUGAAGUAAUGAAAAUUAAGGGUUUCUUGAUCCAGAGAAAUUUCAAAAGAGUGAAGCGAAAAGUGAAUUUAUUGAGAGAUCUUUAAAGAUUUACUUCCAUUAAGGGUUGGAUGCCACACUUUUUGAGCCUUUGUCGUCCCAAUCAUUCAAUUAUAGGAUCCCUAAGCAUAUAACUUACAAUCCUUUCACAUAAAUAAUGAGUAGUGUGAAUCCAUACAACUUACAACCUUCUCACAUAAAUAAUGAGUAGUGUGAAUCCAUACAACUUACAACCUUCUCACAUAAAUAGUGAGUAAAUCUAAACUACUCACUAUUCAUGUAAAAAAAUUAUAAAUUACAUACAUGUAACUUAGCAUUAUUCUCCACUAUAAAGACAUAUUCUUAUUGAGGGUGAAUAGGCAUAUUGAUCACUAAAUUUUCAAACUUGUGAUCCUCAUUAAAUGUGAUUCCCCUUUGAAAAAGAAAAAAAAGUGCAAAUAAUGAAACAAAAUUAUGUUCCUUAGCAGCAAGUGGCGUCGGCAUUUUCAGACUUGUAAAAGGGAAUGAGAUCCUUUCCUGAACCCGGAUCUCAUUCCCUGUGAAACAAAAAAAGGUGCAAAUAAUGAAACAAAAUUCUGUUCCUUAGCAGCAAGUGGCGUCGGCAUUUUCAGACUUGUAAAAGGGAAUGAGAUCCUUUCCUGAACCCGGAUCUCAUUCCCUGUGAAACAAAAAAAGGUGCAAAUAAUGGAACAAAAUUUUGUUCCUUAACAGCAAGUGGUGUCGGCAUUUUCAGACUUGUAACAAGGGAAUGAGAUCCUCUCCUGAACCGGGAUCUCAUUCCCUGUGACAAGACCCUUGCCACCCUUCAACUCGCUUUCCAAGAUAGCUAUAUUAAUCGUGACAACAUUACUCUCAGUGAGCAAAAGUUAACAUCAUCUUCUCCCUAUUUUUUUAAAAAAUUGUAUUAUAUAGCCCACCAAAACUAUAAAGAGUCUUUUCUUAUUAAAAUUAAUAAAUUACUCUUUAUAUUAAAAAAUUAAAAUUCAAAAUGAAAAUGAUCUGAUGUUUAUUUAUUAAAAUAUAAAUAAAAUAUAUGAAGUUCAUAUUUUUUUAAAUUAAAAAAUAAGAACCUAAUUUCAUUCCUUAAAUUCCCAAAUUUACCUCACAAAAAUUCCAUAAACUUACUUUUGUCCUUAAUUAAAAUAUUAUUAUGUUAUUAUUAUGGUUAUUAUUCUUAUUUUUGUAAUAGUUGUUGUUGUUGAUGAUGAUAAUACAUAUAAUAAAAUUAAUAAUAAUAAAAAUAAUAACUAUAAUUUUAACAACAGCAAUAAUAAUCAUUAAUAUUAUUGUUGUUGUUGUUGUUGUUGUUGUUGUUCUUCUUCUUCUUCUUCUUCUUCUUCUUCUUCUUCUUCUUCUUCUUCUUCUUCUUCUUCUUAUUAUUAUUAUUAUUAUUAUUAUUAUUAUUACUAUCCUAUUAUAAUAAUAUUAUUAAAUAAUUAUUUUGAAUAAUAAUAAUCACAAUUAUUAUAACAAACGACAAAAAUCAACUAAGGUAAUUUUAAUAACUUGUAAGAAUUCAUUUUUAUUCAUGGAUAUGUGAUUAUUUGUUAAUGUAUGCAAUUACUUGUGAUGGUAAACAAAGUAUAUAUGGUAUAUUUUCAAGUUAAAAAAGAAAAACAAAACAAAGUUUUUACCAUUUCUUGCCUUAUCAUCUUUUAAAUUAGAGUUAUUAUUCUUUUUAUUUUUCAAGUUGCCAACUCAUCCGCAUUCUCUUUUAUUGAAUUUGAAGAUCGAUGAUCAUAAAUUUGUGUGAAAAUUUUAAGUAAAAAUUUUAAAUUAAAAUAAUCUUUUAAGUUAUUGGGAAAUAAUAACUUAGUAUAACAAAUAUUAUAUCCUAUACUUUAUUGCCACAAAACUACAAAACCAUAUAUUAUAUUAUGUUUUCAUAUUUCUCCUUUAUAGUGUGAAGACUCAUACUUCUUCUCUAGUAAAUGCUAAAGUAUUGGCUUAAACUUUUUAACCAGCACAGUAGACCCUUAAGUUAUAUAUGUUAUAAUGUCCCUCUUCGCUCACAGAUUAAACCAAUCAGUAGCCUUCUCUCAUAUAGAAAAACUUUUUGUAUAAGACAAAUUAUUAUGUUAUCGGAAAAAUUACAGUAGACGUAAGCUAUAUAUGUUAUAAUGUUCAGAAGAUUGAAGUUAAGAAAAUUAAGGAAAGGGUAAGGAUGUAUUUUCAAAGUGAAUUAUUAAGAGAUCUUUGAAGAUUACUUCCGUCAAGAGUUGGGUCCCACACUUUUACCUUUUGCUCGUUCCCGUGAAAGUCAGUUUAGAAUUUUUAUCUUAUUUCACAAAGCUAAUUUUUUAUCACAAGCAGGAGAGAAACGGCAUUUCUUAGCAGUAGUUCAUCACUGUAGUAGCGAGCGAGUGAGGAACAAAAUUGCCAACAAUUAUCAAAAAAUAAUUAUAUAAAAAAGAUCACAUGCUAUAAUUAAUCAUGACAAUUGACAACAUUACUCCCACCGAGCAAAAGUUAACAGCAUCUUCUCCCACAUUUUUUAAAAAAAAUUGUAUUAUAUAACCCACCAAAAGUAUAAAGCGUCUUUCCUUAUUAAAAUUAAUAAGUUACUCUUUAUAUUGAGAAAUUAAAAUUUAAAAUGAGAGUGAUUAAUGAUGUUUAUUUAUUAAAAAUAAAAUAAAAUUUAUGAAGUCUAUAUAUUUUUUAAAUUAAAAAAUAAUAACUUAAUUUCUUAUAGGGAGUGUUGGAAAUCAAGUUUUUAUUUCUUAAAUAUCCAAUUUUACUUCACAAAAAUUUUAUAAGUUCACUUUUAUCCUUAAUUAAAAUAUUAUUAUGGUUAUUAUUCUUAUUUUUGUAGUAGCUGCUGUUGUUAUUGUUGUUGUUGUUGUUGAUGAUGAUGAUAAUAGUUGAUAAUAAAAUUAAUAAUAAUAAUGAAAAUAAUAACUAUAAUUUUAACAGCUACAAUAAUAAUCAUUAAUGUUAUCGUUGUUCUUAUUAUUAUUAUUAAAAAAUAAUUAUUUUGAAUAAUAAUAAUCACAAUUAUUAUAACAAACAACGACAAUAAUCAACUAAUGUCAUUUUUCUAACUUAUAACAAUUCAUUUUUUAUUCCAAGACAAACUAACCAUAUCAAUAAUAAUACAGGUCGUUUCGAUUCUAAUUUUUACAGGUAAAGUAAAUAAUUUAUUCUGAUUCUCAUUUUUUAUUUUGAUUUUAUUCUAUUCCGAUUCCAUUUGAUUAUGAUUCCAGCCAAUUCUAAUUAUCGAUUAGAAAAUGCAUUGUUACUACUUUAACAAUAACUAAUGAUUCUCCUCACAAUUCUUAUAGGAUUAUCCUUAUUUUAAAAUAUUUUUUAUUCGUAUUUAUUAUUAAUUAAUUAAAUUAUAUCAAUGAAAAUCAAAUAAAAAUUUAACUAAUAAAAAUGAGAAAAUAUAUGUUUCGGUUUGAAUAAAAAAUUAUAAUAAAAUAUUUUUCUUACAUACUUUAAAUAUUUUUAUUAUAAUAAAUAUUUUUUUAUUCUCAAAAUAAAUUAUCAAGUAAACGAUUCAUUAACUCAUUUUUUUCCUUUAAAUUUUUGUUAUUAAGAAGAUUUUUGGGUAUUGACCGUGAAGGGCUCAACUGAUCGCUAAUUUUGCAGCAAUUACCUUUUCUUUUUCUUUUUUUUUAAUUGUUUUGAAAAAAUAUCCAGACUCAUUCUGCAAAGUACCUGAGACUAGAGCUGGCAAAAUUUGACACGACCCGAUUACCCGACACGAACACGACAUAAAUAAAUGGGUAUGGGUCGUCAAAUUUAACACGAUUAUUAAAUGGGUCGGGUCCGGGUCAACACGAUUUUUUUCCGUGUCGGGUUUGGGUUAAAAUUCUUGACCCAUUUACCCGAUCAAUGACCCGAUUAUAUUUUCUAUUUUAAAAUAAUUUAUAUAUUCUUAUAAUUAAAACUCAAAUAUUAGAGAUGAUUUUCUUUUUUUUUUUAUUUUUUAAAAGGGUGAAUAUAAACACAGUGUUUUAUUUAUAAAAUUUUACAUACAUUUAGAGCUUCAAUAGUGUAAAUGUGUAAAAAUUGAUAGACAUGUAUAUUUUAUAAUAUUGAUAUAUAAUAUUAUAUAUAUAUAUAUAUAUAUAUAUAUAUAUAUAUAUAUAUAUAUAUAUAUAUUAAAACUUCAAUAGUAUAAAUGUAUAAUAUAUUGGUAGAUAUAUAUAUUUUAUAAUAUUGAUAAAUUAUGUAUGUAUGUAUGUAUGUAUGUAUGUAUGUAUGUAUGUAUGUAUGUAUGUAUUUAUGUACAUACGUAUGUAUGAUAGUGUGUAAAUAUUUUAUGUAACUUUUGUUCAAUAUAUAGAUAUUAAACGGGUUAUUGGGUAACCCGAUUAUUUUUCCGUGUCGGGUUUGAGUCUCAAUAUUUUGACACGAUUAUUAAAUGGGUCGGGUUUGGGUCGAUCUAAAUUUGACACGACACGAAACUGACACGAUACGAACACGAUCCGAUGACCCGUUUUGCCAGCUCUACCUGAGACCAAAGCGCCGGCCAAAGCGCCGAAAGAUAGGACACCCACAUGUGCUUUUAUUUACAAAAUCUAAAGUUAGGGUGGGUGUCCAUAACUUAAAUUUAAUAGAAUUUAUAAUUAGGUAAAAUUCUUUGAUUGACCCAUUAACUUUUAUUAUUUUAUUAUUUAUUUUUAUAUUAAAAAAUUAGUAAUGUAGAAAAAUUCUUAAAAGUUAAUGGAGAAGGAAAAGAAAAAGAAAAAGUGUAAAUGAACUGUAUUCAUUUAAGUUUCAAACAUGUGGUUCAAUCUGAAUUCGUUUUUUUUAAAAGUAAAUACAAAAGAAAAUAUAAAGAAAAAAAAUUAAACGAGACAAAAAUCAGUGGCGUGGGUCAUUCAUAUCUUUUUCCAUUUUUUUUUAAUAGAGGUACAUAGCAUAGAGUCGAUAUUUUGAAGUGAAAAGCAGAACCUUUACUGUUGCUUCCCUUAUCAUCUUUUAAAAUUAGAGUUAUUAUUCUUUUAUUUUUAAGUGGCCAACGGAUGGUAGCCAACUCAUCCGUGUUCUCUAUUAUUGAAUUUAAAGAUCAAGGAUUUAUGUUAAUAAAUAUUUUGUUAACUAUCAAAGUUUUUAUUUCAAAAUUACUCCUAUAAUUCAUUAAAUUUUCAAUUUUUCCUUUUUCUAUUCACACAACAGAUUGAUUUGCCCUCCAAAAAAAUGUAUUAGAUUGUUUAAUAUUGUAACAUCAAGAAACUUAUAAUAAAUUUUUAAAGAGAUAAAUAGAGAAUGUCAGCAUCUACUCAAAAUUAAUAAAUAUACCACUAACUUCUUAUUAUUUUUAUAAUAACUAAUAACUUUUUUACCAGUAUAAUUUUAUAGUAUUAUUCUUAUUUGUAAGUAUAUUUUUUAUUCAUAUUUAUUAUAAAUUAAUUAAAUCAUAUCAAUAAAAAUUAAAAUAACACAAUAUGUUUUGGAGUGAAUAAAAGAUUGAAAAUAAAAAUAUUUUUCUUUUAUUUUUUGUUAUUUUAAAAUUUUUUUCUUAUAAUAAAUGUAUAUUUUAUAUUCUUAAGAUGAAUUUUGAGUAAAUGACUCAUUUACUCACUUUUUCUUUAAAUUUUUGUUAGUAGGAGGAUUUUUAGAUAUAAUGAAAAUUGUAAGGUAGUAAGUAAUAAUAUAAUAAUUUUAAUAAAGAAAAAUAAUUAAUUUCAAGACAUUUCAGAAGAUAUUUCAAUAUGCGGUGGACUACAUCCUUGAGUUGAGUCUUCAUCGUCUCAGUCAACUAAAAGGACAAAAUAUUGAGUCACAAAGGACUCAACUGAUUGUUAAUUUCACACCAAUUACCUUUUUUUUCUUUUUUUUUUCUUAAUCUAUAUAUUUAUAUAAAGUUAGUACUUGAGAAUGUGAUGUAUCAUCACCAUUUUUUUUUAUUUAAUAAAUAGAGAAAUUUUCUUUUAAAUUUGACUUUUCAUUUUCUCAUAAUUAAUUUGAUUGCUAUUGCACAAUAACAAUUAUGUAAAGAUUUUAAUGAGGCAUAUUAUUUGUAAUGAACAUUUAAGAGAGAGUGUUAUUUGUAAUGAACAUCUAAGGGAGAGUGUUAUGAAUUUAUUAAAAUAAAUAUAUAUUUUCAUAAUAUAUAUCUCUUAGUCUCCCCACUAUCUCCCAUUAGCAACCUUUAGCUUCCUUAUAACUCCCACUAUUUUUAUAAAUCCACCCACCUUCAUAAAAUAAUUACAAUAAGUUCACAUUAUUUUAUAGAAUUACAAAUUAAUAAUAAGUUUGAAUAAUUAAUUAAUUAAAUCAUUCUUAUAAUUUUUUUUCUUUCUUUGUCUUUCAACAAUCUUUAAUAAUUUAAGGUUGCUUUAAGAUAAGUUUAAUUUAAUUAAUUUACCCUUAUAAUAUAAAAUAACAAAAUUACCCUAAGAAAUAUAUAUUAUUGUAACUAAUUGUUUAGGCAUUUAGUUUUAUGUUUUAUAAUCUAAUAUGCUUUAUAUAAAAUUUAAUAAUUUUCAAUACUCCAAAUGUCCUAAUUACAUCUUGUUAGUUUAGUGAAAUAUUAAUAAUUAUACUAAAAAAGCAUUACUUAUACAUCAUUAAAAUAUAAAAAAAAUUAUUAAGUUAAAGUAAACUUUUAGAUAUUUUUGUUACUUUUACCUUAUAAGGUUAGAAUAAUUAUAUUAAUUUAUGUUAAAACAACCUUAUUGAUCAAAUAUAAUUAAAAAAAUAGUCUCAUAAAAAAAUUAAUGAAUAUGGAUUUAAUUGGUUAAAUUUUUAAAUUUCUUCUUAAUUUGAAUUUUUAAAAAAUAAUGUGUACUUGUAGUAAUGAUUUUUUAAAAUUGGGGUGGGUUAUUAUUGAUGACCUUUGAACAUACAUACAUAUUAUUAAUAUAUUUAUUAAUAUAUACGAUUACUUGUGAUGGUAAACGAGGUAGAUAUGGUAUAUUUUUAAGUUAAAAAAAAAAAACAAAACUUUUACCAUUUCCUGCCUUAUCAUCUUUUAAAUUAGACUUAUUAUUAUUUUAUUUUUCAAGUUGCAACUCAUCCUCAUUCUCUUUUAUUGAAUUUGACGAUCAAUGAUUAUAAAUUUGUGUGAAAAUUUUAAAUCAAAGUUUUAAAAUAAAAUAAUCUUUAAGUUAUUGAGAAAUAAUAACUUAAUAUAACAAAUAUUAUAUCUUGUACUUUAUUGCUACAAAAUUACGAAACCUUAUAUUAUAUUAUGUUUCCAUAUUUCUCCUUUAUAGUGAAAACCCAUACUUCUUCUCUAGUAAAUGCUAAAGUAUUGGGUUAAACUUUUUAACCAGCACAGUAGACCCUUAAGCUAUAUAUGUUAUAAUGUCCCUCUUCCCUCAGGAUUAAACCAAUCUGAUCUCAGAGUGAGUUUGCAUUAUUUGUCAUCAAAGGAGCAUCAUUACUAACUAAUAUAGACUCGAUCAAUAGGUAUGACAAUAAAUUUUCUGUCUACGAACACUAUUUUUUAAAAUAUUAUAUCUUUAGACUUAACUAAAUAUUUUUUAAUCAUAUAUGUAUAGUUUGUUUGAUCUCUUUUAAAUAGUGGAGAUCACAACAAAGCAAAUUCGAAUUAGUAGUGAUGUUGAGUUCAGAAGAUUGAAGUAAAGAAAACUAAGGGUUUCUUGAUCCAGAGAAAUUUCAAAAGAGUGAAGCGAAAAGUGAAUUUAUUGAGAGAUCUUUGAAGAUUUACUUCCGUUAAGAGUUGGAUGCCACACUUUUUGAGCCUUUGUCGUCCCAAUCAUUCAAUUAUAGGAUCCUUAAGUAUAUAACUUUCAAUCUUUUCACAUAAAUAAUGAGUAGUGUGAAUUCAUACAACUUAUAACUUUCUCACAUACAAUUUACAACAUUCUCACAUAAAUAGUGAGUAAAUCUAAACUACUCACUAUUCAUGUAAAAAAAUUAUAAAUUAUAUAUAACUUAGCAUUAUUCUCCACUAUAAAGACAUAUUCUUAUUAAGUGUGAACAGACAUAUUGAUCACUAAAUUUCCAAACUUGUGAUCCUCAUUAAAUGUGAUUCCCCUUUGAAAAAGAAAAAAAAGUGCAAAUAAUGAAACAAAAUUAUGUUCCUUAGCAGCAAGUGGCGUCGGCAUUUUCAGACUUGUAAAAGGGAAUGAGAUCCUUUCCUGAACCCGGAUCUCAUUCCCUGUGAAACAAAAAAAGGUGCAAAUAAUGAAACAAAAUUCUGUUCCUUAGCAGCAAGUGGCGUCGGCAUUUUCAGACUUGUAAAAGGGAAUGAGAUCCUUUCCUGAACCCGGAUCUCAUUCCCUGUGAAACAAAAAAAGGUGCAAAUAAUGGAACAAAAUUUUGUUCCUUAACAGCAAGUGGUGUCGGCAUUUUCAGACUUGUAACAAGGGAAUGAGAUCCUCUCCUGAACCGGGAUCUCAUUCCCUGUGACAAGACCCUUGCCACCCUUCAACUCGCUUUCCAAGAUAGCUAUAUUAAUCGUGACAACAUUACUCUCAGUGAGCAAAAGUUAACAGCAUCUUCUCCCUAUUUUUUUAAAAAAUUGUAUUAUAUAGCCCACCAAAACUAUAAAGAGUCUUUUCUUAUUAAAAUUAAUAAAUUACUCUUUAUAUUAAAAAAUUAAAAUUCAAAAUGAAAAUGAUCUGAUGUUUAUUUAUUAAAAUAUAAAUAAAAUAUAUGAAGUUCAUAUUUUUUUAAAUUAAAAAAUAAGAACCUAAUUUCAUUCCUUAAAUUCCCAAAUUUACCUCACAAAAAUUCCAUAAACUUACUUUUGUCCUUAAUUAAAAUAUUAUUAUGUUAUUAUUCUUAUUUUUGUAAUAGUUGUUGUUGUUGAUGAUGAUAAUACAUAUAAUAAAAUUAAUAAUAAUAAAAAUAAUAACUAUAAUUUUAACAACAGCAAUAAUAAUCAUUAAUAUUAUUGUUGUUGUUCUUGUUGUUGUUGUUGUUGUUCUUCUUCUUAUUAUUAUUAAUAUUAUCAUCCUAUUAUAUUAUUAUUAUUAAAUAAUUAUUUUGAAUAAUAAUAAUCACAAUUAUUAUAACAAACGACAAUAAUCAACUAAGGUAAUUUUAAUAACUUGUAACGAUUAAUUUUUAUUCAAAGAUAUGUGAUUAUUUGUUAAUGUAUGCAAUUACUUGUGAUGGUAAACAAAGUAUAUAUGGUAUAUUUUCAAGUUAAAAAAGAAAAACAAAACAGAGUUUUUACUAUUUCUUGCCUUAUCAUCUUUUAAAUUAGAGUUAUUAUUCUUUUUAUUUUUCAAGUUGCCAACUCAUCCGCAUGCUCUUUUAUUGAAUUUGAAGAUCGAUGAUGAUAAAUUUGUGUGAAAAUUUUAAGUCAAAGUUUUAAAUUAAAAUAAUCUUUAAAUUAUUGGAAAAUAAUAACUUAGUUGUAAUAAAUAUUAUAUUCUAUACUUUAUUGCUACAAAAUUACGAAACCAUAUAUUAUAUUAUGUUUUCAUAUUUCUCCUCUAUAGUGAAGACUCAUACUUCAACUUUUUAACUAGUACAGUAGACCUUUAAGCUAUAAAUGUUAUAAUGUCCCUCUUCGCUCACAGAUUAAAACAAUCUGUAGCCUUCUCUCAUAUAGAAAAACUUUUUGUAUAAGACAAAUUAUUAUGUUAUAGGAAAAAUUACAGCAGACGUAAGCCAUAUAUGUUAUAAUGUUCAGAAGAUUGAAGUUAAGAAAAUUAAGGAAAGUGUAAGGAUGUAUUUUCAAAGUGAAUUAUUAAGAGAUCUUUGAAGAUUACUUCCGUCAAGAGUUGGGUCCCACACUCUUAAGCUUUUUUCGUCUCAAUCAACUAACAAGACAAAUUAUUAUUGGGUGUGAACAGUCCGGCUUAUUGAUUGUUAAAAAAAUAGCAUUAUUUUGAGCGCACAUGUUGAGUAAGUCUUAUUUAACGAAAGUGAAAAAUAAGGUUCAAAUUUUAUUUUAUUGAUAUUUUAAUAAUAUUUUUUUUUAUUUUUUUAAAAUGGUGUUUAGGUAAAUAAGAAAUUAUUUAUUAAAAUUCAUUUUUAAAGUUAAAAAUUUAAAAAGAAAUGAGGUUUAUCCCACAUGAAAAAAAGAAGCUUAAGAAUUAGUAUUUAUAUAUAAACAUUUAACCAUUCAUAAAUAAGAAUUAUAGGAAUAGAGACUCUUUUCACACAUACGUGCGUAAGGGGUACAAAUUCAAGACGAAUUUAGUUGAACUCGUGUGCACCUGCAUAUCCUGAGAACGCAAAUGUCGGUGAUAAAUUUGUUUUAAAGAUUCUACUCUGUGUAGGCCUCGGUUCCAUUUUAUUUUUUCUGUUUCGGUUUUCAUCUCUCUUCGGUUUUGCUUUCUAUUAUUUCAUUUCAAAUUUCAGUAGUUAUCUUUCGUUGCUUAGCUACUGUUUAAUUUGUUACCUCACCGUUUGUUUUAUCUAACAUUGAUCACCAAAUUUUCAAACUCGUGAUCCUGAUUGAAUCUGCGUUCCCCUUUGCAAAAGUAAUAAAAAAAAGUGCAAAUAAUGAAGACUUUCUCUUUUCACAUUUUUUACGCGUUUCUCUUUUCUCUCCCCCACGUGAACACUUUUGCCUUUUGCUCGUUCACGUGAACGUCAUUUUAGAAUUUUUAUCUUUAUUAAUCAUGACAAUUGACAACAUUACUCCCACAUUUUUUUUAAAAAAAUUGGAUUAUAUAACCCACCAAAAGUAUAAAAAGUAUUUUCUUAUUAAAAUUAAUAAAUUACUCUUUAUAUUAAAAAAUUAAAAUUUAAAAUAAAGAAUGAUUGAUGAUGUUCAUUUAUUAAAAUAAAAAUAAAUUUUAUGAAGUCUAUAUAUUUUUAAAAUUAAAAAAUAAGAACUUAAUUUCGUAUGAACUGUAUUCACUACUUAGUAUUCUUAAAAGUUAACGGAGAAGAAAAAGAAAAAAAAAAGUGUAAAUGAACUGUAUUCACCUAAGUUUCAAACAUGUGGCUCAAUCUGAAUUCGCUUUUUUCAAAAGUAAAUACAAAAGAAAAUAUAAAGAAAAAAAAUUAAACGAGACAAAAAUCUGUGGCGUGGGUCAUUCAUAUCUUUUUCCAUUUCUUUUGUAGAGGUACAUAGGGUAGAUAUUUUGAAGUGAAAAGCAGAGCCUUUACUGUUGUUUGCCUUAUCAUCUUUUAAAAUUGGAGUUAUUAUUCUUUUAUUUUUAAGGAUGGUAGCCAACUCAUCCGUGUUCUCUAUUAUUGAAUUUAAAGAUCAAUGAUUUAUGUUAAUAAAUUUUUUGUUAACUAUCAAAGUUUUUAUUUCAAAAUUACUGCUAUAAUUCAUUAAUUUUUCAAUUUUUCCUUUUUCUAUUCACACAACAGAUUGAUUUGUCCUCCAAAAAAAUGUAAUAGGUCGUUUAAUAUUGUAACAUCAAGAAACUUAUAAUAAAUUUUUAAAGAGAUAAAUAGAGAAUGUCAGUCUCGCAUCUACUCAAAAUUAAUAAAUAUACCACUAACUUCUUAUUAUUUUUAUAAUAACUAAUAACUUUUUUAGCAUUAUAAUUUUAUAGUAUUAUCCUUGUUUGUAAGUACAUUUUUUAUUCAUAUUUUUUAUAAAUUAAUUAAAUCAUAUCAAUAAAAAUUAAAAUAACACAAUAAGUUUUGGAGUGAAUAAAAGAUUGAAAAUAAAAAUAUUUUUCUUAUAUUUUUUGUUAUUUUUAAAUGUUUUUCAUAUAAUAAAUGUACAUUUUAUAUUCUUAAGAUGAAUUUUGAGUAAAUGACUCAUUUACUCAUUUUUUUUCUUUAAAUUUUUGUUACUAGGAGGAUUUUUAGAUAUAAUGAAAAUUGUAAGGUAGUAAGUAAUAUAUAAUAAUUUUAAUAGAGAAAAAUAAAAAAUCUCUUAUUUUAAAAUAUAAGGAGAAAAAUAAUUAAUUUUAAAAAAUUUUAGAAGAUAUUUCAAUAUGCUGUGGAUCACACCCUCGAAUCUUUGUCGUCUUAGUCAAUUAAAAGGACAGAAUAUUGAGUGUGAAGACUCAACUGAUUGUUAAUUUCACAGCAAUUGUCUUUUUUUUAUUCUUUCUUUGUUUUUCCUAAUUAUUUUGAAAUAGUAGGUAGCAAUUGCUUACAUCAAAAUAUCUAAACUCACUCAGCAAAGUAUCCGAGGCCAAAAUGUCAAAACGUGGGACACCCAUACAUCUAAUUACAAAGUCUAAAGUUAAUGAAAAGAAAAAAAGAAAAAGUAUAAAUGAACGGUAAUCACCUCAUUUUCAAACAUCUAAUUCAACAUGAAUUUCUUUUUACGAAAAGUAAAUUUUCUCCCGGAUUGUCCUCAUUACAUUAAACGAAUGAUGACGACGCUCUGUCCGUUUCUGACUCUCUGCUUUGCUCUCUCACAUCACGAGACACCUCGUUUCUAACUGGGGUACCACCAUCAUAUUUAACUGUCGGGUCUUCCUACUAUGCACCUAGUGUAUGCAUGAUUCUUUGUGACAUGACAUAUAGCCAAUUAAAUUCUGACAUGCUUGCAAUAAAGACUGUUAAAGUGACCGGUUAUUCCGGUUGAUUUCACAAGAUCUUUUGUUUGUGUGUUUGUGUUCCAAGUUGUGUACUCUAUGUUACGACUCCUCUGAUUUUUUUUUUUUUAAGUCUGUUAUACAGAGAUAUUACUGACAUUACAUCAAACAUUACAAUUAAUAUUUACAAUCAUACUAUAUAACUGGGACCACCACCAUACAUUGACACACUGAAGUAUAUGCCCAGAUAUUUUAAACCCUCGAAUUAUACACAGAUAUUACUGACAUUACAUCAGAUAUUACAAUUAAUAUUUACAAUCAUACUAUAUAACUGGGACCACCACCAUACAUUGACACACUGAAGUAUAUGCCCAUAUAUUUUAAACCCUCGAAUUAUACACAGAUAUUACUGACAUUACAUCAGACAUUACAAUUAAUAUUUACAAUCAUACUAUAUAACUGGGACCACCACCAUAACAUUACAAUUAAUAUUUACAAUCAUACUAUAUAACUGGGACCACCACCAUACAUUGACACACUGAAGUAUAUGCCCAGAUAUUUUAAACCCUCGAAUUAUACACAGAUAUUACUGACAUUACAUCAGAUAUUACAAUUAAUAUUUACAAUCAUACUAUAUAACUGGGACCACCACCAUACAUUGACACACUGAAGUAUAUGCCCAUAUAUUUUAAACCCUCGAAUUAUACACAGAUAUUACUGACAUUACAUCAGACAUUACAAUUAAUAUUUACAAUCAUACUAUAUAACUGGGACCACCACCAUACAUUGACACACUGAAUAUCAGACAUUACAAUUAAUAUUUACAAUCAUACUAUAUAACUAGGACCACCACCAUACAUUGACACACUGAAGUAUAUGCCCAGAUAUUUUAAACUCUCUCUAAUAUUCGAGGGGUGCCUGCUCCACUCACAUUUCGUAAGGGAGAGACUGUCUCCAUUCAAUUAAUUAAUAAUUGAGGAAGAACUGAAACUAACCUCUAUAAUGCUCUUAUGGAGGCUCGAACCCUUGCACUCAACAUUAUAAGUACAAGGCUUCUCCCAUUGGACCAAAGGCCUAUUGGUAUGAGUUCUCUGAUUAAGUCUGAUAUUAUCUGUUGCUCAAUAAUGUUACAGGUUUUAUAAUAUGACUGGUACGAUCGCUGUCACAAAUUUAGAACGAAAAGUUUCCAAUAAAAUAAGUUAUUUAAUUAAUUAAAUAAGAAUAAAAUGAAUUUGUGAAAAAAAUUUAAAUUUAAUUUUGAAUUAUUUUGACCAAAAUUUAAGUUUUUUUUAAUUUGUUUAAGAAAAUGUGUUGUAAUUGUCUUGUUUUAAUUGGAAAAUCAAUGAAAAAAUUAUGUAACAGACAAAAAAAAAAAAAAAAAAAAGCAAAACGGUUUGUUUUGUAUGGAGGCCAUAGAUUCUAAUAUUUCCUUCACGAAAACUACAAAAAAAUUAUCAAAGGCAUCAAUUUCUACACUCUCACCGAGCAAUACUCUUAACCCAGAAGAAAGUGUAUAAACCAACCCCAAUCAGUCCAUCAAUGUCGUCAACCUCAUACAGCAUAAAAAAAAAUCUGUGUCCAUUAAACCGCCAUUUAAACCGUCUUUAUUGAACCAUUAGACUAUUCGUGUCAUCUUCCCAUCUCGUUGUAGUAUUUUACCUUUCAAAUUUAGUUAUCAAUUCUGGAAAAUGGGACCAAUCUGCAAGUCUUUAAAAUAGAAAGAAACUUUAAUUGGGCACUAUGUUCACGGUAGUGGACCCAGCAGCAUUAAUAUUUAGGGUGGAGCUAUUUAUAUUUUAAACAUUCUAAUUUUAAUAAGAAUAUAUAUUACAAAUGAUCACGACAUUGGGGACCAAUCACGUUGACAAGCAUUUUUUUUAUUUAUUAAUAAAGUGCUCUGAAAAGAGCUAAGGCAAUACUAAACGGGGGUGGUCCCGUUUUUAAUCUAACAUAGAGUCUUAAAAACCUUGUCAGUGGCAAAUGAUCACGACAAGAAAUCUGAAGGAGAAACAGCAGAGCUCAACAAAUCACUAAGAGAAAAUAAGACCAAUAACCAAGCAGAUAAAAGAAAAGCAAAAUAACCCAUCUCAAAAUCACCACAUGCACUAUUUAAGGGGUUUGUGAUAUGGGUUUAAAAAUAAUUUAACAAGUGCCACCUGUGAAUUGUCAGAGAUUGUAUCUUCAUACACAUGUCAAAUUUUCAAGUCCAACAAAUUGUUAUCUUUCUAAAGAGGCUAAUAUUAUUAUUAUCUAUGCAUAGCAUGCUAUAAACAAUUCAUAUUACUAGGGCCUUUGUUUUCUGUACACAACAUAUGGACAGAGGAACAAAUCCCUGAGCUAAAAUCAUCAUAUUCCAAAAUAUUCUAUUAAAUCAACACCACAAAACGCGAACGCUAAACAGAAUUGGAGCAAUUUACCAAAGCUAUUUGUCACGCAAAGCACUAGUACCUCAGAACCCAAUUUGCAAAAAAGCACCAAAAAUGAAAAAUAACAAAUGCCCAGAUGAAAAAUCAGGAAAAAAAAAUGCUCAAAUCCAAAUUACAACCCCAUAAGCUGAGUCGUUCUAUUCGAACUGAAUUAAAAAAAAUUAAUUAGGGAGAUUGACCUCAAACUUUGGAAACAGAAGCGACAUCGAUCUGUUUCUUGUCUGGAGUGUCCAUUUCUAUAAUCUACUUUGUCCGUUUUCAGUUGCUCUGCCACAAAGCUUCUUCCCUCUGAAGCUGAAGCUCACACACACUUGCAAAACGAAAGCAUUUUUUAUUGAUUGAGAGGCGGGAAGGCGGGAAAAUGAGAGAAAUUUGCAUUUGUUUUGUCUUGGUUUGGUCAUACCUGUGCGGGCCCCAGCUUGACAAGCGGUAUUAUUACUAUUUGUAUAAUUUACAUGACGCGUGUCACGCAAUGACGAUAAAAUGUAUAUAUUGUUAAUUUUUCACUUAACAUUGAAUGAUUGAAAUAUCAUAUAAUUUUUCCAAUUUUAUGGUUAUUUUCUCGCCCUUAUGCCACAUUCUUUUGAUCAAAUAAUACAGUAAAACUUUUCUAUAAUCAUAAUAUUAGAGCCAAAUUAACUUUGUUUCUGUAAAGAGGCUAUAGCUUAAUAAAGGUAAAAUUAUAAAAAUUAUUAUUUUGACUCAGUUAUCUUUAGUGCAAGUGAUAUAAAGUACAAAUAUAUGAUAAUUAAUUAAUGAACUAUGUCAAAUACAAUAUGCUGACAAUGAUAAAAAAGAUAGACAUAAUUUCAAGAAACUAAUACAUAUAUUUAUGUAGUGCUGGGAUUAUACAAAAUUAUCUUAAAAGUGUAAAGAGUAAAGUAUUAUUCUAAUUAAUUUAAAAAAAUUAUUUUUUCUUAAUCUUUAAUGCAACAUAGCUUUUUUUUUUUUUUUCUUAGCAACAAAGCAUUGUUCCACAUAAUUAUUAUUGGAUUCAAAUCAUGUCCUAGGCAUUUUUUCUUCUAGUCGUCUUAAACUUUUAAUGAUUUAUUGGCAUGCGUCAAUCAUUAAUGAAAUUAAAUAACUAAGACUUUGUUUUAAUUAACGUUUACAUAAAUAGACAUCAAAACUCACAUGUGAUUCUUAUCAAAUUUUUUCCUGCAAAUUCUUUUCCUCUCAACUAUUCAUAUUUUGACAUUAAUUUCCAGCAAAUUAUUAAAAAAAAGAAGAAGCGUAAAAUGGAGAAAAGUGAUUGACAACAAGGUUUGCAUCUUAAUUUCAAAAAUUUCCUUUCUUUGUUAUUUUUGUGGGUUCUACAAUUGUUGUUUUCACUCUCAGCUGCAGUUCAAUGAACUCUAUUAAUAACCAUGAAGCUUAAUGUAUCAAUUCCAGUACGAGAAGUCCUUCUACGCAUGUUACAACACUUUUUUGUCAUUAUAGGUUGCAAAUGUUCCGUAAUGUACUCAUUCAUAUAACGGAAACGCUAUUAUCAAUAAUGAAAGUUGACUAAGUUUGUAAAUUCUAUUUAACGAAAAAGUAACAUAAAUUUAGUUGAACAAGAGGUAAUUAAUAUGUAAUCUAUGAAACUAGGGUGUGACUAAGUUACAUAGUAAUGUAACUUACAUGAACACAAAAAUAAUUAGUUUUUAAACUACAAGUAAUUUUGGAACUGCUCUUAAAUUGAUAUAAGUUUUAUUAUUAUGUAACUUAGCAAGGUCAGGUAUUUUAAUAAUAGCACAUCACUAUUGUUUCAUGUGAAUGAUGCAAUUGGAUUAGCCAAUACAUACCGUCAUCCCCGGGAGAUGCUAUGGCAAUAGCUUACUCUAUCGUGCCAAUGUCAUUAGUAUUAAUCUGUUGAACCUAAGACCAUAUCUAAGCUGAUCUAGAUUCCCCAAGAUCGCACACCACACAGUGAUUAAUGAAUCAAGAACAAUAAACCAUCAAAGAAUCGCAAACUUACAUGUCGGGUUACAUGUAAUAAAUGUUUUAAUUAUUAGAUGAUUCAUAAUGUUAGACCAUUUUUUGUAUGUUUUGUAAUCUACGUUUGAUAAUUGAAUUAGCUGAUAAACACUUGAAUAAUAUUAUUUUAUUAACUAUGUCAUUGAUCCCCAGGAAAAAAAAAAAAAAACCCAAUUUGGGAUGUUAUACAUUACUUUUUCAUUACUUCCCAUUUUAGAUUAAUAUUUAUCACAUAUAUUCUUAGUAACUUGUAACCCUUUUUGCUAAGGGUGAAAUGUGUUUGUUACCCCUUCUAUUUCUGAGAUUGUCCUUACAAUAAGGAUGCCGGCCCCAAUGUCAAAAACUGCUAUCUCUAGGUGUAAAUUCCUUAUAAAAUUCUUUUUUAAUUGAAAUUACUUAAAUAAUUGAAGAUAAAUUAUUUUUUAUUUCAUUCAAAUAAAAAAAUCAAUUAAACACUUAAAUAAGCUAUCCUUUUAAUUUUUUUUUUUUACACCCAUCCAGUUUCAUAAUUUAUAUUUAUAAUUUAAAUUUUAAUGGAAAAUAUUUUUUUGAAAAAUUUUAAGAAUUAAGAAUUAUGGGGAUAAAAAUUAUGUAAUAAGACCAAAAUAAUUUAAAAUUUUAAAAUUUGCAUGUAUUAUAAACAAAAACUUGAAAGAAAUACUCUUUUCAGGGUGAGAUUUAAUCAGAAAAAGAUUAAUUUUCAUUUAUGGAUCAGUAUUUUAUAAAUUAAACAGAGGUAUUUUAAGAAAUAGAAUUCAAAAGGCAUGGGAACAAGGGCAUGGCAUUGGGUUUCCUUUUGUUUUGUAUGGAUUGGGAAAAAUACACGGACAGACAAAGGGAACAGUCAUUAUAAUGAUGUGGAACUUGUCGGAGAUUCCCUGCCCAUUUGUAGCUUAGACUCCUGGGGUUUUGUUCAUGUCUUUUCUGUAUCCCACUUUCUCAUGCAGCAGAUGUACAUAUGAUGAGAUGAAAACAACAGCAAAAAUUGCUGUCUCAUAAGAGAAAUAGUCAUACAUAGUUGGUUAGGCCUCCAGUCCAUUAACUUAAUAAUCAAUUUUAUGAAAAUUGAUUAUCUCAUUGGAAUUACAUAGAUAUUGGAAAACAUUACUCCAGCCCCACCAUCCCAACCAUUUACUUAGUUCAUCAGUAAAAGCUGGAUUUACCAUUUGUUCUUGAGAUUCAAAUUAAGGCAACAAGUUGCUCAUUCUAUAUUAUCUAUGUAAUCCUGUAAAAGUGAAGGGCGUUUAGAUGUGGAAAAACCUUACCCCUGCCGCAACACCUCAAACAGAUUGUGAUCAGACAAGACUUAGUUCAUCAUUAGUAGUAGUUGGAGCUUCCAUUUGUUCUAGAGAUUUAAAGGCAGCAAGCUGCUUCCUCAGUGCUACUAAUUCUUCCCCGGCAUUGCAUAUGUAGCCUGAGGCUUGUCUACCAGACAAAGUUGCUCCUUCCAUACCAUCUAUGUAAUCCAGUGAGAGUGAAACCAUUUAGAAGACGUAUCUCUUUCUUUCCAAUAUUUAGAAUGAAACAAUUAUAUACAGUUACCUGUUUUGCAUAUGAGCCGGCGAGGAAGAAGUUCUUCACUGGUGUCAUUGGAUCACGUCUGAAGGGGUCUUUACCAGGUCCCUCACCACACAAAGAUUGCCCGAUUUUGACGAAAGAUGACCAAAUAACUUCUAAACCUUGGGAUGAUGGAAAUGGAGCUAAAACCUAAUAAAAGGAACCGUGAAUGGAUAGUAUGGACUCAUGUAUAUUAUCCAGAAAGUUGCAUGACCUUUUGUGGUACUCAGGUCACUAAAAAACGUGAGAUAAACAUCUAGGAUAAGAAAAGCAAAAAAGCAUAACCUAAUACGUAUUAUAUGAAUUGAAGGUGUCACUGAACGCUACCAACCUGCUUUGCCACUCUCCUUAUGAUUUCAUCAUUUGGUAAGGGCAUAUAAGGAUCUCCAGGCGUCAAAACGCAUCUGAAAGAUAAUAUGGUUAUAGUUAACAAAAUGGAAUACAAAGACACUUGGCAAAAGGAAGUCAAUCAGAUUCCAUGCACAAAAAAUAACUAAUAAUGACGAGGAUAAGAAAUUUUGCACACUGGUGCCUUCUCUAUAGUAGUCUUCUGGCGAAGUAAGUGCUAGAUCUGCAAAGCAAGAGAAAUCUGCAUCUGGAGUAUAUAAAAGGUUAUCUAACUCCACAGCUUGCCUCAAUUGCCUACAUGUUCAAAACAAGGAUCUAUUAAAAAAUGGAAAUUUCUUCAAUGAAUUAGUGAAGGUAAGUGAAGUGAAACCGGAUUUCUUAAGCCUUCACAGAGCAUCUUGUGUUUGAAUUCCGGUAACCUCAGAAAAGAUUAGAGCAUCACCUUGACCGUUCUAGGUCUUGCAACUCAGUAACCCAACCAUUGUAUCUAAGCUGCACUGUGACAACAUGAACUCCAACGAGCUCAUAAAUAUUGUUGAAAAAUUUCAUUUCCCUCCAGCCUCCACAAUGAUGAAAGCAAUCUUUUAAUUCCAGGGACAUCACAUGCUGCCAUUAAAUAAGAAGUUGAAUAAAGAAAAAUCGUUCAACUAAAUGAUUCAGGAGUUAAAACAAAAUGUAGAAGUAGAAAUAAAUAACGAAGAUUUAACCAUAAACCUGCAACAUUUGCAUCAGCUUGCACAACCUUCUUGUCAGUGGCCUGAAAUAGAAUGAGAACUUGAAAGACAGUAAGCAUAAAAGAAUAAACUCAAAGAAGCUGCUUCUUACAGAUGAUAUAAACAACAAAUUUACAAAUGUCAGGUCAUUGCAUUAGCUCCAUGCCUCCAUCAGAGGGAAUAUUAAUAGAUGCAUAAAAAAAUAAUUAGAGCCACAUGUGAAACAAUUUACCUUAGACAUGGCAAGUGCUUUAACAAAUGUUUCCCCGUUAGCAGAUUUAUCAUAAAGUAUCUCUCUGCAUCCCCACCUAAGAUGGAACCUGUUCUCACAAGAACAGAUCCCAAGGUUGGGAAAAUCAGUUCAUCAUAGGAGAAAACAAAUAUGAUUAACAAAUCGCUACAAUGGUGUGAACCCGUAAAUACAAACGUACCUGCCCCCUUUAUCUGUGAUAUAUUUUCUUAUGGGCCCACUCAAAUAUACAUCCGGAGAACCCUUGAGCAUCAGCAAUAGGGAAGCCUCGGUCUUAGUCGCAAAUAGUGCAAGUAUAGUAAGCAUACAAUGAGCACUGAUGUUAUCACAAUCAAUAAACCCAAGGGCAUACGCAACAGGAUCCCACAUUCUUUGGAUACUUGUCCGUGUACCACCCUUGGACAAAAACCAAUCAGAGAAGCUUAUGUGUAAGAAGAAAUGAAGUUUUAGGUAAAAUAACAAUUUGUAGGAACAGGGAUUGAAAUUCAACAAACAAGAAAAUAUGAUGUCAUUCUUACACUAUCCAAAUCUCAUAUGUCCUUCAAGGCUCCAUCAGGAUCAACAAGUGCCUUUACAACAGGACUCAGAGCAAGAGCAAGAGCAUUUCUUGCUUUAUCAUAAGUCUGCACUUGAGCAAUAUACCAGGCAAAGUACAUCAAAAGAGAAUCCAAAAGAGGCAAGAAGCUUCAACAUGAAAAAAGGAGUACUGCCUCAUCAUACUGCUUUGCAAUCACAGUGCAAAAGAUAACAUCAACAAAUCAAAAUCAAGCAAAAAUCCAUAUGCACUACCUUAAGCUGAUUUGUAGACAAAAGUGUGCGAAUCCCAUGUAACGGAGCUUCAAUCGGAAACCGGAAAUCAAGUUCUGGAGUUGAAAAUCAAAAUCAUGAACCAAAUCAGAGUUAUUAUUGAAUUUGACAAUCCAUAAACCAAUAGAAGGUGAUGUCAAACCAUCAAGCAUAACUACCCACCAAGCAUAACUAUUAGUAGUUUUAAGUGAUCAAGAAAUAACCAUACCACCAAUUUCACUACCCUUAUUUACAAAUGUAUGAGUAUGAUCCUUCAUGAGUAAGUUUUUGUCCGCACCUACCUGUCGAAAUGCUUGAAAAACUAUCAGAUCAUAAACACAGGCUCCAGUUAAAGAGGAUCUAUGACUCUGAUCCAUCAUGUUAUUUGAACAACAUUUUCGAAUUUUGGUACAACCCUAAGCUAUAAUCAGUUAUCAUCACUACAAAUGAUAUGGUCAAGAGGAAUGAUAGUUCUUGUUUCAAGUAUCUCAAAUCGUAAUUCUUUUGCAUGGCUUGUGUGCUUUUAUAAUCAUUCAAACACGCAUAUCCACAACUAAGCAAGCUUUACCAUUUUCAUCAAUCGGAAGAGAUUAUUGUAGCAUCCAAAGAAAAUGUGCAGACCCAUUUCAAUAUGGUUUUCAAGUUUAUCGACAAAUGAACCCACUUUACCACCAAUAAAAGACCUCGACUCAUAUAUAUCCACCUGGAAGAAAGGAAAAGUUAAAAAAAAAAAGUGUUGAGAAUUAUGUUUGAUUAAACUUAAUUCUUUCCCCAAGAAAUCUCCACACACUGAUCUUAUUGAAACAAGAAUGAAUACCCAAGAUAGUAAUCAGAAAUAAAGCAAGAGUGUUUAGACAGAAAUAGAGAUUAAAAGCAUAGAAUAAACUGGACACAAGGAGAAUUCUAGAGGUUCGGCUGGGUAGCCUACAUCCUCUUGAGAAACAGAAGCCGUAGCUUUUCUUUGAUGCUUAACAGAUUACAAGACUUAGAGAGUUUGUUACAAAGAACGUUGGUUAUCUAAACUUGGCCUUGGGGCCCUUAUAUACAGCUCUCGAAGGAUCCAGAUAAGUGUGCUGCUUGCCAGCUCUUGUUCUGGGUUUGUUGAAACAAACCCAGAAAGUUCCCGCCAAGGCUAACCAUUGAUAACAGCCUUUUAAUUAGAAACGACACUUGCUGCUGCCGUUUAACUAAAGCUUGAAUCCGUAGAUGCUCGAGCAAUUCACGUGCAUUACUUAAGCUAUUCGUGUGACAGGAUAUGGUUGUCAUAUGCGCAGCAUUAUCUGUCUGAUUGCUUUGUCGUUUCUUGAUUAAUACUAGACACGACAAAGUCAUCUUCUCCGUAAGCUCUUAAUUCAGGCUCACAAUUAACAAAAAGGAAAAAAAAUUCUUCUAAUUUCUUUCACCAUCAACAAAAUCAGAAAAACACAUACUAGUUCAAAAUAAAAUAAAGUUUGUGAAUUGAAAUAAUGCCAACUCCUAAGAAAAAUUAUGACUGCUGAUAUUUUUUCCGAAAUGCUGAUAAAAGCCUCUGCUAUUUACUUUGAAAAAAUUGAGGUUAGAAGCCAAUUUACUUGAAAUUUUGAGUUUAGGCAAGAGGAUGAAUGGUAAAAGUGAAACAUAUUAGGGAAAAAUGUACUUCAGAGGCCAAUGAAAGCAUUCAGAAGAUUGAAAACUAAAUGAGCAAAACCUCGUGGCCAUGAUCCAACAAUUCCACUGCUGUUGACAUGCCUGCAAGCCCAGCUCCAAUAAUAGCCACUUUCAGCUUUGGUCCUCUAUAAUGUUCCAGUUCUGGUGGAAACAAACCCUUGGGAGCUGCCAAGUAUACCAUCCAAUUAUCCACAGCGAUAAUGGAAAUAUAUAUGUGUUUGAAAGUACUAAAUUCCUAAACAGGAAAUGUAUCCAAAAAGAGACACAAAGCAGAAUUUCGUAAGCAUUUCAAUUCCCAAUAAAUUUCGAGAAUACAAAAUACUCGGUCUGUUCUUCAAUUCCUUUAAUAAAAUUUCCACUAGAGGCUACGCAAGCCACUCAAUAACACGCCAAAGCCAGAUUUUAAACGUUAUCUUUAUCUUUAACUCCAAUCCACAAACAAUUCUGCCAGAAAUUCAAUCCAAAAUUGUUCAAGUGCACCGCCAAUUCUCCAUCAAUUCCCUCAAAAAUUCAUAAUUGGCAAACAAUACAAACCAAAAAGAGCUUCCGGCAAUAAACGCAUAAAAAUCCACCAAGCAACAUAAAACAAAAUACCCAGAAACCAGAAAAGCCAAAAGAUCAAUGCUUGUGCAAACAAGCAAAUCAAAUAAAACAAAAAAAAGAGGAAUUUACCCUUAACGCUCAUAUCAGAAAUAUUAGUAUCCAAAGAAGCCCGUACACGGAAUCUUGGACCCUUCACUUGAACCCGAGACCAUGUAACGCCAGUAACUGAAGUUGCAGGAAACAGAACUGAAGAACCCAUAUUGCAAAUCCUGAGCUGAAAUCAAGAAUUUCAAUUGGAACUCAAUUCAGCUCAACCCAGCUGAGCUCUCUUUUGCUUCAAUAACAAAGUGUUUUUCUUUUAUAUCAACAAAGAUUUGUCAACAUCAACAAAAUUUAACUAAGAAACUAGAAUAAUAAAAGAGGGCACCUUUGAGUUUAAGAAUCUAACAGGAUGCUAAGGAAGAGAGUUUUGUCAGGGAACUGUUUCGGAGAGGUUGGCCAAGUGCUUUUUUGUUUUUUAUUUUUAUUUUUUUCUCAUUUUGGCCUUUUUCAUUAAUACACAACAUCAGUACUCGCGAAGAGCACAAAAUGUUGGUGACUUUGUCACUAACGAUAGUGGAUGGAGCGACCAAAGCAACCAACUAAAUUUUAAAGAGAGGGAAUGACAAGCAAUAUUUUAAUUGGGUGAUUAAUUAAUGUAUUAUCAAGCAAUUGCAUUUAUUUAUUUAAACGAUGUCCUUAUCUUUGGACAAGGUUGAGGAAAGACCGCGAUGUUGUGUUGUCACGUAUUUUUGGGCCGACCGUUUCCAGUUUCGGCUUAAAUGAGGCUUUUGUAUUUUUGUGCCGUUUUUUUACUGAGUAUUUUGUCCUAAAUUACACAAAGAAAAUGUGUAUUUGUUAAAAAAUCUGUUGAAACUCAGAACCUCUUAUGUGGACUUUAGAAUGCGACAGUAUUGAUAUCUAAGUUCGUAAUAUCAAGAGUGAUAAAACGGAUAAAUGAAUAGAAAUGUAAAUAAAUUUGGUUAAAAUUUAAUGGAUUCGAAUUCGGUAUGUUAUCAAACAAAUCAUAAUCUUAGGAUUUGGAUUCAAUUCAUUUAUUAAUUGGAUACCUAUUUAAUUUGUUUAUUAUACAAAAUUAAAUGAAUUGAAUUGAAUUGAAUUUAGAUUCAUUUACAAUUUGUUUAAUUUAUUUAUGUAAAAUUAAUAAAAAAUCAAUCAAAUGUGGAUUUGUUUAAAAAAUAAUAAUAAUUAAUAGCAAAAAUCAAGCAAAGUAAAAUAGAAAAAAAAUCAUAAAAUUAACAACCUACAAAAUAAAAACGAAUUAGUGACCGCAAACUUGAAUUCAAUUCAUUUAUUUAACGAAUUGAAUUGAAUUCACUUAUUUGUUAAUGAAUCAAUUUUUUUUAAAAUUCAGACCUAUUUAACUUGAAUCAAAUAAACACAUCCUAAUCUAAAUUGUCACCUCUAAAUAUGAUGGACCUAUUUAAAAUAUAUGAAUACCAAAAUGUGUGGGCUAAAAAGUGGUUUACCAUGCAACAAUACGAAGUUUAAGCUCUCUUUUCUUAUGUCAUCCAAGGCAUUGCCUGGAUCGCCAAACACUAGAGUUCAAGUCUACAAUAAAGAAUCGAAAUUUUUCUUUGUAAAUGUUCGUAAGUAUUUAGCAUAGAUUUUUAAGUUAUACUUGAUAGAUCCCCUACCAUAUUUGCUAUAAUAUUUCUCUUCUUUUAAUUUAAAAGUAAAUCAUAAUAACGGAUUUGUAAAGAAAUUAAAUUUCCAGUAAUUAACUGAAAAAAUAAAAAAGAUGGAUUAAGCGAAAGAAGUUAAUAUAGAGUAAAGUCGAGUACUUGACAAUUAAAGUAAUUUUACUCGAGGUUGAGUAAGGAUAGUAUGAUACUUUCCCAGGUUUUCCGAGGACAUUCAUGUAACAUUGGACUAUUGACUAUAGUUAGAGAGAAGUCCAAGGAUGUAAGUGAUGAUGAUAGAUUCACAAUUCUUUUGAAGAAAAUAUUUUAUAUAAACUUAAUUAUAUGGUAUAAAAUGAUUGGCCUUAAUAAAAUUAAAAAAUAAUAAAAAUAAUACACGCCUGGGUCAUGCAAUAUUUUCAACCAACUAAUUUACACGCAAAAUUAAACCUUAUGAGUGAGAACAUUAUGGUACAUUUAUAUGCUAGCAAAAACUCCGCAAAAAUUUUCCGAAAUGUGAAAAUGAACACUUUUAACAAUGACACAAAAUUCCCACCCCCCAUGAUUAAUUCUCUUAUCUGGAAUAUUAGGGGGAUUGGAAAAGCCCCUGCGGAAAUUAGUUCGAUUACAUCGAUUGUCUUUGAUUUGUGUGUUGGAGCCAUUUAUUUCCAUUGAUCGUUUAGAGGCUCUUCGGGUGCGGCUUGGGAUGGAUCAUGCUUUAUCUUCCCAAUCUGGGAAGAUUUGUGUUUCUGGUCCGCACCUUUCUCGGUGGAGCUUCUGCAUGACAUGGGCAAGGUGAUUCAUUGUCGGGUUAGUCACUCUUUUUUUCCUGAUCCUGUGUAAGUUUCAUAUGUGUACGCUAGUUGUUAUAUGGAUGUGCGAGAGAAUUUAUGGGAUGCUCUUAAGACCUUUGCGGAUAGUCAUGAUCUACCUUGGAUCGUGGGGGGAGAUUUUAAUAUGAUUCAGGCGGUCUCGGAGAUUUCUGGCGGGCAUCCACAUACUCGGGGAGCUAUUGAUGCCUUUAAUUUAGCGUUGCUUGAUUGUGGUUAGGAGGAUGCUGGCUUUGUUGGCAGUCCUUUUACUUGGACUAAUGGGCGCCCAUGGAGGCAGCUUGAUAGGGUGGUCUGCAACGCUCACUAGUAUGCUUUCUUCUCAGUAUUUCGGGUCUCUCAUCUGAAUCGUACUGCCUCAGAUCAUUCUCCUUUGCUUUUUCUUGGUGAUCGGGGCGCUGUUAGAGGACCUUCACGGUUUAAAUUUCUUCAUGUGUGGCUCAAGCAUCCAGGUUUUCUUGAUACUAUGCGGCAGUCUUGGGGUGCUCCGGUGGUUGGUUCUGGAAUGAGAGCCUUUCAACAGAAACUCACUCGGUUAAAGUUCUGCCUAAAAGCUUGGAACAAAGAUGUCUUUGGUAACGUUUUUUCUCAGGUCCAACAAGCAGAGGAGGACAUGGCUCAGAAGGAAAGAUUGUAUGAUAUUUCUGGCUCCGUCGAUUACAGAGCUAAUUUUUCCGAGGCCAGGGCCUGGUUGCAGCAUGCUUUGCUUCGUGAGGAGAUUUUUUUUACGUCAGCAGUCCAGUGUUCGAUGGGUUCGAGAGGGCGAUGCUAAUACCUGUUUUUUCCAUGCGAUGAUUCGGAAAAAGUGCCAGUUGUUUCAUAUUCACAGGAUUCGGGUUGAUUGUUUCUUAGAGUGGAUUUCUGAGCCCUCCGCCAUUGUAGAUUAUGAUGUCGAUUAUUUUCAAGAUUUAUUAACGGGAGAUGCCAGUCAGUUUCAGCAGACGGACUUCGAAGUUAUUCCAUCUCUUGUGUCUGUAGAGGAUGAUGUAGAGUUAUGUAGAGAGCCGGAUAUGGAUGAGAUUAGACAUGCGGUAUUUUCUAUUGAUCCAGAUAGUGCUCCUGGACCGGAUGGUUUUUGUAGCAGAUUCUAUCAGUCGUGUUGGGACAUCAUUUGCCGUGACUUGUUAAAUGUUGUCCUCGAUUAUUUUAGAGGUUCGGCAUGCCCAGAGGUUUCCAAAGUACUUUAUUGGUCUUUCUGCCUAAGAAGGCUUCUCCGGCUUCUUGGGCUGAUUUCCGUCCGAUUAGUCUUUGUAAUGUGAGCAACAAGGUCCUUACUAAGUUGCUUGUCCCAUCUCCUGCCUCACAUUAUUUCUCAUACUUAGAGUGGUUUUGUUCCUGGUCGAGUGAUUCAUGAUAACGUGCUCCUGGUUCAGGAGUUCGUUCACGAUCUCAAUCGCCAUAGUCGAGGGAACAAUGUGGUGCUGAAAUUAGAUAUGGCCAAGGCAUACGACGUAUGUCAUGGCCUUUUAUUAUUCAGAUGAUUCACUGUUUUGGGUUCUCGAAGCGUUGGAUUUCUUUGAUUCGGCGAGCGAUUUACGGUCCUUAGUUUUCAGUGCUUAUGAACGGGGUCAGUAACAUAUAUUUCUAGUCCCAGAGUGGUCUUUGGCAGGGUGAUCCCCUUUCCCCUUGCUUAUUUAUUAUUGCUGCAGAAUUUUUAUCUCGAGGCUUGGAUCAUUUGUAUUCUCAGUAUCCCUCUGUUCGGUAUUGUUAUACUGCACCUACUUCUAUCUCCCACUUGAGUUUUGCGGAUGGUAUUGUUAUUUUUGCAAAUGAGAGCCGAUCUAGCUUACAGUGGCUUGUGGAUUUCUUACACCAUUAUAAGGUGAUCUCAGGGCAGUUGAUUAGCGAGGACAAGAGUAACUUCUACAUUAGGAAGUCAGCUUCGACCUCCCGCUAGGCCAUUGUUCACUCUGUGACUAGCUUUCAGUGACGUCAGCUUCCGUUUACUAAUCUUGGGUGCCUGAUCUUUACAGGGUACCUCAAGAUCUCCUAUUUUGAUGACAUGGUCCGGAAGGUCAAGGAUAAGAUUUCUGGCUGGGCUAACCGUCUGCUUUCCUUUGGUGGGAACCUCGUCCUCAUUCGCCAUGUGUUAUCCUCUAUGGCCCUGCACUUAUUUCACGUCCUCCGCCCUUUUAUAACGGUAGUUUAACGCCUAGAGCGAUUGUUCACCCGAUUCCUAUGGGGUGAUUUUGAGGGAAGACACCAGAUCCACUAGUGUAGAUGGCCAAAGGUUUAUUAUCCAGUUGACGAGGGUGGCCUCGAUAUACGAUCUUUUGAUGAUAUGGCGGAGGCUUUUGAGAUUAAACUUUGGUGGCGGUUUUGUCAGCAGAGUUCCUAUAUGAAGUCUAAGUAUUGCAGAUCUACGCAACCAAGCCUUAUCCAGUUUCGCUAUCUUGCCUCUCCUUUAUGGAGACACCUUUAUAAGAUUCGUUGCACGGCUAAACCUCAUGUGCGUUGGCUCGUUGGGAGUGGAGAUUGUAGCUUCUGAUAUGAUUGUUGGCUGAGUUCUUGCCCUUUAUUUUUUUAUAACCCUACAGCGGCUUUGUCGGUGCCGGUCUAGUUCUUUGGCAGGGUACAAUCUGGGACAGAGGCAAACUAAGGGACGUCUUGCCUUCAUCUAUUGUUGAGCAGAUCCUAUUAGUGCCUAUUUCUAGUGGGAAUCCAGACCUGAUUCGUUAGGACCUUGCCCCCGACGACACGUUUAACUUGCGGACUGCUUGGGAGCUUGUACAGUGCUCUAGGUCGAGGGAUGAGCUUUUCUCGAUGAUUUAGUAGAGGCAUAUCCUGUCACGAGUUUCCUUUUUUCUCUGGCAGCUACUUCACGGAUUCCUAGCUACUGAUGAUGCCUUAUACUUGAGGGGUUUCUAUAUGGUUUCUCGAUGUAUUUGUGGGCGGGUUGCUGAGACUUCUCGGCAACUUUUUAUGGAUUGCCCGCGGGCCCGUCAUAUUUGGGUUCAUUGCCAGCGGAUCAUGGGGAUGCGUGAGCUUUAUUUUCUGUCUCCCCGUGCUUUGCUUUUAUUUUGGAGACAUUGUGCCCCUUCUCGGAAUCAUCAUCGGGUCCUUCUGCCUUACUUCAUUUUGUGGCAAAUUUGGAAGGCCCUAAAUGCUUUCCAGUUUCAUUCACAGUCUUUCUCCACUGAUGCGGUUAUCUUUCAGGUCGACUCUGAUCUCAGGCUCGCUAGUUCUGCUUUUGGAUUCAAGCCUCCCCAACUGAGGGGAGUCUUGGGUUCUCGUAUUGCGGAGGGCUUGCGAGUUAUGGCUCCCCCUAGGAGGUCGAUUCGUCUAGUUGCUUGGAUGAGGCCAACUUCAGGGGUGGCUAAGCUGACUGUGGAUGGUUGCUCUGGGGUCAACCUUGGGAUGGCUGCUUCCAGGGGUAUUCUUCGGGAUCACCGGGGCAUGGUUUUAGCGGCUUUUGGAUCCUUUUUGGGUUACAAGCCGAUCUUAUAUGCUGAGCUCAUGGCGGUGUGCGAGGGUUUGGAGCUUGCCAUUCAGCUUGGGUACUCAGUGCUCGAGGUUGAGUCAGACUCGGCUAUGGUGAUGUCAUGGAUUCACACCUCAGGGUCCUGUUCGAUGGGAAUGUUCUUAUUCUCUACGCCGGGUGUGCCGUCUGGUAACGUCAUUCCCCAUUCAGGUGAGACAUGUUCUUCGCGAGGCUACUUAUGCUGCUGAUUUUCUAGCCAACUGGGCGCGCACUCAUCGGACUAGCCGGUGUUUCUUAUCUCCUCGAGAGCUUCCCAAAGGCUUAUCUGGUAUUCUUUACUUAGAUCCCCACGCAAUCCCCCAUGUCAGAUGUUAGGAUUUUAUCUUUUUCUUAUAUCUCAUUUUCUCUAGGAGGUUUUGGCUUAUAUCCCCCUCCUUUAUAUCUAAUUCAUUUUCAGAUUUAUAUUAUAGGUAAGGGUUCCGCCUAGCUCCCACCACUCUGGUGGUUUUAAAAAAAAAAAAAAACAAUGGCAUAAAAUGCCUGUGAUAAUGAAACAAUGUGCCAUCCUUAAACUAAUAUCAUUACAAACUACAAGUGAAAGUUUUUGGAAAACAUUGAGAAGUUUUUCUCGGAAUUUGUUUUCUUCUUUGCUUUGAUUUAAGCGUAAAUUUUUAAAAUCCGUAACAAAACAAAAAUUUACAUGGGUUGGGCGCACCUUGUGGUUCGUGCAUGCUUUCGUCUAAUAGUAUUUGAUACAUACAAAUUCAUUUUAAAAUUGACGAAUCGUAAUAAAAAAAUUUAUAUAUAAUAAUUGAGUGAGAUCCAUGGUUCACAAUUGCAAAUUAAUGGUUGGUUUUAUAAUAAAAAUCUUUAUGUACAUACCAAAUUAGAAAAGGUUAUAAGUGAAUUAAGAUUUUCAAAAUUUGACUCGUAUUAUAUUAUGUACGUCAAUAUAAUAUAAAUUUGUUAUAUAUAUAUAUAUAUAUAUCCAAUGCUUUCAAAAACUUUAUACUUGUUUGAACAGAUUUUUUGCUUUCUAUUUGUAUACACAAACACUUUUUUAGGACACAUGUAUAAUUAAUCUUAAUAAUUCUUAUACAAUCCUCUAUUUAAGACCAGCAACGUCACCCAUUAUAAUUUAUCACUAAAUAUUGUAAAACUAUUGGUUUUCACGAAUAACUAAUAAAAAUUAUUUUUUUUGUAAGAAAAAUACUGCGAUUCCUUUCACUGUUGUAGUAGUAUAGUUAUCGUGGACGAUGAAUUUCUAGUAUUGUACAAUGAUAUUUAUGUUGAAUGUUUAGGGAAUGAAAUAGGGUGACCAAGAUAAAGGGGUUUGCUCAUACAUUAUCGUGCUCUCCUCAAAGCAAAAGUGAGCAAAUGGUUGAGCAGAUCAUCUCGACCAGAAUAAUAUGUGGUGACCUCGAGUACAGCACCUCGACCAGGAUGUUAUUGGUCACCUCGACCAGGAUGUUAUUGGUCACCUCGACUAGGAUGUUAUUGGUCACCUCGACCAGGAAGUCACCAGGAAGCACGUCAUCCGCGAGGCCAAUUUCCUGUAAGAAGCAUAAAGCCAUUCCUGCUGCAUUCUUGCUAAGGGUUGAUUCGAGGAGACCCGGUCAACGACAGUUGGCGAGGCAUGCUCUCCAGCCCGAGAAUCUAGGCACGAAGGCCACGCAACCACCCAUGACUACGGAAAUGGGGAAUCCACAUUCGAGAGGUGGGAGGACAACGGACAUAGACUGCGGAAAACUGGGAUUCAGAGGAAGCCUAUAAAAAGGUAGCCAACGAAGGUAAAAGGGUUAGCAAUUUUGAGAUUAGAAGAGAGCUAAAGAAAUUCUAAAGAAGAGAAAACUAUGAAAAAGCCAUAAGAUCUGUGGCAAGCGUUCCCCGAACCUUCAUAUCUGACUUGAGCGUCGGAGGGUUUGCGCCGGGAAAACAACCGGCGUACUCUGACUUGUCUGUGUGCGCAGGAACCUCUGGAGAAGAAGCCUUACGAGGAGACCUUCUGGUCGUGGUGAAGUUGAUCGAGCAGAGAUCCUGGUCGUAUAACGAGGAGAACCAGAAUCUCGCAUCAACAUUUUGGCGCUGUCUGUGGGGAAUGGUACAAAAAGCCAGCUUGUUAUCUUUAUCAAUCUUCAUCUGGCCGAAGUGAAGGCAGAAUAUUGCGGUGCAUAAAUGGAUGAGCUUGCUUAAACAAGGAAGCAAAAACCUUAAAGGAGAGCACAUUGAAAGCACACGUUUGUAAAAAUCAGAACAGGUCAGAAGUUAAAUUCUUAUUUACAAGCAAUUUUUUCAUGAAAAUUUAAUUAUUUCUCUAAAUCCUGCUAUGUGAGAUGAGGAGCCCUUAUAUUCAUUAAAUUGAUUGUGCUCAUAUUAAGGCUGACUGUAUAACUUAGUUAACUUGAUUUCUUGAAAGCUAUUCAAUAUGAGAAUGAUUUAAGAAAAUAGAGCUAGGCUAGCGUUGAGAAACCAAUCAAAGCUUACUAAUAAGGCAUGCAAAGGCUCCAAAGUCUCAAAGCCUGUCUUAUGGCGAGACAGAAGCCAAGCGUGCCAGGAUCUGCUCGACCACGAGAAGGCGAGUAGAAUCCCAAUCCUUGAAGAAUUUGAAGGCAUGCAAAGGCUCACCAAGUCUCAAAGCAUGUCUUAUGGCGAGACAGAAGCCAAGCGUGCCAGGAUCUGCUCGACCACGAGAAGGCGAGCAGAAUCUCAAUCCUUGAAGAAUUAAAGGCACGCAAAGGCUCAUCAAAGUCUCAAAGCCUGUCUUAUGGCGAGACCAGAAGCCAAGCGUGCUAGGAUCUGCUCAACCAAGCGAAGGCAAGCAGACUCCCAAAUGUUGUAAAAAUUCCUAAGGCAUGCAAAGGCUCACCAAAGUCUCAAAGUCUGUUUAUGGCGAGACCAGAAGCCAAGCGUGCCAGGAUCUGCUCAACUAAGCGAAGACGAGCAGACCACCAAACUUUCAAAAAAUUCCUAGGGCGUGCAAAGGCUCCAAAGUCUCAAAGCCUGUUUUAUGGCGAGACAGAAAGCCAAGCAUACCAGGAUCUGCUCAACCAAGCGAAGACGAGCAGACCACUAAAGUUUCCAGUCUUGAUUCGUUUCACUCUCAAUACUAGAAACUGGGGGACUGGUGUUUAGGGAAUGAAAUAGGGUGACCAAGAUAAAUGGGUUUGCUCAUACAUUAUCGUGCUCUCCUCAAAGUAAAAGUGAGCAAAUGGUUGAGCAGAUCAUCUCGACCAGAAUAAUAUGUGGUGACCUCGAGUACAGCACCUCGACCAGGAUGUUAUUGGUCACCUCGACCAGGAAGUCACCAGGAAGCACGUCAUCCGCGAGGCCAAUUUCCUGUAAGAAGCAUAAAGCCAUUCCUGCUGCAUUCUUGCUAAGGGUUGAUUCGAGGAGACCCGGUCAACGACAGUUGGCGAGGCAUGCUCUCCAGCCCGAGAAUCUAGGCACGAAGGCCACGCAACCACCCACGACUACGGAAAUGGGGAAUCCACGUUCGAGAGGUGGGAGGACAACGGACAUAGACUGCGGAAAACUGGGAUUCAGAGGAAGCCUAUAAAAAGGUAGCCAACGAAGGUAAAAGGGUUAGCAAUUUUGAGAUUAGAAGAGAGCUAAAGAAAUUCUAAAGAAGAGAAAACUACGAAAAAGCCAUAAGAUCUGUGGCAAGCGUUCCCCGAACCUUCAUAUCUGACUUGAGCGUCGGAGGGUUUGCGCCGGGAAAACAACCGGCGUACUCUGACUUGUCUGUGUGCGCAAGAACCUCUGGAGAAGAAGCCUUACGAGGAGACCUUCUGGUCGUGGUGAAGUUGAUCGAGCAGAGAUACUGGUCGUAUAACGAGGAGAACCAGAAUCUCGCAUCAACAUUGAAUAUAACGCUUCAAUGAAUUUUAUUACUAUAUACUAAAAUACUCAACGAUCUUCAUUAAAAAAAAAAAAAUUGCAUGAUUAGAAUGAUUAAAGUUCAUCUAAUGACUAGUUUCAUCAUUGACUCUGUCGAAACACAGCAGCAAUCCAGAAUACAUUUAACACGAGAGGCGCAGACAAACAUGCAUGAUGAAUCUUCCACCAUUAAACCUGAAAUCAUAAAAUGAAAGAAACCAGAUGAGUGUUGUUUGUCUGAAAGCCGAUUCGAGAAAAAUAAUAAUAAUAAUAGACCUUUGUUAAUAAUUAAUACUAGUUGUCACUACCUUGUGCAUCUUCCUCCUCUGUAUCAUCGUCCUCUUCCAAUCACACCGCAAGACCAGUAUAUCUCGAGAAUCUUUACUGCCUUCUCACAGAUCCCAUUGCUGUCAUGUCUUUUUAGAUCUUCAAUCAUUUUGAAUCCCUCAGCCGCCUCCACCAACCGUGCAUAAUGAUUAAAAUAUCUAUUGGCGGUACCCGUAUUCAUUUCAGCUUCCCCGACCUUCAAAAUGUUCUCUAAUCCUUUUAAGCAAAUAGUGACGAUCUCUGGAUCAGCGUAUAGAAGGAGAUCACACAAUGGUUUUAUACACCCCUUUCUCACGAGGUACUUGAUUUGCUCAUGAGUACCACCUGAGAUGGCAUUUGAAAUUGCCCGAGCGGCCUCCUUCUUUGUAAAAAAUUCAGCAUUUUGAAGCAGAUCGACAAGGGGACCAAUUACGCCAGCAUCAAUUACCACCUGAAUCUGUUCCCUGUUACCAGCUGUAAUAUUUGAAAUAGUCCUGCAUGCCUCUUUCGCAAUGCCUGUACACUGAGUCAGGAAACCAUCUCCCUUCACAAUAUAUCUGACAGUCCACAGGGGAGGAGUGAGCCCGAAGGGGAAGGGUAAUGGAUGAAGAAGGAGCUUAACAAGUCGUGGACAGACAUCUGCCUCGAUCACAGCUUGAAUUUUGUCAUUCGUACCAUCAGAUAGACAGGAUAGUGCCUCGCAGGCAUAUCUCAAGACAUCGUUGUCAUUUGAAUGAACAAGUUGUGCAAGCGCAGGAAGAGCUGGCCUCACCUGAUCAAAUGGUGGCUCUGGCUUGCCCUGGCAAAAACGAGACAAUGUCUUUGUGGCAUUUCUUAGCAUUGAAGGCUUAGCAUGCUUAUUUAACUGUGCCAGCAACGGAAUCAAAGCUUUUUCACUGAGCACAAGAUCACGGUCUCUAGGUGAGCUACGAGCAAUAUUUCCCAGUGCCCAAACAGCCUUCUCUCGGACAUCAUCACUUGGAGAAGAAAGUAGCUUCACAAAUAUUGGAACAGCACCGCCGUCGAUCACCACAUUAGUAUUCUCAGAAGCAAUGUUUGUAAGAGCCCGAGCAGCUUCCAACUGAAGCUGCGGAUUGUCUUCCCUAGUAAGAAACUCAACAAAGCGCGCGACAACGCCAGAUUGUAUGACUUUCUCACUUGGUGGUAGGAGCAGUUUUCGGAACCAAGUAGUUGCUUCCAGCUGCAAGCCACUGUCAUCUGACCAAACCCCAGCAAGCAUCCCGGGUAAACUCACCAACUUAUUUUAGGAGCAGGAGCAGGAGGAGGAAAUUAAGUUAGGGAUUUAGAGUGAGAGUGAAGGUGGAGAAAAAGCAAGAGAGGGAAAAAGCUUAUUGUUGAGAAAUAUGUACCUUUUGUAUGGUUGUGUUAAGGUCGUCCUUCCAAGCCCAACAUGCUUCACCAUGCCGCUCCACUUUGUGUAAUUUGGGUGUACUUAAUUUUCCUUCAGAGAAAAUCUUCAUAUCGGGGCAAUCAUCCACCACUAAUCUUUCUAAAGAUGGGAACUUGAAAGCACAAUUGCCAGAGCAGAAGCUUGUCAGGCUUUCUAAGUCUACAAGCUUCAACUCCUUCAAUUCUCUGAAAGUAAUAACCUCAUCUUUUGCUACAACAUCAUCCCCCAGUACUAUUUCUGUUAUCCUAUCGCAUGAUUUUAUCUUCAUAUAUCUAAGUUGCACCAGAGUCUUUGCAAUUAAGGAUGUUAAUACGAUUUUCAAGUUGUUGCAACGCGAUACCACCAUAUUUGUAAGAUUCUGAAAGGAUGUCGACGGUGGCACUAGAUUGACUAAAUGGUCACACCCCUUUACACGUAGAAUAACCAAGUUGUUCGUAACAGAGGACUCCCUUAUCAAAAUGUGCUCCAGAUGAAAUGCUUCUCUUAUUUCUACCCACAUCCCAUUUUCAACCUUCUCAUACGGCAACGAGGCACUAUAUCCUCCUAUUUGGAGGACUUUCAUUGUGUGAAGUCUCUGGAGGAAGUCACCAAGUGAUAAAAUAGUCCGCUCAUCACCCAACGCCACAAAAAGAUAUUUUAGUUUGCAAAGCAAGCCUUCAGAAAAUAGAUAUUUAUUUGUUACUGUGUACUUUGCACGAACUAUCAACUUUUCCAAAUUAGGGAAUACCUGGGAGAACGAUCAGAACCCCAAAAAAAAGAAAAAAAAGAAAUACAAGAUGAAUCAAUUGAUAAGAAAUAUAAGUUGCCACUAAUUUAUACAAUAUAUUUUAUUCAAUAAAUCUUAACCUUUAAAAAAAAAUAGUAAUAAUAGUAUGCCUAACAUCUAGAAUAAUUAUGAAUGAAUACUAUACACUAAUCUGUAAGAGAGUUACGUUGCUGACAAUUUGAGUUUUAGUAAGAAACCAAGCGAUGAAGGCAAAGGCAAUAUAACUCUAAACUCUAUGAUAUAAACUCUCACAGUACAUACAUAAGAAUUGAAAAAUUGAUUAUAAAAUUCUUGUACGUACCCUUUCCGUGAAGAUACUAGUAGUUCUCACCAUGAAUUCAGGACAUUUAGAUAUCCGUAAUUCUUUCAAGGAUGGAAAUUCAAGAAUAUCAAGAUCUCCAGUGCAGAAGCUUGUGAACUUUUCAAGAUCAGACAUCUUCAGAUAUUGCAACUGAGGAAACAUUACAAUAUUUUUCUUCCUUUCUUCUUGGUUGUCCAUAACUAUUAACUCUUCCAAGACAGGACAUCCGACUAUCUCAAUGCAUUGGAGUUGAACAAAGCUACUAACGGUAGAAGAUGAAAAUAGACAUCUUAAAUUCAUACAGCAGGACAGGGUCAAGCGCGUUAAAUUCUGAAUACCACAAGACAUGACUGCAACUUGGUUUUGCCAAAUCCUUUCAACAUUUAUUGAAAGCAAAUGCAACUUCUCUAACUCUGGUAACCGAACCUGCUCGAUCAAAAAAUUAACUCGUUAAUUACAAGCAACAAUGAUUUCUGUUGAUGGACAAAUCAAUAAAAUUACUCUUUCUCUGGUUAUAGUUCUUUUCAGUUUUUCAUACAAACAACCGUUAAUCAAGUUUUCCAAAUUAUUCCUUACUAAAUGUAUAGAUUUAGACGGCGGCUAAUAUAAUUCAUAUUGCAAAUAUUCUUUGAUUGUAACGAAUUUUGUAAUAUUAAAUUUUGGCUGAUUCGCAAUAGGACCUACUAUCCAGCGCGAGCAGUUCUCGUGGAUUUAACUACUGGCACCUCGAUUAUAUAAAAAUUUGGAAUAUUUUCAAAGGAAAUCACAUAAUUUCCCCUUGCAAAUAGUAAUUAUCAUUAAUUGCCGCGGGUUGACAUAUAAUUCUAAGAAAUUAGGCGAGAAGAGUCUCAUCAACAAUCAAUCAGCAGAUAUCACGUUUGGCAGAUCAUCAUGAUUUCCUCAUAUGCUAGAGAAUCAACGUGAUUUCCGCUCAUGCAGGAGCAGGAGUGGACACAUUAUCUUAGAGCAUCCCUCACUGAGAUCUUUUAAAAAAUUUAUAUUAUAAAGUGAACAACAUAUUAAGUAUAGAUUUAGACGGCGGCUAAUAUAAGUUAUAUGUAUUCUAAUGACGUAUAUUAAAGAAAAUGACUAACCAUAAUUUCAAUCAACUUAUUAGUCUAUAUAUAUAUAUAUAUAUAUAUAUAUAUAUAUAAUAUAAUAUAUUCAGUGAUUACAACAUAUUUAGUAUUCCAUAACAUGAAGUUUAUAAUAAUAAUUAUUAUUAAUUCACUUAUUGUGUCAAGAACAUUUUCUUUCUCUAAGAAUGAAUUUGUUACACCCUACUAUACUACGGAUGAAAAAUUUAGAAUCAUUAUGAAAUAUAAUUAUUAAUCACUCUUUGCCAUAUUUGCGACCAAAGAAGAAUAUAACAAAGAAAAGAAACAAAAAUUAUAGAGAAUUAAUGAGACCAUUGACGUAUUAAUAACUGACCUUCCCAGUGAAACGCGUAUUAGAAAUUUGGAUAUUGUCCUCCAAAAUGAUUUGAUGUGACUGCAAAUCAUUAGCUGAUUCCUGUUGUCUCUGUUGACAUUGAGUGUAAACUUAAUUGUGAGCACAAUCUUAAUGCAUAGAUACAAGAUCUUUAAAAAUUAGUAUAAUAAACUUAGCACAAAAUCCAAAUUUGAUAUUUCGGAUUCCAUGAUUAAGAUUUUUUAAAUAAAAAUUUAAUAGAGUUAAUUUAAAAAUAAAAAUUAAAUAUGAAAAAUUAGAUUUGCAAUUAUGGAUUUAAUUUUGAUAAAUAAUGAAUGUUCUCUUUAUAUUUUUUUUUAAAGGUAAAACAGCGUACAAAGCCCAAAUUCAUUUUUUUAGUCCCUUACUCUCCCAUGAUUCAAACUUGGGUGGUUGUAGGGGGACUGAAAAUAUAUAAGACAGUUAACUUCACUUUUUUUUUUUUUUUUUUGAGAGAAAAGAGAAGAAGGAUAUUACAAAGCACGAAGCUCGUGCAAUAUAAGGGCAAUUAUGGUUUUUUCUUUAAAUUAAAAUGGUAAGAUUCUGAAGCUAAAAGAUUAAAAUAUUAAUUAAAUUGCAAACAUUAAAGAUUUUUUUUCCAAAAUUGGUUGCUUUGAAAAUGAGAAUAAUAUAAUGUUUGAAGACUUUUCAAAAUUAAUUACUGUGAUGCACUAGAAAUUUCUAGCUUUAGUCUAAUGUAUAAAUUGACAAAACGUAUUAGAAUCCCAGGUGAAAAGAACCCUCUCACACCAAUUAUUUAAAUUAGGAAUGAUCAUACCUGUGGCUCUGCCGAACUGAGGGCGAGGCCUGAACCCCUCAUCUCGAGACGCUUGAGAUGGGAAGAGCCCACUUUGACUAAUUCAUUACGAAAAUAAUCGACAUCUUGCUCUUGCAAUCCACAUAACUCUAGGUCUUCAAUUCUCUGCAGUUGCACGACUAGCGAAUCCUUCAAGCGAAUCUGGUCAUAUAGCUCGAGUCUGAAUUCACGACCCCAAAUGCCGGUGCUCCCCCAAAACCGACCUCCAAUGCUUAUUCUGUACCUUUCCAGCUUCUCCAAGAACAGGCCUCUGGGCAGAGUGCUGACGUCAUGGGUGUCUAAUUCCAAAGAGGUCAAGUUGGGCAAAUGCUUCAACUCCUCAAGGCUUGCAUUCUUAACCCCUUCCACCUCCACCUCCCAAUUAUGAAAGCUUUUAGGACCUAUAUAUAGUUCUUCUAAAUGGGAUAAUUUUGACAGUAUAUUUGGUGGAAUAACUUCUGGUCCCCAACAAUCCCUCAAAUCAAGCAACUUUAGCCAAGUCAAUUCACCUACUUCUACCGGCAACUUAUUAAUAUAAGAACCUCUUAAGCAAAGGAUUUCUAGUUUCUUCAAGCCUCCUACAACACUUAUAUCGGGCAAGAUGAAGCCGCACAAACUCAGUGUUCGAAGGUUUGACAGGAGACCAAGUGAUGAAGGCAGUGACCGUAGAAACAUGCCAGUCAAGUUGACAACUCUGACCUGCAUCAUCCUCUCGAAAAAGUUGUUUGGAAUUGUUAAUGAUGAAAAUUCCCAACGAUCAGCACGUAUAAAAAGAAGUUCGAGCUGAGGACAUUCCAGUACUUCAGGAAGCAAAUUAUUCUUGAUACCAUGUAAGACGAUUGAAGUGCAAUGCUUUAUUGCACUUCCGUCUGACCAUUCCCUGCAACCAUCAACCUGCUCAUUUGUAGCAGUAAACACAUUUCGUUCAGUAGAUGCAAUUGAUAUGGCGACAUCGCGAACUACAUCAUGCAUAGAAAACAACUCUUUCUUCUGGCUUAUAUGGUCAAGCAACAUACAAGAAGCUUUGAGUGUGCGCACCAAUGUAUGUACUCGAUUUCGUGCUACUUCAAUCUUAUUCACACCUUGAAAUAAACCCAAUCCCAUACCACACAUUAACAAGUCAUCAAUAGAUGUUAUGGCUGUAUAUCCUAUUAGCAAAAAGAUGUUCUUGAGAUCAUCCCUUCCUAGUUUAUUGUAGCUCAACUCGAUAGCAUUAAAUGCGGCUGGCUGUACAUCCUUAAAAUUCGAUGAAGAAGGCCUUCUUAGCUGUUCCAAUGCAUCCUUCCAUUCACGUAUGCUCUUGCUCCUUAAUGCCCUUGCAACCGUCACAAUGGAAACUGGUAGACCUGCACAUUCCUUUGCCACAUCCCUUGCUACCUCUUUCAAUUCAUUAUCUUCAACAUAAUCACCUGCCAUCUUCGUGAAUAGACUCCAAGCUUCAUCUUCUUUUAAAAAUCCAACUGGGAAAUUUUUUCGAGACUCCAUCUCUCCAGACAAUACUUCUUCACUCCUUGCCGUGAACAGCACUUUACAUCCCAUGUGAUCAUCUCCGUGAGGAAUUCCGACAUCCAACAAAUCAAGAUUUUCCCAAAUAUUAUCCAAGAUUACAAGGAUCCUCUUCUCUUUCUUCAGUCGAUCAUAGAGUCUUCUUGCCCUACCCGAUUCACUCUCCUCAUCAAAUUUUAGACCUAGUUUAUCCGCCAUUUCUCCUUGAAUCUUUCUUACGUCUCGACUCUCAGACACCUCAGAAAAAACCACCUGAUCGAAAAGUUUGUCACACUCUGCUUUUCUAGCAACUUCUUUAGCUAGCGUCGUCUUUCCGAUUCCGCCCAUUCCAUAAAUCAAAAGCAUGUUGACAUUGGGAUUUUUUAAUGCAUCAAUUAUUUCAUUCAGAAUGGACGUUCUUGAUUCAAAGGCCUCGAAGUCUUUGUUAGGCAUAAGCAAGGUAUCCUCCGGAAUGAUGCUGUAGGAAAUACUAUUAACUGGUCUAGCGUCCAGGACUUUGACAACAGCCUCCUUCUGCCUCUCUGCUUCCUUGCUAAGUCGAGGGCGGGUCUUCAAAUUAGGACAUAACCCCUUGAAACAACGCUUAUUUGCAGUGGCUUCAUCUUCUGUAAAUUUAUCUGCCUCUUCAAUGACACUGUUGGCCGUUGCAAGCCAAUUCUCAACGUUCUCUUCAAUCUCUUCUCCUUUUCUUUUAGCCUCAUCAACCUGGUGCUCUGUAUUCACCCUCUCAGACUUUAGUUUCACAACUUCAGUGUUGAGAUUCUGUAAGUUGCUCGUGUACUUACUCUCACGCAAAUAGCUAAUUUGGCGAUAUGCGUGAGGAGCCAAGCACUUUGCAACUUCUGAAGCAAUAGUAAGAAUGAUUUCAGCCAUCUUCAGUCCUUUGUCCUUGUCUCUCUAUCUCUCUUUUUCUGAAUUUUGGAAAAACAAUUCAACCAAGUGACCACAACAAGAUGGAACAAAAUAAAAAGGAAAAAAAAUACAAAGAGUGGAUGGAGAAUAAAACAGAGACAGCGGCACAGCUAGACACAACUAGAUAGAGAACAGAGGAAAACCAAAUAACAAGACUUAAGAUUACAACAAACAGAGGCCAAGUAUUGUUGAGAUCAGAAGAUGGAAAAUUCAAAAGAGUUGAUGGCAGAUGCUGAAUAACAGAACAACAAUGAACGCAAUAAACAGAAGCAAAGUGUGUUUGUGAUCGACAGACGGAAGUAAGGAAAAGCGGUUGUUGAUUGAAAAUGAAUGAAUGCAAAGAAAGACUGAUGUUAAAAAUUGAUGUCAAUAGCGAAGGAAUAAUUGAACUUUCGCUGAAUUAUUGUUUGUGGCUUCUUUUACUGUUUAUUUGUGGGUCAUGUCUUUUGGAACUAAUCUUGUCCAAAAAAUGUUGUUUAUUUGUGGGUCAUGUUAUUCAGCAUCUGCCAUCAACUCUUUUGUUUAUUUAUUCAAAAAAUAAAUUGUAAUUAUUUGUUAAUGUAUGCGAUUACUUGUGAUGGUAAACAAAGUAGAUAUGGUAUAUUUUGAAGUUAAAUUAAAAAAAAAAAAACCAGAGCUUUUACCAUUACUUGUCUUAUCAUCUUUUAAAUUAGAGUUAUUAUUCUUUUAUUUUUCAAGUUGCCAACUCAUCCGCAUUCUCUUUUAUUGAAUUUAAAGAUCAGUGAUUAUAAAUUUGUGUAAAAAUUUUAAGUCAAAACUUUAAAUUAAAAUAAUCUCUAAGUUAUAGGGAAAUAAUAACUUAGUAUAACAAAUAUUAUUUCCUAUACUUUAUUGAUACAAAAUUACAAAAUCUUAUAGUUUCAAAAAUAAAAAUUACGAAACCUUAUAUUAUAUUAUGUUUCCCUAUUUCCCCUUUAUAGUGAAGACUCAUACUUCUUCUCUAAUAAAUGCUAAAGUAUUGGCUUAAUUUUUUUAACCAGCAUAGUAGACCCUUAAGCUAUAUAUACUAUAAUGUCCCUCUUCUCUCACAGAUUAAACCAAUCUGAUCUCAGAGUGAGUUGAUAUCAUGACUUUGCAUCAUUCGUGAUCAAAGGAGUAUCAUUACUAACUAAUAUAGGCUCCAUCAAUAGGCAUGAUAAUAAUUUUUUUUUAUCUACAAACAUUGUUUUUCAAAAUAUUAUAUCUUAAGACUUAACUAAAUAUUUUUUUAACUAUGUAGAUAUAGUUUGUUUGAUCUCUUUUAAAUAGUGGAGAUUACAAACAAACAUAUGCGAAUUAGUAGUGAUGUUGAGUACAGAAGCUUGAAGUUAAAAAAAUUAAGGGUUUCUUGAUCUAGAGAGAUUUCAAAUGAGUGAAGCGUCCUCGAAAUCGGAAGACGAAAAUAAGGAAAGGGUAAGGGUGUAUUUUCAAAAUGAUUCUAUUAGGAGAUCUUUGAAGUAGGGGCGGGCAAGUCGGGUUUCGGUUCGAGUUGUUCAAGUUUCGGUUUGGGUUUCAACCUAAUCAGGUUUGAGAAUUAAACCCAAUCGGGUUGAAAACGCCAACCCAAACUAAACCGAACCGAAUUUAAUUUAGUUCGGGUUCAUAAUUCGGAUCGGACUGGGUUGAUAACUCAUGUUAAAAUUUCGGUUCGGGUUAAUUUGGGUUAGAAUAAUUCAAUCUAAAAUUUUGGGUUAGUUUGGUUUAAAACGGGUUGGAACAAUUUAAUCCAAAAAUUCUACCAACAACCACUUAAAAUCCAAAAAUCUCAAUUCCAAACAUCCUUAACAACAAAUAUUAACUACAAACCAUCCUUGACAACAUUUCAACAAUAACAAUAACAAUAAUAACAACAACAAUAAUGAUAAUAAUAACAACAACUAUGAAUCAGCAAUUCAGCAUAUUGCCAUAUUCUAAAUUUUAAAAAACACACAAAUUAUUUAAUUAAUUAAUUAAUUAACAAUCUCCAAUUUAAUUUAUAAUAACAGCAAAAAUCCUCUCCAAUUUAAUUAAUAACAGUCUCCAAUUGUUCAAUUAUCAGUCAACAGCAACAAAUCCACUCCAAUUGUUCAAUGAACAGAUGUGGAUUAGUAGAGUUGUUGAGUUCAGAAGAUUGAAGUUAACAAAGGGUUUCUUGAUCUAGAGAAAAUUCGAAAGAGCGAAGUGUCUUCGAGAUCAAAAGACAAAAUAAGGAAAGGGUAAGGUUAUACUUUGAAAAUGAAUCUGUUGAGAGAUCUUUGAAGAUUACUUCCGUUAAGAGCUGGAUCCCACACUUGAGUCUUCGUCGUCUCAGUCAGUCAGCUGUAAAGUCAGUCAGCUAUAAAGACAAAUUAAUUUUGAGUGUGAAAGGACACAAUUGAUCACCAAAUUUUCAAACUCGGGAUCCUUAUUGAAUCUACAUUCCCAUUUGAAAAAUAAUAAAAGAUUAACAUUAAUUUAACUUCAUCUAGAUUCCCAUUUGAAUCUGCAUUCCCAUUCCCUUGUUCUCUGGGAAUGCACAUAAUCAAACAAAAUCCUAUCCGCAUUUUCAAACUCGUGACCCUUCAAUCUUUCUAUGACAACUAUAAUGAAUGAUUACAACAAUGCUACCUAAUAGUGAGCAACUUGUUUGAUGAAAUUAACAGCUUCUUUUCUCUCAUGUAUUUUUUAAAAAUUAAAUUACCAAAGUUUUUAUUUCAAAAUUAGUGCUAUAGUUCAUUAAUUUUUCAAAAUUUCCUUUUUCUUUCCACACAACAAAUUGAUUUGCCCUCCAAAAAAUGUAUUAUAUUGUUUAUAUUGUAACUUCAAGAAACUUAUAAUAAAAUUUUAAUGAGAUAAAUAGAGAAUGUCAGUCUCCCAUCUACUCAAAAUUAAUAUAUAUCAUUAACUCUUGAUUAUUUUUAUAAUAACUAAUAACUUUCUUGGCAGCAUAAUUUUACAGUAUCAUCCUUGUUUGUAAGUAUAUUUUUAUUUAUAUUUAUUAUAAAUUAAUUAAAUCAUAUCAAUGAAAAUUGAAAUAAAAAUUGAAGCACUAAAAAUUAAAAAAAUAUGUUUUGGUGUGAAUAAAAAAUUGAAAAUAAAAAUAUUUUUCUUAUAUUUUUAAAUUUUUUUCUUGUAGUAAAUGCAUAUUUUAUAUGCUCAACUUUUUCUUUAAAUUUUUGUUAUUAGGAGGAAUUUUAGAUAUAAUGAAAAUUGUAAGGUAGUAAGUAAUAUAUAAUAAUUUUAAUAGAAAAAAGUAAAAAUUCUCUUAUUUUAAAAUAUAAGGAGAAAAAAUAAUUAAUUUCAAGACAUUUUAGAAGGUAUUUCAAUAUGCGGUGGACCACAAACUCGAGUCUUUGUCAUCUCAGUCAACUAAAAAGACAGAAUAUUGAGGGCAUGGCUAAGGUGCAGAAGCUGCAAGUAACAGCUUCGAACUUUCCCAUUUCCAUCACCUUGCAUUGGGACCUCCUCUAGCACCCGUGGAAGUUCCCCAUUGGCUACUGUUACUUACAAAAGCUCUAACAUAGACUUCUUCGAAUAUUGAGCGCGAAGGGCUCAAGUGAUUGUUAAUUUCACGGCAAUCGCCUUUUUUUUUUUUUUAAUUAUUGGGAAAUAAUAACUUAGUAUAACAAAUAUUAUAUCCUAUACUUUAUUGCUACAAAAUUACGAAACCUUAUAUUAUAUUAUGUUUCCAUAUUUCUCCUUUAUAGUGAAGACUCAUACUUCUUCUCUACUAAAUGCUAAAGAAUUGGCUUAAACUUUUUAACCAGCAGUAGACCCUUAAGCUAUAUAUACUAUAAUGUCCACUACAAGAAAUCUGACUUUCUAAGACAAAUGUUUUUAUGACAUUUGUAGAUUUUGUCAUAAAAUAAUACUUAUUGUGAUGAUCUUUUAAAAUUGUAGCAAAUAAUCUCGUCCUGGCUCAUGUUAUAUUUUGUAACGAAUAAUAUUCAUUUUAUGACCCAAUAAUUGGUCACUUAAUCAAAUGUUUUGCGACAAAUAUAAAAUUAGCCACAAAAGGACGUACUUUUUUUUAGCACAAAAAAUUCCCUCCAAAAUUGAUCAUUUUUUUUACAAAAUAUCAUCUUUUAUGACAGAAAAUAUGGUAGCGAAAUGUAAUUAUAAGUGACAUAAUUAUUUCGUAACUAAAAGAGGGAUGUAAAAUUGAUCAAACCAUUUGUGACAAAAAAUAUUAGUCUCCAAACCUGAUAUGGUUUUGAUUAAUUUUUAAGACCCUAUUUUUUUUAUCACAGAUAAUUACCGAUUGUGACAAAACUAAAAAAUAAUAGUUUAAAAAUUUUUUCUUGAGUAAUUUUAUAUUUCAUGACCUUUUUUUUUUCAGAGACACUUUAUUUAGUAUUUGAUUCAUAUUUUUUUGGCAAACUUUACAACAAUGACAAAAAACAGAGAAUAAUAAUCAAUAUUUUUAAAUUAUAUUAUAUUUUGUGACCAACAAAUUUUUUAUAUGUAUUUUAUUAAAUAAUUGAUAAGAUAAAAUGUCAAUAAUUUUAUUAAAUAUCAAGAAAAAAGGUAUUUAACUGAUAGGUAUUUUAUUAAAUAAUACAUUUUUCUUUAAAUUUAAUUACGCACAUUAUUUUUUAUCAUGUAGCUUCAUACAAAUUUUGUUUAACUAUGUUAGAUUAAUAAAAAUUAAAAUAAUAGCCUUAAAAUAAUUAACUUAGAUUAUUAAAAAAUGAUAAUAGACUUUUUUUAAACCAAUAAUAACAAACUUAUUAUAGCUUCUUUUUUAUUUUUUUAAAAGAAUCCUAUAAUAAUUAAUUAUGUUGGAUUUACAGAAAGAAUACAUAUUAAAUUGGGUAAAAAUUAAAAUAAAAGAAUAACUAAACUUAAAUAGAACAUAAGUUUCUCUAAUGAAAUCGUGAAAUACAAAUAAAUCCCCUCCCACUGAUUCCCUGGCCAAUUUUGUUGUUAUCCAAACAAAACCAUUUAAUUUCCCCCCACUCUCUCCCAGGCCACUUCACUUUAAUUGGUUUUGUAUUAAAAAACUACCCAUCUUUAUCUUUUGUAAUCCUUUCCAAUUUAUGCGUGUGUGUGUGAAUGAUGAUAACAGAACAAAAACGCAUGGCUAUGGAGGCCACCUCACUUUGCCGCCGCCCAAAAGCACGCCACCCUCACCAGUCCACUCAUGCAUGCCAAAAUCAGCCACUCAGCAAAAUUCACUCUCAUCUCUCGUUCUACUUCGAAAUUGUGAGUAUAUAUAAACUCAGCCAAUUUAAUUUUGAUUAGUUUUGUUGUGAUUGGAUUAUGUGAAAUUCAUAUUUUUGUGUUUGGUAAAAUUAGGGAUUGAAAUUCUUAGAUCUAUUAUUUGAAUAUUUUUAUGCUUAUCAGGUGCUUGAUAAAAUUCCUAAGAGAAUCUAGUAAAAGAAAAACAUAAAAUAUAUGCAAAUAAAUGAAGGAAUUUGAAGCAAAGUUUAGUAGGUUUGGAGAAACUUUUGCAAAAUUAGGAUAUUAAGAUGAAUUUGUUUUUCAAUUUGAGCAGUGGGUUUAGGCGUGCUGAUAUCAGAUUUUUUUUUCCCUAAUAUUCUUUCAUAAGAACUUUCGAAAAUGGGAUCUUUCUAAUUUUUGUUCACUUCAACUUGGUAUGUAAUUAAUCAUCUUUCUUUAUUUUUUUAAAGAUAAUUAUAGCUAGUAUUAAUAUAGUAAAAAGAGUUAAUAAGUUAUUCGAGUCCAGCCGAUAUAAUAAUAAGUUAAGCUACAAACUUUUAAUUAUAAAACACAUGUGUUGGUUGGAAGGACGAUUUUGAAGCUUGGGUUGCUAAAGUUUGCUGAAAAUAUUGUUGGAUUUGCUAGGAAGUGUAGAUGAAGUGACUAAAUAAAGGUCAAAAAGCUUCUUUUUUUCCCCAAGUGGUCGUUGUAUGUUUAGUCAAAAUUAAUAUGCUUAUCUUCUUUUGUAUUGGGAUAACAAAAAAGUAUGGAGAGAGUUUCCUCGAUUUAAGAAAAUGUAUUAGAGUGAGCGAAAAAGGUUCAAGUAGUCUCCAUACAAAAUCUAAAUGUGUAACCUAUCUUAUUUUUAUUUUUUGACUUAAUCUUUUAUUUAUUUCAACUUUAUAUUUAUUGUACUGUAAAUGUUGAUUUAUUGACUGCUUAAUAAUUUAAUUUCGUUCAAGUUUGACACCAACUGUUUAAUCGAUUAAGUUCAGAGCUUUGGAUGUAAAAUUUGUGCAAGUGAAUCAAGGUUGAUUAUGUGCUUGUAAUCUUUUGAUUAUAUUGUUAAUUUGAAGUAAUAAUGAAAGCAAGUAUGUGCUUGUAAUCUCCUGUCUUUCAUUUAGAAUUUUUUCCAUUUUUUUAUUGGAUGAAAGAAUUGAUUGCGGAUAUGUUUCAUUGAGAAUUUAAUUAAUUUUGCAUUCUUACCUAAAUAUUUUUAUUUAUAGCUAUUUGCCUUGCUAUUUACUAUUCUUUCAUUUUGGCAAUAAGAUUUUCUUUUAUAAGAUUAUUCUCCUAUACCAAUUAAGUGUUUUCUCAAGUUUUUUAUUAUUAAUAUUAUUUUUUUAAUCAUGCAAAGACAAAUGAUAGAUAGAGAAAAAUGAUGUACCAAUAAUAGAUGAUCAAAUUGUGAAAUACUUUUGGAAAAAUCUUUAAUUUUAUAAAGAUAAAAAAAUGACAGGUACCUUCAAAGUCAUCUUCUACUACAACAUUGUCUUAGCACAACAAGGAUCAAAAGUUAAAAUCAAGGAAGAAGAUAGCAAAUUUAAGGAAGUUGAAGCAUUCAUGAAACAACAACAUGUUGUUUACUUAAUUGUGCUUGUGUGUAAUGUUACUUUUAUUUUUCUUCUAUGAUGUAAUCUUAUUUUUAGACUAUUGAUUUUUUGCCUUUUUGAUUUUAGAUUUCUUUGUAAUGAAUUAUAUUUAUGUUAAUAAUAUUUUUCACUUCAAAGUUCUUUUGUCAUUAAAUUUUGAAUUCUAUGACUACAUAUUGUUAUUAAAAUUUAUGUGAGACUAUAAAAAUUGUCCUUAAAAUAAAUUUGUGACUAAAUUAAUUACCAAUUGUAUUUGUAAAAAUUGUCACAAAUGAUAACUACUUGAGACGAUUGUGUAAUGUCGCGAUAUGUAAAUUGUCAACGAUUGGUAAUUGUAUCAUUGAACCUCUAAAAUAACAAUUUUUAGUAAUUAUCGAGACUAUAUUUACAUACUCUUGAGACAAAUAUUAUAGUCAUUCUAAAUCACCUAUUGAGACAAAUGUUUUAGUCACUAUAAAUCACCUAUUGAGACAAAUAUUAUAGUCACUGUAAAUCACAUAUUGUGACAAAUAUGAAGUGUCAUUGAUUGCAUUUUUGAAUCUCUAAUUUGACCAUUUUGAACACUAUUUGUGACAAUUUUAACUUAAUUUUAAGACAAUGGUCUUUGUCACAAAACAUAUUUUUAACAUGACGAAAAUAAUUAUGGUCGCUAAAACCUUUUAAGACGGUCUUUCCGCGACUAACGUGUGACGAUUUAUUUAUCAUCAUAGAAAAUAUAAGGUGACUAAUAUGUUAUCUUUAGUGACUAAAUUUUUUGUAAUAAAAUAUCAUUUUUCUUGUAGUGGUCCCUCUUCCCUCACAGAUUAAACCAAUCUAUCUCAGAGUAAGUUUGCAUCAAAGGAGUAUCCUUACUAACUAAUAUAGGCUUGAUCAAUAGGGAUGACAAUAAUUUUUUUAUCUACGAACAUUAUUUUUUCAAAAUAUUAUAUCUUUAGACUUAACUAAAUAUUUUUUAACUAUAUAUGUAUAGUUUGAUUAAAUGGUGGAGAUUACAACAAAACAGAUGUGAAUUAGUAGUGAUGUUAAGUUCUAGAUCAAGACGAAAAUAAGGAAAAGGUAAGGGUGUAUUUUCAAAAUGAUUCUAUUGAAAGAUCUUUGAAAAUUACUUUCGUUAAGAGGUGGAUUCCACACUCUUGAGCCUUUGUCGUCCCAGUCAACUAUAAAGACACAUUAUUAUUGAGUGUGAACAUUCGAACUUAUAGAUCAUCAAAUUUUCAAACUUGUGAUCUUCGUUAAAUCUGCAAACCCUUUUUUUUUUAAAAAAGAAAAAGAAAACUGCAAAUAAUGAAACAAAAUUCUCUUCCUUGAUAGACUUACGCGGCUUGAACUUGCAAGUGCUGUCGGCAUUUUCAAACUUGUAAGACCCUUCAACUUGCUUUCCAAGAUAGCUAUAAUUAAUAAUGACAACCGAAGACGGCUACGUUUGCGGUACAAAAGUUGCACCAUAUCAGACGUUCUUUUUUGUUCUUAUCCGAAGGAACCGUUGGAUUCAAAGGAAAGUGAUCGGACAUUCAAUAGCUUCACACGUGGACAUUAUAGGAUACCGGUCAAAUCGGUUAGUGCUCCUCCACAUCAAACUCACAAGCAUGGCUAUCAUCGUAUCAGCUUGGAAACUUGUUACAAGUAACGAAGAGCAACAGAGUCCGCUCCUUUAGAGUCGGCAACAGAGUUUUAAUUAACGGCAUCUUCUCUCACAUUUUUUUUUAAAAAAAAUUGAAUUAUAUAACCCACCAAAACUAUAAAGAAUUGUUAGUUUUUCUUCAUUAAAAUUAAUAUAUUGCUCCUCAUAUUAAAAAAUCAAAAUUCAGAAUAAGAAUAAUUGAUACUGUUUAUUUACUAAAAUGAAAAUGAGAAUAAAAAUAAAAUAUAUGGAGCCUAUAUAUUUUUUAAAUUAAAAAAUAAGAACUUUUCAUGAGGAGUGUUGGGAAUCAAGUUCUUAUUAUUUAAACUCUCAAUUGUACCUUACCAAAAUUUCAUAAUUUCACUUUUGUUCUCAAUUAAAAUAUUAUUACAGUUAUUAUUCUUAUUUUUGUAGUUGUUGUUGUUGAUGAUGAUGAUUAUGAUGAUACAUGAUAAUAAAAUUAAUGAUAAUAAUAAUGAUAAUGAUAAUAAUAAUAAUGAUAUGAUAAUGAUGAUAAUAAUUUGAACAACAACAACAAUAAAUAAUAAUAAUAAUAAUGAAAAUAAUAACUAUAAUUUUAACAACAAUAAUAAUCAUUAAUAUUAUUAUUGUUAAAAUUAUUAUUAUUAUUAUUAUUAGAUAAUUAUUUUGAAUAAUAAUAAUCACAAGUCUAUUCUGAUUCCAGUUUAUUCCGAUUAUCGAUUAGAAAAUGUGUCAUUACUGUUUUAAUAAUAACUAAUAAUUCUCUUGACAUCAUAAUCGUAAUUCUUAUAGUAUUAUCCUUAUUUUAAAAUACACUACCAUGAGCUUGCAUCAUUUGAAAUGGUAGGUACUAGGUAGCAAUUGCUUACAUCAAAAUAUCUAGACUCACUCGGCAAAGUAUCCGAGGCCAAAACGCCAAAAGAUGGGACACCCACAUGUGCAUCUAAUUACAAAAUCCAAAGUUAAUGAAAAAGAAAAAAGAAAAAGUAUAAAUGAACGGUAUUGGCUGUAGGACAAGGGGAGGGGAAAAAGGACCAUUUUGUUUUCUUUGCUAAUUCACAAGGGGAAGGGAAAAAAAAGAAAAAGACAGUUUUGAUUAAAAAACACAGAAUAUUCAAUUCACAAGCCACCAAUGCUUGUGGACCAAUGGUCGAUAUAUGAAAGUUAGAGAUUCUGGAAAAAUGAGCAAAUAUUUUGAGUUGAUUAAUGGAUUUGUUUGUAAUGCAAUACAAGAUAGCAUUUUAAAGCUGGCAAGAAAGAAAGAAAUAAGUCAAUAAUUGAGAUAUUUAAAGAAGCUCAAGUGGUCAUGAAAUCUCUCCUUAAAAACUAUACAAGAUAAUGUUAAUGAUAAAGUUAGCCAACCAAGUCGUUCAAUCAUUGCUGGAAGCAAGCAGCCAUUGAAGUUGAUAGAAGCUAAUGCAUGAAAAAAGGUUCGUUACAUGAAGGAGAUAAUGAGAAAAUUGAUGAACACCUAUCAUCCAUGUUUUGUUUCAAUCAAAAGGUUUGAGUUUUAAGGCCGAUAUUUUGGACUGAAUCCCCCUGUCUGCUUCCAAAGGGGAGGAUGUGCAUGUAGUUGAUUGGGCCGAUGAUUAUGAUGGGUGGGAACUUUUAGCAUCUCAUGAAAGAGGAUGUGUAUGUUAUCGGUUGUAGGUACGGCAACAAAUUUUAUAUCCACAAACAAUAUUUUUCAAUAUAGUAUCUUAGGACUUAACUUAGCAUUUUUUAACCAUAUAUGUAUGGGAGCCCCUAUGUUACAUUAAAUGUACCAUACACAACUCACAAGAACCACACAAAUUGUGGGACCCACAUAAUUGUGUGGUUCUUAUCAGUUGUGUAUGGUACAUUCAAUGUAACAUAGCAAAAUCCUAUAUGUAUAGGUUGUUUGACCUCCUUUAAAUAGUGGAGAUUACAACAAAUGAACAGAUGCGGAUUAGUAGAGUUGUUGAGUUCAGAAGAUUGAAGUUAACAAAGAGUUCCUUGAUCUAGAGAAAAUUCGAAAGAGCGAAGUGUCUUCGAGAUCAAAAGACGAAAUAAGAAAAGGGUAAGGUUAUACUUUCAAAAUGAAUCUGUUGAUAGAUCUUUGAAGAUUACUUUCGUUAAGAGCUGGAUCCCACACUUGAGUCUUCGUCGUCUCAGUCAGUCAGCUAUAAAGACAAAUUAAUUUUGAGCGUGAAAGGACACAAUUCGACAGAUUUUACGCAAAUUUGUUUUGUUCUCAAAAUAGUCUGCUGCUCCCGGAUUGUCCUCAUCAUAUUGAACGAAUGAUGACGACGCUCUGUCCGUUUCUGGCUCUCUGCUUUUCACAUCACCAGACACCUCGUUUCUAACUGGGGUGCCACCAUCAUAUUUAACUGUUAUUGGUAACUCAAUAGCUAAUUCCAAUGUUUCAUCAAGCAGUUUAGAGAUAACCUCUCUCGCUGAACUCCCUGGAGUAACACAAUCCAGUUUUCUAGUGCAAUCAUCAAACAGUUGAACAGCUUCUGAAUUCCCUGGGGAUUGAUUACUAAUGAUAAAGACAACAUACGGUAGAGGACACAAAUUGUUAUUAAACAAUGGUGCACUUUUCAUUUUUCAACUGAGUACAGUAAAGCAAGAAUGGGUAAUUAGUUUUACCUGCUAAGCGAAAAUCUAGACUCCCGAAGGUAACCGAUCUUGGGUGAAGCAAAUAAAGAAGAAGGCGAAGUAAAAUUCACUGAGUUGAAUGAGCGAUCAUUGCGUAUGGACUUGAUUUGUUCAAUGGGUGAAAGACUGCUGAUAUAAUUAAAGACAGGAGAAUCCUGCAUGUUGACAAGCAUCAUUUUUAAUCAGCAUAGAGUCUUAAAAACCUAGUCAGUGGCAAAUGAUCAUGACAAGAAAUCUGAAGUAGAAACAGCAGAGCUCAACAAAUCACUAAGAGAAAAUAAGACCAAUAACCAAACAGAUGAAAGAAAAGCAAAAUAACCCAUCUCAAAUCACCACAUGCACAAUUUAAGGGGGUUGUGACAUGGGUUUAAACAUGACUUAACAAGUGCCACCAGUGAAUUCUCAGAGAUUGAAUUUUCAUACACAUGUCAAAUUUUCAAAUCCAACAAAUUGUUAUCUUUCUGAAGAUAUUAACUAUGCAUAGCAUGCUAUAAACGAAUCAUAUUAUUAGGGCCUUUGUUUGCUGUACACAGCAUAUGUACAGAGGAACAAAUCCAUGAGCUGAAAUCAUCAUAUUCCAAAAUAUUCUACCAAAUCAACACUACAAAAACCUAACGCUAAACAGAAUUGGAGCAAUUUACGAAAGCUAUUUGUCACACAAAGCACUAGUACCUCAGAACACAAUUUGCAAAAAAAGCAACAAAAAUGAAAAAUAACAAAUGCCCAGAUGAAAAAUCUGGCAACAAAAUGCUCAAAUCCAAACUACAACCGUCCACCUGCUUGUUUUGCCUUUUUUAAAAAUACACAAACACUUUUUUUUUCAGCACGCCACUUGAAGUUUACUUUUUGUUGCAUUCGUCCACUUCCGUUUAAUUUCCGUUAGUGAAUUUAACGGAAUGACCUUUUUACCCAUUAAAAUUAAAAUUUAACCCAAAAUAAAUAGAAAUUAGAGAUAAAUUGGAUGGAUUUAAUUUUUUUGAAAGGUGGAUGCUAGAAAUUGGAGGAAAAUAGUGUUUGUUUGUUACUAAAUUUAGAAAAUUUGUAUUUAUUUUUUUGGAGAAAAAUAGUGUUUAUUGCUUGCUAAAUUUAAAAAAUUUGUAUUUAUUUUUUUGUCUUUCAAAAAAUAAAUACAAAUUUUCUAAAUUUAGCAAGCAACAAACACUAUUUUCCUCCAAUUUCUAGCAUCCACCUUUGAAAAAAAUUAAAUUCAUCCAAUUUAUCUCUAAUUUCUAUUUAUUUUGGGUUAAAUUGUAAUUUUGAGGGGUAAAAAGGUCAUUUCAUUAACAUUCCGUUAAAUCCACUAACGGAAAUUAGACGGAAGUGGAUGAAUGCAACAAAAAACAAACUCAGGUGGCGCACUGAAAAAAAAAAAAAAGUGUUUGUAUAUUUUUGAAAAAGACAAAACAAACAAGUGGACGAAUGUAAAUUUCCCUAUUCCAAAAUAUUCUACCAAAUCAACACUACAAAAACCUAACGCUAAACAGAAUUGGAGCAAUUUACGAAAGCUAUUUGUCACACAAAGCACUAGUACCUCAGAACCCAAUUUGCAAAAAAGCAACAAAAAUGAAAAAUAACAAAUGCCCAGAUGAAAAAUCUGGCAAAAAAGUACUCAAAUCCAAACUACAACCCCAUAAGCUGAGUCGUUCUCUUCAAACUGAAUUAAAAAAAUUAAAAUGGGGAGAUCGACCUCAAACUUGGAAACAGAAGCGACAGCGAUCUGUUUCUUGUCUGGAGUGUCCAUUUCUAUAAUCUACUUUGUCCGUUUUCACUUUUCAGUCGCUCCACCACAAAGCCUCUUCACUCUGAAGCUGAAACUCACCACACACUUGCAAAACGAAAGCAUUUGAUUGAUUGAGAGGCGGGAAGGCGGGAAAACGAGAGAAAUUUGCUUCUUUUUUUUUUUAUUCGUUUGGUCAUACUCAUACAUGCACGGGCCCCAGCUUUACAAGCGUUAUUAUUACUAUUUGCAUUAUUUGAAGGACGCGUGUGCUAGGAUUAUACAAAGUUAUCUAAAAGUGUAAAGAGUAAAGUAUUGUUCUAAUUAAUUUUAAAAAAUAUUUUAUUAUUAACGUUUAAUGCAACAUGGCAAUUUUUUUUUCCUUGGCAACAAAGCAUUGUUCCAAAUAAUUAUUAUUGGAUCCAGAUCCUGUCCUAGGCAUUUUCUCUAUUAGUACUCCUAAACUUUUAGGGUAUGUUUGGCAUGUAGGAUUUGAUUGGACUAACUAUUAGGAUUGGACUAAAUUAGAAUGCAUUAGAUUGGAUUGGAUUAGAUUAUGUUAAAUUAAAUUUACAUGAAAUUAAAUAGUAUUUAUAUUAAUAUUUGAAUUUAAAUAUAAACUAUUUAUAGAUAUUUAAAUAAUACGGUUAUAGUAAGCACCACAGAAUACAAAGACACUUGGCAAAAGGAAGUCAAUCAAAUUCGAUGGCACAAAAUGAAACUAAUAAUGGCGAAAAUAAGAAAUUUUUCUUACUGGAGCAGUGAACCUUACCCUUCUCUGUAGUAGUCUUCUGGUGAAGUGAGUGCCAGAUCUGCAAAGCAAGAGAAAUCAGCAUCUGGAGUAUACAAAAGAUUAUCUAACCCCAGAGCUUGCCUCAAUUGCCUACAUGUUCAAAACAAGGACCUGUUAAAAAAUGGAAAUCUCUUCAAUGCAUUAGUAAAGGGAAGUGAAGUGAAGUGAAAGCUGAUUUCUUAGGCCUUUAAAGAGCAUCUUGUGUUUGAAUUCCUAUAACCUCACGAAAGAUUAGAGCAUCACCUUGACCGCUCUAGGUCUUGCAACUCAGUAACCCAACCAUUGUAUCUAAGCUGCACUGUCACAACAGGCAAUCCAACUAGCUCAUAAAUAUUGUUGAAAAAUUUAAUUUCCCUCCACGAUGAUGGAAGUAAUCGUUUAAAUCCAGGGACAUCACAUGCUGCCAUUAAAUAAGAAGUUGUAGGAAGUUGAAUAAAGGUAAAACAUUCACCUAAAUGAUUCAGGAGAACAAAAAAGCAGAAGUAGGAAUAAAUAAGGAAGAUUUAACGACAAACCAGCAACUUAUGCACCAGCUUGCAGAACCUUCUUGUCAGUGCCUGAAAUAGAACCAGAACUUCUAAAGACCAUAAGCAUUAAAUAAUAAACGCAAAGUACCUGCUUCUAAUAGAUGAUAUAAACAACUGAUUUACAAAUGUCUGGUCAUUGCAUUACCUCCAUCAGAGAGAAUAUCAAUAGACGAGUACAGAAAUAAAUAACUAAACUAGCUUUUGCCGCCUAAUUAGAGCCAUGUGAGAAACAAUUUACCUUAGACAUGGCAAGUCCUUUGACAUAUGUUUCUCCAUUAGCAGAUUUAUCAUAAAGUAUCUCUCUGCAUCCCCACCUAAGAUGGAACCUGUUCUAGCAAAAACAGACCCCGAGGUUAGGAAAAUCAGUAGGAGAAAACAAACAAGAGUAACAAAUCACCGCAAUGAUGUGAACCUCUAAAUACAAAUUCACCUGCCCUCUUUAUCUGUGAUUUAUCUUCUUAUGGGCCCACUCAAAUAAACGUCUGGAGAACCCUUGAGCAUCCGCAAUAGGGAAGCCUCAGUCUUAGUUGUAAACUGUGCGAAUAUAGUGAGCAUACAACGAGCACUGAUGUUAUCACGAUCAAUGAACCCAAGGGCAUAAGCAACAGGACCCCACAUUCUCAGAAUACUCGUCCGUGUACCACCUUUGGACAAAAACCAAUCAGAGAAGCUUAUCUGUAAGAAGAAAUGAAGUUUUAGGUAAGAUAACAAUUUGUAGGAGCAAGGAUCGAUAUUAAAACAAACUAGAAAAUAAGAUGUCAUUCUUACACUAUCCAAAUCUCGUAUGUCCUUCAAGGCUCCACCAGGAUCAACGAAUGCCUUUACAACAGGACUCAGAGCAAGAGCAAGAGCAUUUCUUGCUUUAUCAUAAGUCUGCACUUGAGCAAUACAUGAGGCAAAGUAUAUCAAAAGAGAAUCCAAAAGAGGCAAGAACUUUCAACAUGAAAGAAGAAAUACUGUCUUAUCAUACUGCUAACUAAUCAGAGUGCAAAAGAUUACAUCGACAUAAUCAAAAUGGAACAUAAAUCCAUAUGCACCACCUUAAGCUAAUUUGUAGACAAAAAUGCGUGAAUCCCAUGUAAGGGAGCUCCGACUGGAAACCGGAAAUCAAGUUCUGGAGUUAAAAAUCAAAAUCAUAAACUGUAUCAGAGAUAUUAUUGGACUAGACAAUCCAUAAACCAAUUUCAGAGUGUUCAACCACCAAACAUAACUAUCAGUAGUCUUAAGUGAUCAAGAAAUAACCAUACCACCAAUUUCAUCACGCUUAUUCACAAAUGUAUGAGUAUGAUCCUUCAUGAGUGAAUUUUUGUCCGCAUCGACCCGUAGACAUCCAUGAAAAACUAUCAGAUUAUAAACACAGGGUCGAUUUAAAGAGGAGCUAUGAUUCUGAUCCAUCAUUAUAUUUGAAGAACAUAUUCAUAUUUUCUUACGAGUAAACUAUAACCAGUUAUCAUCACUAUAGAUGGCAUGGUCAAGAGGAAUUAUAGUUCUUGUUUCAAGAAUCUCGAAUUGGCUAGUCUGCUUUUAUAAUCAUUCAAACACACGUAUCCACAACUACGCAAGCUUUACCUUUUUCAUCAAUCGGAACAGAUUAUUGUAGCAUCCAAAGAAAAUGUGCAGGCCGAUUUCAGUAUGGUUUCCAUGUUUAUCGAUAAAUGAACCCACUUUACCACCAAUGAAAGACCUUGAUUCAUCUAUAUCCACCUGGAAGAACAAGGGAAAAAAGAAAAAAUCUUCUAAUUUCUUUCACCAUCAACAAAAUCAGUAAAACACAUACUAAUUCAAAAUGAAAUAAACUUUGUGAAUUGAAAUAAUGCCUGCUCUAAAGAAAAUGAUAACUGCUAUUCAUUUUUCUGAACUGCUAAAAAAAAUAAAAGCUUCUGCUAUUUACUUCGAAAAAAUUGAGUAACUUCAAAUUUUGAGUUUAGGCAAGAGGAUGAAUGGUAAAAAUGAGACAUUUUAGGGGAAAAGAAAAUACUUGAGAGGCCAAUGAAACAUUCAAAAGAUUGAAAUCUAAAUGAGAAAAGCCUCAUGGCCUUGAUCCAACAAUUCCACUGUUGUUGACAUCCUAGCUCCAAUAAUCUGCUCCUAGCCUCAUGGCCUGGAAAUCUAAAUGAGCAAAGCCUCAUGGCCUUGAAAAAACCUUAGUUUUUUGUGUUGUGUGUGUUCACUUACUUGAUAAAAAUUAAACCUACGGUGUACCCCAGUCGCCGUGCCACCUGGCGCUAUUUUAGUGGCAUUCAUUGCUGUCAUGUCAGGAAUAUUCUUAUUUUCAUGCGUAUGGCAGGCGUUUCAAAAAUAUGAGUGGAGAGCAAGUUUGAGGCAUAUUCACGUGUUAGGCGUAGUGGAGUGGUCCCACGUACCUCUGCAAUUCCGUUGUAAUUUUGCAGGUAUGGCAGGAAAAGUUGGUGGUUCCAACUGUCAUAAUAUCAAACUUUUGGUUGAUUCGCUGGCGUGACAGGUGGCUGUCUCCUCUUUUGUAGCACAAGAUUUCCUCAUCGAUUCCUUAUUUUUUUACACGUAUUCAACCGAUCUUUUUUUGAGAUUCAGGGUCCAUCUAUCCCUUGACAUUUUUUACGAACCUUUUUCCUAACCUUUUUGUCCUUACUCGAUGUUCCCUAGGUAUUGAAUUUUGUGGGGUAGGUCGGGUACCAAGUUUUGUAGAGUAGGUUGGCUCCAUCGGGUAUCCCGAGUACCGAAUUUAUGGUGUAAGUUAGGUAUCUCGAGUAACAAGUUAUAGUGUAGACCAGGUAACCGAGCUUAUAGUGAAUGUCGGGUAUCGAGUUUAUUAUGUAGGUUGUGUAUCUUAGGUGUCGAGCUAAUAGUGUAGGUCGGGUAUCUCAGGUACCGAGUUUAUAGUGUAGCACGAGUAUCUUGGGUACCGAGCUAAUGGUGUAGGUCGGGUACCUGGGAUACCGAGUUUAUAGUGUGGGUCAGGUAUCUUGGGUACUGAGCUAAUGGUGCAGGUCGGAUACCCCCAGAGAAUAACUAAUAGUUACAUAACCUUUGUAGUUUGUAUCGACACGUAGCGCUUCAUUUUCAACACUCUGUUUAUCCACAAACAAGGGGUAUUCAAAAUUCAAUUAGAUCCGCUCAAUUCGUCCGAUCUAUAAAACUUCGAUCCAUGGAUUGGUAGAUCAAAUUGGAUUGAAAAUUUAAAAAUUCGCAGUCGAUGGAUUGGAUAUGAAUUUAUUUCUAUAAAUUCGUAAAAAUCCUUGAAUCCGUAAAAAAUAACAAGUAUUUAUUUAAAUUAAAGUAUAGCUAAAUUAACACAAUAUUAUAUCUUAUUCGAUAACAAUAUAAAAUAAAAAAAAUUAGAUAUUUAAAUAAUUAAAUAAGCAAAUAUACCUUCCAAAACAUUAAAAAUUCUAAAGCAAAACAAAAACCCUAUGCUAAACAAAACAUUUUGGCAUAUAACACCAAAUCUUUACCCCAUCGCACGCACAAGCCAUCACUGUUUCACUUCACCACUUGAGGUAAUUAAGCUUAAUUUCUUACUUUCUUUUCAAGUUCUUCAAGUUUCUUAAUUUCUUCCUAUUACAUCCAAGCUCUCAAGUUUCAAUAUUUAAAUUCAUAAUUUUAGUUAAUUUUCAUGUAUUGAUCUAAACAAAUGAAUUUUCUUUUUAGUGUGUUAUAUUUUAAAUUUUUGAAUAUAUUAUUCUAACUUUAUUUAAACAAUUAAUUUUUUUAAAUCUUGCUCAAUUUUGAAUUUAAUUGAUAGUAAGAUUAUUUUUACAUUAGAUUUUUUUAAUUUAAUAAAUUAUUUAUAUAUUAGAUUUUUUAAUUUAAUAAAUUAUUUAUAUAUUAGAUUUUUUAAUUUAAUUACUUCGUAGAUUGGACAAAAUUAAAAAAUUUUAAUUCGCAAAUGAAUCCGCUAAAUGAUGGAUUAGAUAUUGAUUGGGUUAAAUCUGCAUCCGAUCCGCAUACAUAUAGAUUGGAUUUAGAUUGAAUUUCACUAAUCUGUGGAUUGGAUUGGAUUGAAUUGAAAUUUUAUAAUCUCCCUUUCUUUUUUCGAUUAUUACACAAACGUUAGUGCUUGUGAAUUAGCACAAAAUGUUAGUGAGCACAAAAUGUCAUUAACGAUAAUGGAUGGAAUGACCAAACCAACCAACUAAAUUUUGAAAGGAGGGAAUGAUACAUAAUAGUUUAAUUUGAUUUUAUUUUAAUUGGGUGAUUAAUUAAUUUAUUAUCAAGUAAUUGUAUGUACUUAUUUAAUAGAUACCCUUAUCUUUGGACAAGGCUGAGAAAAAGGCCACGAUGGUGUGUUCACAUAUUUUUUAGGCCGACCGUUUCUAGCUUCGGCUUAAAUAAGGCUUUUGUAUUUUUGUGCCCUUUUUUUCUGAGUAUUUUCAUAUUUUGUGCUAAUUUACACCAACGAAAAUGUGUAGACACUUUUUUAGUAUGAUUUUUCCUUUUUUUUUUUUUCACUUUCAUAGUUACUGUUAAAAAAUCUGUUGAAACUCAGAACCUCCCAUGUGGACUCUAGAACGUGACAGUUUUAGAUAUCUGAGUCCAUAAUAUCAUUAGGAGUAACAAAAGGAAUAAAUUCAAUCAUAAUGAAAAAAUGUGCCAUCCUUAAGGCUUACCUAAUAUUACUAGAACCUAAAAGUGAAAGUUUUAAGAAAACAUGUGAUAAGUUUUUCUUGGAAUUUAUUCUUCUUUGUUUUAAUUUACGCGAGAGAUAGUUAAAAAGCGUAAAAUUUUAAAAUCCGUAACAAAACAAAAACUUACAUGGGUUGGGCGCACCAUGUGGUUCGUCUAAUAAUAUUUGAUACGUACAUAUUCAUUUUAAAAUUGGUGAAUCGUAGUAAAAAAUUUAUAUGUAAUAAUUGAAUGAGAUCCAUGGUUCACAAUUGCAAAUUAACGGUUGGUUGUAUAAUAAAAACCUUUAUGUACAUGGGUCCGCCUAACUUACAUUCAAUGUAAGUUACACUCAGCCCGUGUAAUUUCAUAUAGUCCCCCUAUACUCUAUACUAUUUAUAUUUUAUUCAUAAAUAUUAUAAAUUUUUUGAAAUAAAAAUUUUUAUUUAACCCCCUCUACUCAAUUUUAUUUUAUUAAAACCAUAGAGUAUGAAUUCGCCCCCAUAGUUUUAAAUUCUCAAAAUAAUCUCCAUUUAAUUAAAAAUAUAAUUAUUUUUAAAUGAAUUAUAAUUAUAAUUAUAAUUUUAUUAUAAUCAUAAAUAUUUUUUAAUAGAUUAUUGUUAUUAAAAUAAAAUUUCGUUUAGCCCCCUCUACUCAAUUUUAUUUUAUUAAAACCAUAGAGUAUGAAUUCGCCCCCAUAAUUUUAAAUUCUCAAAAUAACCUCCAUUUAAUUAAAAAUAUAAUUAUUUUUAAAUGAAUUAUAAUUAUAAUUAUAAUUUUAUUAUAAUCAUAAAUAUUUUUUUAAUAGAUUAUUGUUAUUAUUAAUAACAAGAAUAAAAAGCAUUAUAAAUUGUUAAUAAUAAUAAUAAUAAUAAUAAUAAUAAUUAAUGAUUAUCUAACUAAUAGUAAAUGUAUUGCUAAUGCUACCUUCGACUUUAAAUACUCAUUAUCGGGUUUCAAGAGAUCAAUGAAUGAUAAUUUCUGUCAGAAUUUUAAGCUUGACCCAAUAAAAAUAAUUUUGUAUUUAAAAAAUAGAAGCAAAAAAAAUGUGUUUACAUCCUCGAAUGUGUAACAACUUAGCAAAAAGCACUUAAAAAUGACCGUUUAAUAAUGAGAUGCCUACAAAAUCAUUGUUUAUCAAGGUAACAAAAAAAUUCUAAAAGUACUUGAAAUUAAAAUGUAUAGAAAUAUAAAAGAGUCUCCUACAUAAAUAUAGACUCAGUGUUUAUUCCAUUUUAUUAUAAUCAUAAAUAUGUUGAUUAUCAUUAAUUAUUAUUAUUAUUACUAACAAUUUAAUAAAAAUAUUAUUAAUUAUUGUUAAUAGAUUAAUUAAUUAUAAUAUUUUUUAUUAUCGUUAUUAAUAAUAACAAUAAUCUAUUAAAAAAUAUUUAUGAUUAUAAUAAAAUUAUAAUUAUAAUUAUAAUUCAUUUAACAAUAAUUAUAUUUUUAAUUAAAUGGAGGUUAUUUUUGAGAAUUUAAAAUUAUGGGGGCGAAUUCAUACUCUAUAGUUUUAAUAAAAUAAAAUUGAGUAUAAGGGGUUAAACGAAAUUUUACAUUUCAAACAAUUUAUAAUAUUUAUGAAUAAAAAAUAAAUAAUAUAAAGCAUAGGGGGCUAUAUAAAAUUACACAGGCUGAGCGUAACUUGCGUUGAACCUAAGUUAGGCAAACCCUUAUGUACAUACCAAAUUAGAAAACGUUAUAAGUAAAUUAAGAUUUUCAAAAUUUGACUCGUCUUACAUUACGUACAUCAAUAUAAUAUAAAUUUGUUAUAUAUAUAUAUAUAUAUAUAUAUAUAACCAAUGCUUUCAAAAACUUUAUACUUGUAUGUUUGAACAACUUUUUUUGUUUUCUAUUUAUAUACGGUAUCAUUUAUGUUUACAUAAAUUUUCAUAUGUACCCAAAUUAAGUAUUAAAUACACAGACACUUUGUUAAGACUCAUGCGUAAUUAAUCUUAAUAAUUUCUUAUACAAAUACAAUCCUUUAUCUAAGACCAGCAACGUCACUCAUCAUAAUUUUUCACCAAAUAUUGUAAAGCUGUUGUAGUAGUAUAGUUUUCAUGGACAUUGAAUUUCUAGUAUCAGACAAUGAUAUUAUAUUGAAUGUAAUGCUUCAAUGAAUUUUAUUACUAUAUACUAAAAUGCUCAACGAUCUUCAUUAAAAAAAAAAAAAAAUUGCAUGAUUAGAAUGAUUAAAGAAUAAUAAUAAUAAUAAUAGACCUUUGUUAAUAGUUACUACAAGUGGUCACUGCCUUGUCCAUCUUCCUUCUCUGUAUCAUCGUCCUCUUCCAAGCCGCUGUCAUCUGACCAAAAACUCGCCUACUUGUUUUAGGAGCAGGAGCAGGAGGAGGAAAUUGAGUUAGGGAUUUGGAGUGAGAGUGAAGGUGGAGAAACGCAAGAGAGGGAAAAAGCUGAUUGUUGAGAAAUAUAUAUACCUUUUGUAUGGUUGUGUUAAGGUCGCCCUUCCAAGCCCAACAUGCUUCACCCCGCCAACGUGCUUUACUCCGCCCCUUCACUUUGUGUAAUUUGGGUGUACUUAAUUUUCCUUCAGAGAAAAUCUUCAUAUCGGGGCAAUCAUCCACCACUAAUCUUUCUAAAGAUGGGAACUUGAAAGCACAAUUGCCAGAGCAGAAGCUUGUCAGGCGUUCUAAGUCUACAAGCUUCAACUCCUUCAAUUCUCUGAAAGUAAUAACCUCAUCUUUUGCUACAACAUCAUCCCCCUGUACUAUUUCUGUUAUCCUAUCGCAUGAUUUUAUCUUCAUAUAUCUAAGUCGCACCAGAGUCUUUGCAAUUAAGGAUGUUAAUACGAUUUUCAAGUUGUUGCAACGCGAUACCACCAUAUUUGUAAGAUUCUGAAAGGAUGUCGACGGUGGCACUAGAUUGACUAAAUGGUCACACCCCUUUACACGUAGAAUAACCCAGUUGUUCGUAACAGAGGACUCCCUUAUCAAAAUGUGCUCCAGAUGAAAUGCUUCUCUUAUUUCUACCCACAUCCCAUUUUCAACCUUCUCAUACGGCAACGAGGCACUAUAUCCUCCUAUUUGGAGGACUUUCAUUGUGUGAAGUCUCUGGAGGAAGUCACCAAGUGAUAAAAUAGUCCGCUCAUCACCCAAGUGAUAUUUAUUUGUCACUACGUGCUUUGCAUCAACUUUCAACUUUUCCAAAUUAGGGAAUACCUGGGAGAUCGAUCACAACCCCAAAAAAAAGAAAAAAAAGAAAUACAAGAUGAAUCAAUUGAUAAGAAAUAUAAGUUGCCACUAAUUUAUACAAUAUAUUUUAUUCAAUAAAUCUUAACCUUUAAAAAAAAUAGUAAUAAUAGUAUGCCUAACAUCUAGAAUAAUUAUGAAUGAAUACUAUACACUAAUCCGUAAGAGAGUUACGUUGCUGACAAUUUGAGUUUUAGUAAGAAACCAAGCGAUGAAGGCAAAGGCAAUAUAACUCUAAACUCUAUGAUAUAAACUCUCACAGUACAUACAUAAGAAUUGAAAAAUUGAUUAUAAAAUUCUUGUACGUACCCUUUCCGUGAAGAUACUAGUAGUUCUCACCAUGAAUUCAGGACAUUUAGAUAUCCGUAAUUCUUUCAAGGAUGGAAAUUCAAGAAUAUCAAGAUCUCCAGUGCAGAAGCUUGUGAACUUUUCAAGAUCAGACAUCUUCAGAUAUUGCAACUGAGGAAACAUUACAACAUUUUUCUUCCUUUCUUCUUGGUUGUCCAUAACUAUUAACUCUUCCAAGACAGGACAUCCGACUAUCUCAAUGCAUUGGAGUUGAACAAAGCUACUAACGGUAGAAGAUGAAAAUAGACAUCUUAAAUUCAUACAGCAGGACAGGGUCAAGCGCGUUAAAUUCUGAAUACCACAAGACAUGACUGCAACUUGGUUUUGCCAAAUCCUUUCAACAUUUAUUGAAAGCAAAUGCAACUUCUCUAACUCUGGUAACCGAACCUGCUCGAUCAAAAAAUUAACUCGUUAAUUACAAGCAACAAUGAUUUCUGUUGAUGGACAAAUCAAUAAAAUUACUCUUUCUCUGGUUAUAGUUCUUUUCAGUUUUUCAUACAAACAACCGUUAAUCAAGUUUUCCAAAUUAUUCCUUACUAAAUGUAUAGAUUUAGACGGCGGCUAAUAUAAUUCAUAUUGCAAAUAUUCUUUGAUUGUAACGAAUUUUGUAAUAUUAAAUUUUGGUUGAUUCGCAAUAGCACCUACUAUCCAGCGCGAGCAGUUCCUUGGGAUUUAACUACUGGCACCUCGAUUAUAUAAAAAUUUGGAAUAUUUUCAAAGGAAAUCACAUAAUUUCCCCUUGCAAAUAGUAAUUAUCAUUAAUUGCCGCGGGUUGACAUAUAAUUCUAAGAAAUUAGGCGAGAAGAGUCUCAUCAACAAUCAAUCAGCAGAUAUCACGUUUGGCAGAUCAUCAUGAUUUCCUCAGAUGCUAGAGAAUCAACGUGAUUUCCGCUCAUGCAGGAGCAGGAGUGGACACAUUAUCUUAGAGCAUCCCUCACUGAGAUCUUUUAAAAAAUUUAUAUUAUAAAGUGAACAACAUAUUAAGUAUAGAUUUAGACGGCGGCUAAUAUAAUUUAUAUGUAUUCUAAUGAAGUAUAUUAAAGAAAAUGACUAACCAUAAUUUCAAUCUACUUAUUAGUCUAUAUAUAUAUAUAUAUAUAUAAUAUUCAGUGAUUACAACAUAUUUAGUAUUCCAUAACAUGAUGUUUAUAAUAAUAAUUAUUGUGUCGAGUACCUUUUCUUUCUCUAAGAAUGUAUUUGUUACACCCUACUAUACUUCGGAUGAAAAUUUAGAAUAAUUAUGAAAUAUGAUUAUUAAUCACUCUUUGCCAUAUUUGCUACCAAACAAGAAUGCAACAAAGAAAAAAAAAACAAAAAUUAUAGAGAAUUAAUAAGACCAUUGACUUAUCAAUAACUGACCUUCUCAGCGAAAAGUGUAUUAGAAAUUUGGACAUUGUCCUCCAAAAUGAUUUCAUGUGACUGCAAAUCAUUAGCUGAUUCCUCCUGUCUCUGCUAACAUUGCAGGUGCAUUGAUUUUAGAGUGUAAGCUUAAUUGUGAGCACAACCUUAAUGCAUAGAUACAAGAUCUUUAAAAAUUAGUACAAUAAACUUAGCACUAAAUUAAAUUUGAUAUUUUUGAAUUCCAUGAUUAAGAUUUUUUUUUUAAAUGAAAAUUUAAUAGAGUUAAUUUAAAAAUAAAAAUUAAAUAUGAAAAAUUAGACUUGCAAUUAUGGAUUUAAUUUUGAUAAAUAAUGAAUGUUCUCUUAAUAUUUUUUUUAAAAGAUAAAAGAGCGUACAAAGCCCAAAUUCAUUUUUUUAGUCCCUUACUCUCCCAUGAUUCAAACUUGGGUGGUUGUAGGAGGACUGAAAAUAUAUAAGACAGUUAACUUUACUUUUUUUUUUUUCUUUUUUCUUUUUUGUUGAGAGAAAAGAGAAGAAGGAUAUUACAAAGCAUGAAGCUCGUGCAACACAAGGGCAAUUAUGGUUUUUUCCUUAAAUUAAAAUGGUAAGAUUCUGAAGCUAAAAGAUUAAAAUAUUAAUUAAAUUGCAAACAUUAAAGAUUUUUUUUUUCAAAUUGGUUGCUUUGACAAUGAGAAUAAUAUAAUAUUUGAAGACUUUUCAAAAUUAAUUACUGUGAUGCACUAGAAAUUUCUAGCUUUAGUCUAAUGUAUAAAUUGACAAAACGAUAUUAGAAUCCCAGGUGAAAAGAACCCUCUCAUACCAUUUUCUUAAAUUAGGAAUGAUCAUACCUCUGACUCUGCCGAACUGAGGGCGGGGUCUAAACCCAUCAUAAAGAGACGCUUGAGAUGGGAAGAGCCCACUUUGGCUAAUUCAUUACGAAAAUAAUCGACAUCUUGCUCUUGCAAUCCACUUAACUCAAGGUUUUCAAUUCUCUGCAGUUGCACGAUCAGCGAAUCCUUCAAGCGAAUCUUUUCAUAUAGCUCGAGACUGAAUUCACGACACCAAAUGCCGGUGCUCUCCCGACGGUCAUAAUCUGCAAUGCAUAUUUGGUACCUUUCCAGCUUCUCCAAGACCAGGCCUCUGGGCAGACUGCUGACGUCACGGACGUGUAAUUCCAAAGAGGUCAAGUUGGGCAAAUGCUUCAAUUCCUCAAGGCUUGCAUUCUUAACCCCUUCCACCUCCACCUCCCAAUCGGCAAAGUCAAAGAGUUCACUAGCUAUAUAUAGUUCUUCUAAAUGUGAUAAUUUUGACAGUAUAUUUGGUGGAAUAACUUGUAGUGCUGAACAAUCUCUCAAAUCAAGCAACUUUAGACAAGUCAAUUCACCUACUUCUACCGGCAACUUCUUAAUAUAAGAACCUCUUAAGCAAAGGAUUUCUAGUUUCUUCAAGCCUCCUACAACACUUAUAUCAGGCAAGCAGCAGCGACACAAACUCAGUGUUCGAAGGUUUGACAGGAGACCAAGUGAUGGAGGCAGUGACCGUAUGUAAGUCAAGUUUACAACUCUGACCUCGAUCAUCCUCUCGAAAAAGUUGUUUGGAAUUGUUAAUGGUAAAAAUACACCUCUAGCAGCACGUAGAAAAAGAAGUUCGAGUUGAGGACAUUCCAGUACUUCAGGAAGCAAAUUAGUCUUGAUAUCAUGUAAGACGAUUGAAGUGCAAUGCUUUAUUGCACUUCCGUCUGACCAUUCCCUGCAACCAUCAACCUGCUCAUUUGUAGCAGUAAACACAUUUCGUUCAGUAGAUGCAAUUGAUAUGGCGACAUCGCGAACUACAUCAUGCAUAGAAAACAACUCUUUCUUCUGGCUUAUAUGGUCAAGCAACAUACAAGAAGCUUUGAGUGUGCGCACCAAUGAAUGUACUCGAUUUCGUGCUGCUUCAAUCUUAUUCACACCUUGAAAUAAACCCAAUCCCAUACCACACAUUAACAAGUCAUCAAUAGAUGCUAUGGCUGUAUAUCCUAUUAGCAAAAAGAUGUUCUUGAGAUCAUCCCUUCCUAGUUUAUUGUAGCUCAACUCGAUAGCUUUAAAUGCGGCUGGCUGUACAUCCUUAAAAUUCAAUGAAGAAGGCCUUCUUAGCUGUUCCAAUGCAUCCUUCCAUUCACGUAUGCUCUUGCUCCUUAAUGCCCUUGCAACCGUCACAAUGGAAACUGGCAGACCUGCACAUUCCUUUGCCACAUCCCUUGCUACCUCUUUCAAUUCAUUAUCUUCAACAUAAUCACCUGCCAUCUUCGUGAAUAGACUCCAAGCUUCAUCUUCUUUUAAAAAUCCAACUGGGAAAUUUUUUCGAGACUCCAUCUCUCCAGACAAUACUUCUUCACUCCUUGCCGUGAACAGAACUUUACAUCCCAUGUGAUCAUCUCCGUGAGGAAUUCCGACAUCCAACAAAUCAAGAUUUUCCCAAAUAUUAUCCAAGAUUACAAGGAUCCUCUUCUCUUUCUUCAGUCGAUCAUAGAGUCUUCUUGCCCUACCCGAUUCACUCUCCUCAUCAAAUUUUAGACCUAGUUUAUCCGCCAUUUCUCCUUGAAUCUUUCUUACGUCUCGACUCUCAGACACCUCAGAAAAAACCACCUGAUCGAAAAGCUUGUCACACUCUGCUUUUCUAGCAACUUCUUUAGCUAGCGUCGUCUUUCCGAUUCCGCCCAUUCCAUAAAUCAAAAGCAUGUUGACAUUGGGAUUUUUUAAUGCAUCAAUUAUUUCAUUCAGAAUGGACGUUCUUGAUUCAAAGGCCUCGAAGUCUUUGUUAGGCAUAAGCAAGGUAUCCUCCGGAAUGAUGCUGUAGGAAAUACUAUUAACUGGUCUAGCGUCCAGGACUUUGACAACAGCCUCCUUCUGCCUCUCUGCUUCCUUGCUAAGUCGAGGGCGGGUCUUCAAAUUAGGACAUAACCCCUUGAAACAACGCUUAUUUGCAGUGGCUUCAUCUUCUGUAAAUUUAUCUGCCUCUUCAAUGACACUGUUGGCCGCUGCAAGCCAAUUCUCAACGUUCUCUUCAAUCUCUUCUCCUUUUCUUUUAGCCUCAUCAACCUGGUGCUCUGUAUUCACCCUCUCAGACUUUAGUUUCACAACUUCAGUGUUGAGAUUCUGUAAGUUGCUCGUGUACUUACUCUCACGCAAAUAUCUAAUUUGGCGAUAUGCGGGAGGAGCCAAGCACUUUGCAACUUCUAAAACAAUAGUAAGAAUGAUUUCAGCCAUCUUCAGUCCUUUGUCCUUGUCUCUCUAUCUCUCUUUUUCUGAAUUUUGGAAAAACAAUUCAACAAGUGACCACAACAAGAUGGAACAAAAUAAAAAGGAAAAAAAUACAAAGAGUGGAUGGAGAAUAAAACAGAGACAGCGGCACAGCUAGACACAACUGGAUAGAGAACAGAGGAAAACCAAAUAACAAGACUUAAGAUUACAACAAACAGAGGCCAAGUAUUGUUGAGAUCAGAAGAUGGAAAAUUCAAAAGAGUUGAUGGCAGAUGCUGAAUAACAGAACAACAAUGAACACAAUAAACAGAAGCAAAGUGUGUUUGUGAUCGACAGACGGAAGUAAGGAAAGCGGUUGUUGAUUGAAAAUGAAUGAAUGCCAAGAAAGACUGAUGUUAAAAAUUGAUGUCAAUAGCGAAGGAAUAAUUGAACUUUCGCUGAAUUAUUGUUUGUGGCUUCUUUUACUGUUUAUUUGUGGGUCAUGUCUUUUGGAACUAAUCUUGUCCCAAAAAUGUUGUUUAUUUGUGGGUCAUGUUAUUCAGCAUCUGCCAUCAACUCUUUUGUUUAUUUAUUCAAAAAAUAAAUUGUGAUUAUUUGUUAAUGUAUGCGAUUACUUGUGAUGGUAAACAAAGUAGAUAUGGUAUAUUUUGAAGUUAAAUUAAAAAAAAAAAAAACAGAGCUUUUACCAUUACUUGCCUUAUCAUCUUUUAAAUUAGAGUUAUUAUUCUUUUAUUUUUCAAGUUGCCAACUCAUCCGCAUUCUCUUUUAUUGAAUUUAAAAAUCAAUGAUUAUAAAUUUGUGCGAAAAUUUUAAGUCAAAACUUUAAAUUAAAAUAAUCUUUAAGUUAUAGGGAAAUAAUAACUUAGUAUAACAAAUAUUAUAUCCUAUACUUUAUUGCUACAAAAUUACGAAACCUUAUAGUUUCAAAAACAAAAAUUACGAAACCUUAUAUUAUAUUAUGUUUCCAUAUUUCUCCUUUAUAGUGAAAACUCAUACUUCUUCUCUAAUAAAUGCUAAAGUAUUGGCUUAAAUUUUUUAACCAGCAUAGUAGACCCUUAAGCUAUAUAUACUAUAAUGUCCCUCUUCUCUCACAGAUUAAACCAAUCUGAUCUCAGAGUGAGUUGAUAUCAUGACUUUGCAUCAUUCGUGAUCAAAGGAGUAUCAUUACUAACUAAUAUAGGCUCCACAAUUGGCAUGAUAAUAAUUUUUUAUUAUCUACAAACACUGUUUUUCAAAAUAUUAUAUCUUAAGACUUAACUAAAUAUUUUUUAACUAUGUAGAUAUAGUUUGUUUGAUCUCUUUUAAAUAGUGGAGAUUACAAACAAACAUAUGCGAAUUAGUAGUGAUGUUGAGUUCAGAAGCUUGAAGUUAAAAAAAUUAAGGGUUUCUUGAUCUAGAGAAAUUUCAAAUGAGUGAAGCGUCCUUGAAAUCGGAAGACGAAAAUAAGGAAAGGGUAAGGGUGUAUUUUCAAAGUGAUUCUAUUAGGAGAUCUUUAAAGUAGGGGUGGGCAAGUCGGGUUUUGGUUCGGGUUGUUCAAGUUUCGGUUUGGGUUUCAACCCAAUCGGGUUUGAGAAUUAAACUCAAUCGGGUUGAAAACGCCAACCCAAACUAAACCGAACCAAAUUUAAUUCAGUUUGGGUUCAUAAUUCGGAUCGGAAUGGGUUGAUAACUCAUGUUAAAAUUUCGGUUUGGGUUAAUUUGGGUUAGAAUAAUUCAAUCUAAAAUUUUGGGUUAGUUUGGUUUAAAAUGGGUUGGAACAAUUUAAUCCAAAAAUUCUACCAACAACCACUUAAAAUCCAAAAAUCUCAAUUCCAAAAAUCCUUAACAACAAAUAUCAACUACAAACCAUCCUUGACAACAUUUCAACAAUAACAAUAACAAUAAUAACAACAACAACAAUGAUAAUAAUAACAACAACUAUGAAUCAGCAAUUCAGCAUAUUGCCAUAUUCUAAAUUUAAAAAAACACACAAAUUAUUUAAUUAAUUAAUUAAUUAACAAUCUCCAAUUUAAUUUAUAAUAACAGCAAAAAUCCUCUCCAAUUUAAUUAAUAACAGUCUCCAAUUGUUCAAUUAUCAGUCAACAGCAACAAAUCCACUCCAAUUUAAUUAUAACAAUCUCCAAUUGUCCAAUUAUCAGUCAACAGCAACAAACCCUCUCCAAUUUGUCACGAACAACCUCUAAUUGUUCAAUUAUCAGUCAACAACAACAAACCCACUCCAAAUAAUUGAACAAUUAUUAAUUAAUUAAUUAAAAAUAUCCAAUUUAAUUAAUAACAACACCCAGGAGCAAGUCAGCAAUAAACCCACUACAAAAUCCAAAUAUCAGUAUAAACGAAGUGUCAAACCUUGAUCGGUGGGAAGCUACAGCGUCGGCAAAGCGUGACCGCGUGGGGCUGAGUGAGACUGUCGACCGAGGGUGUGAGAAGGGAGAAGAGGGAGCAAGGAGGUAACGUGGUGUGUGUGAGUUUAUAUAUACCAUGAGUUCGCAUCAUUUGAUAUCAAAGGAGCAUCAUUACUAACUAAUAUAGGCUCGAUCGAAUUCAUCAUGCGAAGUAUAUUAUCGGCUGUAGGUAUGGAAAUAAAUUUUGUAUCCACAAACACUAUUUUUCAAAAUAUUUUAAGACUUGACUUAGCAUUUUUUAACCAUAUAUGUAUAGGUUGUUUGACCUAUUUUAAAUAGUGGAGAUUACAACAAAUGAACAGAUGUGGAUUAGUAGAGUUGCUGAGUUCAGAAGAUUGAAGUUAACAAAAGGUUUCUUGAUCUAAAGAAAAUUCGAAAGAGCGAAGUGUCUUCGAGAUCAAAAGACGAAAUAAGAAAAGGGUAAGGUUAUACUUUCAAAAUGAAUCUGUUGAUAGAUCUUUGAAGAUUACUUUCGUUAAGAGCUGGAUCCCACACUUGAGUCUUCGUCGUCUCAGUCAGUCAGCUAUAAAGACAAAUUAAUUUUGAGCGUGAAAGGACACAAUUGAUCACCAAAUUUUCAAACUCGUGAUCCUUAUUGAAUCUGCAUUCUCAUUUGAAAAACAAUAAAAGAUUAACAUUAAUUUAACUUCAUCUAGAUUCCCAUUUGAAUCUGCAUUCCCAUCCCGUUGUUCUCUGGGAAUGCACAUAAUCAAACAAAAUCCUAUCCGCAUUUUCAAACUUGUGACCCUUCAAGCUUUCUAUGACAACUAUAACGAAUAAUUACAACAGUGCUACCUAAUAGUGAGCAACUUGUUUGAUGAAAUUAACAACUUCUUUUCUCUCAUAUAUUUUUAAAAAAUUGAAUUAUCAAAGUUUUUAUUUCAAAAUUAGUGCUAUAGUUCAUUAAUUUUUCAAUUUUUCCUUUUUCUUUCCACACAACAGAUUGAUUUGCCCUCCAAAAAAUGUAUUAUAUUGUUUAAUAUUGUAACUUCAAGAAACUUAUAAUAAAUUUUUAAAGAGAUAAAUAGAGAAUGUCAGUCUCCCAUCUACUCAAAAUUAAUAUAUAUCAUUAACUCUUGAUUAUUUUUAUAACAACUAAUAACUUUCUUGGCAGCAUAAUUUUAUAGUAUCAUCCUUGUUUGUAAGUAUAUUUUUAUUCAUAUUUAUUAUAAAUUAAUUAAAUCAUAUCAAUGAAAAUUGAAAUAAAAAUUGAAGCACUAAAAAUUAAAAAAAUUAUGUUUUGGUGUGAAUAAAAAAUUGAAAAUAAAAAUAUUUUUCUUAUAUUUGUUGUUAUUUUUAAAUUUUUUCUUAUAAUAAAUACAUAUUUUAUAUGCUCAACUUUUUCUUUAAAUUUUUGUUAUUAGGAGGAAUUUUAGAUAUAAUGAAAAUUGUAAGGUAGUAAGUAAUAUAUAAUAAUUUUAAUAGAAAAAAGUAAAAAUUCUCUUAUUUUAAAAUAUAAGGAGAAAAAAUAAUUAAUUUCAAGACAUUUUAGAAGGUAUUUCAAUAUGCGGUGGACCACAAACUCGAGUCUUUGUCAUCUCAGUCAACUAAAAAGACAGAAUAUUGAGGGCAUGGCUAAGGUGCAGAAGCUGCAAGCAACAGCUUCGAACUUUCCCAUUUCCAUCACCUUGCAUUGGGACCUCCUCUAGCACCCGUGGAAGUUCCCCAUUGGCUACUGUUACUUACAAAAGCUCUAACAUAGACUUCUCCGAAUAUUGAGCGCGAAGGGCUCAAGUGAUUGUUAAUUUCACAGCAAUCGCCUUUUUUCUUUCUUUCUUUUUUUUUUUAAUUAUUGGGAAAUAAUAACUUAGUAUAACAAAUAUUAUAUCCUAUACUUUAUUGCUACAAAAUUACGAAACCUUAUAUUAUAUUAUGUUUCCAUAUUUCUCCUUUAUAGUGAAGACUCAUACUUCUUCUCUACUAAAUGCUAAAGAAUUGGCUUAAACUUUUUAACCAGCACAGUAGACCCUUAAGCUAUAUAUACUAUAAUGUCCCUCUUCCCUCACAGAUUAAACCAAUCUAUCUCAGAGUAAGUUUGCAUCAAAGGAGUAUCCUUACUAACUAAUAUAGGCUUGAUCAAUAGGGAUGACAAUAAUUUUUUUAUCUACGAACAUUAUUUUUUCAAAAUAUUAUAUCUUUAGACUUAACUAAAUAUUUUUUAACUAUAUAUGUAUAGUUUGAUUAAAUGGUGGAGAUUACAACAAAACAGAUGUGAAUUAGUAGUGAUGUUAAGUUCUAGAUCAAGACGAAAAUAAGGAAAAGGUAAGGGUGUAUUUUCAAAAUGAUUCUAUUGAAAGAUCUUUGAAAAUUACUUUCGUUAAGAGGUGGAUUCCACACUCUUGAGCCUUUGUCGUCCCAGUCAACUAUAAAGACACAUUAUUAUUGAGUGUGAACAUUCGAACUUAUAGAUCAUCAAAUUUUCAAACUUGUGAUCUUCGUUAAAUCUGCAAACCCUUUUUUUUUUAAAAAAGAAAAAGAAAACUGCAAAUAAUGAAACAAAAUUCUCUUCCUUGAUAGACUUACGCGGCUUGAACUUGCAAGUGCUGUCGGCAUUUUCAAACUUGUAAGACCCUUCAACUUGCUUUCCAAGAUAGCUAUAAUUAAUAAUGACAACCGAAGACGGCUACGUUUGCGGUACAAAAGUUGCACCAUAUCAGACGUUCUUUUUUGUUCUUAUCCGAAGGAACCGUUGGAUUCAAAGGAAAGUGAUCGGACAUUCAAUAGCUUCACACGUGGACAUUAUAGGAUACCGGUCAAAUCGGUUAGUGCUCCUCCACAUCAAACUCACAAGCAUGGCUAUCAUCGUAUCAGCUUGGAAACUUGUUACAAGUAACGAAGAGCAACAGAGUCCGCUCCUUUAGAGUCGGCAACAGAGUUUUAAUUAACGGCAUCUUCUCUCACAUUUUUUUUUUUAAAAAAUUGAAUUAUAUAACCCACCAAAACUAUAAAGAAUUGUUAGUUUUUCUUCAUUAAAAUUAAUAUAUUGCUCCUCAUAUUAAAAAAUCAAAAUUCAGAAUAAGAAUAAUUGAUACUGUUUAUUUACUAAAAUGAAAAUGAGAAUAAAAAUAAAAUAUAUGGAGCCUAUAUAUUUUUUAAAUUAAAAAAUAAGAACUUUUCAUGAGGAGUGUUGGGAAUCAAGUUCUUAUUAUUUAAACUCUCAAUUGUACCUUACCAAAAUUUCAUAAUUUCACUUUUGUUCUCAAUUAAAAUAUUAUUACAGUUAUUAUUCUUAUUUUUGUAGUUGUUGUUGUUGAUGAUGAUGAUUAUGAUGAUACAUGAUAAUAAAAUUAAUGAUAAUAAUAAUGAUAAUGAUAAUAAUAAUGAUAAUGAUAAUAAUAAUAAUGAUAUGAUAAUGAUGAUAAUAAUUUGAACAACAACAACAAUAAAUAAUAAUAAUAAUAAUGAAAAUAAUAACUAUAAUUUUAACAACAAUAAUAAUCAUUAAUAUUAUUAUUGUUAAAAUUAUUAUUAUUAUUAUUAUUAGAUAAUUAUUUUGAAUAAUAAUAAUCACAAGUCUAUUCUGAUUCCAGUUUAUUCCGAUUAUCGAUUAGAAAAUGUGUCAUUACUGUUUUAAUAAUAACUAAUAAUUCUCUUGACAUCAUAAUCGUAAUUCUUAUAGUAUUAUCCUUAUUUUAAAAUACACUACCAUGAGCUUGCAUCAUUUGAAAUGGUAGGUACUAGGUAGCAAUUGCUUACAUCAAAAUAUCUAGACUCACUCGGCAAAGUAUCCGAGGCCAAAACGCCAAAAGAUGGGACACCCACAUGUGCAUCUAAUUACAAAAUCCAAAGUUAAUGAAAAAGAAAAAAGAAAAAGUAUAAAUGAACGGUAUUGGCUGUAGGACAAGGGGAGGGGAAAAAGGACCAUUUUGUUUUCUUUGCUAAUUCACAAGGGGAAGGGAAAAAAAAGAAAAAGACAGUUUUGAUUAAAAAACACAGAAUAUUCAAUUCACAAGCCACCAAUGCUUGUGGACCAAUGGUCGAUAUAUGAAAGUUAGAGAUUCUGGCAAAAUGAGCAAAUAUUUUGAGUUUAUUAAUGGAUUUGUUUGUAAUGCAAUACAAGAUAGCAUUUUAAAGCUGGCAAGAAAGAAAGAAAUAAGUCAAUAAUUGAGAUAUUUAAAGAAGCUCAAGUGGUCAUGAAAUCUCUCCUUAAAAACUAUACAAGAUAAUGUUAAUGAUAAAGUUAGCCAACCAAGUCGUUCAAUCAUUGCUGGAAGCAAGCAGCCAUUGAAGUUGAUAGAAGCUAAUGCAUGAAAAAAGGUUCGUUACAUGAAGGAGAUAAUGAGAAAAUUGAUGAACCCCUAUCAUCCAUGUUUUGUUUCAAUCAAAAGGUUUGAAUUUUAAGGCCGAUAUUUUGGACUGAAUCCCCCUGUCUGCUUCCAAAGGGGAGGAUGUGCAUGUAGUUGAUUGGGCCGAUGAUUGUGAUGGGUGGGAACUUUUAGCUUGGAAAUGGACCUAGCAAGCCCAUGUUUGAUUCGGUAAGUUGUGACUUCUCAUGGGCAUUUGAAAUUUUUAAAUGGCCUUUUAUAACCUUUGUCAAGAUUCUCAGAAAUCGAAUCAUUCGGUGAUUACUUGCAAAUUCGGAAAGGAAAUUGGAAUCAAACUGGGGUUCUAAUUAAAAAAAAAAAAAAGGGUUCAGAAUCAGAAUUUUGUUCUUUUGACUGACUAAACUACCCUCAUUUAAUUUUCAAAAUGCCCAAAUUUUUAUCAUGCUCACUUGGCGUUAUCUCGUCUUGUGGGAGCUGUAGGACAGUUGAGAUAAAAGAUAUUGCUGCAGUAUCUACUGUUUUCUCAUCCUGAUCUUCAGAGUUAUUCUCAACAAUGGACAAAUUUGAGUUUAGAACAGCAUCAGAAACCAAUGACACCCAGUCGCAUCCAGCUACUUCUUCACUUUGCUCAAUUCGACAGAUUUUACGCAAAUUUGUUUUGUUCUCAAAAUAGUCUGCUGCUCCCGGAUUGUCCUCAUUACAUUGAACGAAUGAUGACGACGCUCUGUCCGUUUCUGGCUCUCUGCUUUUCUCUUUCACAUCACGAGACACCUCGUUUCUAACUGGGGUACCACCAUCACAUUUAACUGUUAUUGGUAACUCAAUAGCUAAUUCCAAUGUUUCCUCAAGCAGUUUAGAGAUAAACUCUCUCGCUGAACUCCCUGGAGUAACACAAUCCAGUUUUCCAGUGCAAUCAUCAAACAGUUGAACAGCUCCUGAAUUCCCUUUGCUUUUCUUGUUUUCUUUUCCAUGUAAAGGGAGCUCAGGCUUCAAUAUAUCUGGGGAUUGAUUACUAAUGAUAAAGACAACAUACGGUAGAGGACACAAAUUGUUAUUAAACAACGAUGCACUUUUCAUUUUUCAACUGAGUACAGUAAAGCAAGAAUGGGUAAUUAGUUUUACCUGCUAAGCGAAAAUCUAGACUCCCGAAGGUAACCGAUCUUGGGUGAAGCAAAUAAAGAAGAAGGCGAAGUAAAAUUCACUGAGUUGAAUGAGCGAUCAUUGCGUAUGGACUUGAUUUGUUCAAUGGGUGAAAGACUGCUGAUAUAAUUAAAGACUGGUGAAUCCUGCAUGUUGACAAGCAUCAUUUUUAAUCUAACAUAGAGUCUUAAAAACCUGGUCAGUCGCAAAUGAUCACGACAAGAAAUCUGAAGUACAAACAGCAGAGCUCAACAAAUCACUAAGAGAAAAUAAGACCAGUAACCAAGCACAUGAAAGAAAAGCAAAAUAACCCAUCUCAAAUCACCACAUGCAUCAGAGAUUGAAUUUUCAUACACGUGUCAAUUUUUCAAGUCCAACAAAUUGUUAUCUUUCUGAAGAUAUUAACUAUGCAUAGCAUGCUAUAAACAAAUCAUAUUAUUAUGGCCUUUGUUUGCAGUACACGACAUAUGUACAGAGGAACAAAUCCAUGAACUGAAUUCAUUAUAUUCCAAAAUAUUCUACCAAAUCAACACUACAAAAACCUGACGCUAGACAGAAUUGGAGCAAUUUGCGAAAGCCAUUAGUCACACAAAGCACUAGUACCUCAGAACCCAAUUUGAAAAAAAGCAACAAAAUUGAAAAAUAACAAAUGCCCAGAUUAAAAAUCAGGAAAAAAUGCUCAAAUCCAAACGACAACCCCAUAAGCUCAGUCGUUCUCUUCAAACUAAAUUAACACACUGAAUAAAAAAAAAUUAAAAAAUUAAAAUGGGAAUAUUAACCUCAAACUUGGAAACAGAAGCGACAGUGAUCUGUUUCUUGUCUGGAGUGUCCAUUUCUGUAAUCUACUUUGUCCAUUUUCAGUCGCUCCGCCACAAAGCCUCUUCUCUCUGAAACUGAAACUCACACACACUUGCAAAGUGAAAGCAUUUGAUUGAUUGAGAGGCGGGAAGGCGGGAAAAUGUCAGAAAUUUGAUUUUGUUUUUUCUUGGUUUGGUCAAACACGUGCGGGUCCCAGCUUGACAAGCGGUUCUAUUACUACUUGUAUUAUCUACAUGACGCGUGUCACGCGAUGGCGAUAGAAAAGUGGUACAAAAUUCUAAUGAUUACCCAAUGGCGAUAAAAAUAAAAAUAUAUUGUUAAUUUUUUACUUAACAUUGGAAUAUCAUAUAAUUUUAUGGUUAUUUACUCGCCGUUACGCCAGAUUCUUCUGAUCAAAUAAUACAGUAAAAUUUUUCUAUAAUCAUAAUGUUAGAACCAAAUUAAUUUCACUUCUAUAAAAAAGUUAUAGCUUAAUAAAAGUAUAAUUGUAAAAAUUAUUAUUUGGACUUACUUAUCCUUAGUACAAGUGAUGUAAAGUAAAAUAUACGAUAAUUAAUUAAUGAAUUAUGUAAAAUACAAUGUACGGACAAUGAUAAAAGAUAUAGACAUAAUUUUAAAAAAUUAAUGCAUAUAUUUAUGCAGUGUUGGGAUUAUACAAAGUUAUUUUAAAAGUGUAAAGAGUAAAGUAUUGUUCCAAUUAAUUAAAAAAAAUUAUUUCAUCUUAACCUUUAAUGCAAUAAAGCAUUUUUAUAAACAAUUAUUACUGGAUUCAAAUUCUCUCCUAUGCAUUUUCUCUCAUAGUCCUCCUAAACUUUUAAGGAUCUAUUGACAUGUGUCAUUAAUGAAAUUAAAUAACUAAAAUUUUGUUUUAAUUAAUUUUUACCUAAAUAAGCAUCAAAACUCACGUGUGACUCUUGUCAAAUUCUUUUCCUCUCAACUCUUUAUAUUUUGACACCAAUUUCCAGCAAAUUAUUGAAAAAAAGGGCAAAAAAUGGAAAAAAGUGAUUGGCAACAAGGUAUGCAUCUUAAUUUCAAAAUUUUCCUUUUCUUUACUGUUUCUCGAGGUUCUAUAAUUAUUGUUUUCGCGGUCAGUUGCAAUUCAAUGGACUAAAUUAGUAGUGAAUUGCUAUUACUAGGCAUAUAAUUCUAUUGCUACAAUUUUACUGUUGUUUAGCUAUUUUUUUGAGUUUAUAGUUGCUGUUUUGUUGUCUUUUUUAGGUUUUCAACUGUUGUUUGCUGUUUUUCUAGGUUCUGUAGUUGCUAUUUCGGGAAAAAUAAAAAUAAAUGUGAUCCUGAAUUAUUUAACUCCUAUGAAACAUCUUUAGCUAUUGCAUUUUUUUUUAAUUGUAUUAUUAUUGGCGGGAUGUAUGUUGAAUAGGGAUGGCAAAGUCCAGAUUCGGAUCUAAAUUGAUAUUUCUAUAUUUGGAUCUGCAUCUGAAUCCACACAUUUUUUUUGUGAAUCUAGAUGUGGGUAAUAUCUGCAGGGAUUGCAAGCAGAUAUCCUAGAUACCUGGAUCUGUAUAAAUUAAAAUUUAAUUAUUUAAAAUAUAAUUUAAAAUUCAAUAACUUACCUAAUAAUAUCAAGUAAAAUCCAAUCAUAAUUUAAUAAUCAACAAUUAAAUACCUAAAACAACAUACAACAUCAUUAAGUCAUAAAUAAAAAUAUCACAAUAUAAAUCAAAAUAAAAAUAACAUAAAUCUAAAUUUAGCACGACCACAAAUCCACAAAUAGAAUCAUAAAAACACCACAAAUCCAUAUAAAAUAAUGCGAAUUCUUAUAUAUUUCUUAAUUUAAUUUUACUUCUAUAUUUUUUAAUUAAUCCUAUUAUCUUUUUUCAUUUAACUUAUAUAUAUAUAUAUUUAUUUAAUUUUAAUUGAACAAUUAAUUUAAUUAAAAAAUAAGAUGGAUAUUUAUCAUAUAUAUUCUUACUAACUCAAUUUGAGAUGUUAUACACUAUUUUUAUUACUUCCCAUUUCAUAUGAAUAUUUAUCAUAUAUAUGCUUAGUAACUUGUAACCCUUUUUGGUAAGGGUGAAAUGUGUUUGUUACCCCUUAUAUUUCUGAGAUUGUCCUUACAGUAAUGAUACUGGCCCCAAUUUCUAAGGGUGCAUUUGAGAUUAAGAUUGGACAGUUGUAACUUAAAAGUCAUAAUACUAAAGUGUCCGGUAAUCACUAACUGCUGUAACUUGGAAGGUAUGUUGAUAUGAUUUGUUACUUGUCUAAUAGAAAAUCUAUUAUAUCUUUAAUAAUUUUGUCAAAAUUAUUAUUUAAAAAUUAUAUUUACUAUAUAUUAUUAAUUUUUAUUUUAUAAUUAUAAGUUUUUCUACAACAAUUGUAGUUUUUAAGGUACAUCACCUCAAUUUCAAACAAGACCUAAAACUGCUAUCUCUAUGUAAAUUCCUUAAAAAAUCUUUUUUAAUUAAAAUUAUUUAAAUAAUUGAAGAUAAAUAAAUUUAUUUUUUAUUUGAAUGAAAAUUCAAUUAAGCAUUUAAAUAAGCUAUUCUCUCUUAACAAUUUUUUUUACGCCCAUCUUGUUUCAUAAUUUAUAUUUGUAUUUUAAAUUUUAAUCGAAAAUAUGUUUUGAGAAACUUUUAAGAAUUAAGAAUUAUGGAAACUAAAAUUAUGUAAUAAGAAGAAAAUAAUUUGAAUUCUUAAGAUUUGUAUGUAUUUAUAAAUAAAAACUUGAAAGAAAUACUCUUUUCAAGAUAAGAUUUAGUGAGAAAAUUAUUAAAUUUUAAUUUACGAAUUAGUAUUUUAUAAAUUAAACUGGGGGUAUCUUAAGGAAUAGAAUUCUAUAGAAUUCAAAAAGAGUGUUUAUAAGGAUUUUUUAGGGGCGUUAAAAGCUCCACUCAUUUACGUAAGGAAUGGGAAUUAGGGUAUUGGGUUUCAUUUUGUUUUACAUGAAUUUGGGAAAAAUACACGGAUAGACAAAGGGAACAGCCAUUGUAAAGCUGUGAAGCUUGUGGAAGAUAGCAUUGCCUAUUUGUAGCUUAAACUCCUGGGGCUUUGCUCAUGCUUUUCUCUUUCCCACUUUCUCAUGGAACAGAUGUAUACAUCAUGAAAUGGAAACAACAGCACAAAUUGCUGUCUCGUAAGAGAAACAGUCAUACAUAGUAGGUUAGGCCUCAUGUCCAUUAACUUAAUAAUGAAUUUUAUGAAAAUUGGCUAUCUCAUUGAAAUUACAUAGGUAUUGGAAACUUUUACUCCAGCUGCAUCAUCUCAUCAAUAAAAGCUGGAUUUUCCAUUUGUUCUUGAGAUUCAAAUUAAGGCAGCAAAUUGCUCAUCCCACACUAUCUAUGUAAUCCUGAAAAAGUGAAGGGCGUUUAGAUGUGGAAAAACCUUACUCCUGCCGCCGCGCCUCAAACAGAUUAUGAUCACACAAGACUUAGUUCAUCAUUAGUAGUAGUUGGAGCUUCCAUUUGUUCUUGAGAUUCAAAGGCAGCAAGCUGCUUCCUCAGUGCUACUAAUUCUUCCCCGGCAUUGCAUAUGUAGGCUGAGGCUUGUCUACCAGACAAAGUUGCUCCUUCCAUGCUAUCUAUGUAAUCCUGUGAGAGUGAAACCAUUUAGGAGACAUAUCUCUUUUUUUUCCCAAUAUUUGGAAUGAAACAAUUAUAUACAGUUACCUGUUUUGUAUAUGAGCCAGCAAGGAAGAAGUUCUUCACUGGUGUCUGUUGAUCAGGUCUGAAGGGGUCUUUACCAGGUCCCUCACGGUACAAAGAUUGCCCGAUUUUGACAACCGAUGACCAAAUAACUUCUAAACCUUGCGAUGACGGAAAUAGAGCUAAAACCUAAUAAAAGGAACCGUGAAUGGAUAAUAUGUACUGAUGUAUGUUAUCCAGAAAGUUUCAUGACCUUUUGUGGUACUCAGGUCACUAAAAAAAGUGAGAUAAACAUCUAGGAUAAGAAAAGAAAAAAAGCGUAACCUAAUAUGUAUUAUAUGAAUUGAAGGUGUCACUGAACACUACCAACCUGCUUUGCCACUCUCCUUAUGAUUUCAUCAUUUGGUAAGGGCAUGUAAGGAUCGCCAGGCGUCAAAACACAUCUGAAAGAUAAUAUGGUUAUAGUAAGCAACACAGAAUACAAAGACACUUGGCAAAAGGAAGUCAACCAGAUUCCAUGCACAAAAUGAAACUAAUAACGACAAGGAUAAGAAAUUUUUCUUACUGGAGUAAUGAACCUUGCCCUUCUCUGUAGUAGUCUUCUGGUGAAGUGAGUGCUAGAUCUGCAAAGCAAGAGAAAUCUGCAUCUGGAGUAUACAAAAGGUUAUCUAACCCCAGAGCUUGCCUCAAUUGCCUACAUGUUCAAAACAAGGAUCUGUUAAAAAAUGGAAAUUUCUUCAAUGCCUUAGUAAAGGGAAGUGAAGUGAAAGCUGAUUUCUUAGGCCUUUAAAGAGCAUCUUGUGUUUGAAUUCCUGUAACCUCACAAAGAUUAGAGCAUCACCUUGACCGUUCUAGGUCUUGCAACUCAGUAACCCAACCAUUGUAUCUAAGCUGCACUGUGACAACAGGAACUCCAACUAGCUCAUAAAUAUUGUUGAAAAGUUUCAUGUCCCUCCACGAUGAUGGAAGCAAUCUUUUAAUUCCAGGGACAUCACAUGCUGCCAUUAAAUAAGAAGUUGAAUAAAGAAAAAUCGUUCAACUAAAUGAUUCAGGAGGAAAAAAAAAAUUUAGAAGUAGAAAUAAAUAAGGAAGAUUUAACCAUCAACCUGCAACAUAUGCAUCAGCUUGCACAACCUUCUUGUCAGUGGCCUGAAAUAGAAUAAGAACUUGUAAGACACUAAGCAGUAAAGAAUAAACUCAAAGAAGCUGCUUCUAACAGAUUAUAUAAACAACAAAUUUACAAAGGUCAUUGCAUUAACUCCAUGCCUCCAUCAGAGGGAAUAUUAAUAGAUGCGUAAAAAAAUAAUUAGAGCCAUAUGUGAAACAAUUUACCUUAGACAUGGCAAGUCCUCUGACAUAUGUUUCCCCACUAGCAGAUUUAUCAUAAAGUAUCUCUCUGCACCCCCACCUAAGAUGGAACCUGUUCUCACAAAAACAGAUCCCAAGGUUGGGAAAAUCAGUUCAUCAUAGGAGAAAACAAACAAGAUUAACAAAUCACUACAAUGGUGUGAACCUGUAAAUACAACUGUACCUGCCCCCUUUAUCUGCGAUAUAUUUUCUUAUGGGCCCACUCAAAUAAACAUCUGGAGAACCCUUGAGCAUCCGCAAUAGGGAAGCCUCAGUCUUAGUCGCAAACAGUGCAAAUAUAGUAAGCAUACAACGAGCACUGAUGUUAUCACAAUCAAUAAACCCAAGGGCAUAAGCAACAGGAUCCCACAUUCUUUGAAUACUCGUCCGUGUACCACCCUUGGACAAAAACCAAUCAGAGAAGCUUAUCUGUAAGAAGAAAUGAAGUUUUAGGUAAAAUAACAACUUGUAGGAACAGAGAUUGAAAUUCAAACAAACAAGAAAAUAUGAUGUCAAUUCUUACACUAUCCAAAUCUCGUAUGUCCUUCAAGGCUCCAUCAGGAUCAACAAGUGCCUUUACAACAGGACUCAGAACAAGAGCAAGAGCAUUUCUUACUUUAUCAUAAGUCUGCACUUGAGCAAUAUACGAGGCAAAGUACAUCAAAAGAGAAUCCAAAAUAGGCAAGAAGCUUCAACAUGAAAAAAGGAGUACUGCCUCAUCAUACUGCUUUGCAAUCACAGUGCAAAAGAUAACAUCAACAAAAUCAAAAUGGAACAUAAUUCCAUAUGCACUACCUUAAGCUGAUUAGUAGACAAAAAUGCGCGAAUCCCAUGUAAUGGAGCUCCAAUCGGAAACCGGAAAUCAAGUUCUGGAGUUGAAAAUCAAAAUCAUGAACCAAAUCAGAGUUAUUAUUGGAUUAGACAAUCCAGAAACCAAUAGAAGGUGAUGUCAAACCAUCAAGCAUAACUAACCACCAAGCACAAUUAUCAGUAGUUUUAAGUGAUCAAGAAAUAACUAUACCACCAAUUUCACCACCCUUAUUUACAAAUGUAUGAGUAUGAUCCUUGACAAGUAAAUUUUUGUCCGCACCGACCUGCAGACAACCAUGAAAAACUAUCAGAUCAAAACACAGGUUCCAUUUAAAGAGGAUCUAUGAUUAUGAUCCAUCAUGUUAUUUGAACAACAUUUUCAGAUUUUUUUACAACCCUAAGCUAUAAUCAGUUAUCAUCACUAUAAAUGGUAUGGUCAAGAGGAAUGAUAGUUCUUGUUUCAAUGAUCCCAAAUCAUAAUUCUUUUGCAAGGCUUGUGUGCUUUUAUAAUCAUUCAAACACACAUAUCCACAAAUAAGCAAGCUUUACCUUUUUCAUCAAUCGGAACAGAUUAUUGUAGCACCCAAAGAAAACGUGCAGGCCCAUUUCAAUAUGGUUUCCACGCUUAUCGACAAAUGAACCCACUUUACCACCAAUAAAAGACCUUGACUCAUAUAUAUCCACCUGGAAGAAAGGAAAAGGGAAAAAAAAAAUUCUUCUAAUUUCUACUGCGAUCAACAAAAUGAGAAAAACACAUACUAAUUCAAAAUGAAAUAAACUUUGUAAAUUGAAAUAAUGCCUGCUCUUAAGAAAAAUGAUGACUGCUGAUAUUUUUUCCGAACUGCUGAUAAAAGCUUCUGCUAUUUACUUUGAAAAAAUUGAGGUUAAACCCAUUUACUUGAAGUUUUGAGUUUAGGCAAGAGGAUGAAUGGCAAAAGUGAGACAUUUUAGGGAAAAAGAAAGUACGUCAAGGGCCAAUGUAAACAUUCAGAAGAUUGAAAUCUAAAUGAGCAAAACCUCGUGGCCUUGAUCCAACAAUUCCACUGCUGUUGACAUGCCCGCAAGCCCAGCUCCAAUAAUAGCCACUUUCAGCUUUGGUCCUCUAUAAUGUUCCGGUUCUGGCGGAAACAAACCCUUGGGAGCUGCCAGGUAUACCAUCCAAUUAUCCACAGCGAUAAUGGAAAUAUGUAUGUGUUUGAAAGUACUAAAUUUCUAAACAUGAAAUGUCUUCGAAAAGAAACACAAAGCAGAAGUGCAUAAGCAUUUCAAUUCCCAACAAAUUUCAAGAAUACAUAAUACUCGGUCUGUUCUUCAAUUCCUUUAAUAAAUUUCCGCUGGAGGGCACGCAAGCCACUCAAUAACACUCCAAAGCCAGAUUUCGAACGUUAUCUUGAUCUAUAACUACAAUCCAUGAACAAUUCUCCCACAAAUUCAAUCCAAAAUUGUUCCAAAUACACUGCUAAAUCCUCCAUGAAUUCCCUCAAAAAUUCAUAAUCAACAAACACUACAAACCAAAAGGAGCUCCCAGCAAUAAACACAUAAAAAUCCCACAAGAAACCAAAAAAGCCAAAAGAUCAAUACUUGGCAAACAAACAAAUCAAAUAAAACAAAAAGAAGAUAAAAUUUACCAUUAACACUCAUAUCAGAAACAUUAGCGUCCAAAGAAGCCCGUACACAGAAUCUUGGACACUUCUCUUGAACCCGAGACCAACUAACACCAGUGACUGAAGUUGCAGGAAACAGAACUGAAGAACCCAUACUGAAAAUCCUGAGCUGAAAUCAAGAAAUUCAAUCGGAACUCAAUUCAGCUCAGCCCAGCUCUGCUCUCUUUUGCUUCGAUAACAAAGUAUUUUGCUUCGAUAUCAACAAAGAUUAGUCAACAUCAACAAAAUUUAAUUAAGAAACUAAAAUAAUACAAAAGGGUAUCUUUGAGUAUAAGAAUCUAACAAGAUGCUAAGGAAGAGAGUUUUGUCAGGGAACUGAACUGUUUUAGAGAGGUUGGCAAAUGGCAAAGUGCUUCUUUGUUUUAUUUUUUAUUUUUAUUUUUUCCUUUUUGUUAUCACACAACAUUUGCGCUUGUGGAGAGCACAAAAUGUUGGUGACUUUGUCACUGACGAUAAUGGAUGGAGUGCCAGUGACUAAACAAAGCAACUAAAAUUUUCCACGAGAGGGAAUGAUAACCAUAAGCAGUAAUGUUUAAUUUAAUUUGAUUUUAAUUGGGUGAUUAAUUAAUUUUUUAGUUAUGCAUUAACUUAAAAGAUACCCUUAUCUUUGGACGGGGUUGAGGAAAGUCCACGAUGGUGCGUUGUCACACGUUUUUUGGGCCGACCAUUUCUGGUUUCGGCUCAUAGGAGGCUUUUGUAAUUUUAUGCCGUUUUUUACCCUUUUUUUUGGCUAAAUUAUAUCAAAGAAAAAUAGAAAAUGUGUAAAGAGAUUUUUGACUUUUGUGCAUGAAUAUUUUUUUUUUUUUUUUUUAUGUUGAAAAAAUCCGUUUGAAACUGGGAACCUCCUAUGUCGACUUUAGAAUGUCAUAGUUUUGAUAUUUAGGCCCAUAAUAUGAAUUAGAAGUGGCAAAAUAAAUAAAAAAAUCGAAUCGUAAAUGAAUUUAAUCAAAAUUUAAUGGUUUUAAAUUCGAUAUGGUUAUUAAAUAAAUCGUAAUUCUAUGAUUUGGAUUUAAUUUAUUUAUUAAACAAAUAUAUGUUUAAUUCAUUUAUUGUACAAAACUAAACGAAUCGAAUCGUAUCUAGUUUGGAUUCGUUUAUAAUUUAUUUAAUUCAUUUAUACAGAAUUAAUAAUCAAUCAAUCGAAUAUGGAUCCGUUUAUAAUUCAUUUACAAAAAUUAUAAUUGAUAAACAAAAAUUAAGCAAAAAUAAAAUAAAAACUUAUAAAAUGAACAUCCUCCAAAAUACAAAUAAAUCAGUGAACUCAAACCCGAGUUCGAUUCGUUUAUUUAAUUAAUUGAAUCAAAUUUACCCAAUGAAUCAAUUUUUUCAAAUUCAAACUCAUUUAAUUUGAAUCGAAUCGAAUAAAUCCGAAUCAUCAACCCCUAAAUAUAAUGUAUCCACUUGAAAAACAAAUAUAAAAAUAUUCUCCAACUGACAUAUAUGAGUACCAAACUGUGUGGGGAAAAAGGUGGCCAGCCACGCAGUUAUACGAAUUUUAAUCUCUCUUUUCUUGUGUCACCGGAGGCAUUGGCUGGAUGGCCAAAGAUUAGGGUUCAAGUCUACAAUAGAGAAUCUAAAAUUUUCCUCUUUGAAUGUUCCUAAAUGUUUAGCACAGUUUUUCAAUUUAUACUUGAUAGGUCCAACUAUAUAUGCUAUAAUAUUUCUCUUUUUUUUUUUUUUACAAGCCAAUCUUAAUUUAGAAGUGAAUCAUAAUAAUGGGUUUGUAAAGAAAUGAAAAUUUUGGUAAUUAGCCAACAAAAAGGAUAAAAAUGGAUUAAGCGAAAGAAGCUAAUACUCAAAAGUAAGUCGAGUACUUGGCUACCAAAUUAAUGUUCGUGCUCAUUAAUGCAACAUUGGACUAUGAGAGAAGUUCAGGGGCACAAAAGAGAUGAGGGAUCCACAAUUUUUUUUUGAAGAAAAUAUUUUACAUAAACUUAAUUAUAUGGCAUAAAAUGAUUGGCUGAAAUAAAACUCAAAAAUAAUAAAAAGAACACGCGCCUGCCUGGGUCAUGGGGUCUUUUCAACCAACUAAUUUACUCGUGAAAUAAACUUUAUGAGCAAGAAUAUUAAGGUACUUCCUUUGCUAGCAGAAACUCUGUAAAGAUUUCCCGAAACGUGAAAAAUGAACCCUUUUAAAAAUAAUGAAACAAUGUGCCAACCUUAAACUAAUAUUAUUAGAAGCUACAAGCGAAAACAUGUGAUAAGUUUUUCUCAUAAUUUAUUUUCUCCUUUGUUUUGAUUUAAAUGAUAUAUACAUAUUCAUUUUUAAAUUGGUGAAUCCUAGUCAAAAUUUCAAACAUAACCAUUGAAUGAGAUCCAUGGUUCAUAAUUCAUAACAAAGAUCUUUAUAUACAUACGAAAAGAAUAAAUAAAAACAAAAAACAAAAAUUUUUACUCUAUGCCAAAAUGAACAUACAUGAUUAUAAAGAACUUAAGAUUUUGUUCAUGUUUGAAACAUUAUACGUGUGAUAUUUGUAAUUUUGUAUGUUUGAACAAUAUUUGUAAUUUUGUAUGUUUGAACAAUCUUUUUUUUUAUUUAUAUUUACAUACGGUGUCAUUUAUGUUUACAUAAAUUUUCAUAUGUACCCAAAUUAAGCAUUAAAUACACAGACACUAUGUUAAGGCACGUGUAUAAUUAAUCUUAAUAAUUUCUGAUAGUAUCCUCUAUCUAAGACGAGCAACGCCACUCAUUAUAAUUUAUCACCAAAUAUAGUGAAACUAUUUGUUUUCAUGAAUAACUAGUAAGAAUUAUUUCGUUUGUAAGAAAAAUACUCCGAUUGCUUUUCACUGUUGUAAUAGUUUAGUUAUCAUCAAGUGAUAAAAUAGUGGUCGACUCACCAACAAACUCCACAUCAAGACACUUAAAGUCUGCAAAGCAAGUCUUCUGAAAAUAGACAUUUAUUAGUUACUACUUACUAUAUGCUUCGCAUCUACUAUCAAUUGUUCCAAAUUGGGGAAUAUCUGGGUGAUCAAUUAAAAAAAAAAAUUGUAAAAUGAUCAGUUGAUGUCCUUUGUAAUAAUUUCACAAAAUUAGUACUGUACUUUUUGGAGAAAAUUUAUGAAUUACAAGCUACUACUAGCUGAUACAAUAUAUUUAUCCAAUAAAUUUUACCUUUUAGAAAAUAAUAACAAUACACCUAACAUGCAGAAAGUUUGAAAAUUAAAUAGAAAAUUAUAAGUUACCGCGCGCUAGCUUGGACAAUACAUUUUAUUCGAUAAAUCUUAAUCUUUUGCAAAAUAAUAAUAAUGAAACACCUAACAUGCAGAAUAAUCGUGAAUGAACAUUAUGUAAGAGAGUUUGUUGCUGACAAUUUGACUUUUAGUAAGCAACCAAGUGAUGAAGGCAAUGGCAAAAUAACUCUAAGCAGUCACAUACAUAAGAAUUGAAAAAUUAAUUAUAAAAUUCUUGUAGGUACCUUUUCUAUCAAGAUAUUAGUUAUUUUUUUUUAUAUUCACUAUAAAUUCAGGACGUCGAUAUAUCCAUAAUUCUUUGAAGGAUGGAAAUUCAAGAAUAUCUACAUCCCCUGUGAGAAAGCUUGUGAACUUUUCAAGAUCAUACAUCUUCAGAUAUUGUAACUGAGGAAACAUUACAAUAUAUUCUUCCUUUCUUCUUGGAUGUUUGUAACUAUUAACUUGGUUUCGAACAAAGCGUUGGAGUAUUCUAUCUUAAUGCGUAGGAGUCGAACAAAGCUGCUAACCAUAGAAGAUAAAAAAUAGACAUCUUAAAUCCAUACAUUCGCAACAUUUAUUGAAAUCUUAAGUCAUCUUAAGUCAAGUCCGUUAAAUUCUGAAUACCACAAGACAUGACUACAACUUGGUUUUGCCAAAUCCUCUCAACAUUUAUUGAACACAACUCUAAGUUCUCCAACUUUGGCAACACAACCUGUUCGAUCAAAAAAUUAAAUUCCUGCUUACUACAAGUAAUAAUCGUUUCUGCUCAUGGACAAAUCAAUAAAAUGAAUUUCUUUCGCUUGUUAUAGUUCUCUUUAGUCUUUCAUACAAACAAGCAUCAGUCAAGUUUUCCAAAUUUUUCCUUACUAAUUUGACAUGUACUCUAAAAACAUAGACUAAAGAAAAUGACAAAUCAAAGAAGUGAAUUAAUUUAUUAGUCAAAAUAUAUUUUAAUUUAGUAUUUCCUAACAGUUGUUGUUGUUGUUGUUAUUAUUAGUGUGUGAAGAGUGAAGAGUACUUUUUCUUUUCUUUAAGAACGUGUUUGUUAUGCCCUACAACACUUAGCAUGGAAAACUUAGAUUAAUUUUGGAAUAUAAUUAUCAAUUACUCUUGCCAUAUUUGCUAACAAACAAAAAUACCAAAGGAAAAAAAGCAAAAAAAAAAAAAAAGAAAUUAAAAAGACCAAUAUUGGGUUAUUAAUAGCCAACCUUGUCAAUGAAAAGUGUAUCAGAAAUAUCAACGUUGUCCUCCAAAAUGACUUUGUUCGACUGCAUAUCAUUUGCUGAUUCCCCUGGUCUCUAUUGACAUUAAAGGCUGUAAAGUAACCAGUGAAAGCAAUUCAGAGACAUUGAAAACGACUUGGGAAAGUGCGUUUUUGUGUGUAAACUAAAGCCAAAUAAAACGGUGUCAAGGAAUGUCGUUUUACUUAAGUGAAACACCUGAGACGCACGUGAAUGUUUUUGGAUAAGCCGUUAAAGUCGUUGAUGGAGCAUGAAUUGCACGUGAGCAUCUGGGAUUAGUUUCCAGGUAGUUAUCAGCAACAGAAGAGAGCUGAUUCUGGUACAGAGAGCUGGCUACGAAUUAUGAAUAUAAAAGGAGGGUUACCCUUGGAAAGAAGGAAGAGUUUUUCAUGAUAUACAAUCUGUAAUUCUCUGUAAUCUUGGAGUUCAUUUUCAAUAAAGCCUGAAGUCUUGUUCCUCCGUGGAUGUAAGCUAAGUGACUUAGCUGAACCACGUUAAUACUUCUCUGUUCUUUAUUCUUUUUUGUUUGUUUUCGAUUCCUUUAUUCUUAAUCAUUGAUUUUGCUGUCAAGAAUAAGUUCUUGGUUAAACCUUUUCUUAAGUCAUCUUUAGUUAAGCAUCUAGGAAUCUGAUCUUGGAUCUUGGGCAGAAGCUGAAGGUGUUUGAGCAACUGAGUGCCCUUCAGGUUCUACAAUUGGUAUCAGAGCAAGGUUUCUUUAAUCAGAUUCUAGUAUGGCUCACCCUAAGGUUGAUCUGGAGAAGUUUACAGGCAAGAACGACUUCAAUAUGUGGAAAGUAAAGAUGGAGGCUCUAUUAAUAACUCAGGGACUGGGAGAUGCCUUAGAACCAGUCACCAAGAAAGAGGGAAUGGAAGGUUCAUCAUCACUAACACCUCAACAGGCUACUGAUAUAGAUAAAAGGGCAAGAAGCACAAUAAUCUUGAGUCUUGGAGACUCUGUUAUUAGAGAAGUCGCCAAAGAAAAGACAGUGGCUGAUCUGUGGGCAAAACUGGAAGCCAUCUAUAUGACAAAGUCUCUAGCCAACAGACUUCAUAUCAAGAAAAGGAUGUUUACUCUAAAGAUGGCAGAGGGAUCCUCUCUUGAUGAUCAUAUAGAUGAAUUCAAUAGGGUGUGUGACACCCUGGAGACAAUUGAUGAAAGCCUUAGUGAUGAAAGCAAAGCUCUGCUUUUGGUAAGCUCUCUACCACAAUCAUACUCUAACUUUGUGGAUGCCCUAAUGUAUGGCAGGCAGACAUUGUCCCUGGAUGAGGUAAAGGCAGCCUUAAAUACUAGAGGGUUGCAACAAAGGUCUAUGAGUAUAGAAAGUGGAGUUGGGUUAACAGUAAAGGGGAAGUUCGAAAAGAAUAAGAAUGCAGCAAAGAAUCAGAAGCAGUCCAAACCUAAGACCAAGCAAAAGGACCUGAAAUGCUUCCAUUGCCAUAAGGAAGGACAUUUCAAGAAGGAUUGCCCAGACUUAAAGAACAAGAAUAAAGAGAAAGUUGGGAAUGCAGCUACAGCUGAAGAAGAAGAAGAUGGCUAUGAGUCAGCAGGAGUGUGUGUUGCUACUAAGAAUAUGCAAAAGGGUAAGUGGAUUCUUGACUCUGGUUGCACAUUUCAUAUGAGUCCAUAUAAGGGUUAUUUUUCUGACUAUCAAAACCUUGAUGGAGGAAGAGUAAUGAUGGGUAAUAAUUCAGUGUGUAAAGUCAUUGGGAUUGGUAAAAUUCAUCUUAAGCUACGUGAUGGGUCUAUAACAGAAAUCAGACAAGUUAGGCAUGUUCCAGAACUUAAAAGGAAUUUGAUUUCUUUAGGAAUGAUAGAUCAAAUGGGAUGUAGCAUUAAGCUUGAAUCAGGUGAAUUGAAAAUUCUUAAUGGAUCCACACUGAUUAUGAAAGGGACCAGAAAGAAUGGGGUAUAUGUUUUAGAUGGGGAGUCUGUAACAGGGGUCUCUUAUGCCAUUGAAAGCACUGACAUAGAUAAAACUACACUAUGGCACUUAAGACUUGGGCAUAUGAGUAUUAGAGGUCUGAAAGAACUUAGUAAGCAGGGUGUUCUGGGGAAUGAUAAGAUUGGGGAGCUGAUGUUCUGUGAAGAAUGCAUCCUAGGAAAAUCUACAAGGAAUAGUUUUAAGAAAUCUAUACAUAAGACCACCGAGAUCCUGCAAUACUUACAUUCAGACCUAUGGGGACCCUCUCAGGUUUCAUCUCUAGGUGGAAAUAGAUAUUUUAUGACCAUAAUAGAUGACUACUCUAGGAGAGUGUGGGUGUAUGUGCUGAAAAGUAAAGAUCAGGUGUUUGGGAAAUUCAAAGAUUGGAAAGCACUUGUAGAGAAUCAGACUGAGAAAAGGGUUAAGAAACUAAGGACAGACAAUGGUCUUGAGUAUUGUAAUCAAGAGUUUGACAGUUUUUGUGCAAAUGAAGGGAUUGCAAGACAUAGAACAGUAAGGUUAACCCCACAGCAAAAUGGCCUAGCUGAAAGGAUGAACAGGACCUUAAUGGACAAAGUUAGAUGUAUGAUGAUACAGUCCCAACUUCCUAAAGGGCUAUGGGCAGAAACAUUGUUGACAGCCUGUACCUUGGUGAAUCUUAGCCCAUCUGCUGCAAUUGAUUUCAAGACACCAUUAGAAAUGUGGUCUGGAAAACCUGGUAACUAUAUAGAGCUUAAAGCUUUUGGAUGUGAUGCUUAUGCACAUGUAAAGCAAGGGAAACUAUCUCCAAGAGCUCUGAAAGGGAAGUUUAUAGGGUAUCCAGAGGGUGUUAAGGGUUACAAGUUAUGGUGCACUGACCUAUCCCCACCAAGGUGCAUCAUCAGCAGAGAUGUGAUUUUUAAUGAAGAAACUGUGCUUAAGAAGAAGCUACAAGAAAAUGGUACUGAACCUCAGACUAAAACUCCAGAGAGUAUACAAUUUGAGGUGGAGCAUCCAAAUCUGAAGUCCUCACAAGAAGCUGCAGAUUCUAAUGAAGAUGAAGAUGACAGUAGUGGAAACACUGAGCCACAAUCUCAACAGCACUCCCAAACCCAACCUAGAGACUAUCAACUGGUCAGAGAUAGAGAGAAAAGACAAAUAAGACCCCCACAAAGAUAUGGUUAUGCAGACCUCAUUGCAUAUGCACUGGCAGCAUCACAUGAGGUUGAGGAAGAUGAGCCAACAAGCUACAGAGAGGCUAUGAAGAGUUCAUAUAGGUCAGAGUGGCAGAGGGCUAUGGAAGAUGAAAUGGACUCACUGUACAAGAACAACACUUGGGAAUUAGUAAAGAAACCUGAGAAAAGAAGGAUUGUGGGGUGCAAAUGGAUUUUCAAGGUAAAAGAAGGGCUGACAACUGAUGAGCCUAGGAGAUUCAAAGCUAGGUUAGUAGCAAAGGGAUAUACACAGAAGGAAGGAGUUGAUUUUAAGGAAGUCUUCUCUCCAGUAGUCAGACAUGUUUCUAUAAGAGUUUUGUUAGCUCUAACAGCUGUAUAUGACAUGGAGCUUGAUCAACUUGAUGUCAAAACAGCCUUCUUACAUGGGAGAUUACAGGAGGAGAUUCUAAUGACUCAACCUGAAGGUUUUGUAAGCUUUGAAUACCCUGACCAUGUAUGUUUGCUGAAGAAGUCAUUAUAUGGCUUAAAGCAGUCCCCAAGGCAAUGGUACCUCAGGUUUGAUGAAUUCAUGGUUUCACAUGGAUUCAUGAGGUGCAAUUUCGAUUGUUGUGUAUACUACAAGCAAAUAGAUUCAGAUCAUCACAUAUACUUGCUACUAUAUGUUGAUGAUAUGUUGAUUGCUUGUAAAGUGAGGGAAGAAAUUGAAUCUUUAAAACAGAUGCUGAACUCUGAGUUUGAUAUGAAGGAUCUGGGUCAUGCCAAGAAGAUUUUGGGAAUGGAAAUCACAAGAGACAGAAGUAAGGGAACUAUGUUUUUGUCUCAGAAGAAGUACUUGGAAAAAGUACUUAAUACCUUUGGAAUGAGCAGCUGUAAACCAGUUAUAACACAUCUGGCCUCUCAUUUCAAACUCUCAAACCAGCAGUGUCCAAAGUCAAGUGAAGAAAUACAAGAAAUGUCUAAGGUACCCUAUGCCAAUGCAGUAGGGUGUAUGAUGUAUGCAAUGGUCCUCACAAGACCAGAUAUUUCACAUGCUCUAAGCUUGAUAAGCAGGUAUAUGGCAUCACCUGGUAAAGAGCAUUGGAAGGCAGCUAAAUGGGUGCUGAGAUAUUUGAAUGGAACUCUGGAGGUUGGGUUGAUGUAUGGAAAGAACAGAGAAACAAAUGAAGCUGGUUUAUGGGGCUAUGUUGACUCUGAUUAUGCUGGAGAUCUGGACAGAAGGAGAUCACAAACUGGAUACAUGUUCAUGUUGAAUGGAUGUCUGAUAAGCUGGAAAGCAAGCCUGCAACAUGUAGUAGCUCUAUCAACUACAGAGGCUGAGUAUACUGCAGCCACAGAAGCUGUCAAGGAGGCCUUAUGGCUUAAAGGCUUAAUCAGUGAGUUAGGAAUACCUCAGAAGGUUGUUGAUAUCCACUGUGACAGCUCAAGUGCCAUUUACUUGAGCAGAAAUCCAGCUCAUCAUGAGAAGACCAAGCAUAUCGACAUUAAAUUGCAUUUCAUAAGAAAUGUAAUAUCAAGAGGAGUUGUAAAAAUGGUGAAAAUACAUACCAGCAACAAUCCUGCAGAUAUGCUUACAAAGGUGGUACCCUCAGCUAAGUUCAAAACUUGUUUGGACAUAGCUGAAAUAUGCAGUUUGUAACUUGCAUGGAUUUGAGGAGAAAGACUGACAGGGAUGAAUUGUUUCAAGGUGGAGAUUUGUAAAGUAACCAGUGAAAGCAAUUCAGAGACAUUGAAAACGACUUGGGAAAGUGCGUUUUUGUGUGUAAACUAAAGCCAAAUAAAACGGUGUCAAGGAAUGUCGUUUUACUUAAGUGAAACACCUGAGACGCACGUGAAUGUUUUGGAUAAGCCGUUAAAGUCGUUGAUGGAGCAUGAAUUGCACGUGAGCAUCUGGGAUUAGUUUCCAGGUAGUUAUCAGCAACAGAAGAGAGCUGAUUCUGGUACAGAGAGCUGGCUACAAAUUAUGAAUAUAAAAGGAGGGUUACCCUUGGAAAGAAGGAAGAGUUUUUCAUGAUAUACAAUCUGUAAUUCUCUGUAAUCUUGGAGUUCAUUUUCAAUAAAGCCUGAAGUCUUGUUCCUCCGUGGAUGUAAGCUAAGUGACUUAGCUGAACCACGUUAAUACUUCUCUGUUCUUUAUUCUUUUUUGUUUGUUUUCGAUUCCUUUAUUCUUAAUCAUUGAUUUUGCUGUCAAGAAUAAGUUCUUGGUUAAACCUUUUCUUAAGUCAUCUUUAGUUAAGCAUCUAGGAAUCUGAUCUUGGAUCUUGGGUAGAAGCUGAAGGUGUUUGAGCAACUGAGUGCCCUUCAGGUUCUACAAAGGCUUCUUGAUUUUAGAGUAUAAACUUAAUUGUGAGUACAAUCUUAAUUCAAAGUGACACAAGGUCUUCAAAAUUGUGAGUACAAUCUUAAUCUUAAUUCAGUUCAGCACUAGAAUCAAAUUCAAUAUUUUAGAUUUCAUAACUGAGAUUUUUUAACAAAAGUAUAACAGAGUUAAUUUAGAAUUAAAAGUUAAAUAUGAAAAAUUAAACUUGUUGUCAAUAUGAAUGAAAUAAAUGGGUUCAACAAUGGUGCCCCUCUAGCACUAUACCCCAUAUGUUGUCGUAUUCUUAUUAAUUAAUAGAUUUAACAUAAAGGUAGUUCAAUGGCUUUGAUGAACUUACUAAGUUAUUGACAGUCCUUGCUAUUUACAUCCGAAUUAAAAAUGGUAAUAUUUCAAUAUUUUGACUCAUAAGUCUAAAUUGUUUUAAAUUUUUUAACUGAAGUGCAUUGACAUAGUUUGACUAUUAAAUAACUUAUUUUUAAAUUUGCAUUAAUAUACAUUAUUACUUACUACACACCAAAUAAAUUGGUAUUUGCUGCUACUCCACUCAAUAUUUGGAAAAAUCAUUAGUCCAUCCUCGCUCGUUAGUUUUUUAUUAAUUGAAUCUUGACGCUUUGACCAUAUAAAAAUAUAAUUGUACCAUUAGUUUAUAUGAUUAAAUGAUUAAAAAAAUCCAUUUUAGUGAAAAGACACUUAGUUAAUUUGUGGAGGGAUGCUUUGAUGCACGCCAUCACGCAUCUUGUGGUGCGCAAUGAGACGCAUGUCAUUAUCUCAUUGGUAAUGGUGGGGCUGUGUGGCCCAUUUUACAACCUUACAAAUAAAAUCAUGACACAUAUGCCGUCGCACACUGUAAGAUGUCCGACAACGCGUAUCGGUGCAUAAUUAUAAAUCAUGGAGAAUUUAAAGUUAAUUGAAGGUAAAAUUUAAGAAAUGUAAAUCUUUAAGUGUAUUUCUUCCCUCAGAAGAAGAGUUUUAAUGGAAGAUGAAGCGAUAUGAAAUAUCUUUUAAUCUAGAACAUGACCGAUCUACUUCAAGCCCAAAGUUUUUUUUUUUAAAAUAAAUAUCUUUUAAUAUUUAACAAAGGAAUAAAUUUUUAAAUUUUUUAGUAGCCUUUUAGAUUAUUGGGCCUUGAAGAUUUUGUCAUAAAUUAGUUCAUUUAAUCUUAAAAAUUAAAUGAAACGGGGCGGUAGGUGUAAAAUUUUUGUUAAAAGAAUAUUUUAUUUAAGCGUUUAAUUGAAAUCUCACUCCCAAUAAAUAAUGAAUUAAUUGGUCUUUGGUUAUUUAGAUAUUUUCACACAAACACACACACACACACAUAUAUAUAUAUAUAGUUCUUUUCUAGUGCGGAAGUUUUUAUUUUUUUUCAUGCGAGCACGCUUUUAAGUCAUGCAUUUUAAGAGAAUUAGUUUUUAAUGCUAUUAAACCACGUGACUUUAUAAUUCAAUAAAAGAUAAGUCUAUUAAAACCCACGGCUUAGAGCGUAUCCACAAUAAAAAAAAAAUGAACGCAUCUAUAUCUGAAAAUGAUUAUAUAUAUAUCUUUGGAGGUCCCCUCAGAUUUCCUUAUUAAAACACUAUCCUAAAUAUACCUCAUAAAAAAUAUUAAAAAGUUAUAAAAAAUGAAAUGGCACAAAAAUAAUUCCAAAAACUGCCCUCCGUUCCUUUAAUCAUUCUUUUCUUUCUAAUAAAUUCGCGAGGGCUAGGAUUUGUACCUCCACCUCUUACCCUCGGAUAAGAGGUGGGUGCGCGUGUGUGGCGCAUGCGCUCUUGUGUGUGCGUGUGCGUGUGUGGAGUAACAAGUUUCACAAAAUUAUCCAAGAAACUUAGACUUUUUUAGAGCCCAAAGAGCAGUUACGCCAUGUGGUGUGAGAAUGUGGAGUAACAAUUUACACAAAAUUUUAAGAAAGUCUAGAAUCUUGGAUCAAAGAAGCACUCCAUCAUAUAUACUCCAAUAAAUUCUUAUCACCACAUCCUUUUUAUUUCGAGUCUAUAUAGUAAGGAUUGUAUAUAAUUAGUGCAAAAUAAUAUAACAUCUAAUAAUUUUUUUUAGUUUUUAGUUCAUGCUUAUAACAAUGUUCUAAAUUAAUAGAUGAAAGAAAUAUAUUAGUUUUUAAAAUCAAUUUUUAUUUCUUAUAUUCUAAUUCAUAUUUUAUAUAAAAAAUCGCUGGAAAGAAAUUAAUUUUUUUUCAAAAAAAAAAUGUAAUGGUUAUCAUUCAUGUACGUUGAAUUUCUAGUGCAAUGACGCUAAUAAUGUUCGAAUACUACUUCAAUGAAUUUUACUAUUAAAAUACUAAAUUAUCUUUGUGAAAAAAGAUUGCAUGAUUAGAAUGAUUAUAAGCUCAUUUGAUGGCUAGUUUCCUCAUUAUAACAACCGAAACACUCUAACAAUCCAAUAUAUAUAAUACAAGGCACCCAGACACAAGCAUGAUUAUUGAUUCACACCACACAUGCAUCUCAACUUAAAAAUGGUACUUGAAAAGUCUUUGGGGUGCCUACAAAUUGAAAUUUGGUAACACAAUUAAUGCUAAGAAAUGAAUCUGGCCACCGUAUAUCCUGCAACGACAUGGAUAGGGGACUGUUCCACCAUUCAACCUGAAAUUAUCAAGUGAAAGAAACAAGAUCAUGAGUGUUGUUUUACAAUCUGAAAGCCGGUUCGAAGUCAUAAUAAUAAUGAUAAUAAUUAAUAGACCUUACCAUUAGUCAUCGCAUCAUUGUCUUGUGAAUCUCCCUCCUCAUCCUUGAUCCUCAUUCCCUGCAUACGGGAAACCGGCAGCUGUAUCAUCGUCUUCUUCCAACCACACGACCACGCCAGUAUGUCUCAAGAAUCUUUACUGACUUCUCAUGGAUCUCGUUGCCGUCAUGACUUUGUAGAUUUUCUAUCUUUUCUAAUCCCUCAGCCUUCUCUACCAACUGGGCAUGUUGAUUAACAUUUCCAAUGGCAGUACCCAUAUUCUUUUCAGCUUCCCCAACCUUCAAAAUGUUCUCUAAUCCUUUUAGGCAAACAGUGACGAUCCCUGGAUCAGGGCAUAGGAGGAGAUCACACAAUGGUUUUAUACACCCCGUUCCCACAAGGUACUUGAUUUGCUCAUGAGUACCACCCGAGCUAGCAUUCGAAAUUACCCGAGCAGCCUCCUUCUUUAUAUCAAAUUCAGCGUUUUGAAGCAGAUUGACAAGGGGACCAAUUAAGCCAGCAUUAAUUACCGCCUGAAUCUGUUCCCUGUUUCCAGCUGUGAUAUUUGAAAUAACCCAGCAUACUUCCUUCUUGAUGCUCUCUUUUUGAUUAUUGACCAACAUGUCCAAAAAGUAUGGCAGUGCACCACAGUUAAUUAUACCCUGAGUCUGGAAAUCGUCCCCCGUCGCAAUAUUUCCAACCGUCCGCAGGGCAGGAGUGAGCACUGAGGGUGAUGGAUGACCAAGGAGCGUAACAAGUUGUGGACAGACACCUGCCUCGAUCACAGCUUGAAUUUUGUCAUUCGUACCAUCAGCAAGAUACGAGAGUGCCCAGCAGGCAUCAGUCAAGACCUCUUCAUCGUUUGAACGAAUAAGCUGUGCAAGCACCGGAAGAGCUGGUCUUAUUUGAUUAAAUGGUGGCUGUGGCUUGCCCCUGCAGAAAUUAGACAAUGUCCAUGUGGCAGUUCUUAGCAUUGAAAGCUUAGCAUGCUCAUUUAACUCUGCCAGCAAUGGAAUCAAAGCCCCUUGACGAAGCACAAGAUCACGGCAUCUAGGCGAGUCACCAGCAACAUUUCCCAAUGCCCAAACAGCCUGCUCGCGGACAUCAUCACUUGGAGAAGCAAGUAGCUUCACAAAUAUUGGAACAGCACCGUGGUCGAUCACUACCUUAGUAUUCUCCGAAGUUCCAGAAGCAAUGUUUGUAAGAGCCCAAGCAGCCUCAAACUGCAGUUGCGGAUAGUCUUCCCUCAUAAGAAACUCAACAAAGCGCGGGACAACGCCAGAUUGUAUGACUUUCUCAAUUGGUGAAUUCCUGCCAAAUGAAAGCAGUUUUCGGAACAGAGUAGUUGCUUCCAGCUGCAACUUCUUGUCAUCUGACCAAACCCCAGCAACCAUCGCGGGCAAAAUUUCUGACUCAGUAUGGAGAUUGAGAGUUGCGGCAGGAGUAGAAAUUGGAAACUGCUGGGAUUGAAGAAAUUCACCUAUCUUCUUGAGAUAUAGGUAUUUUAUACUUGUAUUAAGGUCGUGCACCCAAAUCCAAUGUUCUCCAUCCGAAAUGCUCAGGUGCACUUUGUGUAACAUGGGUGUGCUCAAUUCUCCUCCAGAGAAAAUCUUCAUACUGGGGCAAUCGUCCAACAGUAAUCUUUUCAAAGAUGGGAAUUUGAAGGCACAAUUGCCAGUGCUGAAGCUUGUCAGAUUUUGCAUUUUUAAAAGCUUCAACUCCCUCAAUUCACUGAAAGCAACAACCUCAUCUUUUGCGACAUCUUCUGCCAGUACAAUUUCUGCUAUCGUAACGCAUGAUUCUAUUGUCAUUUCUCUGAGUCUCACCAGAGUCUUAGCUAUUGAGGAUGUUAAUAGGUUUUUCAAUCCAUUGCAAUACGAUAUCUCCAAAGUUGCAAGAUUCUGAAAGGAAGUCGAGGAUGGCACUAGAUUGAUCAAAUGGUGACACGACUUUACACGUAGAAUAAGCAAGUUGUUCAAAAUGGAUGACUCUUGUUUCCAAAUGUGCUUCAGAUCACAACACUUGUUUGCUUCUCUUAUGAUUACCUCCAUCCCAUUUUCAACCUCUUCUUUUGACAACCAAGCGUCAGAUCCUUCUAUUUGGAGGACUCUCAUGGUGUGAAGUCUUUGGAGGAAAUCAUCAAGUGAUAAAAUAGUAGUUGACUCAUCAACAAACUCCACAUCAAGACAUUUAAGUUUGCAAAGUAAGUCUUCUGAAAAUACACUUUUGUUUGUUACUAUAUGCUUUGCAUCAACUAUCAAUUCUUCUAAAUUGGAGAAAACCUGGGCAAUCAAUCCGUACCGAGGAAAAAAAAUAGAAGAAGAUGGAUCAGUUCAGAAAAUUAAUACAAUACACUUUGAAGGAAAUUUAACAAAAUAGAAGGGAAUUAUAGGUUGCAACUAGCUUAUGCAAUAUAUUUAUUCAAUAAAUUUUACCUUUUACAAAUUAAUAAUAAUAAUACACCUAACAUGCAGAAUCAUUAAAAUCAUGAAUGAAUGUUGUAUACUAAUCUGAGAGUUACGUUGCUGAGAAAUUGACUUUUAGGAAGAAACCAUGUGAUGAAGACAAUGGGCAAUUUAACUCUUCAGCUAUAUAACAUAAAUUUUCACCGUACGUGCAUAAGAAUUGAAAAAUUGAUUAUAAAAUUCUUGUACGUACCUUUUUUGUCAAGAUAUUAGUACAUCUCACCAUGAAUUCAGGACAUCUAGAUAUCCGUAAUUCUUUCAAGGAUGGAAAUUCAAGAACAUCUAAAUCUCCUGUGCAGAAGCUUGUGAGCUUUUCAAGAUCAUACAUCUUCAGAUACUGUAACUGAGGAAAUAUUACAGUAUUGUUCUUCCUUUCUUCUUGGUUGUCCAUGACUAUUAACUCUUCCAAGACGCGACAUUUUUCUAUCUCAAUGCGCUGGAGUCGAACAAAGCUGCUGACUAUAGAAGGUGAAAAUAGACAUCUUAAAAUUACACAGUUGUAUAGGGUCAAGUGCAUUAAAUUCUGAAUACCACAAGACAUGCCUGCAACUUGGUUUUGCCAAAUCCUUUCAACGUUUAUUGAAUGCAACUCCAAGUUCUCCAAAUUCGGUAAUGUAACCUACUCGAUCAAAAAAAUUAACUUGUUAAUUACAAGUAACAAUCAUUUCUGUUGAUAGACAAAUCAAUAAAAUUACUCUUUCUCUUGUCAAAGUUCUUUUCAGUCUUUCGUACAAACAACCGUUAAUCAAGUUUUCCAAAUUAUUCCCCACUAAAUCGACAUAUGUAUUCUAAAGACAUAUAUAUUAAAGAAAAUGACAAGUCAUAGUAUGAAUGAAUUUAUUGGCCAAAGUUUUUUUAUUUAAUUACAACAUGUUUAGUAUUUCGUAACAUGAUGAUGUUGUUGUUGUUGUUAUUAUUAUUAAUUCACUUGUUGCGUCAAGUACCUUUUCUUUUCUUUGAGAAUGUAUUUGUUACACCCUACAACACUUUGAAGAAAACUUCUGAAUAAUUGUUAAAUAUAAUUAUUUAUCACUCUUGUCAUAUUUGCUGACAAACAGGAAUAUACCAAACAAAAAAAGUUUAAAGAGAAUUAUUAAAACCAUUGGGUUAUUAAAUAACUGACCUUCUCAAUGAAAAGUGUAUUAGAACUAUUGACAUUGUCCUCCAAGAUGAUUUCAUGGGACCGCAUAUCAUUUGCUGAUUCUUCUUGUCUCUGUUGACAUUGAAGGUGUCUCAAUUUUAGGCAUAAACUUAAUUGUGAGCACAAUCUUAAAGGAUAGACAGAAGAUCUUUAAAACUUAGUCCAAUUAGUUUAGCAUUAGAUUCAAAUUUGAUAUUUUGGAUUUCAUAAUUCAGAUUUUUUAAUAAAAAUUUAAUAGAGUUAAUUUCAAAAUAAAAAUUAAAUAUGAAAAAGUAAACCUCUAACUAUGGAUUUAAAUUAGAUAAAUAAUAAAUAUUCUCUUAAUAAUUUUUUCAAGGCAAGGGAAUGGGCAAAGCCUAAAUUUAUUUAUUUUUAAUUACUCUGUUUCUUUCCUUAAGAUUCAGAUUGAGGUGGUUACGCAAACACAGUGAUUUAAAAACUACUUGGCCAUGCUCUUUAAUAUGACAUUGUAAGAGUGCUGAGAAUAUAUAAGACCAUUAAUUUCACUUUUUUUUUUAUAUUAAUUUUAGAUAUAGAUAUAUUUUUAUUGAGAGAAAAGAGAAGAAGGAUAUUAUAAAGCAUGAAGCUCAUGCAGUACAAGGGCUAUUAUGUUAUUUUUAGGGAGGUAGAUUCUGAAGCUAAAAGAUUAAAAUGGUAUGAUUAUGAAGCUAAAAAAUUAAAAUAUUAAUUAAAUUGCGAACAUUAAAGAUUUUUGCAAAAUUGUUUACUUUGAAAAUGAGGAUGAUGUAAUAUUUGAAGACUUUUCAAUGUUAAUUACAAGUAAAUACUGUGAUGCACUAGAAAUUUCUAGCUUUAGCCUAACGUACGUACGUACAGACAGACGGACACAAACACAGACACACAAACACAGACGGACACAGACACACACUCACACAUAUAUCUACACACACACACACACACCAAAAGAAUCCUCUCAUUUCAAUUAUUUAAAUUAGGAAUGAUCAUACCUUUGACUCUGCCGGAUUGAGGGUGACGUGGGAACCCCUGAUAUAGAGAUGCUUGAGUUGUGAAGGACCCACUUUGACUAAUUCAUUAACGAAAUAAUUGACAUCUUGCUCUUCCAAAUCAGAUAACCAAAGAUCUUCAAUUCCCUGCAGUUUCAGGAUCAGCCCAUCCUUCAACCGAAUCUUGGAAUCCAGAUCGAUUUUGAAUUCUCUACACCAGAUGUCGGCGUACUCCCAUCCCCAAACACCUCCAAUAAGUAUUUUGUACCUUUCCAGCUUCUCCAAGAACAAGCCUCUCGGAAGAGUGUUGACAUCUUGGAUUUGUAAUUCUAAAGAGAUCAAAUGCUUCAACUCAUGUAGGCUAGCAUUCUUGACCCCUUCCACCUCCACCUCCCAUUUGUCAAAGCUUCUAGGACCCAUAUAUAGCUCUUCUAAAUGGGAUAACUUUGAUAAAACAUUUGGUGGGAUAAUUUCUAGUUCCCUACAAUCUCUCAGAUCAAGCAACCUUAGCAAAGUCAAUUCACCUACUUCUACAGGCAACCUCUUAAUAUCAGAACCUCGUAGGCAAAGAACCUCUAGUUUCUUCAAGUCUCUAAUAACAGUUAUAUCAAGCAAUUUGCAAUUAUACAAACUCAGGGUUUGAAGGUUUGACAGGAGACCAAGUGAUGAAGGCAGUGACAGUAGAUUCAUGUAACUCAAGUUUAUAACUCUGACCUGUAUCUUCCUCUCGAAAAAUUUGUUUGGAAUUGUUAAUGAUGAAGAUUCCUUAUCAGCACAUAUAAAAAGAAGUUCGAGUUGAGGACAUUCCACUACUUCAGGAAGCAGAUUAGUCUUGACAUCAUGUAAGACUAUUGAAGUGUAUAGCUUUAUUGCACUUUCGUCCGACCAUUCCCUGCAACCACUAACCUGCUCUUCUGUCGCUGAAAAAACAUUUUGUUCAGUAGAUGCAAUUGAAAUGGCAACAUCGCGAACGACGUCAUGCAUGGAAAACAACCCUUUCUUCUGGCUUAUAUGGUCGAGCAACAUGCAACAAGCUUUGAGUUUGUGCACCAAUGCGUGUGCUCGAGCUCGUGCUACUUGCAUCUUAUUCACACCUUGAAAUAAACCCAUUCCCAUACCAUACAUUAACAAAUCAUCAAUGGAUGCUAUUGCUGUAUAUCCUAUUAGCAAAAAGAUGUUCUUGAGCUCCUCCCCAGCCAAUUUGUCGUAACUCAACUUUAUGGCUUUAUAUGCAGUUGGCUGUACAUUCAUAAGAUUCGUUGAGGAAGGCCUUCUUAGCUGUUCCAAUGCAUCCUUCCAAUCAAAUAAGCUAUUAUUGUCCCUUAGUACCGUUGCUACAGUCACAAUGGCAACAGGCAAACCUGCACAUUCCUUUGCCACAUCCCUUGCUACCUCUUUCAAUUCAUUACCUUCAACAUAAUCACCUGCCAUCUUCUUGAAUAGACUCCAUGCUUCUUCUUCUUUUAAAAAGCUAACUGAGAAAUUUUUUUGAGAAUCCAUCUUCGCUGACAAUGUAUCUAGACUUCUUGCCGUCAACAGCACUUUACAUCCCCUGUGAUCAUCUCCAUGAGGAAUUCCCGCCGCCUUCAAAUCAAGAUUUCCCCAAAUAUUAUCCAAUAUUACAAGGAUCCUCUUCUCUUUCUUCAGUCGAUCAUGAAGCCUUCUUGCCCGACCCGAUUCACUCUCCUCAUCAAAUUUGAGACCUAAUUUAUCAGCGAUUUCUCUUUGGAUCUUUCUUAUGUCUUGACUCUCAGACACCUCAGAAAAAACCACCUGAUCGAAGAGCUUGUCAUUCUCUGCUCUCCUAGCAACUUCUUUAGCUAGCGUCGUCUUUCCGAUGCCGCCGAUUCCAUAAAUCCCGAGCGUGUUGACAUCCCCAUUUUUUAGUGCAUCAGUUAUUUCAUUCAGAAUGGACAUUCUUGAUUCAAAGGCCUCGUAGUCUUUGUUAGGCAUAAGCAAGUUAUCCUCCGGAAUGAUACUGUAAGAAAUAUUAUCAAAUCUUCCAGCUUCCCGGACUUUGACAAUAGCCUCCAUCAGCCUCACUGCUUCCUUGCUAAGUUGACAGCGGGUCUUCAAAUUAGGACACAACCCCUUGAAACAAUGCUUAUUUGCAGUGGCUUCAUCGUUUGUAAAUUCAUCUGCAUCUUCAAUGACAUUGUUGGCCCUUGCAAGCCAAUUCUCAACGUUCUCUUCAAUCUCUUCCCCUUUUCUUUCAGCCUCAUCAACCUUACGCUCUGUAUUCACCCUCUCAGACUUCAGAUUCUCAACUUCAGUCUUGAGAUUCUGUAAGAUGCUAGUGUACUCACUGUCACGCAAAUUGCUAAUUUGGCGAUAUGCAGGAGGAGCCAAGCACUUUACAACUUCUGCAACAAUAUCGAGAAUGAUUUCUGCCAUUCUGUUGAAGCCUUUUCCUUUCUCUCUCGCUCUCUGUAUAGAACUUUGGAAAAACAAUUGAUUCGAUAGGAAGCAAACUGAGUGAUCGCACACGAGUGACUAUGAAAUAAUGGGGCAGAGUAUAGAUGGAGAACACAGAACAGAAAGAGCAGGUACCGAAUAAAACAGAGAGAGCAGCAGGACAAGUGUAUAGAUGGAGAACACAGAACAGAGCAAAAUCAAAUAACAAGGUUAAAGAUUACAACAAACAGAGGACAAGUGUUGUUGAGAUCAGAAGAUUGAAGAUUCAAAAGAGUUGAUGGAAACAGCGGAACAACAAAACAACAAUGAACAUAAUAAACAGAAGCAAAGUGUGUCUCUGAUUGAAAAGUGGAUAUAAUAAGGAAAGGGUUGGUUGAAUAAUGGUUGUGGUCUUCUUCUACUUUUUACGGUGGCAGGCAACAGAGAUUACGGAUGAGAUUAAAAAUUCAAAGGAGUUGAUGGCAGAAAGCUGAAUAACAAACAAAACAACAGCCAGUGAGCACAAUAAUCAGGAGCAACAUAUAUUUGAGAUCAAAAGGGUAUAAAUAAGGAACGGAUUUUUUUUAUUGCAAUAGACGAAUGACUGGUAUUGAGCGACAAUGGUUUGCGAAAAGUUUUAAGAAUGACACUCCACAAAUUCAACAAGUCAAGAAAGGAACAAAAGUUGAAAGUGACCCAUUUUAUUUUUGAAGUGCAUGCUAUGCCGUAAAGCCAAAGUUCCUUGGCUAAUUUAAUUUAGAAUUGAAGAGAAAGAAUGAGUAAAUAAAGAUAAACGACGAGAAGGUGAUAGCUUUAAUUACGAUCAUUUGUUAUGCUAGUAACGAUAGACCAAGUAUAAAUGUUGAAAGACAGAACAGAAUAUUUGUGAUGUCAGUUGGUACCAAAAAUCCUGAAUACCUGAGUAGUUAAAAACAAAAUUAAAUAUUAAAAUCUACACAGGAGAAUAAUAGUUUGCUAAAAGUUCAAGGAGAGAAAUUCCUUUCCGCUCAUUGAAGAAAAUCCAGGAACAAUAAUGCUGAUUCAACCAUGUAUAAUUUAAUGUUAAUUAAAGUUAAAGCCAUCAUUUUCGUAAAUAUGCUUCGAUUAAAGCUGUUGUGCUGAAUAUACACACAACACGCAUCGGUGAAGUUGUCUUCUUGUCCAAACGCGAAUCUUUAAAUGUCCAUUGCUUCCCUCUGAGGAAAAGUAAGCGUGGAAGAUGAAGCAGGCUAAUAUGCUAAAACCGUGUUUGUAUUGUGGGUCGAUUUCUUGCAAGCAUUUCUUAGUCAAAAAGCUUUGUAUAUAUCUAUAAUAUUUAUACGCGGGGGAGGACGUGGAAACUCUGUUUGGUCAACUGAUCAACACAGCUGCAUGAAUUGCUGAUCAAUGAACCAUUUAUGGUUGGUUUUAACCAAAUCAAAAUAAUAGAAAAAGGUCUAUAUAGGAAUAAGACUAUGGCCCUGUCGGUCAAACACUAGUUUUGUAGUUUAGAAGUUAAGUUGAUUUGAUCAACCACUUCUAUGAUGAGAAACACAUAACAUAUUUAUUAUUUUUGUUAAAAUUAUUACUUAGAAAUUAUAUUUUACUACAUACUAUUAACUUUUAUUUUAUAGUUACAACAACUGCAACUUUAAAGUUAUAGUACUUCAGUAAAAUAAUAGGAUAUAAACCGGUCGUAGAGGAGGAUGGUUUUUCGUGUCUUUUGGGCAUUUCAUCCAAUGCUUGAUAUGAUAAGAAUCAAGCAAUAUUGAUGGAAUCAAAACAAUUAAUCAAAUGAUUAAUUGUCUCUAUCUUAAUUAGUUAUUAAGAUAGAUUGAUUGACUCAAUCUUUGAUAAUCAAUCAUUAUUCUCAAAUUAUGCUAAUUGUAUCAUUUCCUUUUCCAUAUUCUAAAUACUUGUAUAAAUUGAGUCUUCGUGCUCAUGAAUUAAUAAGAGUGAAAUUUAUAUUUUUUAUACUUUUUUGAAAAUUUUUGAUGAUAUAAAUACCACCGCUCUAACAUAAAUACCACUGUUGGGUUUCAAUUGAUCAUACACACAAAUGGAAACACCAAGACCAAAAACUUGCACUCAGGAAUGAGCACAAGUUGUAUAAACUCUAAUUCAAUAGUAGAAAGCAAUCAAACAGAUCAGUGAAGGACAAUCACAACACAAGAAUUUUGCUGGUUCGCUCACGAUGUGACCUACUUUCCAUCCAAGAAUUAAACUAACUCCAUUUCUGAUUAUCCAAUUCAAGGUUAGAAGAUGUAUAUCACUCUAUAAAGAACAAAACUUGAGAAGAAAUUAAACCAACCACAAUUUCUCUCACAAGUUGAGUUGGCCCCCAUAAAACAGAAUCCAGCUCUUUCUCGCGCCCUCUUUGUAUAACGAAAUUAACUGACGCUUGACUUGCUCAGUAUAAGUGAUGGUAACACGUGAGGACCCAAAUGACGAAUUCCAAGUGCUAAAGAGCCUAUCAGCCUAUGUAUUCAUUUGUAUAAUUAAUUUGGUUCAAAAUGAAAAAUUCGUGGUUUGUAAUCCUAAGCACUUUGCCGUUGUUCCUAAGACUACAUGUUGAUAUUUGCCAUUAUAAUAUUGUAAGUUUAUAUAAUUAACAAAAUGUUCUGCAAAUGAAAAAUAUUUUGAUGGACAAUCUUCAGUCAAUUGAAAAUUAGUCUCUAUAUCAAAUAUCUUUAGUAAGAACUUACUAACAAUAUAUUUCACUCAAUUUGAAUUAAUAAUUCGAAUCAUUCCAACUUUGAACAGUCUUCAUCUAAGUUUCAAACAUUUGAUUCUAUCUGAAUUCCUUUUUGUCAAAGCUAAAUGAAAAGAAAAACAAAAAAAAAAUGUAAAUGAGACUAAAAUUAACCUGCGGCGUGGGUCAUUCAUUUGAUGUCUUUUGGCGUUUCACGUUCAAUAUUUGUGAAUGUAUAUCAACUUAAAGAAGCAAAGUGUCUUUGAAAUUACAGGAUGUAAAUAAAGCAAAGGGUUUUGUUGAUUGAGAGUGACUGCAAAGAAUUAAUGACUGAUAUUAAAUGAUUUGCAAAAUGGAGGAGAGGCAGGAGAAAAUUAAUUGUUUGCCAAUGUUUUAAUUAAGAAUGAACAAUUUUUGGAAGGAGAAACUUAUCAUCUUUAAGAAAAGAAAAAGUCAAUGAAGGAAUAAAAUAUCCACAGGUUUUGUUAAAGUGAAGAUAUAUGACGUACAAUUGUCAUCUUCUUUAACCUUUUUACUGUGGCGGGCAAUGAACAUCAUUCAAGGAUGAGAACAAAAGUUAAAAGCGACCCAUUUUAUUUUUUAAAGUGCUCUGCUGAAAAGCCAAAGUCCCUUGGCUAAAUUUAGAUGUGAAGCAAAGAAUAAUUAAAUAAAAUAUAAAAGAAUGGAAUAAAUUGUGUGACUGAAGUUGGUCCAGUCCUCGAUGUCUUUUGUCAUCUCCACAGAAUUGCCCAAAGAUUAUAAAUGUUGAAAUACAGAACGGAAUAUUUGUGAUGUCAGUUGGUACCUAAAAUCCUGAAUACUUGAGUGGUUAAAAAGCAAAAUUAGAUAUUAAAAUCUACAGAGGAGAAUAAUAGUUUGCUAAAAGUUCAAGGAGAGAAAUUCCUUUCUGCUCAUUGAAGAAAAUCCAGGAACAAUAAUGCUGAUUCAACCAUGUAUAAUUUAAUGUUAAUUAAAGUUAAAGCCAUCAUAUUCGUAAAUAUGCUUCGAUUAAAGCUGUUGUGUUGAAUGUACAUAUAAUAAUCAUUGGUAAGGUUUCCGAAAUGUGAAUCUUUAAAUGUUCCAUUUCUUCACUUUGAGGAAAGUUAACGUGGAAGAUGAAGCAAUGGUAUAACAGUAAAAGAAAGUUCAGCGUCGUAACGUUUGGUUACUGAGAAAGAGUAAAAGAAAGUUCAGCGUUGAAAGAAAAUUUUCAGAUCAGAUGAUCAUGAUCAUUUUCAUUACAUAUUAAAUCUAAUUACAAGUCCUUUUAUAUCAGUCUCUGGAACAUUCUACAAACAUCAAAAUCAUAUGCUUGAGCUAAAGUUAAUUACAAGUAACCGUGCUAACAAACUGUUAACUGAAUAACAAAUUCAUAACAAACUUGCUGCCCAGACUGCCAGAUCACCAGUUUAGUUAUCUAACAAACUUAACGAACUGAAGCAUCUAAAGAAUAUAUUCCAGAGUAUAUUCCUUAACAUGCAUAAAUGGUCAAUCACACUUGCCAAAAAAAUUGAUGAACAUUCACUUCUAAAGAAGCAAAUUAAUGUUUGUAAAAAUCAUAAUUAGCCAAAGAAAGUUCAUGUGUUUUUUUUUUUUCUUUUCAGAUUCAAGACAAUUCUUCAAAGAUGAAAUCAGCUUUUAUUGAUACGUUCGACAAAGAUGAAAUCAGUUUUUUAUUGUUGUAUAUGUGUUUUGAAGAUGGAGAUGAUCGCUAUGCCAAUAAAAAAAAAAUCAGUAAUGAUACAUGCGUUUGGUUGGUCUCUUAUGGAUUUUGUACACCAUUACUACUGGGUAAAAAAAAAAAAAAUUUAUUACAAAACAAAAGAAAAUUACACGAUAAGACAAACUAUUUUUGGUCUCUUAUGGAUUUUGUACUAAUUAUUAUACUAAUUUUCAAUAUUCAUAAGAAAAUAAUUGUAACAAAGACUUGGUGAGAAUACGUGAUGCCCGUAAUGCAAGCACGUGAGGACCCAAAUGAGGAAUUCCAAAAGUUGGACACUUCCAAACGCAGCGUUUUGGUUCUGGUCUUGAAUAUUGAUUCAUCAACAACUAUCAUUCCAUCUUGUUUUUUUUUUUUUUUUUUAAAGGCCAUAAACUAUAUAUUUUCCAUUCAUUAUAUCCUAAGAAUACAAUGAUUUACAAUAUCAAAUUCAAGUGACAAUCAAUAAAAAACUGAAGUCAAUGUAUACGAAACACCAAAACAAUGAAAUUGUUACAGUUUGACAAAAUAAAAAUUUGUACAAAUUAAACAAUUUGAAAAUACAUUUCAACGAAUAUCUCUUGAUCAAUUGGUAAAUUAACAAAUAUCUGCCGAUGUUUUAAGACUGUUGUUGUAUGUGUUGAUGCGAGAUCCCGAUUCUCCUCGUUCUACGACCAGGAUCUCUGCUCGAUCAUCUUCACCACGACCAGGAGGUCUCCUAGUAAUGCUUCUUCUCCAGAUGUCCCUGCAUAAACAGACAAGUCAGAGUACGCCGGUUGUUCCCCCGGCGCAAACCCUCCGACGCUCAAGUCAGAUAUGAAGGUUCAGGGAACGCUUGCCACACGUCUUAUGGCUUUUUCGUGGUUUUUCUCUAAUCUCAAAAAUGCCAACCCUUUUACCUUCGUUGGCUGCCUUUUUAUAGGCUCCCUCUGAAUCUCAGUCUUCCGCUCUUUUCUCGACGGUAUGGGACUCCAACUGCGGCGUUAUGGGCAAACGGGGGAUCUAACGUGUUACGCCACGGUUCAGGGGAAAGCGUGGCUGUCAUGGCUCUGUGAGACUUUGCGUGUUACGCCAAGGUUCUGGGGAAGUGUGGCUGUCAUGGUUCUGUGAGAUCUUGCGUGUUACGCCAAGGUGCUGGGGAAAGCGUGGCUGUCAUGCCUAGAUUCUCGUGCUGGAGAGCACGUCUUGCCAAACGUCUUGCCAGCUGUCGUCGACCGGGUCUCCUCGCCUCUUGACCUCUAGCCGGAAUGGCCUUUUGCCUUUAAUAGGAAAUUGGCCUCGCGAAUGACAACAUCGUGGACGAGCAGGAUAAUUCUGCUCUUGUUCUUCCGCGCACCAGGCUUUUACGGAACACACCGGUUCGCAGAACUCCGCCAUCAGAUAUCUGCUCGUCAUUCCUGGUCUCAUCGACGUAUUUAUCCCGAACAGUAUCUCUCCCAAACACCGGUCCCCCAGUUUCUGGUGUUGGGUAAUGUAGUGGACCAGCAGUAGAAACUCGAUAGUACUCGCUCGCGUGGGAUUGGAAAAGGCUGCCAAGAGUCAUGUCGCGUUUAAUUGCGGACGAGGUGACGUGGCAGAAAUCCCGCCCUCCAUUUGAAUUUCAAACCGACGGUUACCAGAUCCUCGGGAUUCGGCGCGGUUAUAUGCUGGCAACCCAAGAGUCUGUCCUCAUUUGGAAAGCCGAAUCCUCUCGAACGGCAUAUUCACAAUUCACUCCGUCUCUGUCUCUGUUUCUCCGGCGAAGAAGUUCCGGCACAAAGCCCCCAUCCUUGCCUUUCUCCGAUUGGAGCAGUACUUCAGGUAUUACUUCUCUCUCCUCGGUCUCGGAUAGUUUGUAGAUAACUUCUUUUUUCUUUCGUUUGGGUAGUAGUUGGUGGCGUUGUAGUUAGAGUUUAGGGAAUGUCGAAAGGCAAAGAGAAGGUCAUUGAGGUUGAUGACGACGAGUUGGACUUCCUACCUAGUCUGCUCGCUGAGCCCGCUUUUGACCCCGGGAUCCCCUUAGAGCCCAUUAGGUCUAGUGUUGGUACUAGCGCUAGGAGGAUGUCUCCCCAAACAACCUCCUCGAGCGACAGUAGCGAUGAAGAAGGAUCUUCUGGAUCGGAGAACACCUUGAGUGAGGGUCAAGGGGAUGAUUCUGGUGAGGCGUCCCCCUCAGGAGCGCCGCGACCAGAAAGGAGGAGUAGAAUAGGAGGUAGAGCCCUAUCGCGGGAUUACGCUAUUGAUUACAUGACGUGCACGACCACGUUUGAUGAGCUCGAGGACCUCCGGCUGAGGUAUAGCAUUCCUGGUGAAAUACAUCUCAAGGUCCCAGGAAAGAAGGAUGCUCCCAGCCGCCCUCCGAGGGGACAUGUUACCCUGUAUCUGGACAGCUUUAAGUACGGGCUGAGGUGUCCCUUGCAGCCUUACUUUGCCCGGAUACUCAACGGGCUAAAUCUGGCUCCUGGUCAGUUGAAUCCCAAUGGGUGGAGAGUGCUCUCUGGUCUGUUCAUUUUGUGGGACAGAUGUUGCCAAAGCGAGCCCACGGUUGAUGAGGUGAAGCACCUGUACCAGCUAAAGAGCAGCCCCAAAGAUGCCGGCUGGUACUACUUCCAAUCAAGCACCAAGAGCAGGAAACCUAUAACCGACCUCCCUACUGGUGGUGGCGGGAAUUGGAAGAGGAAGUUCUUUUUUGCUGGGGGUCCGUGGGGUCAGGUCGCACAAAUGGACGGGAAGGAUUAUCGGGUCCCACCCCGUUUCACGGUCCCAGGUUGCCUGCUCGCUUCAGAUGCCUUGUAUCCAUACUUGUUUUUGUUUUGUUGGCUUGUUUCUAACCAAGUGUCUUGUUUGUGUUGUAGUUUCUUGGGGUGUCCACUUCCCGCUCGGACCUGAACAGCUCAAACGGGUCGAAGCGGUGCUGGCCAAUUCUUGCUCGAUCCGAGAACUGCUAAGUACAUACAACUUGCUCGAGUCUCGCUUGAUACUUCCUGGCCAUAAGAUGGAGGACGCUGUGAUUGGGGCUCUGACCCGAAAACGUUCUCGACCUCCAACCACGAAGAGGGACGAGAGUAAGGAUGCCCCUACUGCAAAGCGGGCCAACAUCGUGCAGCAGGCCCCGCCCUUGAAGAUUUUACCUCCUGCUCCUGUAAAAGUUGGGGAAGCUAGUGGAGCAGCCACCGAUCCCGCUACCUCUUCUCCUCCUGUCGGGCCUCGACCUCGCUUACCUGACAGCCGAGCAGAACCUCUGGUCCCUUACCUCAAUGAGUUAGCUAAACUCGUGAGCAAGGAGGAGCUGGAGGACUUUGAUGGCCGCACCUUGGGCGAGCUGGUGGGGGCCAUUCAGCAUGGCGCCUUCCACCUCAGCUGCAUGGCCACUUAUUAUAAGGCUAAGGUGGGCCGUUACGACCGGAAGAUGAAGGGGGACAUUCAGUCGGCGACGACCAGGGCUGACGUUGCCGAGAAGAAAGCGGGGGAGCUGAAUCUCGAGAACCUGAAGCUGGUAGAGCAAGAAUCACUUGCUCAAGCAAAAGCCAUUGCCCUUGAGGAGGAGCUUACCAAGGUCAAGGAGGAUCUGCAAAGGCAGAAGGCUAUGUAUGAGGCUCAGCUCGAAUCUCUCCGCGACUCCCACCGAGCUCAGGUCGAGAACCAUCGAGCUCAAGUCGAGAACUUGGAGAGGGAGGCCGACAACCAGUACGACCAGGGACUUCGGCAUUCCUAUCGUUGCAUCAUGGCCGUCCUCGGGAAGCAACACCCUGACCUGAAGAUGGAAGACCUUGCAGCUGGUGUUGCUCAGCAUAUGGAUGAGGAGGCGGCCAAGGAAGAUACCGAAGGGGUAGAGCCGAUCGUGAUUGAGGAGGAAAACUCUCCUCCUCGUGUAGUCCCUGCUGAUGUCGGCGAGGCGAGCACCCCCCCGGACGCGACUGGUGAUACCCCCCCUGCACCCGAGGAGGUCCAACCGACCGAUGCUACUCGGCUCACUGAUCCACCAUCUUUUUGAUAUAUUUCUUUUUGUAUUGUAAUGAACAACGUUUAUGAAAUUUCCUUUGUUAGCCAUUAACACAUUAAUAAAAAUGUUGUUGAUUACUUUUUCGUGUAUAUGAAUUAUUUUUCGUUUGAGAAUCUGCUUGUCUUUGUCUUAGACGAGCAGGUUCCGGCUUGGCUCCUGGUUUUGCCACAUGCCUUUGAAAAUUUUUCAAUACAACAGGGUCCGAGACUUGACGAGCCUUUGCAUGCCUUAGGAUUUUCUUCAAACGAUUUGGAUUCUGCUGCCUUCUCGUGGCCGAGCAGAUCCUGGCAUGCUUGGCUUCUGUCUCGCCAUAAGACAGGCUCUGAGACUUGGCGAGCCUUUGCAUGCCUUAGGAUUUUCUUCAAACGAUUUGGAUUCUGCUGCCUUCUCGUGGCCGAGCAGAUCCUGGCAUGCUUGGCUUCUGUCUCGCCAUAAGACAGGCUCUGAGACUUGGCGAGCCUUUGCAUGCCUUAGGAUUUUCUUCAAACGAUUUGGAUUCUGCUGCCUUCUCGUGGCCGAGCAGAUCCUGGCAUGCUUGGCUUCUGUCUCGCCAUAAGACAGGCUCUGAGACUUGGCGAGCCUUUGCAUGCCUUAGGAUUUUCUUCAAACGAUUUGGAUUCUGCUGCCUUCUCGUGGCCGAGCAGAUCCUGGCAUGCUUGGCUUCUGUCUCGCCAUAAGACAGGCUCUGAGACUUGGCGAGCCUUUGCAUGCCUUAGGAUUUUCUUCAAACGAUUUGGAUUCUGCUGCCUUCUCGUGGCCGAGCAGAUCCUGGCAUGCUUGGCUUCUGUCUCGCCAUAAGACAGGCUCUGAGACUUGGCGAGCCUUUGCAUGCCUUAGGAUUUUUUUUCGGUUUCAAGCGAAUGGAAUUCGUCGACGUUCCAUUAAUGGCAGGAUUUGACUUACAUGAAAUUAUUCGGACAUAAAACGUGAAAAAUAAACGAUAAUGAACAUGAGCAACAACGGUUUUCAAAUGUGAACAAGUCUUACUGGAAGUAUUUCCGGAGGUGUGCUGCGUUCCAUGGGCGUUUCACUUCGUGGCCGUCCGCGCGAACCAGCUUGUAAGCUCCGGGUCCCGCUAUCUGCUUGACUCUAUACGGCCCUUCCCAAUUCGGUCCCAGCACUCCUUGAGUCGAGUCUUUGGUGCUCUGAUUCACUCUUCUCAGUACCCAGUCUCCGACUCUGAAUUGCCGUAUGUUCACCUUCUGGUUAUAAUACCGAGCAACCCUCUGCUGGUAAGUGGCUGAUCGCUCGGCUGCUUGUUCCCUCCUCUCCGUUAGCAGAUCAAGAUUCAAACAUAUCUGCUCGUCGUUAUCCUGCUCAUUGAAGUGCUCUGUCCGGUGUGUGGUCGUUCCUAUCUCAGUCGGCACAACCGCUUCAUGUCCGAAAGCCAAAGCGAACGGUGUCUCCCCAGUUGCGGUCUUGUGGGUUGUUCUGUAUGCCCAUAGCACACCUGACAGCUCGUCAACCCACGCACCCUUUUUUGCUCCGAGCCUGGUUUUCAGAAGCCUCUUGACGGUCUUGUUGGCUGCUUCUACUUGUCCAUUCGAUUGAGGGUGAGCAGGCGAGCAGUACUUCAGUUCUAUCCCGAGGUUCUGGCAAAAAUCCCUGAAGCUGUGAUUAUCGAACUGCCUGCCAUUAUCCGUUACCAAGGCAUAUGGGAUCCCGUAUCGACAGACCAGGUUUCUCCACACGAAGUCUGUUGUUUUCUUCUCUGUGAUCCUGCUAAGGGCUUCUACCUCUAUCCACUUCGUGAAGUAAUCUAUAGCAACUAUUGCAUGUGUUGCUGCUCCUCGUCCCUUCGGCAAUGGGCCGAUCAGAUCAAUUCCCCAUUGAGCGAAUGGCCAAGGGGAGGCCAUGGAGGUGAGCUUCUCUGGUGGUUGGUUAGAGAAAUUUGCAAAACUCUGGCAGCUUGCACAGCUCCUGGUCUUCCUUUGUGCAUUCUGGUGCAUCGUCGGCCAGAAAUAUCCCUGCCUUAGAACCUUGUGGGCCAGGGACCUCCCGCCAGAAUGAUUUCCGCAAAUUCCUUCAUGUACUUCCCUCAGCACGUAAUCCGCGUCGUCAUCGUCCAAACACCGAAGGAACGGUAAUGUAUAUCCUCGCCGAUACAGUACCCCAUCGAUCAUCGUGUAUCUCGAAGCCUGAGCUCUAACCUUCCGAGCUCGCAGCUUAUCUGGUGGUAAGACCCCGUCUCUAAGGUAUGAAACUAUCGGGUCCCUCCACGAGCCUUUUUGUUCUAUCCGCAGCACGCCCAAAUUUUGCUCGAUACUUGGGCGAGACUUCACCUCUAGGGGGACCGACUUCGGCAUUUUUGGGUCGGCUACGGCUGCCAUCCUAGCCAAAAUGUCUGCUCGACUAUUCUGCUCCCUGGGGAUUUGUAUCACCUCCACUGCUUUGAACUUCCCCAUCAUCUGCCUGACUAUCUUUAGGUACUGUUCCAUCUUCUCCUCUCUUGGUUGGAAUCUUUCACUGACAUGAUUCGCAACCAACUGGGAAUCGGUUCUGAUCUUAACUCUGUCUGCUUUCACGGCCCUAGCCAAUUCCAGACCCGCUAUCAAGGCUUCAUAUUCUGCCUGGUUAUUGGUGGCUGCAAAUCCCAACUUUAUAGCAUAAGAGAUCUCCUCCCCCUGUGGGCCUUCCAGGACAAUCCCUGCUCCUGAACCCCGCUCUCCUGAUGACCCAUCCACAGAUAUCUGCCAUACUUGAGUUUCGUCGUUGCCUAUAUCUGCAUCUUGUUGCUCUAAGCAUACUUCGGGCUCUGCGAACUCAGCUACGAAAUCGGCCAUUGCCUGGGCCUUUAUCGCCGCGCGGGGUUUAUAGUCUAUGUCGAAUUCGCUCAUCUCUACAGCCCACUUGACGAGCCGACCAGAGGCAUCUGGCUUGUGCAGAAUUUGACGCAAUGGCUGGUUGGUUAUUACCGAGACCGGGAAUGCUUGAAAGUAUGGCCUCAACUUCCGAGCAGCAACCACAAGGGCAAGUGCCCAUUUCUCCAACGGUGGGUAUCUGGUCUCAGCGUCGAGCAGGGCCUUGCUGGUGUAGUAUAUCGGAUACUGAACUCCUUCUUCCUCUCUCACCAGAACGGAACUGGCGGCCCGAUCCGAUACCGCCAAAUACAGAUUCAACUUGUCCCCAUCCCUUGGUGUGGACAGUAGCGGAGCUUGCUGCAAGUAUUGCUUCAAGUUCCGGAAGGCUUCCUCGCAUUCCGGGGUCCAUUCCGUUUUCUUUCCCCUCCUUAUCACUUGAAAGAAUGACUGACACUUAUCUGUAGCCUUGGAUAUGAAUCUGCUCAACGCCGCCAACCUCCCCGUGAGGCUCUGCAUCUCCUUCAGGUUUCGAGGAGACGUCAUUUGCACAAUCGCCUGGAUCUUCUCGGGAUUUGCUUCAAUCCCCCUAUGGCUCACCAGGAAUCCCAGGAAUUUCCCUGACUCGACCCCAAAAGCACACUUCUCCGGGUUGAGCUUCAUCUUAUACUUCCUCAAAAGUUCGAACGUCUCCUCGAGAUGUCUGACAUGUUCCUUCGGGAUUUUGGACUUGGUGAUCAUGUCGUCCACGUACACCUCCAUGGUUUUCCCGAUCAAGGGCUUAAAGACUUUAUUCACCAGCCUUUGAUAGGUGGCCCCAGCAUUCUUGAGACUGAAUGGCAUCACCCUGUAACAGAACAAACCUUGGUUAGUGAUGAAAGCCGUGCUCUCCUCAUCCGGCUCGUACAUGGGGAUCUGGUUGUAUCCCGAGAAUGCGUCCAUGAAGCUGAGCAGACCAUGUCCAGCCGUUGAAUCUACUAGCUGAUCGAUCUUUGGUAAAGGGAAACUGUCUUUUGGGCACGCCUUAUUGAGGUCUGUGAAAUCCACACACAUCCUCCACUUGCCGUUUGCCUUCUUUACCAACACCACAUUUGAUAUCCACUCUGGGUAAUUGACUUCCCGAAUGAACCCUGCUCUCAGAAGCUUCUCCACCUCAUCAUUUACAGCCUCAUACCUCUCCUGGUUGAAGCACCUCCUCUUCUGCCUUACUGCCCGUGCACCUUUCUUUAUUGCCAGCUUAUGACAUGCUACCUCUGGGUCAAUCCCUGGCAUGUCUUCAUGUGUCCAGGCGAACACGUCAGCAUGAGCCUGUAAGCAUUUCACCAACUCCUGCUUUUGCUCUCCCUUAAGUCUCGACCCGAUUCUGAUCGUCUUUCCCGGGUUCUCUGGUCCCAUGCUUACUGUCUCCAGAUCCUCUACGGGUUCUUGUCUGCCAGUCUUGUUUUCCACUCGGGUAUCGAGGGAUGUUAUCUGCAUCGCCUCCCUUGCUGCCGAGGAGUAGCAGCUUCUUGCGAUCCUCUGGUCUCCUCGUACCACUCCGACUACCCCAUUCACCCGGUAUUUCAGAGCCAGAUAAUGGUUGGACAACACAGCUUUGCUCAUCCUUAAAAAUGGCCGACCUAGGAUCAUCUGGUAAGGACCUUCCUCAUCCACUACGACGAAGUCCAGUAUCGUUGUUCUUUCUGUCGGGGGGCUCCCAAUUGUGAUAGGCAGUUCGACCACGCCCAGGGGGACCAGCUUCCCUCCUCCGAACCCCUUCAAGGAGGUGUUGGUAUAUUCCAACUUCCGGUCGGCUAUUCCCAUCUCUUCCAGAGUUGACUUAAAUAACACAUCGACCGAGCUCCCCGUAUCAACCAGUAUCCGGUCAAACUUCUUGCUAGCGACCGUAGCCUUGAUGACUAAAGCAUCCUCGUGGGGGUAUAGAAUCCCUUCCUCAUCCUCAUCCGUCCACAUGAUUGGCACUUGCCUGACCCUUGCUCGUUUGGCUGCCGGGGUGUUGAAGAGUAUCUCUUUGCUGGUCAUGGCAUAUCUGGCGUAAUUUUUUCUCGAUCUGUUCGAAUCUCCGGCCAACGUUGGGCCCCCAGCUAUCACCCUUACUGCGGGCUGCUCGCGUCUCAAGAUUCCAUCACUCUGCUCCCCUUCAUCUGUUGUGGCCACCAUCGGAAAAGUCCCAUCCAUAAACUCGUCCAGGUACCGAUUUCUCACCAAAUCUUCGACCUGGGUCUUGAGAUCUCUACACUCUGCUGUGGUAUGGCCAUGGGUGCCAUGGAACUUACAAUAACGUCCUCUAUCCCUCCUGUUGGGUAGCUUUGUUAUUGGUGUAGGGAGGUGCAGCAGCCCUCGAUCCUUUAUGGCCUCGUACACCUCAUCCAGGGGCAUCUUCAAGGGAGUGUACCGCCCAUAGUCCUGGUUCUGGUCGACCAGAUGUACUGCUCUUUCUCUGUUCGCCCCACUGUGAGUUGGGGGCGGUGGAAGUGCUUCUGGUCUGCUCGUCCUGCUACCGUGGGAAUGUUGAUGAAGACCACCGGGUGCCGAAUCAUGCCUUCUCCAAGGCUCCCUAGCUGGGGAACGAGGAGGUGGCGCCCUGCUGCGCUGAUACUGUGGCGGCCUCUGAUGAGGCUGGUAAGCAAUCACCCUACCUCCUGCUCCACUACCGGAGACCUGGUGGUCCCUCCUCCUGAUUGGCCCAUUCCCUGGUAAUGCUUUCUUCUCUUUCCUCCCUAACCCUUCCAACUGGUCUGUCUUGAUUCGUGCAGCCUUCUCCUCCUCAAUCUCGAUGUCUCUUUUAGCCUGUUCGUAUGCGGCCGCAUACGUUUGAAUAGCUGGGCUUCUCAAAUUGUACCACAUCCUUCCUAUCUUCACCCCUUCUUUCAAUCCCCUUAACGCCUGAGGGUGGUUGAAGGCUCCCAAGUCGAGGACAGCCCGAUGAAACCUCUUGAUGAAUUCCCGAAGGGUUUCUUGCUCCCCCUGUUUCAUGCUCUUCAGCUCCAUCAUGUCAUCUUCCGGAGACAUUGCCCCACUAAACUGCUCUGCGAAUUCCUGGCACAUCUGCUCGAAGGUUUUAAUGCUGCCCCGAGGAAGUUUCCUGUACCAUUCUCGUGCACGUCCCUCAAGGGAUAGUGGGAAUACCCUGCACCUUUGGGAUGGAGAUAAUCCCUGUACCCCCGUUAUGUCGUUGAAGCGCUCUAUGUGCAUCAGCGGAUCAGUUCUUCCCGAGUAUCUGAGGUCGGGGAGGCGGAAAUCUCUCGGAAUAACUGCCCUCAUGAUCUCUGCUGCGAGCGGUGAUUCUCCGUCCAGCAUUAUCCUCCAACCAGGGGCUCUGUUCCUCCCUUGCAUGUCGUCAAUUAUUUGCGCUAGCCUUCGCACUUCCUCCUCCAGCUGCCCUGCACGACCAGGGUCACGUGCCGCAACUUGAUCCCGCUCUUGCUCUACAUCAUGCAAGUGUUGCCUCAGCUCUGUUUCCUCUGCAUUCACCACCCCGUCGCCCUCGUCGCAAGUCUGUCUUGCCGGGGACUGCUCUCUUUCUCUAUGAAAUUCUCCCCGCAGAGGUACGUUACCUCUCUCACCACCAAAUCUCCCAGCGGUUAGACUUCUCCCCGCACUAUCGGGACCUGGUGCCGCUCCACCGCCUCUCACCCUUCCCUCUUGGGUUGCCCUCCGCUCGUUCCGCAGCUCAUGCAGGAUGGUUGUCAAGGUCUCCAUCUGCUUUUCCAUUCGUUCCAUCCGGUCGAACAUGACUUGUUCCCGUGCUUCGCUGAUUACCUCCCUCAGCGUCACGGAAUCGUUAAGCCUCAUGUCACCCCCUUGUGCGCUACUUCCUCCUCUCUCCAUUGCUUCUCGCUUACUCCACCCCUCUUCUUGCUAUCGACAGAAGCUUUUUGCUCUGGUUCCCCACAGACGGCGCCAAAAUGUUGAUGCGAGAUCCCGAUUCUCCUCGUUCUACGACCAGGAUCUCUGCUCGAUCAUCUUCACCACGACCAGGAGGUCUCCUAGUAAUGCUUCUUCUCCAGAUGUCCCUGCAUAAACAGACAAGUCAGAGUACGCCGGUUGUUCCCCCGGCGCAAACCCUCCGACGCUCAAGUCAGAUAUGAAGGUUCAGGGAACGCUUGCCACACGUCUUAUGGCUUUUUCGUGGUUUUUCUCUAAUCUCAAAAAUGCCAACCCUUUUACCUUCGUUGGCUGCCUUUUUAUAGGCUCCCUCUGAAUCUCAGUCUUCCGCUCUUUUCUCGACGGUAUGGGACUCCAACUGCGGCGUUAUGGGCAAACGGGGGAUCUAACGUGUUACGCCACGGUUCAGGGGAAAGCGUGGCUGUCAUGGCUCUGUGAGACUUUGCGUGUUACGCCAAGGUUCUGGGGAAGCGUGGCUGUCAUGGUUCUGUGAGAUCUUGCGUGUUACGCCAAGGUGCUGGGGAAAGCGUGGCUGUCAUGCCUAGAUUCUCGUGCUGGAGAGCACGUCUUGCCAAACGUCUUGCCAGCUGUCGUCGACCGGGUCUCCUCGCCUCUUGACCUCUAGCCGGAAUGGCCUUUUGCCUUUAAUAGGAAAUUGGCCUCGCGAAUGACAACAUCGUGGACGAGCAGGAUAAUUCUGCUCUUGUUCUUCCGCGCACCAGGCUUUUACGGAACACACCGGUUCGCAGAACUCCGCCAUCAGAUAUCUGCUCGUCAUUCCUGGUCUCAUCGACGUAUUUAUCCCGAACAGUAUCUCUCCCAAACAGUAUGGUUUUAUUAAGGUCACACUCCCAAGUCGAAUGUCCUCUAUCAACCCUGUUCAGUGUUACUUUGUGCAAUUUGGGUGUGCUAAAUUAUCCUCCACAGAAAAUCUUCAUAUUGGGGGCAACCAUUCAUCACUAAUCUCAUAUUCACGAGCAGGUUCUCCUCGUAGCCCUUCUAACCGAGCAUAACAACGCCUUGUAAGACUUUUUCUCCAUAGACUCCUGCGUACACAGAAAUUGGUCACCGACUAAUUUUGUGAUGUCAGUUGGUACCUAAAAUCCUGAAUAUCUGAGUGGUUAAAAAACAAAAUUUAAUUUUAAAUUCUACAGAGGAGAAUAAUAGUUUGCUAAAAGUUCAAGGAGAGAAAUAAUCAAAGUUUAUUUAACCUGUCUGUGGCACGAAUUGCUAAUUUUCUGCACAAUUAAUCAAAUCCACGACAAUGUACAAAAUAUGUGAUUGCAUUUGUUUUGUUAUAUAUGUGUUUUGAAAAUGGAGAUGAUCGCUAUGCCAAUAAUAAUAAAAAAAAAAAACAGUAAUGAUAUACUUACUACAAUUAAUAUUGCAGUUAGUAGUUAGUACACCAUUACUACUGGGUAAAAAAAAAAAAUUAUUUACUACAAAAAUAAAAAAGAAAAUUACACGAUAAGACAAACUAUUUUUGGUCUCUUAUAGAUUUUGUACUAAUUAUCAAUAUUCAUAAGAAAAUAAUGUACAACAAUGAAGGGACCAUGCAGAGGUAAAAAAAGUUAUUUUAUUAUUUUAAUAAAAGUAAAACAUUUAGCUAAGAUUUAUUUUGGUAUUUGGAAGGAUGUACAAAGCAAAAGAGAAUAUGAUAAAGUGCAAAAAACAAACCACACCCUCCAUGACAAUAUAAUGAGUUGAACUAUUUCUUUUAGAUCUAGUUAAAAAAUUAGCUUAAUUGUAAAUAAAGUGAAAAGAAUUAGGAUGAUUGUCAAUAUUAAAAUUUAAAAUUUAAUUUUGACCACUCAUUUGACUAGAAGAGAUUGAGAGAGAAAAUAAAACUAAUGCUGCGUUUACUUUUUGGAUUGGAGUGGGAAUCCUGAGGAGUGGGAAUCCUUGGAUUAGGAGUGUGGAGUGGGAGUGGGAGUAGGGUGUUUACUUAGACUAAAUGAAAGUAUGGAUUGUCAAUUAGAAUCCCAAUUAUUUGUUUACUUAGUCUUGGAUUGAGAGUAAAUUGUUUUAAAUUACAAUUUUAUCCUUAUGUAGAAUUAUAAUUUGUAAUUAAAAAAUUAAUAAAAAAUAUAUUUGGAAAAUAAAAUAAAUAUUUUAUUAUAUUUAUAAAUUAAUAAUAAUUACUAAUAUUCUUAAUUAUGUAAAUCAUAAUUUUUUAUUAAUUUUAAUUUAAAUUAUGUGAAUAAAAAUUAUUAAUAAUAGCAACACAAAUGAAAUAUUAUUAUUGAUAAUAUAGUACAAAAUUAAUAUUUUUUAGAAUAAAAUAUUUAUUAUUAUUAAUUAAAUAAAUAAUUAAUAUUUAUUAAAAUUAAUGUUUAAUAGUAUUAAUUUAAAUAUAAUAUUUAUUUAUUUUUAUUUUAUUAAAUUUAAUAAAAUAAAUAUGAUAUAAUUAUUAUUUUUAAUAAAUAUGAUAUUAUUUAUUUUAUGAAAUAUUAUUUAUUUAUUUUAUUAAAUAUUAUUUAUUUAUUUUAAUUUUAUAAGGAUAAAAUGGGAAGAGGGGGGAGUGGAUUCCCACUCCCACCUCCCCCAAUGGGAGUGGGAAUCCCACUCCCCACUCCAAAUUUGGGUGGGACCCACGGAUUCCCACUCCCACUCCCCCUUUUUUAAGGUAAGUAAACACUGGAGUGGGAGGAAUCCACACUCCACACUACCACUCCAGAAAGUAAACACCGCCUAAGAGAAGAUCUUUACCAAAUGAAUAAACAUGGUCAGAAUACGAACUUAAUUGACCUUUGACUUGGUCAGAAUACGUGAUGCACGUGGUGCAAACACGUGAGGACCCAAAUGAGGAAUUCCAAAAGCAAACGCAGUGUUUUUUUUUUUCUGGUCUUGAAUAUUGAUUCAUCAACAGCAAAUAUCAUGCCGACUUGGGGGAAAAAAGAAAAAAACACUAUAAACUAUAUCUUUUCCAUUCAUUAUAUCAGAAGAAUACAAUGAUUAACUAUAUCAAAUUCAAGUGACAAUCAAUAAAAACUGAAGCCAAUAUAUACACAAAACUAAAACAAUGAAAUUGUUACAGUUUGACAAAAUAAAAAAUUAUACAAAUUAAACAAACUGAAAAAAAAAAAAAAAAAAGAAAUUGUACAUUUCAAUCAAUAUCUCUUAAUUAAUAGUUAGUAAAUUAACGAAUAUGUACCUUUGUUUUAAGACUUCUUUUGUAUGGCUUAUUGAGGUCACACUCCCAAGUCCAAUGUCCUUUAGGCUUUUAUCAACGCAAUUCAACGUUACUUUGUCCAAUUUGGGUUUUUGUUCAAUUCUCCUCCACAGAAAUCUUCACACUGGAGCAACCAUCCAUCACUAAUCUUUCCAAAGAUGGGAAUUUGAAGGCAUAAUUGCCAUAGCAGAAGCUUCUCAGAAUUUUCAAGUCUAAAACACACGUACAUUCAUUCAGAUUAAAAUAGGAGUUAUACAUCUGAAGGCUAAAAGCACAGAAACAGAGCAACUAAUAACACAGAAACAGAACCUCAGAUACAAGAAGUGGAACACUGAACAAUUGACUAGUUAGGAAGCAAACUGACGUUGAGUGAUUAAACACAAGUGAAGUGACUACAACAAUCUAGGGUAGGAAAAAGUUAAAAAAUAAAUAAAAAGAAAAUUAAAAGCCAACAACAGCAGGACAAAUAGAUAGGCAGCAGAGCAACUCUAAAUAACAAGCUGGAGAUCAAAGGAUGCCAAGUGCUGUUGAGAUUAAAAGAUUGAAAGUUCAAAAGAAUUUAUGGCAGACACUGAGAAACAAACAGCGCAAUAGUGAGCACAAUGAACAGGAGCGAAUUGUAAUUGAGGUCAAAUGAUGUAAACAAGGGAAGGACUUUGUUGAUUGUAAUGAAUGAAUGAUACUAAACGAUGAUGGUUUUUGCCAAAAGUUUUAAGAAUGAGACAUUCCACAAAUUCAAGAAGUCAAUAAAGCAACGAAAGUUGAAAGUGACCCAUUUUAUUUUGAUGUGUUGUGCUAGCUAUAAUUGCAUAUCUCUAGGUGCUGGAGCUGCUGAAAGCUUCUGAUCGCAGAAGCUGAAAAUAAUAUUUAAAUUUUUGAAUCAAUCGUGUAAGACUUUGAAAACGAGAAAACAUAUCUGGAAGUUGAUUAUCCCAAAUCUUUUCAACAUUAAUUUUGUACAGUUCCAUGUUGGGCAAGAGAAGCAGAAAAUGAAGUGGAUAAAUUGCUUCUCAUGAAAGUGCUCUACACAAUGUUGCUUUGGGAGUACCAAGUACCUGCUCUCUUUGGCAUUUCGCAUUCAGUAAAUGUAAAUGUGCAAAGACAAUCUAUUGAGUCUGAGAAUUUUUUUUUUUUUAACCAAAUGUAAUAAUAUUAAUCAACGUCGUUAGAACUUAUAACCUCUUAUAUCAACUUUAGAACCAUAAACUUAGAUAUCAAAGUCUAUAACAUGCUUGAUCUACUUCAAGCCCGAAGUUUUUUUUUUUAAAUUUUUUUUUGGAAAAAAUUGAUAUUUUUUAAUAGUUAAUAAAGGAAUAAAUUUUUUAUUUUUUCAGUAACCUUUUAGAUUGGACCUUAGUCAUAAAUUGGUUCAUUUAAAAUAAAAAAAAAGACUAAUGUACUUAGAAAAUAAAAAUAAAAAUAAUUCUUUUGCAAGUAACAUCAUAUGUGAGAAAUUAUCCAGUUCAAAAUCUUAAACUCUCUUAAAAGUCCAAAAAAGUUGUUACAACAUACGGUGUAUGAGUGUGGCGUAUUAGUUUCCUCAAACUUUAAGAAAGUUCAGAAUCUUGAACUAGAUGAGCACUCCAUCAUGCAUGGUCCAAUAAGUUCCUAUUAACAAAUCUUUUUAUUUUGAGUCUCUAUCAUAAGGAUUGUAUUUAAUCAAAUGCAAAAUAAUAUAACAUCUAAUAAUUUUUUUAAUUUUUAGUUCAUGCUAAUAAUAAUAAUGUUGGCAUUUAAUAGGUGAAAGAAAUAUAUUAGUUUUUAAGUGUUAAUUUUUAACUCUCAUAUUCUAAAUCAUAAUUUAUAAAAAAAAAAUCGCUGGAAAAAAAUUAAUCUUUUUUCAAAAAAUAUAUAUAUGUAAUGGGUAUCAUUCACGUACGUUGAAUUUCCAGAGGAAUGAAGCUAAUAAUGUUCGAAUGCUACUCCAAUGAUUUCACUACUGUUUGAGGAAUUAAAUAGAGCGACCAUGAUCUCCUCCAAGUGAAAGUGAGCAAAUGGUUGAGCAGGUCACCUUGACCAUGUGGUAUGAGCUUGAGCAGAUCACCUCGACCAGGUACAAUGAGGUUGAGCAGAUCGCCUUGACCAGGUGGUGUGAGCUUGAGCAGAUGACCAUGUGGUAUGAGCUUGAGCAAAUCACCUUGACCAAGUGCUAUGAGAUGGAGCAGAUCACCUCGACCAGGUGCUAUGAGGUGGAGCAGAUCACCUCGACCAGGUGCUAUGAGCUUGAGCAGAUCACAUCGACCAGGUGCUAUAAGGUGGAGCAGAUCACCUCGACCAGGUGCUAUGAGGUGGAGCAGAUCACAUCGACCAGGUGCUAUGAGGUGGAGCAGAUCACCUCGACCAGGUGCUAUGAGCUCGAGCAGAUCACCUCGACAAGGUGUUAUGAGCUCGAGCAGAUCACCUCGACCAUGUGCUAUGAGCUCGAGCAGAUCACCUCGACCAGGUGGUCUAAACUUGAGCAGAUCACCUCGACCAGGUGAUGACCAGGAAUAAAGACUCAGUUAAAAUAAACCACCACAAAGCUCCUCCGAAAAAGCAGGGCACGAAUUUAAUCAAUUAAUGGUUAUUGUCACGAUCUAAGGUCGUGGGUGUGAGGUGUUUUAUAAAGAUCCCGAGAAAACCACGUGGGGAGGAAGGCUCUUUUUUCUCUUGAUCUCACGGAGAAAUUCUUUCUGGAGACUCUACUUUACUUUUCUGCAAAUUAUUCAAAAAGCUUUUGGUUUUAAGGCAAUAUUUAUUAAGCCAUAUGAGAAAUGGCAUAUUUGGUUUUUCCUAUAAACCCCAUAACUAACUUGAGCGUUGGAGGGUUUACGCCGGAAAAACUUCCGGCACCUCUGACCAUUCUCUGUAAUUCCAGGUGCUUGUUGAUCGUCAGCUUGAAGAUUAUAUGCUCAUGAAUGUUCUACUCAUAGUCAGAGAAUAUCCUCAGAGAUUGACCAGCAGCUUCCCACCAACAAAUUUAAUGCUGAUGCAGGGAUCUGAAACUGAGUCACUAACCAAUUGGUUCAGAUUGCAGCAUCAACAAGUACUAAAAUAUUAAAUUAUCUUCAUGAAAAAAUUGUAUGAUUAGAAUGAUUAACUCAAGGCACUCGAGCAUUUAAAAUUGCAUCACUACUAAAAUAUUAAAUAAUCAUGUUCGCAUUUAAUGUUCGCACUCGAGCAUUCCAAUGCAUUUUAACUCAAGGCACGCACGCACAAGCAUGAUUAUUGAUUCACACAUGCAUCUUUAAUUUUUUUUUUUUUUGAUAUUAAUCACGAGGUAUCCUGGGGAGGGCCCCAACUGUGGGAGGCACCUUUAAGCCCGUACCACAACCCAGACUAGAAGUCCUCGCUCGAACCGGGAGGCACAGGUUCUCCCAACACAUGCAUCUUUAAUUAAUUAACUAAAAUAUGGCACUUGAAAAGUCUUUGGGGGUGCCUACAAAUUGAAAUUUGGUAACACAAUUAAUGCUAAGAAAUUAAUCUGGCUACCGUAUAUCCUGCAACGACAUGGAUAAAGGACUGUUCCACCAUUCAACCUGAAAUCAUCGAGUGAAAGAAACAAGAUAAUGAGCGUUGUUAUAAAUCUGAAAGCCGACUCGAAGUAAUAAUAAUAAUAAUAACAAUUAAUAGACCUUACCAUUGGUUAUCACAUUACUGCCCAGUGCAUCUUCCUCCUCAUUCCCUGCAUGCGACAAACCGGGCUGAGGACCAACCACACGGUCACACCAGUAUGUCGCGAGAAUCUUUACUGACUUCUCAUGGAUCUCGAAGUUAUCAUGACUUUGCAGAUUUUCUAUCUUUUCUAUUCCCUCGGCCUCUUCAAUCAACUGGGCAAACUGAUUAACAUCUCCAAUGUCUGUGUCCGUAUUCUUUUCGGCUUCCCCGACCAGCAAAAUGUUCUCUAAUGCUUUUAGGCAAACAGUGACGAUCUCUGGAUCAGAGCAUAGAAGGAGAUCACACAAUGGUUUUAUACACCCCUCUCUCACGAGGUACUUGAUUUGCUCAUGAGUGCCACCAAAGGUGGCAUUUGAAAUUGCCCAUGCAGCCUCCUUCUUUAUAUAAAAUACAGCAUUUUGAAGCAGAUUGACAAGGAGACCAAUUAAGCCAGCAUCAAUUACCGCCUGAAUCUGUUCCCUGUUUCCACAUGCCAUAUUUGAAAUAAUCCAGCAAACUUGCUUCUUGAUGCUCUUUUUAUGAUUAUGGAUCAACAGGCUCAAAAGGUACUGCAGUGCACCACAGUUAAUUAUACACUGAGUCUGGAAAUCGUUCCCCAUCACAAUAGUUCCAACAGCCCGCAGAGCAGGAGUGAGCACUGAAGGUGAUGGAUGACCAAGGAGCUUAACAAGUUGUGGACAGACACCUGCCUCGAUCACAGCUUGAACUUUGUCAUUCGUACCAUAAGAAAGAUAGGAGAGUGCCCAGCAGGCAUCAGUCAAGACCUCUUCAUCGUUUGAACGAAUAAGCUGUGCAAGCACCGGAAGAGCUGGCCUCACCUGAUCUAAUAUUGGCUGCGGCUUGCCCUCGCAUAAAUUAGCCAACGUCCGUGUGGCUAUUCUCUUCAUUGAAAGAUUUGCAUUGUUAUUUAACUGUGUUAGCAAUGGAAUUAGAGCUCCUUCACUAAGCACAAGAUCACGGAAUCGAGGUGAGCCAGCAGCAACAUUUCCCAAUGCCGAAACAGCCUGCUCCCGGAUAUCAUCACUUGGAGAAGCAAGUAGUUUCACAAAUAUUGGAACAGCACCGUGGUCAAUCACUACCUUAGUAUUCUCCGAAGUUCCAGAAGCAAUGUUUGUAAGAGCCCAAGCAGCAUCAAACUGAAGUUGCGGAUAGUCUUCCCUCAUUAGAAACUCAACAAUGCGCGGGACAACGCCAGAUUGUAUGACUUCCUCAAUUUGUGGUCUCCUCUCAUUUGAAAUCACUUUUCGGAACUGAGUAGUUGCUUCCAGCUGCAAGUUGUUGUCAUCUGACCAAACGCCAGCAACCAUCGCGGGCAAAAUUUCCAACCUAGUUUGGAGAUUGAGAUUGGGGGCAGGAGAGAAAGAAAGGAAUUGCUGGGAUGGAGGAGCUUCACGACGCUUCUUGAGGAAGCUUUCCUUUUGAAGAUUUACUUGUUCAAUGGUUGUAUUUAAGCCCUCCUUCCAACCCCAACAUGCUUCAUCCCACAUAUUCAGCUGCACUUUGUGUAACACAGGUGUGCUUAAUUCUCCUCUAGAGAAAAUUUUCAUAUUGGUGCAAUCAUCCACCAGUAAUCUUUCCAAAGAUGGGAAAUUCAAGGCACGAUUGCCAGAGUAGAAGCUUCCCAGACUUUUUAAAUUUAAAAGCUUCAACUCGUUCAAUUCGCUGAAAGCAAUAACCUCAUCUUUCGCUGCAUCAUGAUCAUCGUCAUCGUCUGCCAGUACUAUUUCUGUUAUCAUCUCACAUGCUUCUAUCUUCAUUUCUCUGAGUCGCACCAGAGUCUUUGCAAUUGAGAAUGUUAAUACGUUUCUCAAUCCGUUGCAAUACGAUAUCUCCAAAGUUGUAAGAUUCUGAAAGGAUGUCGAGGAUGGCACAAGAUUGAUCAAACGGUGAAAAUUCGUUACACGUAGAAUAACCAAAUUGUUCAUAAUAGAGGACGACUCUUGUUUCAAGAUGUACUUCAGAUCAUAACAAUUGAAUGCUUCUCUUAUGAUUAUCUCUAUCCCAUCUUCAACCUUUUCUUUUUCCAACCAACCAUUAAAUCCUUCUAUUCGGAGAACUUUCAAGGUGUGAAAUCUCUGGAGGAAAUCAUCAAGUGAUAAAAUAGCAGUCAACUCAUCAACAAACGCAACAUCAAGGCAUUUAAGUUUGCAUAGCAAGUCUUCUGAAAAUAGAAAUUUAUUUGUUAUUAUAUACUUUGCAUCUACUAUCAACUCUUCCAAAUUGGGAAACACCUGCGUGAUCAAUCAGAACAAACAAAGAAAAUGCAAAAUGGAUAAGUUGAUAUCCUUUCUAACAAUUUCACAAAAUUAGUACUGUGCUUUUUGGAGGAAAUUUAACAAAAUAGAAAAGAAUUAGAAGUUACCACUAGCUAAUACAAUAUGUCCAUCUAAUAAAUUUUAACCUUUUAGAAAAUAAUAAUAAUAUGCCUAACAUGCAGAAAGUAUUUAUAACAAUUGAAAAAUUAAUUUUAAAUUUCAUGUACCUAGCUAAUACAAUAUGUUUAUCCAAUAAAUUUUAACCUUUUAGAAAAUAAUAAUAAUACACCUAACAUGCAGAAAGUACAUACAAGAGUUGAAAAAUUAAUUUUAAAUUUCAUGUGCGUACCUUUUUGUUCAAGUCAUUAGUAGUUCUUUUAAAUCUCACCAUGAACUCAGGACACCGAGAUAUCCAUAAUUCUUUCAAGGAUGGAAAUUCAAGCAUAUGUACAUCUCCUGUGCUGAAGCUUGUGAGUUUUUCAAGAUCAUACAUCUUCAGAUAUAGUAACUGAGGAAACAUUACAAUAUUAUUCUUCCUUUCUUCUUCUUGGUUGUCCAUGACUAUUAACUCUUCCAAGACAUGACAUUUUGCUAUCUUAAUGUAUUGGAGUCGAACAAAGCUGUUAUUGCUAACUGUACAAGAUGAAAAUAGACAUCUUAAAUUCAUACAAUUGUAAAAGGCCAAGUGCGUUAAAUUCUGAAUACCACAAGUCAUGGCUGCAACUUGGUUUUGCCAAAUUCUCUCAAUAUUUAUUGAACACAACUCCAACUUCUCCAACUUUGGUAACGCAACCUGGUCGAUCAAAAAAUUAACUUCUUGCUUGAUGGACAAAUCAAUAAAAGUAAUCUCUUUGUCAUGUUAUAGUUAUCUUCAGUCUUUCAUACAAACAAGCAUGAAGCAUCAAUCGAGUUUUCCAAAUUAUUCCUCACUAAUUUGAUAGGUACUCUAAAGAUGUAUGUUCAAGAAAAUGUGAAGUCAUAAAUGUUAAUCAAUUUAUCAGUCAAAAUAUAUUUUCAUUAUUAGGAAUUACAAGAUCAACAAUGCUAUAUUGACAAAAAAUUGAGUUACAAAAUUUUCACAAAAACAAAAAAAGAUUGUCAAUAUCCGGGUAGUUAUCAAUCAACUUUAUUUUUGUCAAGACAUUUUAGUAUUUUCAUGCUUUUGUCAAAAUUUAAAAACCCACUUUUUUGGGUCAAAAUAACAUUUUCCUUACAACAUAUUUGGUAUUCCCUAAUACAUAUGUUUUUUAUUAUUAUUAUUAUUAUUAUUAUCAAUUCAUUUAGUUUGUCAAGAGUACCAAUUAUUUUCUCUGAGAAUGUAUUUGUUACACCUACAACAGUUGAUAUUAAAAAUCAUAUAAUUAUUAAUUACUCUUGCCAUAUCUGCAAAAAAACAAGAAUAUCGAAGGAUGAAAAAGCAAAAAUCAGAGAACUAAAAAGGCCAUUGGGUUAUUAGUAACCAACCUUCUCAAUGAAAAGUGUAUUAGAAAUAUUAACAUUGUCCUCCAAAAUGAUUUCAUUCGACUGCAUAUCAUUUGCUGAUUCCUCCUGUCUCUGUCAACAUUGAAGGCAUCUUGAUUUUAGAGUAUAAAUUUAAUUGUGAACACAAUCUUUAAUACAACGUGACACAAGACCUUUAAAAAUUAGUACAACUUAAUUUGGUACUAGAUCGAAAUUCGAUAUUUUGGAUUGCAUGUUUGAGAUUUCGUUAGAAAACAUAAUAAUAAUAACAGAGUUAAUAUAAAAAAUUAAACUUGUUUCCUAUUUAGAUUAGAUAAACAAUGAAUAUUCUCUUAAUAUGAUUAUUCUAAGAGUACGGAAAAUAUAAGACAAUUAAUUAUAUAUAUAUAUAUAUAUAUAUAUAUAUAUAUAUAUAUAUAUAUAUAUAUAUAUUUGUGGUUUUAUCCUGAAGCUAAAAGAUUUAAAUAUUAAUUUAGUUGCAAACAUUAAAGACUUAGCAAAAUUGGUUACUUUGGAAAUGAGCAUGAACAUAACAUUUGAUGAUUUUUAAAAAUUAACUUUGAUGCACAAGAAACUUCUAUUUUUAUUGUAACUUAUAAUCUGACAAAACGAUGUCAUAAUUUUUAUAAAUAUGAUGCUACAUAGUAGUUUUCUGGUCUAAGAUCUUAAAGUGUGGGAAAAGAAAACUUUAAAAUCGCGGGGUUUUAAAGGCUUACAACUUGAAAUGCUUAAACCGCACGGUUUAUGCAUUUUCUCAGACGUUCUCGCACUUUAAAAUUCUGGAUUGAAACCUUUCUAUGAUGCUACAUACAUGUCUUAUGAUAUUUGGAUACGAUUUAAGGUCUGAAAAAUGGUUUAAAUUCAAGGGUUAGAUCAAUUAAGCUAGGAAAGAAUGACCAAAGCUUUAAUUUAAAAUAAAAUUACCGAUCUAAAUUUGAGAACUCUACACAUAGAAUAAAGUACAAUUACGAUUUUAUUUGAGCUUCUUUAUUAAAGGUUUAUUUUAUGUCAUCCAAGUCUGAUGUCAACAAGAUUUUGUUGUUGGGGAAUAGUAAAAAGUUAUUAAGCUAUUAUAAGUAAAUUUUAUGAUUACAGUAAAAAAGUACUUGAUGUUAUUAUUAUAUUAUUUUUAAUAUUAGAUCCCAAGUGAAAAAUUCCUUCAUACCAAUUAUUUCAAUUAGGAAUGAUCAUACCUUUGACUCUGCCGGCGGAUUGAGGGCGUCGCUGCAACCAUGGAUCCUGAGAAACUUGAGUUCUGAAGAACCCACUUUGGCUAAUUCAUUAGCAAAAUAAUUGACAUCUUGCUCUUGCAAUUCACGUAAUUCAAGGUAUUCAAUUCCCUGCAGUUGCACGAUCAGCCAAUCCUUCAAGCAAAUCUUGUUGUUCAGCCUGAGUCUGAAUUCUCUACGCCAAAUGUUGGUGCUCUCCCAAUACCAAUCUCCAAUACGUAUUCUGUACUUUUCCAGCUUCUCCAAGAACAAGCCUCUGGGCAGAGUGUUGACAUCAUGGAUGUCUAAUUCUAAAGAGGUCAAGUUAGGCAAAUGCUUCAACUCCUCAACGAUAGCAUUCUUAACCCCUUCCACCUCCACCUCCCAUUUUUUAAAGCUUCUACAACUUAUGUAUAGUUCUUCUAAAUGGGAUAAAUUUGAUAAAACAUUUGGUGGGAUAACUUCUAGUUUCCUACAUUCUCUCAAAUCAAGCAAGGUUAGCCAAGUCAAUUGACCUACUUCUGUUGGCAGCUGCUUAAUGUCAGAGCCUCUUAAACAAAGGAUUUCUAGUUUCUUCAAGCCUCCUAUGACACUUAUAUCUACCAAUUUGCAAUAACACAAACUCAGUGCUCGAAGGUUUAACAGAAAACCAAGUGUUGAAGGCAGUGACAGUAGAUUCAUGUAAGUCAAGUUUAUAACUCUGACCUGUAUCAUCCCCUUGAAAAAAUUGUUUGGAAUGGUUAAUGAUGAAGAUUCCUUAUCCGCACAUAUAAAAAGAAGUUUGAGUUGAGGACAUUCCACCACUUCAGGAAGCACAUUAGUCUUGAUAUCUUGUAAGACGAUCGAAGUGUAACGCUUCACCGCACUUUCGUCUGACCACACCCUGAAACCAUCAACCUGCUCAUUUGUCGCUGUCAACGCAAUUUUCUCUGUAGAUGCAAUUGAUAUGGCAACAUCGCGAACAACAUCAUGCAUGGAAAAGAACUCUUCACUCUUGCUUAUAUGGUCUAGCAACAUACAAGAAGCUUUGAGUUUGUGCACCAACGUCCGCACUCGAGCUCGUGCUACUUCCAUCUUGUUGACACCUUGAAAUAAACCCAAUCCCAUACCACACAUUAACAAGGCAUCAAUGGAUGAUAUGGCUGUAUAUCCUAUUAGCAAAAAUAUGUUCUUGAGCUCCUCCCCUGCUAAUUUGUUGUAACUCAACUCUAUAGCUUUACACGCAGUUGGCUGUAUGUCUUUGAAGUUCGUUGCGUAUGGCCUUCUUAGUUGUUCCAACGCAUCCUUCCAUUCAAAUAAUCUCUUGUUCCUUAAUGCCCUCGCUAUCGUCACAACGGAAACAGGCAAACCUGCACAUUCCUUUGCCACAUCCCUUGCCACCGAUUGGAAUUCACUACCCUCAAUAUAAUCACCUGCCAUCUUCUUGAAUAGAUUCCAAGCUUCUUCUUCGUUUAAAACACCAAUUGAGAAAUUUGAUCGAGAAUCCAUCUUCCCAGACAAUAGAUCUAGACUUCUGGCCGUCAACAGUACUUUACAACCUUUAUGACCAUCUCCAUGAGGAAUUCCGACAACCCGCAAAUUAAGAUUUUCCCAAAUGUUGUCUAAAAUUAUCAGGAUCUUCUUCUCUGCUUUUAUACGUUUAAAUAAGCUGUUUGCCCUUCCUGAUUCACUUUCCUCAUGAAACUUCAGGCCUAAUUUAUCUGCUAUUUCUCCUUGAAUCUUUCGUAUGUCUUGAUUCUGGGACACCUCAACAAAAACCACCAGAUCAAAGAGUUUGUCACUCUUGACUUUCCUAGCAAUUUCUUCCGCCAGCAUCGUCUUUCCGAUGCCACCCAUCCCAUAAAUCCCAAGCAUGUCGACAUCAGGAUCUUCUAGUGCACUGAGUAUAUUCCUCAAAGUGAACAUUCUUGAUUCAAAGGGCUCGUAGUCUUUGUUAGAGAUAAGCCGUAUAUCCUCUGGAGCAGUACAGUAGGAAAUUCUAUCAAAUCUUCGAGCAUCUCGGACAUUGACAACAGCCUCCUUCUGCCUCUCUGCUUCCUUGCUAAGUCGACGGCGGGUCUUCAAAUCAGGACAUAACCCCUUGAAACAACGCUUAUUUGCAGUGGCUUCGUCUUUUGUAAAAUUAUCUGCCGCUUCAAUGACAUUGUUGGCCCUUGCAAGCCAAUUCUCAACGUUCUCUUCAAUCUCUUCUCCUUUUCUUUUAGCCUCAUCAACCUGGUGCUCUGUACGCACCCUCUCAGACUUCAGAUUGUCAACUUCAGUCUUGAGAUUCUGUAAGUUACUGGUGUACUUACUCUUGCGCCAAUAGCAAAUUCGGCGAUAUGCGGGAGGAGCCACGCGCUUUACAACUUCUACAACAAUAGUAAGAAUGAUUUCAGCCAUCUUCUGUCCUUUUCCUCUCUCUUUCUUUUUGUGAAUUUUUGAAAAAUAAUUGACCCAGUUAUGAAGCAAACUAAGUGAUUAAACACAAGUGACUACAACAAGAUGGGACAGAGUAAGAAGACAAUAGAAAGAGUAGAUACAGAAUAAAACAGAGACUAGACAAAGAACAAAGCAAAACCAGGUAACAAGACCGAAGAUUACAACAAACAGAGGCCAAAUUCGAAAGAGUUGAUGGCAAAAGCUGAAUACAAAAACAACAAUGAACACAAUAAACAGAAGCAAAGUGUGUUUCUGAUCAAAGGAUGAAAAUACUAAGGAAGGGUUUGUUUUGUUGUCUGGAAAUGAAUGCAAAGAAAGACUGAUAUUAAAAAAUGAUCUCAAUAAUGGAGGAGUGACUCAACUCUGAAAAACAAAGUUUUGUUGUAUUCUUUUUAACUUUUUGUUGUGGUAGAGAACGGAGAAUAAGGACGAGAUUAAAAACUAAAAGUGACCCCUCUAUGUCUUUUGGAAUUAAUUAAUCAUCUUAGUUUUAUGGCCGGCUAACCUUUGUCCGUCGGAUUAGGGAACAGAAAUCCAAACGGUGGAGAUCACUUGCUGAAACCAUGUCCCUUUGUUACUUUAAUGAAAAUUUCUAAGUGAUGAUAAAUAAACCAGGUAGAUAUGGUAGAUAUUUAGAAGUACAAAAAGUGAAAAACGGAGCCUUUACCGAUGGUUUGCUUUCUUAUUCAUCUUUUCCCUGGGCUUAUUACUCUUUUAUUAUUUAAGUUGACUGGAAAUGAAUGCAAAGAAAGGCUGAUAUUAAAAAAUGAUCUCAAUAAUGGAGGAGUGAUUCAACUCUGGAUAAUAAAGUUUUGUCGUAUUCUUGUUAACUUUUUGUUGUGGCAGAGAACGGAGAAUAAGGAUGAGAUUAAAAACUAAUAAGUGACCCGUCUAUGUCUUUUGGAAUUAAUUAAUCAUCUUAGUUUUAUGGCCGGUUAACCGUUGUCCGUCGGAUUAGAGAACAGAAAUCCAGACGGUGGAGAUCACUUGCUGAAAGCAUGACCCUUUGUCACAUGUAACUGUGUAAGAUAUGUCCAAGACCGGUAAUUGACCGUUAGCAUCAUGCCAGUGUAGUAGAGGGGAAGUGUCUUUUUACACAACUCAUGUAUAUUCAUUGAAAUAUGGAGGGCCAAAUUAUUAUUCUAAAAAAAAUUUGAACACCAAAAUAUGUAUUAAACCCCAUUACUCCAUAAAAACAUCAUUAAUCUAAAAUUUUACCGUAUAAAUACACAUUAAUACCCUAAAUACCCUUAAUAAGUUAAUUAUCAUAAUCUCUCUUAUCCUUUUUCCUUCACCACCUUUUCUAACCUUUUAUUAGUUAUGUUUUGAACCCAAACCCCAGGUUCAUCCUUUUUAAUUUUUUUCAGUAGGUUUUUGCCCUUGAAUUCUGAAUAUAUUGUUACAAAUUAUUCCAAACGCAUGAAAUGCCGAAGAAAGAACAACUAAUAAUAAAAUUACAUUCCUAAUUAGGAUACUAACCAAAUUCAAGCAGUUAAAGAGGUUGUUGAAAAGUCAAAGAAUUACUUUCCAAUUUCAAAAGGCAAAGUUGGUGGGUUUGCCAAAUUCAAAAAAGCAAAGAUGGUCGGCUUGCUAAUUUCAAAAGACAAAGUUAGGUGUUGAAAAACUUGUGCAUGCUGUUGAUGCUGAAAUCGGCUCGUCCUUAGACCGACCAGAGCCUUUCACCAACGCUUAAGUUAUCGACUGUUGCUCGAACCACUAAGGCCGGGAUCACCCUCCUUUCUCUCACUAGACCUGCGUUCACCAAAAAUGGAUCAGAGACGCCGGUGGUUUUGCCGGCGUAAACCCUCCGAUGCCUAAGUUAGCACAAGGUGUUUACGGGAAAACAAUAUAAUUUGGAUUCAAGAAGUUUGUUCAAAAUCUGUAAGAAAUUAAUCUGGUUGCAAUUUGGCAGCGUUUUCCCUCUCUUAAUUUUUCUGUCCUUCUCUUCUUCGAUGUCUUUCUCUUUUAUAGCCGCCCUUUGUCCCACGUUUUCCGUUUGCCCCUUAUCCCUCCUUUUUCGGGUGGUCGUAGCCCCUCAUGGAGCUCUAACUGUUACAUUGUGGGCAAACGUGGAUCUCGCGUGUCCUUCAACCGUUCUGGGAGAAGCGCAACUACCGCGAUUUUGUGGGAUCGUGUUCCCGCUUUCCUGGGGAUGAGUACUGGCUCGGCAUAUACUUCUGGUCGGUAUUUUUCCCUGGUUGCAUCCAUCUCUGAUCGGCUCAUGUUUGCCCCCGUGUUCUGCUCGUACCACUUAGCUGAAAUGGUCCGUGCCGGGGCGGAAACAGUAGCAUGGCUAACUUGGUGCCUUUAUGUACUCAACACCAGUCCCCCAGUUUCUGGUCUGGCGAGUGAAAUGAGUUAAGAGCAGAAACUGAUGGUUAAAUCUCACCAGCCGGGGAGCUGGUCUUCUGGGGAGACUCCGACCUGAGCAUGGGCCUAAGUGAACAUGUCCAUUGCAUAUCUGGGCUUAUAUCUAACCUGGCCUCUUGUAACGGUUGGUGACGUGGCAUCUCCAGACUCUUCGUAUUUGAAAUUUGAAACGACGGGCUAUCCGUCCUCGAUAUAUGGGGGGGGUGAGCUGGCAUAUCCCAUCACUUAAAUGCUUCUAUUUCCCCCUUUUCGUUUCAAAUCCCUAGACUGGAGUCAUCAUCAUCUUGUUAUUCGCUUCUCCGCCGUCAACCAAAAUUUUUCUGAACUUUGCUCACUACUUCCAGCGUCCGGAGUAUCCAUUUGCUGGGUGUUUUCUUUGUCGCGGCAGCGCUAUCAGUGUCAGUCUAUUCCAGGUAUAGUCUUUAACCUUUUCUUUGGCUGUUGUUGUUUGGGUCCUGUGUUGCCCCUUUUUGUAUCCGUGCACUUGGGUUUGUUUUGGUGUUCUUUUGAAAUUCCGAUAUGUCAAACCGGAAAAGAAAGUUACUUGUUGAUGAGGGUGAUGAAGAGUCAGGGGACUCGGGCCUCAAUGUGCCAAUACCCACUGAUUACUUAGGCCCCUCCAGUAGUGUAGGUCCUCCCCAUGGCAGGGAUACCCUUGAAUACCCGCGCCCUUUGGUUAUCUCUCCUUCCCCCGAACUAGAGCUUGUAGGGAAUAGAGGUGGACCUGCGUCGGGCUCUGGUGAGAACCACAGCUUUGGUGGGGUUGGGAUCCCUGAAGGAGUUGGUGAUGGUGAGGGGAGCAGUUCUGGACCGAGCCGACCUGCUCAGAAAAGGAACCUAGGCCAUAGGGUGGAGGCUGAUUCCUACCCUAUUGAUUUCAUGGCUUGUGCCACCACCCACACUGAUCUAUUGAAACUUAGGAACCUCUAUAACAUCCCCAACGAGGUUCUUCUUGUAGUUCCUGGAAAAGGUGAUGUCCCUAGUCGGCCUCCGAAUGGGUAUGUGACGAUGCACUUGGAGAGUUUCAGACUAGGAGCUCGGCUGGCCCUUCAAUCCUACUUUGCCAAGAUACUGGGCGGUAUGCACCUGGCCCCAGGUCAGCUACUCCCAAAUGGGUGGAGGGUUCUCUCGGCAAUGUUUGUGUUGUGGGAGAGGUGCGGGUCGGAGGAGCCUUCUCUUGUUGAAGUGAAGCAUCUGUACCAGCUGCGGAGUAGCCCGAAGGAGGCAGGCUGGUACUAUUUCAUGUCCAGUUCCGCAAAGAGGAAACCGAUCACUGGGUUUCCAUCUUCAUGUAAAAAUUGGAAGAAUAAAUUCUUCUUUGCUGGAGGGAACUGGUGUCCAGCGGUUCGGUCGCUUGGUGGGGACAUUUAUCUUCCCACCCAUUUUGUCACCCCAGGUCGUUCAUUUUUGCCUGUAUUCUUAAUUAGAUUGCUACUUAUUGAGUUCUUUAACCUUCUGUGCUAUUUCAGAGUCGUGGGGUCUGAUCGGGGGGCUUGAAGAUCGGCCUUUGCUUCAGGUGGAAACGGCUAUAUUGAACGCGUCUACCUACCAAGACCUCCUGUCACCAACAAGUUUGGUCGGCUCGAGCUUAGUUGACAUAGCUGCCGGGAUGGAUAACAAGAUCCUCAGCGCGAUGAGCAGGAAGCGUGGUCGGGGCCCGAGUGGCUCCAGCAACCCUCCUCCUCCUCCGAAGAAACCCAGCGUCGGUCCUUCCAAGGCGCUUGUUCCUGCUCUGCCCCCUCCUCCUCCUCGUAAGAGUGGUGGGGAGAAAACCUCCGACAAGAGUCCUGAGGUCAGCUUGCAGUGUGGGGACCGAUCUUCUCCUCUUCCAACUCGGGAUCAAGGUGACUACCUGAGCCCAUAUCAGAAGGAUUAUAAAAAGUCGGUUGGGCCCAAGAUGGUGAAGGACAUCGAGAGCAUGAGCCUCUCCGAGUUGGCCGCUUCUGUUCAGAGAGUCUCCUUCAGGCUGGCCACAAUGGUCUCGUGCUACAAGACCGGGUCCGCGCGUCAUGAGAAGAGGCUCCAGGCUGAUAACCAGGAGUUGAAAAAGAAAGUUGAAUCUGCUGACCGCUCCAAGGAGAAACUGGCCGAGCUGAACAAACAGCUUACGGAGCUUGAGGAGAAAGUUGCUGUUGCUGAGUCCACUUCCUCCAAGUUUGAGGGCGAGUUGGACGACCUGAGAUCUGAUCUUCAGGCUACUCAAAUUGAAAGGGAUACCCUGAGGGCUGCCCUUGAGGGGGAAAUCAAAUCCUUGGGUGAGCAGCUGGCUGAGGAGAAAGGCAAAUCCGCUGAUGUGGACGAUCGGCUGGAUGCCGAGUAUGACUCUGGGGUUGCCUUCUCUUAUAAGUGCAUCAUGUCUGUGCUUAAGGAAGAAUAUCCCGAGCUGGACAUGAGCAAGCUGGAGGCUGGAGUGGAGAGGUACAUGGCUGGGGUCGGACAGGGAGAUAAGGAGCAGGGUGAGCAGAAUCUGGUGGAGGCUCCUUUAGAUGAGGUGCAGGAGGGGGUAGCUGGGGGGCAUGCUUUUGAAAUGGGACAAGGAUCCAUGCCGCCUCCUCCCAGUAUUGCUGAUCCUCCACCUUCUGGGACAACUGAUCCUUCACCUGCUGAAGCCGUUGACCCUCCUAAUCCUUAGGUCUAUUUUUGUAUAGACUUUAGAUUUUCAUUAGUUUUGUAACCAACUGAACAUUAAUAAAUUUUUAGAUGCUCUUUAUUGGCUCCCUUGUCUAAUGUCUACUUAUAGAUUGUUUCUGCAAAAUAAUUGCACAACUUAUCUGAUCUUGCCUGCUGGUUUCUUAGUGGACCGAGUAGGUGUAGGUAUUUACUUGCCUUAGUAAACUUCUCGUAGAAUUAGCUGCUGGUCUUUCGUUGACCGAGCAGAAACAAUCACUCUGUUGCCUUAGUAGAAUUUUCGAAGCUUUAGCUGCUGGUCUUCGUUGACCGAGCAGAAGUAGGCACUUGCCUUAGGAGAGUGUUCGUAGCUUUAGCUGCUGGUCAUUCGUUGACCGAGCAGAAACAGGCACUGAUUUGCCUUAGUGAAAUUUCGAGAAUUUAGCUGCUGGUCUUCGUUGACCGAGCAGAAGUAGGCUCUUGCCUUAGUGAAAUUUCGAGAAUUUAGCUGCUGGUCUUCGUUGACCGAGCAGAAGUAGGCUCUUGCCUUAGUGAAAUUUCAAGAAUUUAGCUGCUGGUCUUCGUUGACCGAGCAGAAGUAGGCUCUUGCCUUAGUGAAAUUUCGAGAAUUUAGCUGCUGGUCUUCGUUGACCGAGCAGAAGUAGGCUCUUGCCUUAGUGAAAUUUCGAGAAUUUAGCUGCUGGUCUUUGUUGACCGAGCAGAAGUAGGCUCUUGCCUUAGUGAAAUUUCGAGAAUUUAGCUGCUGGUCUUUGUUGACCGAGCAGAAGUAGGCUCUUGCCUUAGUGAAAUUUCGAGAAUUUAGCUGCUGGUCUUCGUUGACCGAGCAGAAGUAGCACUUCCCUUAGUGAAAUUUUUAUUGAUCUUGCUAGCAGGGGAAUUUCAUGCUGAAUUCAUCUUUAUUGAAAUUUGAAUGUAUUACAAAAACAUAGAAUAUAUGCAUGUGCGACAGGCCAUCAGGCAUUGUAACAGAAAUAACUUGCCAGAGUGAGGAUUUAAUAGAGCAUUUUGCUUACUGGAAAUACUUCUUCAGGUGUUCGGCGUUCCAUGACCUCUUCACGUCUCGUCCGUCUUGGCACGCUAAUUUAUAUGCUCCUGGUCCAGUGGCUCGUAUCACUCGGUAUGGGCCUUCCCACUUUGGGCCAAGUGCGCCAUGGCUAGGAUUCCUGGUAUUCUGGUUCACCUUCCUAAGUACCCAAUCUCCUGCUCGGAACUGCCUCACGCGUACAUUCUUGUUGUAAUAACGCAUGACCCUUUGCUGACAUUGGGCCACUUUCUGCGAGGCCCCUUCCCUUUUCUCCUCCAGCAGGUCUAGGCUUAAGCAGAUCUGCUCGUCAUUUUGCUCCUCAACGAAAUGUUCCGUUCUAUGUGUCCCCACUCCAAUCUCUGCUGGGAUCACCGCCUCAUGACCGAAAGCUAAAGCGAACGGUGUUUCUCCUGUGGCGGUUUUGUGAGUUGUCCUGUAGGCCCACAGUACCCCUGGUAGCUCGUCAACCCAAGCUCCCUUCUUCUCCCCCAAUCUAGUCUUUAGGAGCUUCUUUAUCACCUUGUUGGCUGCUUCCACUUGUCCGUUUGCCUGGGGGUGUGCGGGGGUGCAGAACUUCAGGUCCACCCCCAGGUUUCGGCAAAAUUCCCUGAAGUUGCCAUUGUCAAAUUGCCUCCCAUUGUCUGUGACGAUGGCGUAGGGGAUCCCAUAUCUGCAGAUGAUGUUUUUCCAAAUAAAAUCUGUUGUCUUCCUCUCUGUGAUCUGGCUGAGGACUCCUACUUCCACCCACUUGGUGAAGUAGUCUAUUGCCACGAUUGCAUGUGUCGCCGCUCCUCGUCCCUUAGGUAAUGGACCAAUCAAGUCGAUUCCCCAUUGAGCGAAAGGCCAUGGGGAUGUCAUAGCCGUCAGUUUCUCCGGGGGUUGUGCAGGAACCUCGGAGAAGCUUUGGCAUGUUUUACAAUUCUUGGCCAUCCUUUUGGCAUCCUGGUGCAUGGUUGGCCAGAAGUAUCCUUGCCGGAGUGCCUUGAAGGCUAAAGUUCUUGCUCCCGAGUGAUUGCCGCAUAUUCCCUCAUGAAUCUCUCUCAGCACAUAAUCCGCCUCCUCAUCAUCCAAACAUCUCAAAAGGGGCAAGGUGAACCCUCGGCGGUAUAGCACUCCAUCUAGUAGCGUAUACCUUGCUGCUCGGCAUUUUAAUUUUCUUGCUUGCCUUUUGUCCUCUGGUAAAACUCCAUCGCGGACAUAUGCGCGAAUCGGGUCCAUCCAGGAUUCUCCAAUACUUACUCUCAUCACCUCUGCUUCUUCCUCAAUACUUGGUGAUGUCCUUUCCUCUAGUGGAACUGACUUCGGUAAUUUGGGAUCUGCAAUGGCUGCCAUCCUAGCCAGCAUAUCGGCUCGGAAAUUCUCAUUCUGGGAUAUCUGCUUUACCUCCACUGCUUGGAAAAGCCCAACCAUCUGCUUGGCCUUCUUUAAAUAAAGACCCAUCUUCUCUCCCCUUGCUUGGAACUGAUCGUUGAGCUGAUUACACACCAGCUGGGAAUCUGCUCGGAUUUCUACCCUCUCUGCUCUUAGAGCGUGUGCAAGUCCGAGCCCGGUGAUAAAGGCCUCAUAUUCAGCUUGGUUGUUUGUGAGCUGAAAUUCGAACUUCACCGCAUAUGUUAUCUCGGUUCCCUCUGGGCUCCGUAUUACAACUCCUGCUCCGGAUCCUUGCUCACUACAUGAUCCGUCAACCAUUACCAGCCAUAUCCCUUUUGAAUCCUCUUGCUCUGCCGGUUGUUUCUCUUGGACCUCUUCCCCUGGUUCAACACGGUCCACCAUGAAAUCUACCAGGGCUUGGGCUUUGAUUGCUCCUCGGGGCCUGUAGGACAGGUCAAAUUCGCUCAGCUCCACGGACCAUUUUACUAACCGACCAGACGCAUCUGGUUUUUGAAGCACUUGCCGAAGUGGCUGGUCAGUCAUCACAACGAUCUGGUGGGCUUGGAAGUAUGGUCGGAGUUUGCGUGCUGCCGUUAUCAAAGCCAGCGCCCACUUCUCCAUUAGCGGAUAUCUGGUUUCUGCGUCCACCAGGGCCUUGCUUGUGUAGUAUACCGGGUGUUGCUUCCCUUCUUCUUCCCUGACUAAGACCGAGCUGGUAGCCUGCUUAGAGAUUGCCAAGUACAAGAGCAGCUGAUCACCCUCUCUCGGAGUUGACAGUAACGGGGCGCGGGCUAGGUAUUCCUUCAGUUGCCCAAAUGCCCCCUCACAUUCCGGUGUCCAUUCCAUCUUCUUCCCUUUCUUUAUGACUUGAAAGAAAGGGUGGCACUUAUCAGUGGCUCGCGAAAUGAAUCGGUUCAAUGCUGCCAAUUUCCCCGUAAGGCUCUGCACCUCCUUAACUGUUUUUGGGGACCUCAUUUCUAUUACCGCCCGUAUUUUUUUUGGGUUGGCUUCAAUACCCCGAUGGCUCACCAGGUACCCCAAAAAUUUGCCCGAGCCGACCCCAAAUGCACAUUUCUCCGGGUUCAGCUUCAUUUCGUACCUCCUCAGUAAUUCGAAAGUCUCCUCCAGGUGCUUUACAUGAUCUCUCGGUUCCCUCGACUUGGUGAUCAUAUCGUCCACAUAUACUUCCAUGGUGUGACCGAUCAAUGGUUGGAAGACCUUGUUCACUAAUCUUUGAUAGGUAGCUCCUGCAUUUUUUAGGCCAAAAGGCAUCACCCUGUAACAAAACAGACCCAUGUUAGUUAUAAAGGUGGUGCUUUCCUCAUCCUGCUCGUUCAUGGGUAUCUGGUUGUAUCCGGAGAAGGCAUCCAUGAAACUGAGCAGACUAUGACCCGCGGUUGAGUCCACCAGCUGAUCUAUUUUUGGUAGGGGAAAGCUGUCCUUCGGGCAUGCCUUAUUGAGGUCCGUGAAGUCUACACACAUUCUCCAUUUCCCAUUGGCCUUCUUUACCAGUACCACAUUGGAAAUCCACUCCGGGUACUUGGCUUCCCUUAUAAAUCCUGCUUUCAGCAGCUUUUCCACCUCGGCAUUUAUGGCCUCGUACCUUUCAUGGUUAAAGCACCUCCUUUUCUGCCUCACCGGCCUUGCCCCUUUCUUAACCGCCAGCUUGUGACAAGCUAUCCCGCGGUCAAUACCUGGCAUAUCCUCAUGAGACUAGGCAAAUAUGUCUGCAUGGGACUGUAGACACUUCACCAGCUCGGCCUUUAUUGCUUCGCCCAAUUCUGAUCCGACCUUAACAACUCUGCUAGGGUCACUCCUGCUUACAACAACUUCCUCCAGCUUCUCGACAGGUUCCUGACGACCAUUUCUUGAAUCUCCUCGGUUAUCUAGAGAGGUAACCUGCAGCGUUUCCUUGGCCGCUGUAGCGUAGCAGCUCCUGGCCAUUCUCUGGUCGCCCUUUACUACACCCACAACUCCAUUUAUUCUGUAUUUCAACGCCAGAUAAUGCGUGGACAUUACACAUUGGCUUAUCCUCAUGAAUGGUCUCCCCAAUAUCAUCUGGUAAGGACUUCUUUCCUCUACCACGACAAAGUCCAGCAUCAUCGUUCUUUCAAAGGGCUUUGUCCCCACAGUAAUUGGGAGUUCAAUGACCCCCAUGGGCGUUAACCGUCCACCUCCAAAUCCCUUUAAUGAUGUGUUUGUCCGCUCCAGCUUUAAAUCUGAAAUCCCCAUAUCAUCUAGGGCCGACUUAAACAGAAUAUCGACUGAGCUGCCCGUAUCCACCAGUAUUCGCCUCAAUUCUGUGCUAGCAACCAAUGCUUUAAUCACCAGUGCAUCCUCAUGAGGAUACAAAAUGCCCUCUUCGUCAUCCUCCGUCCACAUGAUGGGAACUUGCCGCACUCUUGCCUUCUUGGCUGCUGGCAAAUUUAGAAGCACCUCUCUGCCAGUCAUGGCGUACCUCCCAUAGUUCUUCCGUGCUCUGUUUGAAUCCCCGGCCAAUGUUGGCCCUCCUGCUAUCACACGGAUGGUCGGCUGUUCACGUUCCAAAUCCCUCUCGACUCCUUCAUCCCGUGUGUACUGUGAUUCCAUGACAGGGGACACUCCAUCUACAUACUCGUCCAAGUAUCGGUUCUGUUUGGGAGAAAUGCGUCGACGAGACCAGGCAUGGUGAACAGAUACCUGAUGGCAGAGUUCUGCGAACCGGUGUGUUCCGUAAAAGCCUAGUGCGUGGGGGGACAGGAGCAGAAAUAUCCUGCUCGUCCAAGAGCACGUCAUCCACGAGGCCAAUUUCCUGUAAGGGGCAUAAGGCCAUUUCGGCUAGAGGUCGAGUGGCGAGGAGACCCGGUCGACGGCAGUUGGCGGGACAUGCUCUCCAGCCCGAGAAUCUAGGCACGACAGCCACGCUUUCCCCAGACCCACGGCAGAACACGCAAGAUCCCACGUUUGCCCAUAACGCAGCAGUCAAAGUCCCAUACCGUGGCGUAACACGCAAGAUCUCACAGAAUUACGACAGCCACGCUUUCCCCAGAACCGUGGCGUAACACGCAAGAUCCCACCUUUGCCCAUAACGCAGCAGUCAGAGUCCCAUACCAUCUGGCAAAAAGGCGGAAAACUGGGAUUCAGAGGAAGCCUAUAAAAAGGUAGCCAACGAAGGUAAAAGGGUUAGCAUUUUUGAGAUUAGAAGAGGGAUUCAAAAGAAGAGAAAACCGCUAAAAAGCCAUAAGAUCUGUGGCAAGCGUUCCCCGAACCUUCAUAUCUGACUGGAGCGUCGGAAGGUUUGCGCCGGGAAAACAACCGGUGCACUCUGACUUGUCUGUGUGCGCAGGAACCUCUGGAGAAGAAGCCUUACGAGGAGAACAUGAAGUUGAUCGAGCAGAGAUCCUGGUCGUAGAACGAGGAGAACCAGAAUCUCGCAUCAACAUUUUGGCACCGUCUGUGGGGAAAUCAGAGCAAAAAGCUUCUGUUGAUAGCAAGAAGAGGGGUGAAGCAAGUGAAAAGCAAUGGAGACAGGAGGAAGUAGUGCACAAGGGGGUGAUAUGAGGCUUAACGAUUCCGUGACGCUGAGGGAGAUAGUCAGUGAAGCACGGGAAAAAGUCAUGUUCGACCGGAUGGAACGGAUGGAAAAGCAGAUGGAGACCUUGACAACCAUCCUGCAUGAGCUGCGGAGCGAGCGAAGGGUAACCCAAGAGGGAAGGGUGAGAGGCAGUGGAGUGGCACCAGGUCCCGAUAGUGCGGGGAGAAGUCAAACCACAGGGAGAUUUGGUGGUGAGAGAGGUAACGUACCUCUGCGGGGAGAAUUUCAUAGAGAAAGAGAGCAGUCCCCGGCAAGACAGACUUGUGACGAGGACGACGGGGUAGUGAAUGCAGAGGAAACAGAGUUGAGGCAACACUUGCAUGAUGUAGAGCAAGAGCGGGAUCAAGUUGCAGCACGUGACCCUGGUCGUGCAGGGCAGCUGGAGGAGGAAGUGCGCAGACUAGCGCAGAUAAUUGACAACAUGCAAGGAAGGAACAGAGCCCCUGGUUGGAGGAUAAUGUUGGACGGAGAAUCACCGCUCGCAGCAGAGAUCAUGAGGGCAGUUAUUCCGAGAGAUUUCCGCCUCCCAGAUCUCAGAUACUCGGGAAGAACUGAUCCGCUGGUGCACAUAGAGCGCUUCAACGACAUAACUGGGGUACAAGAAUUAUCUCAAUCCCAAAGGUGCAGGAUGUUCCCAUUAUCCCUUGAGGGACGUGCACGAGAAUGGUACAGGAAACUUCCUCGGGGCAGCAUUAAAACCUUCGAGCAGAUAUGCCAGGAAUUCGCAGAGCAGUUUAGUGGGGCAAUGGCACCGGAAGAUGACAUGAUGGAUCUGAAAAGCAUGAAACAGGGGGAGCAAGAAACCCUUCGGGAAUUCAUCAAGAGGUUUCAUCGGGCUGUCCUCGACUUGGGAGCCUUCAACCACCCUCAGGCGUUAAGGGGAUUGAAAGAAGGGGUGAAGAUAGGAAGGCUGUGGUACAAUUUAAGAAGCCCAGCUAUUCAAACGUAUGCGGCCGCAUACGAACAGGCUAAGAGAGACAUCGAGAUUGAAGAGGAGAAGGCUGCACGGAUCAAGACAGACCAGUUAGAAGGGUUGGGGAAGAAAGAGAAGAAAGCAUUACCGGGGAAUGGGCCGAUAAGGAGAAGGGACCACCUGGCCUCCGGUAGUGGAGCAGGAGGUCGGGUAACUGCUUACCAGCCUCAUCAGAGGCCGCCACAGUAUCAGCGCAGCAGGGCGCAACCUCCUCAUUCCCCAGCUAGGGAGCCUUGGAGAAGGCAUGAUUCGGCAUCUGGUGGUCUUCAUCAACAUUCCCACGGUAGCAGAACGAGCAGGCUAGAAAUACUUCCACGGCCCCCAACUCAGAGCGGGGCGAACAAAGAAAGAGCAGUGCACCUGAUCGACCAGAACCAGGACUAUGGGCGGUACACUUCCUUGAAGAUGUCCCUGGAUGAGGUGUACGAGGCCAUAAAGGAUCGAGGGCUGCUGUACCUCCCUACACCAAUAACAAAGCUGCCCAACAGGAGGGAUAGAUGACGUUAUUGUAAGUUCCAUGGCACCCAUGGCCAUACCACAGCAGAGUGUAGAGAUCUCAAGACCCAGGUCGAAGAUUUGGUGAGAAAUCGGUACCUGGACGAGUUUAUGGAUGGGACUUUCCCGAUGGUGGCCACAACAGGUGAAUGGGAGCAGAGUGAUAGAAACGUGAGGUGCGAGCAGCCCGCAGUAAGGGUGAUAGCUGGGGGCCCAACAUUGGCCGGAGAUUCCAACAGAUCGAGAAAAAAUUAUGCUAGGUACGCCAUGACCAGUAAAGAGGUACUCUUCAACACCUCAGCAGCCAAACGAGCAAGGGUCAGGCAAGUGCCAAUCAUGUGGACGGAUGAGGAUGAGGAAGGGAUUCUAUACCCCCACGAGGAUGCUUUAGUCGUCAAGGCUACCGUCGCUAGCAAGAAGUUUGACCGGAUACUGAUCGAUGCAGGGAGCUCAGUUGAUGUGUUAUUUAAGUCAACCCUGAAAGAGAUGGGAAUAGCCGACCGGAAGUUGGAAUACACCAAUACCUCCUUGAAGGGGUUCGGAGGAGGGAAGCUGGUCCCUCUGGGCGUGGUCGAGCUGCCUAUCACAAUUGGGAGCUCCCCGACAGAAAGAACAAUGAUACUGGACUUUGUCGUAGUGGAUGAGGAAGGUCCUUACCAGAUGAUCCUAGGUCGGCCAUUUUUAAGGAUGAGCAAAGCGGUGUUGUCCAACCAUUAUCUGGCUCUGAAGUACCGGGUGAAUGGGGUAGUAAGAGUGGUGCGAGGAGACCAGAGGAUCGCUAGAAGCUGCUACUCCUCGGCAGCAAGGGAAGCAAUGCAGAUAACAUCCCUCGAUACCCGAGUGGAAAACAAGAAUGGCAGACAAGAACCUGUAGAGGAUCUGGAAACAGUGAGCCUGGGACCAGAGAACCCGGGAAAGACGAUCAGAAUCGGGUCGAGACUCGAGGGAGAGCAAAAGCAGGAGUUGGUGAAAUGCUUACAGGCUCAUGCUGAUGUGUUUGCUUGGACACAUGGAGACAUGCCAGGGAUUGACCCUGAGGUAGCAUGUCAUAAGCUGGCAAUAAAGAAAGGUGCUCGGGCAGUAAGGCAGAAGAGGAGAUGCUUCAACCAGGAGAGGUAUGAGGCUAUAAACGGCGAGGUGGAGAAGCUCUUGAGAGCAGGGUUCAUUCGGGAAGUCAGUUACCCUGAGUGGAUAUCGAAUGUGGUGUUGGUAAAGAAGGCAAACGGCAAGUGGAGGAUGUGUGUGGAUUUCACAGACCUCAAUAAGGCGCGCCCAAAAGACAGCUUCCCUUUACCAAAGAUCGAUCAGCUAGUAGAUUCAACGGCUGGACAUGGUCUUCUCAGCUUCAUGGACGCGUUCUCGGGAUACAACCAGAUCCCCAUGUACGAGCAGGAUGAGGAGAGCACGGCUUUCAUCACUAACCAAGGUUUAUUCUGUUACAGGGUAAUGCCAUUCGGUCUCAAAAAUGCUGGGGCCACCUACCAAAGGCUGGUGAACAAAGGCUGGUGAACAAAGUCUUUAAGCCGUUGAUUGGGAAAACCAUGGAGGUGUACGUGGAUGACAUGAUCACCAAGUCCAAAAUUCCGAAGGAACAUGUCGGACACCUCGAGGAGACAUUGGAGCUUUUGAGGAAGUAUAAGAUGAAGCUCAACCCGGAGAAGUGUGCUUUUGGGGUCGAGUCAGGGAAAUUCCUUGGAUUCAUGGUGAGCCAUAGGGGGAUUGAAGCAAAUCCCGAGAAAAUCCAAGCGAUUAUGCAGAUGACGUCUCCUCGUAACCUGAAGGAGAUGCAGAGCCUCACGGGGAGGUUGGCGGCGUUGAGCAGAUUCAUAUCCAAGGCUACAGAUAAAUGUCAGCCAUUCUUUCAAGUGAUAAGGAGGGGAAAGAAAACAGAAUGGACCCCAGAAUGCGAGGAAGCCUUCCGGAACUUGAAGCAAUACUUGCAGCAAGCUCCGCUGCUGUCCACACCGAGGGAUGGGGACAAGUUGUAUCUGUAUUUGGCAGUAUCGGACCGGGCCGCCAGUUCUGUUCUGGUGAGAGAGGAAGAAGGAGUUCAGUAUCCGAUACUACACCAGCAAGGCCCUGCUCGACGCUGAGACCAGAUACCCACCGUUGGAGAAAUGGGCACUUGCCCUUGUGGUUGCUGCUCGGAAGUUGAGGCCAUAUUUCCAAGCAUUCCCGGUCUCGGUAGUAACAAACCAGCCAUUGCGUCAAACUCUGCACAAGCCAGAUGCCUUUGGUCGGCUCGUCAAGUGGGCUGUAGAGCUGAGCGAGUUCGACAUAGACUAUAAACCCCGCGCAGCGAUAAAGGCCCAGGCAAUGGCCGAUUUCGUAGCUGAAUUCACAGAGCCCGAAGUAUGCUUAGAUCAACAAGAUGCAGUUAUAGGCAACGACGAAACUCAAGUAUGGCAGAUGUCUGUGGAUGGGUCAUCAGGGGAGCGGGGUUCAGGAGCAGGGAUUGUCUUGGAAGGCCCAGAGGGGGAGGAGAUCUCUUAUGCUGUAAAGUUGGAAUUUGCAGCCACAAAUAACCAGGCAGAGUAUGAAGCCUUGAUAGUAGGUCUGGAAUUGGCUAAGGCCGUGAAAGCAGACAGAGUUAAGAUCAGAACUGAUUCCCAGCUGGUUGCGAAUCAUGUCAGUGAAAGAUUCCAACCAAGAGAGGAGAAGAUGGAGCAGUACUUGAAGAUAGUCAGGCAGAUGAUAGGGAAGUUCAAAGCAGUGGAGGUGAUACAAGUCCCCAGGGAGCAGAAUAGUCGAGCAGACAUUUUGGCUAGGAUGGCAGCAGUAGCCGACCCAAAAAUGCCAAAGUCGGUCCCUCUGGAGGUGAAGUCCAGCCCAAGUAUCGAGCAGAAUUUGGGGGUGUUGCGGAUAGAACAAAAAUGCUCGUGGAGGGACCUGAUAGUUUCAUACCUUAGAGACGGGGUAUUACCACCAGAUAAGCUGCGAGCUCGGAAGAUUAGAGCCCAGGCCUCGAGAUACACGAUGAUUGAUGGGGUACUGUAUCGGCGAGGAUAUACGCUACCGUUCCUUCGGUGUUUGGAUGAGGACGACGCAGAUUACGUACUGAGAGAAGUACACGAAGGAAUUUGCGGAAAUCAUUCUGGCGGGAGGUCCCUGGCCCACAAGGUCCUAAGGCAGGGAUAUUUCUGGCCGACAAUGCACCAGGAUGCGCAAGAGAAGACCAGGAGUUGUGUAAGCUGCCAGAGUUUUGCAAAUUACUCUAACCAACCACCAGAGAAGCUCACCUCCAUGGCCUCCCCUUGGCCAUUUGCUCAAUGGGGAGUUGACCUGAUCGGCCCAUUGCCAAAGGGACGAGGAGCAGCAACACAUGCGAUAGUUGCUAUAGAUUACUUCACGAAGUGGAUAGAGGUAGAAGCCCUUAGCAGGAUCACAGAGAAGAAGACAACAGACUUCGUGUGGAGAAACCUGGUCUGUCGAUACGGGAUCCCUUAUGCCUUGGUAACGGAUAAUGGCAGGCAGUUCGAUAAUCACAGCUUCAGAGAUUUCUGCCAGAAUCUCGGGAUAGAGCUGAAGUAUUGCUCGCCUGCUCACCCUCAAUCGAAUGGACAAGUAGAAGCAGCCAACAAGACCAUCAAGAGGCUUUUGAAAACCAGGCUUGGAGCAAAAAAGGGUGCGUGGGUUGACGAGCUGUCAGGUGUGCUAUAGGCAUAUAGAACAACCCACAAAACCGCAACUGGGGAGACACCGUUCGCUUUGGCUUUCGGACAUGAAGCAGUCGUGCCGGCUGAGAUAGGAACGACCACACACCGGACAGACCAUUUCAAUGAGCAAGAUAACGACGAGCAGAUAUGUUUGAAUCUUGAUCUGCUAACGGAAAGGAGGGAGCAAGCAGCCGAGCGAUCAGUCAUUUACCAACAGAGGGUUGCUCGGUAUUAUAACCAGAAGGUGAACCUACGGCAAUUCAGGGUCGGAGACUGGGUAUUGAGAAGAGUGAAUCAGAGCACCAAAGAUCCCACUCAAGGAGUGCUGGGACCGAAUUGGGAAGGGCCAUAUAGAGUCAAGCAGAUAGUGGGACCCGGAGCUUACAAGCUGGUUCGCACGGACGGCCGCGAGGUGAAACGCCCAUGGAACGCAGCACACCUCCGAAAAUACUUCCAGUAAGAUUUGUUCACAUUUGAAAGCUAUCUCUGCUCAUGUUCAUUAUCGUUUAUCUUUUACGCUUUAUGUCCAAACAAUUUUAUGUAAGUCGAAUCCUGCCAUUAAUGGAACGUCGAGGAAUUUCAUUCGCUUGAAACCGAGAAAAUUACCCAAGGCAUGCAAAGGCUCAUCAAGUCUCAAAGCCUGUUUAUGGCGAGACAGAAGCCAAGCAUGCCAGGAUCUGCUCGGCCACGAGAAGGCAGCAGAAUCCCAAGCUUUGAAGAAAUUAUCCAAGGCAUGCAAAGGCUCAUCAAGUCUCAAAGCCUGUUUAUGGCGAGACAGAAGCCAAGCAUGCCAGGAUCUGCUCGGCCACGAGAAGGCAGCAGAAUCCCAAGCUUUGAAGAAAUUAUCCAAGGCAUGCAAAGGCUCAUCAAGUCUCAAAGCCUGUUUAUGGCGAGACAGAAGCCAAGCAUGCCAGGAUCUGCUCGGCCACGAGAAGGCAGCAGAAUCCCAAGCUUUGAAGAAAUUACCCAAGGCAUGCAAAGGCUCAUCAAGUCUCAAAGCCUGUUUAUGGCGAGACAGAAGCCAAGCAUGCCAGGAUCUGCUCGGCCACGAGAAGGCAGCAGAAUCCCAAGCUUUGAAGAAAUUAUCCAAGGCAUGCAAAGGCUCAUCAAGUCUCAAAGCCUGUUUAUGGCGAGACAGAAGCCAAGCAUGCCAGGAUCUGCUCGGCCACGAGAAGGCAGCAGAAUCCCAAGCUUUGAAGAAAUUACCCAAGGCAUGCAAAGGCUCAUCAAGUCUCAAAGCCUGUUUAUGGCGAGACAGAAGCCAAGCAUUCCAGGAUCUGCUCGGCCACGAGAAGGCAGCAGAAUCCCAAGCUUUGAAGAAAUUAUCCAAGGCAUGCAAAGGCUCAUCAAGUCUCAAAGCCUGUUUAUGGCGAGACAGAAGCCAAGCAUGCCAGGAUCUGCUCGGCCACGAGAAGGCAGCAGAAUCCCAAGCUUUGAAGAAAUUACCCAAGGCAUGCAAAGGCUCAUCAAGUCUCAAAGCCUGUUUAUGGCGAGACAGAAGCCAAGCAUGCCAGGAUCUGCUCGGCCACGAGAAGGCAGCAGAAUCCCAAGCUUUGAAGAAAUUAUCCAAGGCAUGCAAAGGCUCAUCAAGUCUCAAAGCCUGUUUAUGGCGAGACAGAAGCCAAGCAUGCUAGGAUCUGCUCGGCCACGAGAAGGCAGCAGAAUCCCAAGCUUUGAAGAAAUUAUCCAAGGCAUGCAAAGGCUCAUCAAGUCUCAAAGCCUGUUUAUGGCGAGACAGAAGCCAAGCAUUCCAGGAUCUGCUCGGCCACGAGAAGGCAGCAGAAUCCCAAGCUUUGAAGAAAUUAUCAAAGGCAUGCAAAGGCUCAACAAAGUCUCAAAGCCUGUCUUAUGGCGAGACCGAAGCCAAGCAUGCCAGGAUCUGCUCGGCCACGAGAAUGCGGGCAGAAUCCCCAUCCUUGACGAAUCCAAGGCAUGCAAAGGCUCAACAAAGUCUCAAAGCCUGUUUUAUGGCGAGACAGAAGCCAAGCGUACCAGGAUCUGCUCGACCACGCGAAGGCGAGCAGAAUCCCCAAGCAUCGAAAAAAUUGCUAAGGCAUGCAAAGGCUCACCAAGUCUCAAAGCCUGUUUUAUGGCGAGACAGAAGCCAAGCGUGCCAGGAUCUGCUCGACCGCGCGAAGGCGAGCCGAAUCCCAGGCAUUGAAGAAUCUUCAAAGGCAUGUGGCAAAACCAUGAGCCAAGCCGGAACCUGCUCGUCUAGACAAAGACAAGCAAAUUCUCAAAGGAAAAUUAAUUCGUAAUUACAACACAAGAAGGUAAUCAAAAAGAUUUUUAUUAAUUUGUUAAUAAUUGACAGAGGGGAUAAUCUUCAUGAACAUUGUUCAUUACAAUACAAGAAAUAUAUCAAGAAGAUGGUGGAUCAGUAAGCCCAGCAGCAUCGGUUGGCUGGACCUCCUCAGGUGCAGGAGGGGUAUCACCAGUGGCGUCCGGGGGGGUGCUCGCCUCGCCAACAUCAGCAGGGACUGCAUGAGGAGGAGAGUUUUCCUCCUCAAUCACGAUCGGCUCGACCCCUUUGGCAUCCUCCUUGGCCGCCUCCUCGUCCAUAUGUUGAGCAACACCAGCCGCAAGGUCACCCAUCUUCAGAUCAGGGUGUUGCUUCCCGAGGACGGCCAUAAUGCAACGAUAGGAAUGCCGAAGUCCCUGGUCGUACUAGUUGUCGGCCUCUCUCUCCAAGUUCUCGACCUGAGCUCGGUGGGAGUCGCGGAGAGAUUCGAGCUGAGCCUCAUACAUAGCCUUCUGCCUUUGCAGAUCCUCCUUGACCUUGGUAAGCUCCUCCUCGAGGGUAAUGGCUUUUGCUCGAGCAAGUGAUUCUUCCUCCAUCAGCUUCAGAUUCUCGAGAUUCAGCUCCCCUGCUUUCUUCUCGGCAACGUCAGCUUUGGUCGUCGCUGAUUGAAUAUCCUCCUUCAUCUUCCGAUCGUAGCGGCCAACCUUAGCCUUGUAAUAGGUGGUCAUGCAGCUGAGGUGGAAAGCGCUAUGCUGCAUGGCCCCCACCAGCUCACCCAAGGUACAGCCGUCAAAGCCCUCCAGAUCCUUCUUGCUCACGAGUUUAGAUAACUCAUUAAGGUAGGGGACCAGGUGUUCUGCUCGGCUGUCAGGUAAGCGAGGUCGAGGCCCGACAGGAGUAGAAGAGGAAGCAGGAUCUGUGGCUGCUCCACUAGCUUCCCCGACUUUUACAGGAGCAGGUGGUAAAGUCUUCAAGGGUGAGACCUGCUGCACGAUGUUGACCCGCUUUGCAGUAGGGGCAUCCUUACUCUGGUCCCUCUUCGUGGUUGGAGGUCGAGAACGUUUUCGGGUCAGAGCCCCAAUCACAACGUCCUCCAUCCUAUGGCCAGGAAGUAUCAAGCGAGACUUGAGCAAGUUGUAUGUAGUUAACAGUUCUCGGCUCGAGCAGGAAUUGGCUAGUACAGCCUCGACCCGUUUGAGCUGGUCAGGUUUAAGCGGGAAAUGGACACCCCAAGAACCUACAACGCAAACAAACAUUUGAUUAGAGACAAACCAGUAAAGCGCAAACAACAAGGGAGACAAGACAUCUAAUACGAGCAGGCAACCUGGGACCACGAAACGGGGUGGGACGCGGAAGUCCUUCCCAUCAACCUGUGCAACUUGACCCCAGGGACCCCCUGCGAAGAAGAACUUCCUCUUCCAAUUCCCACCACCACCAGUAGGGAGAUCGGUUAUGGGUUUCCUGCUCUUGAUGCUAGAUUGGAAGUAGUACCAGCCGGCAUCUUUGGGGCUGCUCUUUAGCUGGUACAGGUGCUUCACCUCAUCAACCGUGGGCUCGCUUUGGCAACAUCUGUCCCACAAUAUGAACAGACCAGAGAGCACUCUCCACCCAUUGGGAUUCAGCUGACCAGGAGCUAGAUUUAGCCCGUUAAGUAUCCGGGCAAAGUAGGGUUGCAAGGGACACCUCAGCCCGUACUUAAAGCUCUCUAGAAACAGGGUAACGUAUCCCCUAGGAGGCCGGCUGGGAGCAUCCUUCUUUCCUGGGACCUUGAGAGGUAUCUCACCAGGAAUGCUAUACCUAAGCCGGAGGUCAUUGAGCUCGUCAAACGAGGUCGUGCACGUCAUGUAAUCAAUGGCAUAAUCGCGCGACAAGGCUCUGCCUCCUACUGUACCCCGUUCUUCUGGUCGUGAUGUUCCAGAUGGAGACACCUCACCAGAGCCACCUUCGCCAUUCUCACUCAACGUAUCCUCAGAGCCAGAAGAUCUCUCCUCACCAUUACUUCCGCUCGUAGAGGUUGUUUGGGGAGACAUCCUCCUAGCACUAGUCCCGACACUAGACCUAAUGGGCUCUAAGGGGAUCCCGGGGUCAAAAGCGGGAUCGGUGAACAGACUAGGCAGGAAGUCCAACUCGUCGUCAUCAACCUCAAUGACCUUCUCUUUGCCUUUCGACAUUCCCUAAGCUCUAACCACAACACCACCAACUACUACCCAAACAGAAGAGAAGAGAAAUUAUCUACAACUAUCCGAGACCAAGGAGAUAGAAGAAAUACCUGAAGUAAUGGUUCAGUCGGUGAAAGUCAGAGAUGGAGGCCUUUUAUGCCGGAACUUCUUUGCCGGAGGGACAGAGACGGAGACGGAGUGAACGAUGAAUUUGCCGUUUGAGAGGAUUUGGUUUUCCUGAUAAGGACGGACUCUUGGGUUGCCAGCAUUUAACAGCGCCAAAUCCCGAGGGUCUCGUAAUCGUCGGUUUGAAAUUCAAAUGGAGGGGUGGAUUUCUGCCACGUCACCUCGUCCGCAAUUAAAUGCGACAUGACUCUUGGCAGCCUUUUCCAAUCCCACGCGAGCGAGUAUUAUCGAGUUUCUACUGCUGGUCCACUACAUUACCCAACACCAGAAACUGGGGGACCGGUGUUUGGGAGAAAUGCGUCGACGAGACCAGGCAUGGUGAACAGAUACCUGAUGGCAGAGUUCUGCGAACCGGUGUGUUGGCGGGACAGCCAUGCUUUCCCCGGUCGACGGCAGUUGGCGGGACAUGCUCUCCAGCCCGAGAAUCUAGGCACGACAGCCAUGCUUUCCCCAGACCCACGGCGGAACACGCAAGAUCCCACGUUUGCCCAUAACGCAGCAGUCAGAGUCCCAUACCGUGGCGUAACACGCAAGAUCUCACAGAAUUACGACAGCCACGCUUUCCCCAGAACCGUGGCGUAACACGCAAGAUCCCACCUUUGCCCAUAACGCAGCAGUCAGAGUCCCAUACCAUCUGGCAAAAAGGCGGAAAACUAGGAUUCAGAGGAAGCCUAUAAAAAGGUAGCCAACGAAGGUAAAAGGGUUAGCAUUUUUGAGAUUAGAAGAGGGAUUCAAAAGAAGAGAAAACCACUAAAAAGCCAUAAGAUCUGUGGCAAGCGUUCCCCGAACCUUCAUAUCUGACUUGAGCGUCGGAGAGUUUGCGCCGGGAAAACAACCGGUGCACUCUGACUUGUCUGUGUGCUCAGGAACCUCUGGAGAAGAAGCCUUACGAGGAGAACAUGAAGUUGAUCGAGCAGAGAUCCUGGUCGUAGAACGAGGAGAACCAGAAUCUCGCAUCAACAGGUUCCUCACUAAAUCCUCCACCUGAAUCUUCAGGUCACGACAUUGGCUGAUAGUAUGACCGUGAGUGUCGUGGAACUUGCAGAAUCGGCUCUUGUCCCGUCGGUGAGUCGGUUUUGUUAUUGGGGCUGGAGGGUACAGCAGGCCUCGUCCUUCGAUUCUCUCAUACAACUCCUCCAUGGAGAUCUUUAAUGGAGUGUACUGUUUAUAGGCCAAGCUCUGGUCUACUAGCUGCACUGCUCGGCUAUCAUGAAUGUCACCUCGAGCCGGUAUAGCUGGUAUCUGCUCGGGUCGUCCAGACCUGUAAUUAGUUGCACCUAAUCCUCUGGGAGCGCUGUGGUAAGGGUGGGCAGCCAUCUGCCUGAAUUCUCGCUGCCGUUCUGGGAUCGGGGGGCGCGGAGGUUGAGCCCGACUGUGUUGGAACUGUUGUGCUCUCGGAGCUAUGGGGUAUGGGCGGGAACGAGCUGAUAUUCCGCCCAUCACUGAAGAUUCUCCUGUUCGCUUUCCCGACUCGCUCCCUUUCGGGGCUCUCCGUUCUUUUCGUCUCAGCUGUUCGCUUUUAAUUCUUGCCGAUUUCUCUUCUUCGAUUUCUAUAUCUCGUCUCGCUUGCUCAUACCCCGAUGAGUAAUUCUAUACGAGGGGGCUUCUUAAGUUAUACCACAAUCGGCCGAUUCUCACACCUUCUUUUAGUCCCCUCAACGCCUGUGGGUGAUUAAAAGCUCCCAGAUCCAGCACGGCUCGGUGAUAUCGUUUUACAAAAUCUCGAAGGGAUUCAUGCUCCUCCUGCUUCAUCCCCAUCAAUUCCAUCAUGUCAUCCUCUGGGGCCACUGCCCCUCGGAACUGCUCGGCCAACUCCAGGCACAUCUGCUCAUACCCCUUAAUUCCUCCUCGGGGAAGCUUGCGGUACCAUUCUCGGGCUCGUCCCUCUAGUGUCAACGGGAAUACCCUGCAUCUCUGAGCUGGUGUCAACCCCUGCACACCCGUCAUGUCGUUGAAACGCUCAAUGUGCACCAACGGGUCACUUCGCCCGGAGUAUUUGAGGUCGGGGAAGCGGAAAUCUCUUGGGAUUAUGGUACUCAUGAUCUCAGUUGAUAACGGAGACUCUUCAUCUAGCAUUAUCCUCCAGCUCGGGGGCUUCCUCUUGCCCUGCAUCUCCUCUAUCACCUGCGCCAAUCUGCGCACCUCCCCCUCCAAUUCUACAGCACGAUCAGGAUCAUGUGCAGCUAUCUGGUCACGCUCCUGCUCGACGUUCUGCAACCGCUGUCUGAGCUCUCCUUCAUCAACACUGGCCCCUCGGCCAUUUAUUUUCAGUACCCGUCCGGGGCGAGGUUGGUCUCUCCCCUCAUCCACGUAUUCCCCUGGGACCCGACCAGUACUUCGGUGGGGAUGCACUCCGUUAGGUUGGUCUGCGGGCGGAGGGAUUUCCCCGACCCUACGCCCCCGAAGGCUGGGUUCUGCUCCAAUUCCAUCUCUUCCCACGGGGGUUUCACAAUCCCUUCUCCGCUCGUCCCUCAGCUCAAACAAUACGGCCGCGAGAGUCUCCAUUUGUUUCUUCAUCUGCUCCAGUCUAUCUUGCAUCAUCCUCUCUCGGGCUUCAUUUGCAAUCUCCCGGAGAGUAAUUGUCUCCACCGUUUCAUUGUCCUCCCUUAAAGUAUCCUUUCUUGACGCAUCCAUAUCCAAUCGCUCGUUGCUUCUUCGGUACUUACUAAUUUGGUGGUAGCUUUUUAUUCAGUUCCCCACAGACGGCGCCAAAAUGUUGAUGCUGAAAUCGGCUCGUCCUUAGACCGACCAGAGCCUUUCACCAACGCUUAAGUUAUCGACUGUUGCUCGAACCACUAAGGCCGGGAUCACCCUCCUUUCUCUCACUAGACCUGCGUUCACCAAAAAUGGAUCAGAGACGCCGGUGGUUUUGCCGGCGUAAACCCUCCGAUGCCUAAGUUAGCACAAGGUGUUUACAGGAAAACAAUAUAAUUUGGAUUCAAGAAGUUUGUUCAAAAUCUGUAAGAAAUUAAUCUGGUUGCAAUUUGGCAGCGUUUUCCCUCUCUUAAUUUUUCUGUCCUUCUCUUCUUCGAUGUCUUUCUCUUUUAUAGCCGCCCUUUGUCCCACGUUUUCUGUUUGCCCCUUAUCCCUCCUUUUUCGGGUGGUCGUAGCCCCUCAUGGAGCUCUAACUGUUACAUUGUGGGCAAACGUGGAUCUCGCGUGUCCUUCAACCGUUCUGGGAGAAGCGCAACUACCGCGAUUUUGUGGGAUCGUGUUCCCGCUUUCCUGGGGAUGAGUACUGGCUCGGCAUAUACUUCUGGUCGGUAUUUUUCCCUGGUUGCAUCCAUCUCUGAUCGGCUCAUGUUUGCCCCCGUGUUCUGCUCGUACCACUUAGCUGAAAUGGUCCGUGCCGGGGCGGAAACAGUAGCAUGGCUAACUUGGUGCCUUUAUGUACUCAACACAUGCAAUACAAGAUCAGCUCAACGUUUUGACCAAUUGAACCCAACUUGGAGCAGAAUGCACUUUAUAAAUAGAGAAGCAUUUUGCAAUGGUAAGCAUCCCGAAUUUGAGAGAAGUAGAGAGCAAUUGCAAGUGAGUUCUUUGAGAGAAUUCGUGAGAGUUUUCACUUGAGUGUUCUAGUGAGGUUUCAUUUGGGUGUAUGGGGGUUGUGAGUUUUGUGAGUUUUUCCAACUUUUAUAAAUUCCCAUUUGUUAGUAAAAUUAUCUUCUAGUUUUUUGCUCGUGGCCGUAGGCAUUACGCCGAGCCACGUAAAUUAUUGUGUCUUAUUUUUCUUUACAUUUGUUUAACACAACAUUUAUAUUUCUCCAAAAGUUACAGUAUUAGUAAUUGCUCAACCCGCGUUUCCAAAACAAGUGGUAUCAGAGCCGACGGUUCGUACUUGGGGGAUACGGUACUAUUCACGUAUACGAUAUUGUUCAUAUAUAUGGUACUAUUCCCAUAUACGGUACUGUUCACAAAUACAGUGGAGAUGACCAUUUAUACUUGGGAGACAGUCUAUUGUAAGUAGUGUGUAUUUUUGCAUAUCUAGGAAAGUCCUGUCAAAAAAGGCGAUAAGAGUCUAAGGAUUCUGGUUGUAAUUAGGACCGAGUUCCCAUCCAGUCUCCCAGGAACUUUCCUGGUGCAUUUAUUCACGCGAAAUAAACAUCAUAGAGGCUGUUUUUUAAGUGUAAAUAGUUGUUGAAGAAACUGAUCAUUUGAGAUAAAAAGGAUGGCAGAGGCAUCGUCAUCGUCUUCAUCAGCAAUGACUAUUGCGACUAAUGCAAAGUUUGAAGUGGAGAAAUUCAUCAGCAAUGACUACACUCGGAUAUGUUCAGCUGUUCCAAAUUAUCCAUAAUGGCAGAUCCUUGUUUCAAGAAGUGCUUGAGAUCAAAACACUUGUUUACUUCUCUUCUGAUUACCUCCAUCCCAUUUUCAGCCUUUUCUUUUGCCUCCUGAGCAUGACGCCCUCCUCCUAUACGAAGAACUUUCAUGGCGUGAAAUCUCUGUAGGAAAUCAUCAAGUGAGAAAAUAGUAGGCGACUCAGCACCAAACUCGGCUUCAAGACAUUUAAGUUUGCAAAUCAAGUCUUCUGGAAAUAGACUGUUAUUUGUUGCUAUGUGCUUCGCAUCAGCUCUCAAUUCUUCCAAGUUGGGGAAUAACUGGGUGAUUAAUCACAACCAAAAGAAAAAAAAAUUUGCGAGAUUCAGAGAUUAGUUGAUAUAUUUAUUUUAAAGAAAUUUAACAAAAUAGAAGAGAUUAAAUUUGAAAUUAACUACCACUAGCUAGUAAAAAUACUUAUUCAAUAAAUUUCAACUUUUCAGAAAAUGAUGACUUUUUGUUAGUAAAAAAUUAACCAAGUCAUGAAGACAAUAGCAAUAUAACUUUAAGCUCUAUGAGAAUUGAAAAGUUAAUUAUAAAAUUCUUGUACGUACCUUUUCUAUCAAGUCACCCGUAGUUCUUUUAUGUCUCACCAUGAAUUCAGGACAUCUAGAUAUCCAUAACUUUUUCAAUGAUGGAAAUUUAAUAAUGUUUACAUCUCCUGUGCAGAAGCUUGUGAGUUUUUUAAGAUCAUACAUCUUUAAAUAUUGUAACUGGGGAAACAUUACAAUAUUAUUAUUUCUUUUUUCUUGGUCCACAAUUAUUAUCUCUUCCAAGACAGGGCAUCCCAAUAUCUCAAGGUGUUGGAGUCGAACAAAGAUGUCAUUGCUAACUAUAGAAGACGAAAAUAGACAUCUUAAAUUCCUACAUCUGUAUAAGGUCAAGUGCAUUAAAUUCUGGACACCACAAGAUAUGGCUGAAACUUGGUUUUGCCAAAUCAUCUCAACAUUAAUUAAACGCAACUCCAAGUUCUCCAACUUUGGUAACGCAACCUAUUCGAUUAAAAAAUUAACUUCUUGUUAAUUACAAGUAAUAAUCAUUUCUACAGAUGGACAAAUCAAUAAAAUUAUUAAUCUGUUUCUCUUGUUAUAGUUCUCUUCAGUCUUUCAUACAAACAAGCACCAUUCAAGUUUUCAAAUUAUUCCUUGCUAAUUUUACAUGUAUUCUGACGACACAUUAAAUAAAAAUGACAAGUUAUGAAUGUGAAUCAAUUUAUUAGUCAAAAAAUGACAGUUUUCAAAUUAUUAGUUACUCUUGCAUAUUUGCUAACAGACAAGAAUAACGAAGAACAAAAAUACACAAGUCAUAGAGAAUUAAUAAGACUACUGGCUUAACAAUAACUGACCUUCUCAAUGAAUAGUGCAUUAGAAAAUAUUGACAUUGUCCUCCAAAAUGAUUUCGUUUGACUGAAUACCAUUUAACGAUUCCUCUUGUCUCCGUUGACAUUGAAGGUGUUAUGAGUUUAGAGUAUAAACUUAAUUGUGAGCGUAAUGUGCAUUUGUAAAGCUUAGUUUAGGACUAGAUCUAAAUUUGAUAUGUAAGAUUCCAUAAUCGAGAUUUUUUUUAAUAAAAAAUUUAACUGAGUUAAUUUAAACAAAAAUAUGACGAAUUAAACUUGUUACCGAUUUAGAUUAGAUAAAUAGUGAAUAUUCUCUAAAUAUGAUCAGUGUAAGAUUGUUGAAAAUAUAAGACGGUUAAUUUCACAUUUUUCAUAUGAAUAUUGUGAAUGUUAUUGAAAGUAAGAGAAGAAGAAUAAUAUUACAAGGCGUAAAGCACAUACAAUAUAAAGCUAUUAUGUUUUUUUUUUUUUUUACGGUGAUGUAACUCUGAAGCUAAAAGAUUAAAAUAUUAUUUAAAUUGCAAGCAUUAAUGAUUUUUGCUAAAUUGUUUACUUUGAAAAUGAGUAUAAAUAUGAUAUUUGACGACUUUUCAAAAUUAACUUUGAUACACUAGAAGUUUCUAGUUUUAGCAUACGUAUAAAUUAACAAAAUGAAUUUCAUAAUAACUAUAAUUUGCGAAAUUGAUCAUACCUUUGACUCUGCUGGAUUAAGGGCGUCGUAGCAACCUUCGAUCCAGAGAUGCUUGAGUUGUGAAGAGCCCACCUUGACUAGUUCAUUAACAAAAUUAUGGACAUCUUGCUCUUGCAGUCCAUACAAUCCAAGAUGUUCAAUUCCCUGCAGUUGCACGAUCAGCCCAUCCUUCAAGGAAAUCUUGGAAUUCAGCUCGAUUCUGAAAUCUCUACUGCAAAUAUUGUACUUCCAAUUCCAGGAAUCUCCAAUAAGUAUUCUAUACCUCUCCAGCUUCUCGAAGAACAAGCCUCUCGGGAGAUCGUUGACAUCUCUUAUUUGUAGUUCUAAAGAGGUCAAAUGCUUCAACUCAUCAAGGCUAGCAUUCUUGACCCCGUCCACCUCCACAUCCCAUUUAUUAAAGCUAUUAUCACCUAUAUUUAGUUCUUCUAAAUGGGAUAAAUUUGACAAUAUAUUUGGUGGAAUAACUUCUAGUUUGCUACAAUCUCUCAAAUCAAGCAACUUCAGCCAAGUCAAUUGACCUAAUUCUAGAGGCAACUGCUGAAUAUCGCUACCUCUUAAGCAAAGGAUUUCUAGUUUCUUCAACUCUCCUGUAACACUUAUAUCUAGCAAUUUGCAAUAACACAAACUCAAUGUUCUAAUGUUUGAUAGGAGACCAAGUGAUGAAGGCAGUGGCAGUAGAUUCAUGUAAGUCAAGUUUAUAACUCUAACCUGUAUCAUCCUCUCGAAAAAGUUGCUUGGAAUUGUUAAUGAUGAAGAUUCCUGGUGAUCAGCACAAAUAGAAAACAGUUUUAGCUGAGGACAUUCCAAGAAUACUCCAUCAGGAAGCACAUCAGUCUUGAUAUCACGUAAGACGAUUGAAGUGUAAAAUUUUACUGCACUUUCGUCUGACCAUUCCUUGCAACCGUCAAACAGCUCACCUGUCGCCGUUAACACAUUUUUUUCUGCAGAUGCAAUUGAUAUUGCAACAUCGUGAAUGACAUCGUGCAUAGAAAGGCCUUCGUCUAGCAACAUACAAGAAGCUUUGAGUUUGUACACCAACGUACUUACUCGAUCUCGUGCUUCUUCCAACUUACUGAUACCUUGAAAUAAACCCAAUCCCACACCGUACCUUAACAAUUCAUCAAUGGAUUCCACAUAAGCAUAUCCUAUUAGUAAAAAGAGGUUCUUGAGCUCCUCCCCUUCUAAUUUGUCGUAACUCAACGCUAUAGCUUUAUAUGCUUCUGGUUGUAUAUGUUUGAAGUUCGUUGAGGAUGGCCUUCUUAGUUGUUUCAACGCAUCCUUCCAUUUAAAUAUACUCGCGCUCCUUAAUGCCCUUGCUACCGCCACAAUGGAAACAGGCAAACCCGCACAUUCCUUCGCCACAUCCCUUGCUACGCAUUUCAAUUCACUACCUUCAACAUAAUCACCUGCCAUCUUCUUGAAUAGACUCCAAGCUUCUUCUUCUUCUAAAGCACCAACUAAGAAAUUUUUUUGAGAAUCCAUCUUCCUUGACAACACAUCUAGACUUCUUGCUGUGAACAGUACUUUACAUCCCUUAUGAUCAUCUCCGUGAGGAAUUCCUACCACCUGCAAAUCAAGAUGUUCCCAAAUAUUAUCUAAGAUGACAAGGAUCCUCUUCUCUUUCUUCAGUCGGCUAAAAAGACUCCUUGCCCUUCCCGAUUCGCUUUCCUCACGAAAUGUUAGACCUAAUUUAUCUGCGAUUUCUCCUUGAAUCCUUCUUAUGUCCGGGCUCUGGGACAUCUCGGAAAAAACCACAAGAUCAAAGAGCUUGUUAUUUUUUGCUUUUCUUGCAACUUCUUUCGCCAGCAUCGUCUUUCCAAUGCCGCCCAUUCCACAAAUCCCAAGCAUGCUGAUAUCGGGAUUUCUCAAUGCACCAAGAAUAUCAUUCAGAGUGGACAUUCUUGAUUCAAAGUCCUCGUAGCCUUUGUUGGACAUAAGCAAUGUAUCCUCAGGAAUGAUACUGUGGGAAAUUCUUUCAAAUCUCCCAUCUUCCCGGAGCUUGACUAUAGCGUCCAGCUGCCUCACUGCUUCCUUUCUAAGUCUACGGCGCAUCUUCAAAUUAGGACAAAAACCCUUGCAACUAUGCUUAUUUUCUGUAGCUUCAUCACCUACAAAUUUCUUUGCCUCAACAAUGGCCUUGUUUGCGCUUGCAAGCCAGUUCUGAACGUUCUGUUCAAUCUCUUCACAUUUUCUUUCUGCAUCAUUUACCGCGUGCUCCAUACUCACGAUCUCACCCUCCAGCUUCUCAACUUGAGUCUUGAGAUUCUCAAAGUUGCUAGUGUAGUCGCGCACAUAACUGAAUUGGCGUUCUAUGGAAGGAGCCAAGCACUUUGCAACUUCUAUAACAACAGAAACUAUGAUUUCCACCAUCUUUUAUCCUUUUCGCUCACUCUUUUUUUUUAAAAAAAAAAGAAAUUGGGAAACAGAACAGAGACAAGAACUGAAAGCACAGAACAAUGAUUAGUUAGGAAGCAAACUGACACUGAGAGAUUAAGCGCAAGUGAAGUGACUACAGCAAUAUGGGGCAGAGUAAAAAAGGAAAAAAAACAAGAGUGGAUCCGGAACAGAACAACUAUAAGGGAGUAGCGCCUAAAUAACAAGACUGGAGAUCAAAGAAUGCCAAGUGUCGUUGAGAUUAUAAGAUUGAAAAUUCAAAAGAGUUUAUGGCAAAAACUGAGGAACAAACAAAAGCACAAAACUUAAGAAAAGAUAAGGCAUAUUAUCAAACAACUUCAGCAAGUUUAUCGAUUCAGUUAUUUAAUUCUUGUAAUAAAAUAUUAAAUCUACAAGGAAGCAUUAAGGCUUGCUAAAACUUUGAGGUACAUUCCUUCUCUCUAAUUAAAGAAAAGUAGGAAUAAUGCUGAUUCAACCAUGUAUAAUUUAAAUUAAUUAAAGUUAAUAUUCGUAAAUAUGAUUUGAUUAAAGUUGUUGUGUGAAUAUACAUAUAAUAAUUGUUGGUAAAGUUUCGUAAAUGUGAAUGCUUUAAAUGCCCAUCUCUUCCCCCUGAGGAAACGUUAACAUGGGAGAUGAAGCUAUACUACUAUAAACAGUGUUUGAGCAUUUUCACCAAAUACUUGAUAAGUUUAUCAACUUAUUUAUUUAUUUCAUUUCCUAAAUAUGAAAAGCUACAAAGGGAGAAUAAUGGUUUGCUAAAAGUUCAAGGAAUGACAUUCAUUUCCGAUCAUUGAAGAAAAUCCAUGAAUGCUGAUUCCAUCAUGUGGAAUUUAAUGUUAAUUAAAGAUAAAUUUGAGAAAUGCAAAUCUUUUAAAUGUCCGUUUCUUCACUCUGAGGAAAAGUUAUCUUGGAAGAUGAAGCAUGGCUAAUAUGCUAUAACAGUGUUUGUAUUGUGGGACAAUUUCUUGCGAGCAUUUCUUAGUCAAAGUUUCAUAUAAAACUAUAAUAUCUAUACGCAGGGGAGGACAUGGCUUGGCUUGAACCCAAUUAAUUUGGGAGUAAUGAUGAUGUUUGGUAUCAUAUACGUUGAAGUUCUAGUGCAUAAUGGCAUUUAUGUUGAAUGCCACUUCAAUAAACUUUACUAAAAUAUUCCACCACUUUUUACCGCUUCUGUCAUUGUUCUGAUCAGACUCACAUUUUACCACAUGUAAGAUUAUCUAAUUGCAUUUACUUUGUCACAAUAAGACGCCAACAAUUUUUUUAAUGCUGGCCACUAGUAUGCAUUCCAAGGUAUAAACAUAUAAUUAAGGGCCGUUUGGGGCAUAUUUUUUUUGGAGGUUAAAAAAUGAUUUUGAAAAGUUAAAAAUUAAUUUUUGUGUUUGAUAAAUUUUUUUAGAAAUUACUUUUGGAAAAAUUACCUUAUUUUAUAGCAAAUUUUGAAAAGUAAGGAGUAGUCUUUCAACAUCUAAUUUUGAGAAUAAAUUUUAUACUCAAUAUAAUUUCAUACCAUAUAUAUCCUUACAUAAGAAAUAAAAUUAUUAACUUUAAAGAGAUUAUUAUUAGUAACAAUUAUAUUGAGAUAAAAAUAAAUUAAAAUUAAUAAUAUAAAAUAUUUAUUUUAACUAUCAAUUAUUAUAUAUACACACACUAAAAAAAGUAUACACAUUUUUAUAAAUAUAUAAAUAAAUUUUAUUCAACAUUAUAUCCAAUUCAAUCAUUUACAUUCUUAUAGUAGUUUAAGAGUAAUAUUUAUCGAACACAUAUGAUUACUUUUUAAAACUCAUAGCACCUUUAAAAUAAAUUUUAUUAAAUGUUUAAUUAAUUUUCUUCAUAGUUGAUUAUUUCUGUAGUUAUUAUUUUAAAAGAUAUAGCAUUACCAAACUAGUCCAAAGUCCUCCAAGAUCUUCACGAGUAUUAAUGUAAUUAGUUUGAGUCUAUAACAUCAAAAUAUACUAAUUUACAGAGUUAAAGCCAUGAAUUCACAAUAUAACGGUAAAUAUCAAUAUAUAGUCUCAAGUAAAACAUCUUCUCAUGACCAUGUCAAGUAAAUGCCGCUGGUGUUGAAUCAAUCUAAAUUCCCGUUUGUCAAAUGUAAAUGAAAAAGAAAAAAAAAGGUAACCAAAGUUGGUUGGUGUGAGUGGUUCGGCACCCUCACUCCUUAAGAGAGGUCAGGGGUUCAAGUCUCACUCUCGUAUGGAGUCACCACUUUGGCCAGCACUUUACCCUUUACGGGCCGACCCGGUGCGAGCGGGGAUUCGUCUGAGUUGUAGUACGGACUUAAAGGUGCCUCCCACAGUUGGGGUCCACUCAGGACCACCUCAUGGUUCAGAUCAAAAAAAAAAAAAAAGAUAAGCGAGACCAAAAACUGUGGCGAUCAUUCAUGUCUUUUGGCAUUUCACAUUUGAUAUUUGUAAAUAUGUAAAAACAAUCUAUUGAGUAUGAGAUUCUUAAUUUUUCUUUUUCAUCUAAUUUGUUAAUAUUAUUGAAUUUUCUUUUUCACCCAAUCUACUAAUAUUAUUGGACGUAAUUGGAACUUAGAACCACUUAUGUCAACUUUAAAUUAUAUCAACUUUAGAAUGACACACUUCGAUAUCUAAGUUUAUAAAAUGAUUGAUCUACUUCAAGCCCAAAGUUUUUUAUUUUUUUGAAAAAAAUAUUAGUUAAUAAAGGAAUACAUUUUAAACUUUUUAGUAGCCUUCUAGAUUGGGCCUUGAAAUUAUAAAAUGGUUUAUUUAGAAAUUGCGUUGGACUAUUGGCACCCCUCCAAAAUCCUUUUAAAACCCCUCUUCUGUUACAAUUAUAUUUAAGAAUAAAUACUUUAAUAUAUCUCACAUCUAUUUUAUCUCACUUUAAACUUUUGUAUUUUCUUUCUUGAAAAAAAAAAUUCUUGUAUUUUCUCUGCUAUCAAACUCAUGCAUGUAAUUUUUUUCUUAAAUUCUCUAUCAUUUUUUCUUCAAUUAUUAAGACAAUCUAUUGAUAAUAAACAAAACACAUUCUGACAAAAUUAUCUGCCUUUUUUUAAGGCUCAUAAUAAAUUUUUUUACAUCAUAACCUUACAGAUAUUUUAUUUAAUUAAUUGAUUUUUAUCAAGAAGUUUAUCACCCAUAAAAAUUUGUUUGUGAGGAGUGAGAAAAUAAUAGAAAAUUAAAAAAUUCACAAAUUAAAUGUGUUUAUUUAGAAAUAAGGGUAUUUUGGGCAUUAAGCUUAGCACUAUUGAAAAAAUGGGUCAGAAGAAUUUUGGAGGGGUGCCAAUAGUCCAACUCUUAUAAAUUAAAUAUAAAGAUUAAUAACUGGACCUAGACUCAGCCCGGUCCGGGUCUAAAAAUUUCAAGCCUAGGUCCAUCACUCCCGCCAACUGCUGGACUGGACGUUCCAUUCAUAUGCUGUUGAGAUGUAUAUAUAUAUAUAUAUAUAUAUAUAUAUAGUUUAGCUUUUAGCACCCAUAUGAAAAUUCUUACGACACCUCUUUUGUAUUUUAUUUCUUAAAAUAUCUUAGUUUUAAUUUAUAAAGUAUAAAUCCCUAUAAAAAAAAAAAAAACCACAUUCCCACAAAAUGUCAUCCUAGAAAAAGUCUCUUUGGAGUUUUAAUUAUAAAAUACAUAUAAAUUCUAAAAAUUUUUAUUAUUUUCUUUUAAUUAUUUUACUUAUAUCUCCAUUAUUCAAAACACUUUUAAUUUUUUUAAAAAUCAAAUUAAAAUUUAAAAUAUAAAUAUAAAUUAUGAAAUGGGGUGGGUGUAAAAAUUUUGUUAAAAGAAUAUUUUAUUUAGGUGUUUAAUUGAAUUUUCAGUCAAAAUAAAAAUAAAUUAAUUUGUCUUUCGUUAUAUAGGUAAUUUCAAUAACAAAGGGGUUUCAUGAGGAAUUUUGAGAAAGCCAUAUUCGUACAUCAUACAUUUGUGUGUGUGUUGGAGGGGGGGGGGGGGGGGGGGGGGGGGGGGGGGGGGGGGGGGGGGUCGGCGUGUGUUUUUUUGUGUGUGUGUGGAGUGGGUUUAUCCAAUAGGGGAUCCUUAACUUUAUUAAAUUUAGGAAUAAGAUAAAAAUAAAAUAAAAUAAACACCGAUUCCAAUUAGGGAUGGCAAUGGGGAGGGGAGGGGAGGGGACCGAUCUCCCCGUACCCAUCCCCUCCCCGUCCCCGUCAGAAUUACUUGAGAGAAUCUCCAUCCCCUCCCCGAAUAAUAACAAGGGAUCCCCGAGGGUCCCCGAUCCUCGAAUAACUAAUACAUUUUUUUUCGAUUUUGAGUUAAUAAUAUUAAAAUAAAAAAUUCAAAUAAAAGUAAAGUUUGAAAUAUAUCUUACAUUAAUAUCUAUUACAAAAGUCACAUACAUUAAAUUAGUAAGUAACGCAACAUGCAAGGGAUACAAACUUCUUUUACAAACUAUCAUGAACAAAUUAAUAGUCUAAUACAAAAUUGUUACAAAUAAAAUCGAAUUUAGAUUCAAAAUUAACUUUUUCAAUGGUGGCGUGGGCACUUUAUAAAUGUGGACUAUUCCCUUUACAACACAAUAGUUAAAUCGGAGCAAAUCAAAAGCAAAUAUUAGAUUAGAUUAGAUUAGAUAUUAAAAUUGUGAUUCGCUGUGGGCAAUUAUAACAUCUAAAAUUAAAUAAAAAAAUAGAUUUAAGUUUAAAAUAUUUAAAGAAUAUUAAAAUUAAAAAAAAUGUUUGGCUAAUAGAAUCUACUCGGUCUUUUUAAUGUCCUAAAUAAAAAUUUAGAACUUUAAUUAGCUAAUUAGGCCUAAAAGUUUAAUAAUAUAAAUAUUUUGAUAUUUUUUAUUUUUACCAAUAUUUAUAAUUUUAUAAUUUAUUUACUAGUAAUUUUAAAAAAUUAAAAUAAAAUUAAAAAUUAAAAUGGGGAAAUGGGUAGGGGAUGGGGAUUCCACCUCAUCUCCGUCCCCUCCCCGAAUAAGAAAUUGGGUAUGAAAUUAUCCCCAUACCCUCCCCGAAUGGGGAAAAUCCCCGAGAGUACCCGUCCCCGUGGGGAUUUUUGCCAUCCCUAAUUCCAAUACACUACAUGACAAAAUAUAGUGUAUUGGAGUUUAUAUUUUUUAUUUUAUUUUUUAGUUUAUUCCUAACUUUAAUAUAUCCCUUAUAAAACCCCUCUCUUGAAGUACCCCAUAAAAAUAUUAAAAAUUAUAAUAAAUCUAAUAGCACAACAUCAAUUCCAAAACUACCCUCCACAUAUAUUCCUCUACUUUUUCUUUUCUUUCUAAUAAAUUCGCGAGGGCUAGGAUCAGUACCUCCACCUCUUACUUGUUGUCAAGAUUAGUUUAAUUAGAACAAAAAACACAUAUCUAGAAAAUUUUAAUUUUUCAUUCAAGCUAAAAUUAAUUAAAAUUUUAAACUUUAUAUAGGUUUUUAUCAAGAUUUUUGAGGGGUGUGAAAAGCUCCACUCGUAUAUAACCAAUAGACCACAAUGUGUUUUCUCAUAUAUUUUGUAAUUCUACUAAUUGGCUUAAAUUGAAUUGUAAAAAAUAAUGCCACUAGAAGAAAACAGAUAAUAGAUGAUAGACAAUUUGUGACAGAUUCUAGACAAAAUAACUUAAAUCAUAGCACUAUGAAGGAUUUGUAAUAGAAAUUUCAAUCUAUCACGGAUCAAUGAUAGUUUUGUAAUAGAAAUAUUUUUUUUAUCAUGAAUAUAUGAUGGUUUUGUGAUAGAAUUAUCGUUUAUCACAAAUUUAUGAUAGAAUUGUAAUGGAAAUUUGAUCUACCAAGAAAUUGUGAUAGAAUAAUGAUUUUGACCACGUUUGACUCAAAUUUGAUGUAUUAUUUUAUUUAAGAAAACAAAAGGUACAUUUUAAUAAUUGAAAAAAAAAAAGAAAGAAAACGCUAGCCAAAUGCUACCGUUUUGGUACUUAACACUCCUUUUCUUUUUCUUCUCUAAGUGUUAAACACUCACACACUUGGAAAUCAAAAUCCAUGAAAGCUACAUUUGUAGCUCGUUUCUCCUUGCGAUAAUUCUUAAUCCCCAAGUUCGCUGGUUAAUCAUUUUCUUUAUUGCUUUAACUUUUGUUUUAGAAAACUUGUUUGAUGUGAAUGGCCUUGGUCUAGUUGAAAUAAAGAAUUAAAUCCACAAAGAUUGUGAAUCUUUUAUCUUUCAUAGUUUUUUUCUUUAAUUAGCUUGAACUAGAAAGAACUAAAUUGUUUUAUGUAUGUUUGAGUUUUGUUGAUGCUAUUUUUCCUCUAGGCAACUCGAUAAUUCUGAAAUUGAAAUGUUGAAGGGAUUAUUAGUAAAUAUUGUUGAGAAUUUAGAAUCUGGUGUUGUGUGGUUUGUUAUGACGUUUGACCAAAGUGGGAUAAAUGCUCUUGCUACACAUUUGGUCCUCCGAUUAUGAAGUGCUUGAUUUUACAUAACGUAGUGCCAUUAAUGAUUUUGUUCAAGGCGGCCGUAUUGGAUUAUUUUAGAAAUUUAUUAUUAGGUAUUUGAAUAAAUGGUUAGAUAUCUAUCUUUUGCUUGAACUCUGUGAAUUUUUAUUUCAUGUCUUAUUAUAUUUUCUUGAUGUUUUCAUGGGUUUCAUUAAGUUAUAAUCUUUCUAAUGCUUCGCUUUUUUCUAUUUUAGAACUAGUUUUGAGAUGGAUACCCCUAUUGCAAACGACAGAAUUUGAUUGCUGCUACAAAUACUUCAUUUGUGAAAAUGGUUUUCUAAUUUUUAUGUGUUGGCUUGCGGUAAAAUUGCUGAUUUAAAAUAUAGCGAAGACAAAGUUCUUAUGAGAAUUGAAUCGAUGAUAACAUAUAUUGGCAUUAUAGUAGCAUGUGAUGAGCUUUUUUUCUCCUUUCCUUAAAUUAGGCAAUUGAACUGUCAAUUUUGCUUUCUUUUAGCUUCUAUAUUCUCUUUUUCUUUGGAGGUACAAUGGAUGUUUUCAUUUGGAUAGUUCAGCUUAUGAAAAAACAGCUCUGUGCAAUUAUUAGACUGUAAACUAUUAUUAAGGUAUGCAUGUUUGUUCAUAGUUACAGUAGUUACUGCUCUAAUUCUUUUCUUGGGCAGGAAUAAGAUGCAGAGUUAUGGGACUCGGAGUUAAGAGACUAGUAUUCUUGAGGCCAACAAUUGCAGGCUAUUUAAGAUAAGUUGUGAAAUUUUGGAUUGUUGUAGUUUGAAUACUUCAAUGGUGUGGAUUGUAUGGUUAAAUGGAUAUCCAGGUUGUAUUAAUUGGGGUUUUUAAUUUUUUGUAUCAUAUUUAAUAUUUAUUUUAGAUUUAUAAAUUUAUUCUAGAAACAAAUUUAUAGAAUUUGAGAAUUCUAAUAGCAGCAGGAUCAACGACGACGACGAUGUUAAUAUUAAUUCAAUACAAAUAAUGAUAACAAUGUAAUUCAAAAUAAUAAUGCUUUUAAUUAAUUUUAAUAUUGAAAUAAUAUCAAUUUUCAGCCAAAAAUUUCAAAAAAAAUCCAAUAAUUUAAAUAAUUUUAAUUUCCCAUUAAAAGAUUGAGUAACAUAUAUAUGACUGUGAAAAACUGUCAUGAAUUCAUGAUGGAAAAUAUUCUAUCAUAAAUUAAUGAUACUGAUAUAGAUGACGGAUAAAUUAUCUGCAAUGCACUCUCUUUUAUGACAGUUAUUUACUAUCAUCUAUUGUUUAUUUUCUUGUAGUGUGCUUUUGUAAGUAACAUCAUUUAUUAUAAAUCAGUCCACGAUCUUGUUUUUAAAGUCCAAAAAAGACAUUAUGUCAUAUGGUGUAAUUAUGUGGCGUAAUAGUUUUCCCAAACUUUAAGAAAGUUUAGAAUCCUAGAUCAGACGAGUACACUCCAUCAUAUAUACUCCAAUAAAUUCUUAGCAACACAUCUUUUUUAUUUCGAGUCUAUAUCGAAAGGAUUUUAUUUAAUUAAAUGCAAACUAAUAUAAAAUCUAAUAAUUUUUUUUUAGUUUCUAGUUCAUGCUUAUAAUAAUGUUCGAAAUUAAUAGAUGAAAGAAAAAUAUUAGUUUUUUUAAUUUAAUUCAUAUAUUCUAAAUCAUAAUUUAUAUAAAACAAUCGCUGGAAAGAAAUGAAACUUUUUUUAAAAAAUAUAUGUAAUGGGUAUCAUUUGAAAAAAAAAAAAAAUUGCAUGACAAAAGGCACGCGCACACAAGCAUGACAAUUGAUUCACACAUGCAUAUUUAAUUAAUUAACUAAAACAUGGUACUUGAAAAGUCUUUGCGGGUGCCUACAAAUUGAUAUUUGGACUGUUCCACCAUUCAACCUGAAAUCAUCAAGUGAAAGAAACAAGAUCAUGCGUGUUGUUAGAUUUUGAAAGGAUAGCGAAGAUGGCACUAGAUUAAUCAAAUUGUGACACCUCCUUACAUAAGAAUAACCAAAUUGUUCAUAUUAGAGGACUCUUGUUCCAAAAUGUGCUUCAGAUCACAUAACUUAUUUGCUUUUCUUAUGAUAACCUCCAUCCCAUUUUCAACCUUUUCUUUCGACAGCCAUUCAUCAUAUCCUUCUAUUUGGAGAACUUUCAUGGUAGGAAAUCUCUUGAGGAAAUCAUCAAGUGAUAAAAUAGGAGUCCACUCAUCAGCAAACUCCACAUUAGGACAUUUUAAGUUUACAUAGCUAGUCUUCCGAAAAUAGACAUUUAUUUGAUCAAUCAGAACAAAAAAUAAAAUUGCAAAAUGGAUUAGUUGAUGUUCUUUCUAACAAUUUCACAAAAUUAGUAUUGUAAUUUUUAGAGAGAAUUUAACAAAAAAGAAAAGAAUUACAAGCUACGGCUAGCUAAAACAAUAUAUUUAUAAAAAAAAAAACUACCUUUUUAGAAAAUAAUAACAAUACACCUUGUUUGAGGGAAAUACUUCGACGAGACCAGACGUGAUGAGCAGAUAUUGGGUAGUAGAGUUCUGCGAAUAGGUGUGUUCUGUAAGAGUCUGGUAGCAGAGGAGCAGCAGCAGGAAUAUUCUGCUCGUCCACGAAUAUGCCAUUCAUGAGGAUGAACUCCCGUUAGAGGCAUAAGGCCAUUCCUGCUAGGAGGCGAGGCGAGGAGACCCGGUCAACGACAGUUGGCAAGACGUGCGUUCCUAUCCGAGAAUCAAGGCACGAAGUCCAUCUCCAUUCGCCCACAAUGACUACAAUGGGGCAUCCACAUCCGAGGGUGGGGAGAAUAAUGGGCGUGGACUACGGAAGACCGGGAUUCAGAGGAAACCUAUAAAAAGGUAGCCAGCGAAGGUAAAAGGGUUAGACUUUUUGCUAUUAGAACUGAGAAAAGAGAACUCUAAGAACUGAGAUAAAGAGAAGCCAUAAGAUUCGUGGCAAACAUUCCCAGAACCUUCAUUUCUGACUUGAGCGUCGGAGGGUUUGCGCCGGGAAAACAACCGGCGUACUCUGACCUGUCUGUGUACGUAGGAACCUCGGGAGAAGAAGCUUUACGAGGAGAGAUCCUGGUCGUGGUGAAGUUGAUCGAGCAGAGACCCUGGUCGUAGAAAGAGGACAACCAGAAUCUCGCAUCAACAUUUUGGCGCCGUUUGUGGGGAACUGAGCAAAAAGCUUCUGUCGAUAGCAAGAAGAGGAGUGAAGCAAGAAAAGCAAUGGAGACAGGAGGAAGUAGUGCACAAGGAGGUGAUAGGAGGCUUAGCGAUUCCGUGACGCUGAGGGAGAUAGCCAGUGAAGCACGGGAAAAAGCCAUGUUCGACCGGAUGGAACGGAUGGAAAAGCAGAUGGAGACCCUGACAACCAUCCUACAUGAGCUGCGGAGAGAACGAAGGGUAACCCAGGAGGAAAGGGUGAGAGGUGGUGGAGUGGCACCAGGUCCCAAUAGUACGAGGAGAAGUCAAAUCACCGGGAGAUUUGGUGGUGAGGGAGGUAACAUACCUCUGCGGGGAGAAUUUCAUAGAGAGGAAGAGCAAUCCCCGGCAAGACAGAUUUUUGGCGAGGACGACGGGGUGGCGAAUGCGGAGGAAACAGAGUUGAGGCAGCACUUGCAUGACGUAGAGCAAGAACGGGAUCAAGUUGCAGCACGUGACCCUGGUCGUGCAGUGCAGCUGGAGGAGGAAGUGCGCAGACUAGCGCAGAUAAUUGACGACAUGCAAGGAAGGAGCAGAGCUCCUGGUUGGAGGAUAAUGCUGGACGGAGAAUCACCGCUCGCAGCAGAGAUCAUGAGGGCAGUUAUUCCGAGAGAUUUCCGCCUCCCAGACCUUAGAUAUUCGGGACGAACUGAUCCGCUGGUGCACAUAGAGCGCUUCAACGACAUAACUGGGGUACAAGGAUUAUCUCAAUCCCAAAGGUGCAGGGUGUUCCCACUAUCCCUUGAGGGACGUGCACGAGAGUGGUACAGGAAACUUCCUCGGGGGAGCAUUAAAACCUUCGAGCAGAUGUGCCAGGAGUUUGCAGAGCAAUUUCGUGGGGCAAUGGCACCAGAAGAUGACAUGAUGGAGUUGAAAAGCAUGAAGCAGGGGGAGCAAGAAACCCUUCGGAAGUUCAUCAAGAGGUUUCAUCGUGUUUUCCUCGAUUUGGGAGCCUUCAACCAUCCUCAGGCACUAAGGGGAUUGAAAGAGGGAGUGAAGAUAGGAAGGCUGUGAUACAACUUGAGAAGCCCAGCUAUUCAGACGUAUGCAGCCGCAUACGAGCAGGCUAAAAGAGACAUAGAGAUCGAGGAAGAAAAGGCAGCUCGGAUUAAGACAGACCAGCUGGAGGGGCUGGAAAAGAAAGAGAAGAGGGCAUUACCAGGAAACGGGCCGAUCAGGAGGAGGGACCACCAGGCCUCCGGUAGUGGAGCAGGAGGUCGGGUAACAGCUCACCAGCCUCAUCAGAGGCCACCACAGUAUCAGCGCAGCAGGGCGCAACCUUCUCGCUCCCCAGCUAGGGAACCUUGGAGAAGGCAUGACUCGGCAUAUGGUGGUCUUCAUCAACACUCCCAUGGUAGUAGAGGGAGCAGACCAGAAGUGCUGCCAUUGCCUCCAACUCAGAACGGAGCAAAUAGAGAAAGGGCAGUGCACCUGAUCGACCAGAACCAGGACUAUGGGCGGUAUACUUCCUUGAAGAUGCCCUUGGACGAGGUGUACGAGGCCAUAAAGGACCGAGGAUUGCUGUACCUCCCUGCCACAAUAACAAAGCUACCCAGCAGGAGGGAUAAGGGACGCUAUUGUAAGUUCCAAGGCACACAUGGCCAUACUACAACAGAAUGCAGGUCGAGGAUUUGGUGAGAAAUUGAUACCUGGACGAGUUUAUAGAUGGGACCUUCCCAAUGGUAGCCUCGACAAGCGAAGGGGAGCAGAGUGACAGGAACUUGAGGCGCGAGCAGCCUGCAGUAAGGGUGAUAGCUGGGGGCCCAACAUUGGCCGGAGAUUCCAACAGGUCGAGGAAGAAUUAUGCUAGAUACGCCAUGACCAGCAAAGAUGUAUUCUUCAACACCCCAGCAGCCAAACGUGCAAGAGUCAGGCAAGUGUCAAUCAUGUGGACAGAUGAGGAUGAAGAAGGGAUUCUAUACCCCCACGAGGAUGCGUUGGUCAUCAAGGCCACUGUUGCCAGCAAGAAGUUUGACAGGAUACUGGUUGACACAGGGAGAUCAGUUGAUGUGUUGUUUAAGUCAACCCUGGAGGAGAUGGGAAUAGCAGACCUGAGGUUGGAGCACACCAACACCUCCUUGAAGGGAUUUGGAGGAGGAAAGCUGGUCCCCUUGGGUGUGGUCGAGCUGCCUAUCACAAUCGGAAGCUCCCCGACAGAAAGGACUAUGAUACUGGAUUUUGUGGUGGUUGAUGAAGAGGGUCCUUACCAGAUAAUCCUAGGUCGGCCGUUUCUGAGGAUGAGCAAAGCAGUACUGUCCAACCAUUAUCUUACUCUCAAGUACCGGGUGAAUGGGGUAGUUGGAGUGGUACGAGGAGACCAGAGAAUCGCACGAGAAGGCGAGCAGAAUCCCAAGCUUUGAAGAAAUUAUCUAAGGCAUGCAAAGACUCACCAAGUCUCAAAGCCUGUUUAUGGCGAGACCAGAAGCCAAGCGUGCCAGGAUCUGCUCAGCCACGAGAAGGCGAGCAGAAUCCCAAGCUUUGAAGAAAUUAUCUAAGGCAUGCAAAGGCUCACCAAGUCUCAAAGCCUGUUUAUGGCGAGACCAGAAGCCAAGCGUGCCAGGAUCUGCUCAGCCACGAGAAGGCGAGCAGAAUCCCAAGCUUUGAAGAAAUUAUCUAAGGCAUGCAAAGGCUCACCAAGUCUCAAAGCCUGUUUAUGGCGAGACCAGAAGCCAAGCGUGCCAGGAUCUGCUCAGCCACGAGAAGGCGAGUAGAAUCCCAAGCUUUGAAGAAAUUAUCUAAGGCAUGCAAAGGCUCACCAAGUCUCAAAGCCUGUUUAUGGCGAGACCAGAAGCCAAGCGUGCCAGGAUCUGCUCAGCCACGAGAAGGCGAGCGGAAUCCCAAGCUUUGAAGAAAUUAUCUAAGGCAUGCAAAGGCUCACCAAGUCUCAAAGCCUGUUUAUGGCGAGACCAGAAGCCAAGCGUGCCAGGAUCUGCUCAGCCACGAGAAGGCGAGCAGAAUCCCAAGCUUUGAAGAAAUUAUCUAAGGCAUGCAAAGGCUCACCAAGUCUCAAAGCCUGUUUAUGGCGAGACCAGAAGCCAAGCGUGCCAGGAUCUGCUCAGCCACGAGAAGGCGAGCAGAAUCCCAAGCUUUGAAGAAAUUAUCUAAGGCAUGCAAAGGCUCACCAAGUCUCAAAGCCUGUUUAUGGCGAGACCAGAAGCCAAGCGUGCAGGAUCUGCUCAGCCACGAGAAGGCGAGCAGAAUCCCAAGCUUUGAAGAAAUUAUCUAAGGCAUGCAAAGGCUCACCAAGUCUCAAAGCCUGUUUAUGGCGAGACCAGAAGCCAAGCGUGCCAGGAUCUGCUCAGCCACGAGAAGGCGAGCAGAAUCCCAAGCUUUGAAGAAAUUAUCUAAGGCAUGCAAAGGCUCACCAAGUCUCAAAGCCUGUUUAUGGCGAGACCAGAAGCCAAGCGUGCCAGGAUCUGCUCAGCCACGAGAAGGCGAGCAGAAUCCCAAGCAUUGAAGAAUCUUCUAAGGCAUGUGGCAAAACCAUAUACCAAGCCAGAGCCUGCUCGACCAGACGAAGACGAGCAGACUCUCAAGUGGAAAAAUAACUCGUAAUUACGACAUAAGAGAGUAAUAAAAAACAUUUCUAUUAAUUUGUUAAUAAUUAACAAAGCAGAUAAUCUUCACAAACAUUGUUCAUUACAAUACAAGAAACAUGUUUAAGAAGACGGUGGGUCCGCAAGCCGAGCAGCCUCAGUCGGCUGGUCCACCUCAGGUGCUGGGGGAGUAUCUCCAGUUACGUCUGGGGGGGUACUCGCCUCAUCAGCAUCAGCAGGGAUUACACGGGGAGGAGAGUUUUCCUCCUCGAUCACCAUUGGCGCCACCUCUUCGGCAUCCUCCUUUGCAGCCUCCUCGUCCAUAUGUUGGGCGACACCAGCUGCAAGGUCGUCCAUCUUUAGAUCAGGAUGUUGCUUCCCGAGGACGGCCAUGAUGCAACGAUAAGAAUGCCGAAGUCCCUGGUCGUACUGGUUGUCGGCCUCCUUCUCCAAGUUCUCGACCUGUGCUCGGUGGGAAUCGCGGAGAGAUUCGAGCUGAGCCUCAUACAUAGCCUUCUGCCUUUGAAGAUCCUCCUUGACCUUGGUCAGCUCCUCCUCGAGGGUAAUGGCUUUUGCUCGAGCAAGAGAUUCUUGCUCUAUCAGCUUCAGGUUCUCGACAUUCAGCUCUCCUGCUUUCUUCUCGGCGCCGUCAGCUCUGGUCCUCGCCGACUGAAUGUCCUCCUUCAUCUUCCUGUCAUAACGGCCGACCUUGGCCUUAUAGUAGGUGGUCAUGCAGCUGAGAUGGAAAGCGCUAUACUGCAUGGCUCCCACCAGCUCGCCCAGGGUGCAGCCAUCAAAGUCCUCCAGGUCCUUCUUGCUCACGAGUUUAGAUAACUCAUUAAGAUAGGGGACCAAGUGUUCUGCUCGGCUGUCAGGUAAGCGAGAUCGAGGCCUGACAGGAGGAGAAGAGAAAGCAGGAUCUGUGGCUGCUCCACUAGUUUCCCCGACUUUGGCAGGAGCAGGAGGUAAAGUCUUCAAGGGAGAGACCUGCUGCACGAUGUUGGCCCGCUUUGCAGUAGGGGCGUCCUUAUUCUGGUCCCUCUUCGUGGUUUGAGGUCGAGAACGUUUCCUGUUCAGAGCCCCAAUCACCGCAUCCUCCAUCUUAUGACCAGGGAGUAUCAAGCGAGACUCGAGCAAGUUGUAUGUAGUUAUCAGCUCCCGGCUCGAGCAGGAAUUGGCUAGCACAGCCUCGACCCGUUUGAGCUGGUCAGGUUUGAGCGAGAAAUGAACACCCCAAGAAACUACAACACAAACAGACACUUGGUUAGAGACAAACCAACAAAGCGAGAACAAUUACGAAUACAAGACAUCUAAAGCGAGCAGGCAACCUGGGACCGUGAAACGGGGUGGGACGCGAUAAUCAUUCCCGUCUAUUUGUGCAACUUGACCCCAAGGACCCCCAGCAAAAAAGAAUUUCCUCUUCCAAUUCCCACCACCACCAGUAGGGAGGUCGGUUAUGGGUUUCCUGGUCUUGGUACUAGAUUGAAAGUAGUACCAGCCGGCAUCUUUGGGGCUGCUCUUUAGUUGGUACAGGUGCUUCACCUCAUCAACUGUGGGCUCGCUUUGGCAACAUCUGUCCCACAAUAUGAACAGACCAGAAAGUACUCUCCAACCAUUUGGGUUCAGCUGACCAGGAGAUAGAUUCAGCCCAUUAAGUAUCCGGGCAAAGUAAGGUUGCACGGGACACCUCAGCCCAUACUUAAAGCUAUCCAGAUACAGGGUAACGUAUCCCCUAGGAGGCCGGCUAGGAGUAUCCUUCUUUCCUGGGACCUUAAGAGGGAUUUCACCAGGAAUAUUAUACCUAAGCCGGAGGUCAUUGAGCUCAUCAAACGUGGUUAUGCAUGUCAUGUAAUCAAUAGCGUAAUCCCGCGAUAGGGCUCUACCUCCUAUUGUACUCCGCCCUUCUGGUCGCGACGCUCCUGAUGGGGACACCUCGCCAGAAUCAUCUCCUCGGCCCUCACUCAGGGUGUUCUCCGAGCCAGAAGAUCCCUCUUCAUCACUAUUUCUGCUCGAGGAGGUUGUUUGGGGAGACAUCCUCCUAGCGCUAGUGCCGACACUAGAUCUAGUGGGCUCUAAGGGGAUCCCGGGGUCAAAAGCAGGAUCAGUGAGCAGACUAGGCAGGAAGUCCAACUCAUCGUCGUCAACCUCAAUGACCUUCUCUUUACCUUUCGACAUUCCCUAAACUCUAACCACAACACCACCACCAACUACUACCCGAACAAAAGAGAACAGAAAUUAUCUACAACUAUCCGAGACCAAGGAGAUAGAAGAAAUACCUGAAGUAAUGGUUCAGUCGGUGAAAGACAGAAAUUGAGGCCUUUAUGCCGGAACUUCUUUGCCGGAGAGACAGAGACGGAGACGGAGGGAAUGAUGAAUUUGCUGUUUGAAAGGAUUUAGGUUUCCUAAUGGGGACGGACUCUUGGGUUUGCCAGCAUUUAACGACACCAAAUCCCAAGGGCCUCGUAACCGUUGGUUUGAAAUUCGAAUAGAGGGGCAGAUUUCUGCCACAUCACCUCGUCCGCAAUUAAAUGCGAUAUGACUCUUGGCAGCCUUUUCCAAUCCCACGCGAGCAGGUACUGUCAAGUUUCUACUGCUGGUCCACUACAUUACCCAACACCAGAAAUUGGGGGACCGGUGUUUGAGGGAAAUACUUCGACGAGACCAGACGUGAUGAGCAGAUAUUGGGUAGUAGAGUUCUGCGAACAGAUGUGUUCUGUAAGAGCCUGGUAGCAGAGGAGCAGCAGCAGGAAUAUUCUGCUCGUCCACGAAUAUGCCAUUCAUGAGGAUGAACUCCCGUUAGAGGCAUAAGGCCAUUCCUACUAGGAGGCGAGGCGAGGAGACCCGGUCAACGACAGUUGGCAAGACGUGCGUUCCUAUCCGAGAAUCAAGGCACGAAGUCCAUCUCCAUUCGCCCACAAUGACUACAAUGGGGCAUCCACAUCCGAGGGUGGGGAGAAUAAUGGGCGUGGACUACGGAAGACCGGGAUUCAGAGGAAGCCUAUAAAAAGGUAGCCAGCGAAGGUAAAAGGGUUAGACUUUUUGCUAUUAGAACUGAGAAAAGAGAACUCUAAGAACUGAGAUAAAGAGAAGCCAUAAGAUUCGUGACAAACAUUCCCAGAACCUUCAUUUCUGACUUGAGCGUCGGAGGGUUUGCGCCGGGAAAACAACCGGCGUACUCUGACCUGUCUAUGUACGUAGGAACCUCGGGAGAAGAAGCUUUACGAGGAGAGAUCCUGGUCGUGGUGAAGUUGAUCGAGCAGAGACCCUGGUCGUAGAAAGAGGACAACCAGAAUCUCGCAUCAACACACCUAACAUGCAGAAAGUAUAUAUAUAAGAAUUGAAUAAUUAAUUAUAAAUUUCAUAUACGUACCUUUUCUGUCAAGUCAUCUCAAACAGAGGCCAAGUAUUGUUGAGAUCAGAGGAUUGAUAAUAACAAAAGAUUGUUGGCAAAAGCGGAACAACAAAACCGAAGCAAAGUGUGUCUCUGAUCAAAAGAUGGAAAUAAUAAGGAAAGGGUUUGUUAAUUUUUAGGAAUGAAUGCAAAGAGAAUGACCGAUACUAAAAAUUAUUUCAUUAAUGGAGGAGAGGUAGAAGAAUAAUGGACGUAAAUAAGGAAAGGAUUGUGCGGAUUGCAAUGACACUCCACAUCAAGAAAGGAUAAAAAAUUUGAAAGUGAGCCUUUUUAUUUUUUAAGUGCAUGCUACGCUGUAAAGCCAAAGUUCAAUUUAAUUUAGAAUUGAAGAAAAAGAAUGAAUAAAUGAAGAUAAAGGAUGAGAAGGUGAUAGCUUUAAUUAUGAUUAUUUGUUAGCCUAGGGAUGAUAGACCAAGUAUAAAUGUUAAAUUCAGAACAGAAUAUUUAUGAUGUCAGUUGGUACUUGGUACUAAAAUCCUGAAUACUUGAGUAGUUAAAAGCCAAAAUUAAAUAUUAAAAUAUACAAAGGAGAACAAUAGUUUGCUAAAGGUUUAAGGAGUGAGAUUCCUUUCCGCUCAUUGAAGAAAAUCCAGGAACAAUAAUGCUGAUUCAACCAUGUAUAAUUUAAUGUUAAUUAAAGUUAAAGCCAUCAUAUUCGUAAAUAUGCUUCGAUUAAAGCUGUUGUGUUGAAUAUACAUAUAAUAAUCAUUGCUCAAGUUUCCGAAAUGUGAAUCUUUAAAUGUCCAUUUCUUCACUCUGAGGAGAUGUUAACGUGGAAGAUGAAGCAAUGCUAUAACAAUGUUUAAUUUCUUGCGAGCAUUUCACCAAAUACUUGGUACGCAUAAAUGGUCAAUCAUACUUGUCAAAAAAAUUGAUGAACAUUCACUCCUACAGAAGCAAAUCAAUGUUUGUAAAAAUCAUAAUUAGCCAAAGAAAGUUCAUGUAUUUUUUUUUUCUUUUAAGAUUCAAGACAAUUCUUCAAAGAUGAAAUCAGUUUUUAUUGAUACGUUCAACAAAUUCGAAGGCAUUCGAACCUUUUGUGGCACGAAUUGCUAGUUUUCUACACAAUUAAUCAAAUCAACGACAAAGUACAAAAUAUGUUAUUGCAUUUGUUUUGUUAUAUAUGUGUGUUACAAAAAUAGAGAUAAUCGCUAUGCCAAUAAAAUAACAGUAAUGAUAUACUUACUACCAUUAAUAUUGCCGUUAGUAGUUUGUACACCAUUACUACUGGAUAAAAAGAAUUUUACUACAAAACAAAAGAAAAUUAAAUGAUAAGACAAAUUGUUUUUGGUCUCUUAUAGAUUUUGUACUAAUUAUUAUACUAAUUAUCAAUAUUCAUAAGAAAAUAAUGUACAACAAUGAAGGAACCAUACAGAGGUAAAAAUGUUUUUUUUUUAAAUUUUUUUUAAUGAAAGUAAAGCAUUUGGCUAAGAUUUAUUUUGGUACUUGGAAGGAUAUACAAAGCAAAAGAGUAUAUGAUAAAGUGCAAAAAACCACACCCUUCAUGGUAAUAUAAUGAGUUGAAUUAUUUUUUAAAUCUAGUUAAAAAUUUAGCUUAAUUGUAAAUAAAGUGAAAAGAGCUAGAUUGAUUGUCAAUAUCAAAAUUUAAAAUUUAAUUUUGAUCACCCAUUUAACUAGAAGAGAUUAAGAGAGGAAAGAAAACUAAGAGAAGAUCUUUGUCCCAUGAAUAAACUCAAGAUGUAUCAAACAGAUACUUUUGGUGAAGUCAGGGGAGCUGCAAGACUGCUCUUUCCCGCCCCUUUGUAACGAACUUAACUGACCUUUGACUUGGUCAGAAUACGUGAUGCACGCAAUGCAAGCACGUGAGGACCCAAAUGAGGAAUUCCAAAAGUUGGACACCCCCAAACGCAGCGUUUUGGUUCUGGUCUUGAAUAUUGAUUCAUCAACAACAAAUAUCAUUCCAACUUUGGGGGGGGGGGGGGGGGACACCAUAAACUAUACCUUUUCCAUUCAUUAUAUCAUAAGAAUACAAUGAUUAACAAUAUCAAAUUUAAGUGACAAUCAAUAAAAACUGAAGCUAAUAUAUACACAACACUGAAACAAUGAAAUUGUUAUAGUUUGACAAAAUAAAAAAUUAUACAAAUUAAACAAACUGAAAAAAGAAAAGAAAUUGUGGUGAGCGCGAAGCAACUGCACUUGGACAUUCAAGAGAAAGAUAGUUAUUUUCCUCCAGAAACAACUACAAUUACAUAAAAAGGGAACUUUUCAUCUCUUUCAAUUUCUUAUACACACAACUGAAGAGAGAUAUAGAAAAUUAAAGGAAAAAAAUGAGAAAAUUAAAGGAAAAAAAAUGAGAGAGAGACACAUAAUAGAUUUUGCAGGAGCACUAUUGUCCCUCAGUUGUGUAUAUAAGAAAUUGAAAGAGAGAAUCCCUUUCUGAAUGAAAAGUUCCCUUUAUAUAGUCAUUAUAGUGUCUUUGACGAAUAUCAGACCGACAUUUUAGACCUUUGGAAACUCAAGACAACAAAGGCUAAUUUAGCCAUUUUAAGAAAUUAUGAUUUCGUCCCCUUCAAUAUUAUCAAUGUAAAUUCCAUCCGUCGUUCCAUUACGGGAAGACCACGCAACCAGAGCAUUAUACCAAUUUUGUAUAUCCACGUCAAUCUUUAUAAUAAUAAUACUAAAAAGUUCCGAAGAGAAAAAGGGGGGAUAGGCGGCGGGUUCCUAUUGGGCCAGAAGUUACGGACUGUAGAAGCUAAGCCACAGAGCUCCCAUUGGAGAGUCGAUCACGGCCACCACCGAGCCCAGCGUGGAUUUACAAGAGCAGUUGGCCGCACUCGUGCUCGUCAAAAAGUGAUAAUAUUUCAGGGCUGAUGCUACAAGACCUGCAUGUAUCUGAUACAUGCAGGUUUUAUGCCAACGGCCAUAAAUGAAUUUAAACAAUAAAUAAUUAAAAAAAUAUAAAAAACUUGAAACCUAUAGAAUCGGUCUCAACACACACCAAACCCCCUCAACACACAUCAAACCCAGGCAUAUAUAUUUGUUGGAAAAAAAAAAACAAAAGGCUCUCACCUCACGUGGGAAAUCAAUUUCUUCUUCCCUCCCUCCUCACUCACGGCUCACGGCUCACGGCUCGCUCUCCCUCUCCCUCUUCACUCACCCUCACGGCUCCCUCUCCCUCUCCCUCAUCAUUCACUCUCUCGCCUGCAGUCCCUCACGAGACGCCUCAUCAAGGCCACCAACGACAGCGCUAUUCAGCGACGACACACGGAGGUUGAUCUCCAUUGGCGGCAAGGAUCCGCAGCUACAGAUUCACAACCCACUCAGUUCCCGUCAGCCCAUUCUGAGUCGUUGUCAGGCCAUCUCUGCAAUCCACCUACGGUAAUGAGACAUGGGUAUAAUGGGUUUUGCUUGGUAUCAUUAUAUUUGUUGAUUGAGUGUUUUAUUUGAUGUGGUAAGAAGAAUCAUUCGCCUCUCAUAUUUAAAAAUUACAACUUUUACCAUGUAAGUUUAUUAGUGCGUAUUGUUGGGUUAUGUAAUAAUUUACAUGGAUUUAGAAUUCGUGGACAGAGUUUGAUGACAUUAUCAAUGUGUAUUGACAAGGGACAUAAUUUUUAGUGUACACAGUAUAAUGGUUAAGCGUAAGGCCAAUGUCGCAGAUGACAUUAAUAUUCAGUCUGAGAAGCUGGAUCCUCCGAGGCCGGGCAAGCAUUCGUACAUAUACUGCUUGUAAGAAACUAAUUCAUUGUUGAAUUUUAUUCUUGACAUUCUGUAGUCAUUUCAGUUUAACAGUGCAAUAAUUUUAAUUGACAUAUAAAGAACUGAUAUUUGAUAUUAUUUUUCUAUCUACAGCAAGAUAGAAUCCCAAAAGUUAAAGGAAGAAGGUGUGAAGGUGGACGAAACGGUUUGUAGACAACUUUUCUAUGUUACAAUCUACUAACUAAUAGUUUCGUUGAUGAUUGGCCAAUGAAUUUUUUUUUUUUUUAGUGUAGGUUAAGGGGCGUGUACGUGACAAAUGGUUGAAACUCAGCGCGAAAGAUAAAGCCGAAUUCAUCAACAAUUAUAAUGAAAAGGCUGAAAUGAACUCGAGAUUGGCCAGUGGAUUGUUAAGUGAACCGAUUCCAACAAUGGAGAACAAUUCUGAUAAGGGUAAUCACCUAUCUCAAUGUAGUGUUUUUCGGUUCUCCAACAUUGUUUCUUCGUUAUCUAUUGAACAACAAGAUGCUGUGAGAGAAAUUGGUUUCGGAAGCUUGUUAGGUUUAAAAUGUGGGCGACUUAGGCAAGAUUUAUGUAGAUUGUUAGUUAAGCAAUGUAACGUAGAUAAGCGGUCGAUAACAGUCCAUGGAAUGGAAUACAAGCUUACUCCGGAAACUUUUACAAGCGUGAUGGGUGUUGGUGACGGAGGAACACCGAUUGUGCUUGGUGGUGAAGAUAGUGAAAUUACUGACUUACGAGCCAAGUAUUGCUCAGGAAAGAAAGGCAUCCCAAUAGGUAGUUUAGAUGACAAAUUAAAGAUAAAUAGUUGUGUAGAUGAAGAUUUUUGUAUUCUAUUUAGUCUAUUUGCGAUUGGAACUAUUUUGUGUCCAACUACAGCUGCAUACAUCAACCCAUCAUACCUUUAUGCUUUAAAAGACGUGAGUAACAUUCGCGGCAAAAAUUGGGCCAACUGUCCAGGAGAGCUAAUGUCAAAAAGUGCAUCAGAAAUUUGGGAAUUCUUCCAGCGACAAGCGGAUAAUUCCCAACAACGGAGUCGAUCACUCAGGAAUACUAGAAGAAUUAAGGGAGUAAAUGAGGUUCAAAUUAGCGAGUCAACUUCGGGAAUCAAAGAAGUCAAGGAGAUGGUUGAAGGUCUUGCUCGACAAAUAGCAUCGUUAUCGACUGCUAAAUCAACAGAACCACAUGACCAUAACUCAUACUCAGAUCAAGCCAAUGCCAUAGGUGUAAUGAGGAAACCAUCGAAUUACAACCCAUACUCCAACACAUAUAACCCUGGAUGGAGAGACCACCCCAAUUUUUCAUGGUCUCAAGGAUUCCAACAAAACGGACCAGCAGCUCCAGCUCCACCAAUUCCACAAAAUCCUCAAGCCUCUCAGCCCCCAUUUAGACCAUUCAAUCAGAACCAGAACUACUCUCAACCCAGACCAUGGGAGGAUUCAUUCCAGAAUCUCAAGAAUCUUACUCACUCCACGAUUGAGCAACAGAGCCGCACCAUUGAUGGACUACAAAAUGAGUUGAGAGCAGGCUUCAACUCACAAGCUCAAUCAGUUUCAAGCCUCGAGAAGAUGGUGGGACAACAUGCUUCUUCAGUUCAGACCUUGGCAAUGACUGUUGAGAAAGGUAAAUUUCCAAGUCAACCAGUGCCUAAUCCUAAAGGAGUACAUGAAGCAAGUACCAGUUCACCACAGCAGCAUGGAGAGGUCAAAGCAGUCAUGACCUUGCGAAAAGGAAAAGAAGUCGACAACAAAGUGGAGAUGCCGGUGACAAAAGGAAAUCAAAUUGUACCUUUGAAUGUUGAGGAAUCAUCACCGGAGGAGAAAGAAGAAACCAACCCACGAGAAUAUGUUCCCAAAGCUCCAUUUCCUCAAAGGUUAGCGAAAGGAAAGAAGGGAAAAUCCACAGGUGAGAUUCUCGAAAUCUUCAAACAGGUAAGUGUUAACAUCCCUUUGCUUGAUGCUAUUAAGAAAGUUCCAUCUUAUGCCAAGUUUCUUAAAGAUCUUUGUACUAAAAAGAGAAACAUUCAUGUUAAAAAAAAGGCAUUUUUAACAGAAAACGUUAGUUCUAUCCUCCAACAUAAAAUUCCUCUAAAAUGCAAAGAUCCAGGUUCCCCCACUAUCUCAUGUAGCAUAGGGAAUCACACAAUUGAGAAUGCUUUGUUGGAUUUAGGAGCUAGUGUAAAUCUGUUGUCUUACUCAGUAUUUUUGAAACUUGGACUUGGAGAAUUACACCCAACUCCAGUGGUGUUACAACUUGUAGAUCGGUCCACGAAAAUACCUCGUGGUAUUGUGGAGGACGUGCUUAUCCAGGUAGACAAGUUUUAUUUUCCUGUUGAUUUCAUUGUAAUUGACACUCAACCAAUACAGGAUUGAAGGAAGCACAUCCCCAUUAUUCUAGGCCGACCUUUCUUGGCAACUGCGGAUGCUCAUAUUUAAUGCAGGACUGGAAAUAUGCAGUUGUCCUUCGGCAACAUGACUAUGGAGCUAAACAUUUUCAACAUUGCCAAACAACCUCACAAUGCAGAUGAUGAAGUUGUUGAUGUGGAUUUAAUUGAAGCAUUAGUUGAUGACACUUUUCUUUCAAACCUUAGUGAUGAUCCUUUACAGACAUGCUUAACUCACUUUGGUUUUGAUUUUAAUAUUGACAGAUCAGUUGAUGAGGUCAACGCCCUGCUUGACUCAACACCAUCCAUGGACACUAAUAAAUGGAAGUCAAGAGUUGAACAACUAGCACCAUCAGAGAAGAAACUCAUCCCAUCAUCAGAAUCACCACCGAAACUCGAGCUCAAACCAUUGCCCAACACUCUGGAAUAUGCAUUUUUGGGAGAAGAAAGUUCUCUGCCGGUAAUCAUCUCAUCAUCCCUAAAUGACGAACAAAAAGGUAAGUUGUUGGAUGUUUUAAAAGAGCACAAAGGAGCAUUAGGAUGGACCAUAGCAGACAUAAAAUGUAUAAAUCCAGUAGACUGCAUGCAUUACAUUCAUCUUGAUGAAAUUGCUAAAUCUACUAGGGAAAUGCAACGUCGGUUAAAUCCUAAUAUGAAAGAAGUUGUUAGAACUGAAGUCCUUAAGCUAUUAGACGCAGGUAUCAUUUACCCAAUUUCUAAUAGUUCAUGGGUCAGUCCUGUACAAGUUGUCCCCAAAAAGUCAGGAGUCACAGUAGUUACCAAUGCCGAUAAUGAAUUGAUACCAACUAGAGUAACUACAGGAUGGCGUGUAUGCAUUGAUUAUAGAAAGUUAAAUUCUGUCACACGUAAAGACCAUUUUCCUUUACCAUAUCGAUCAAAUGCUUGAUAGAUUAGCAGGCUAUGAAUUUUAUUGCUUUCUAGAUGGCUACUCAGGAUACAAUCAGAUUCCCAUAGCACCAAAAGAUCAAGAGAAAACCACUUUCACUUGCCCUUUUGGCACUUUUGCAUAUAGAAGAAUGCCAUUUGGAUUAUGUAAUGCACCUGCUACAUUUCAACGAUGCAUGUUAAGCAUUUUUUCUGAUAUGGUUGAACGAUUCCUUGAAGUCUUUAUGGAUGACUUUUCUGUCUUUGGUGACUCGUUUGAUCAAUGUUUACAUCAUCUAACGCUAGUUCUGCAGAGAUGUACCGAGAAGAACUUAGUCUUAAAUUGGGAGAAGUGCCAUUUUAUGGUAAAACAAGGUAUUGUUCUCGGUCACAUCAUUUCAAGCAAAGGUAUUGAGGUUGACAAAGCCAAGGUGGAUCUCAUUUCUAAUCUUCCUCCACCCAAAACAGUCAGACAAGUAAGAUCUUUCCUUGGGCAUGCUGGUUUCUAUAGACGUUUCAUUAAAGAUUUUAGCAAAGUUUCUAGACCCUUAUGCAAUUUACUUGCUAAGGAUGUACCUUUUAUCUUUAAUGAUUCAUGUCUUGUGGCUUUUGAAAAAUUAAAGCAAUUGUUGACAUCAUCACCCAUCAUUCAGCCCCCAAAUUGGAGCUUACCAUUCGAGCUCAUGUGUGAUGCAUCUGAUUAUGCAGUAGGAGUAGUAUUAGGACAAAGAGUUGAUCGAAUUCCCCAUGUUAUUUACUAUGCUAGUAUGACAUUGAAUGAUGCACAGUUGAACUAUUCAACUACUGAAAAAGAAAUGCUAGCAGUAGUGUUUACAUUGGAAAAAUUUCGAUCUUAUCUCAUUGGUUGUAAAAUAAUUAUAUUCACAGAUCACGCUGCUUUUAAAUAUCUUCUCACAAAGAAAGAUGCAAAAGCUAGACUAAUUCGUUGGGUGAUACUUUUGCAGGAAUUUGACUUGGAAUUCAAAGAUAAGAAAGACACAGAAAAUGUCGUGGCGGACCAUCUCUCUCGUCUCCAUUUUGAUACAAUUACAGAGCCAUUACCAUUAAAUGAGUCAUUCCCAGAUGAACAAUUGAUGAAUGUGGAAGUAUUACCGUGGUAUGCUGACAUCGUGAAUUAUCUUGUUACAGGUCAACUUCCAGAGCAUUGGACCAAGUAAGACAAGGCUAAAUUCUUUGCAGAAAUAAAGAAUUUCUUUUGGGAUGACCCGUAUUUGUUCAAGUAUUGUGCAGAUCAAAUUGUUAGACGAUGUGUCCCAGAAAAUGAAAUUCAGAAUAUCCUUUCAUUCUGCCAUGAACAAGCUUGUGGAGGCCAUUUCAGUGCUAAGAAAACAGCGACUAAAGUUUUACAAUGUGGUUUCUAUUGGCCAUCUAUAUUUCGAGACGCUUACACUUUCUGUUCUUCAUGUGAUAGGUGUCAACAAAUGGGGAGCAUUACACGAAGGAACAUGAUGCCACUAAAUCCAAUUUUAGUGGUUGAGAUUUUUGACGUAUGGGGUAUCGACUUCAUGGGACCCUUUCCCCCGUAUUUUGGUCAUCAAUACAUAUUGGUUGCUGUUGACUACGUAUCGAAAUGGAUAGAAGUAAUUCCAUGUAGAACCAAUGAUCACAAGGUGGUGAUAGGAUUUUUGAAAAGCAACAUUGUUUCGCGCUUUGGAUUCCCUAGAGCGAUAAUCAGUGAUGGUGGUGCCCACUUUUGUAACAAAGCAUUCAAAGCUCUUUUGACAAAGUAUUCAAUCACACACAAAGUGGCGACUCCGUAUCAUCCGCAAACCAGUGGCCAAGUUGAGAUCUCCAAUCGAGAAAUAAAGCACAUAUUAGAAAAAACAGUGAGGCCAGACAGAAAAGAUUGGUCAUUAAGACUUGAUGAUGCAUUAUGGGCAUAUAGAACGGCUUUCAAGACCCCGAUUGGGAUGCCACCCUACAGGCUAGUGUAUGGAAAAGCUUGCCACCUACCUGUGGAACUCGAGCAUCGUGCGUAUUGGGCCAUCAAGAAAUUUAACUUUGACAUGUGUUGAGUGUUAGAAAAUGCAUAUUUAUAAAGGAGAAAACUGUCAUUUUACAUUUCAAGUCUUACUAACAACCCUUACUUUUAUGUAUUUAUCAUUCUUGUGAUUUAAUUACGUAUGUUUUAUUUUAAUUAAGUAUUUUAUGUAUUUUAGGGGCAUUAUAGUCAUUUCUCAAUAAAGGAGAGAUCAGAUGGCAAAACGGACAUCACUUUUGAACUCAGGACGGUCGAAAACCUUAGGAGGAGCAUAAAAGGAAAAAUGGCACUAUUCACAUGUACGGUACUAUUCACGUAUAUGGUACUGUAUACGUUACUGUUCACGACACUGUUCACAUAGACGGACGAUGACGUGACAUUGACCGAUGAGGUGGCAUUGACUGAUGAGGUGUCACGAUCCUGUUGGACUAAAAUUCUUAUGUACUGUUGAUGAUGACGUGGCAGCAUAUCAGUGGACAAAAAAUCUCGCGUACGGUACAUGCAUCACACAGGAUUAUUUUCAACCAAACCGUGUUACUGUUCAUCCGGGUGAAACCGUGUUACUGUUCAUCCACGUGGUCAAACCGUGGACUGUUGACUGAUGACGUGGCGAAAUCCUGAGCGUCCAAACUGUUUUUAAUCCGAUGGCCAUGAUUUACUCCAUGUAUCUAUAAAAAGGGGGCCUCCCCCCCCUAAUUUGAUACCUCUGAAUCCAUUUUUGAACUCUAUUUUCUGUAAUUCCCUCUCCAUCUUGUAUUUUCUACGUAUUUUAAUAAAUUCUCAUUUUGCCCCUAGUUCAAUUAUGAGUGGCUAAUUUUCUUUCAAGCUUGGGUUGAAGGUGAAGUCUCAACAUGUGUCAUGGGUUUAAUUUGGUAAAUUUAUUUUCUCUUCCCCUCUAGUUUUUGUGGAUGUUUUGACUUCUCGUUGACAAAUAAUAAUAAUCUUGUCUAGAUACCGCCUUGGUUACACCGGCUCUCUAGUAUAAGGUUAUUAUUAUUUGGCACGAUAAGCCCUUAGCACCAUAUUGAUUAGAGCGUGGUUCAUGAGGUGUGGAUUCCCCCCUCAUGAUUUAAUUGGCAUUAAUAAGGAUUAUUUAGCCCAUGAUGCAUGUUGAUACGGAUCCAAAUACCCAAGUACGUCAUUUAAAUAGAAUUCUCUUCAAUUUAUUCUCGCCAUUUUAAUUUAAGUUUUAGCGUAUUCCAAAUCAUUUCCACCACAAAUCCAAUCACCCAUUUACAAAAUUAAUUCUACACACAAUUAAAAUCCACCUCCUCGUGGGAUCGACACUCGUCACUAUUGAUCUAUACUACAAUAGAUUCGUGCGCUUGCGAGUACAUUAAAAUUUGCACAACAAGUUUUUGGCGCCGUUGCCGGGGAGGUAAGUAAUUUUAAUUCAUAAAAUUAAUUUUUGUGAAUAAUUCCAUUUAAAUUGUUUUCUUGUAUUUAAAAAAAAAAAGUGAAUCUACAUUUAAAGGUUAGUAUUUCUUUUCUUUUUCUCUUCUUUAAAAUUCUGUAAUUUAUUUUUCAAUUUAUUUUUCUUUGUAAUUUUUUUUUGUUUAUCUUAUUAAUUUAUUUUUAGUUAAUUUAUUUCACGUAUUUAUUUUUGUGUAUUUUUAUAGUAAGGUUGUAAUAGCGCAAUAAGGUUAGUAUCGUAAUUUCUCCUUCUUCUUUAUUUUUAUUUGUUUUGUUCCUAUUUAUUUUUUAUUCUUUGCAUGCAUGGUCGUAGGUCAUUAUUACAUAAUCUUGAACCUAUAACCUUGAACUAGAAAAAACACUUCGCACACACAAGCACGUUAAAAAUAAAUUUGAAAUGGAUUUACAAGCACCACAGGAGAGGCCAUUUAAGGACUAUUUUAGUUCCUUAGCUAAUUUGAGCACAUCAUGUAUAAGAUACCCAAAUGUAGCUGCUAGGAGUUUUGAACUAAAACCUAGUGUGCUAAAUUGUCUCCCCACAUUUUAUGGCCUAGAAAAUGAGGACCCAUAUAAUCAUCUGAAUGAUUUUCAUGCCAUUUGUCAAACUUUUAAAUAUGAAAAUUUUUCAGACGAUGAUGUUAAACUAAGAUUAUUCCCAUUUUCUUUAAAGGAUAGAGCUCGUUCAUGGCUUAAUACAUUGCCUGCUAAUAGCAUUGCAUCAUGGGAACAAAUGGUUACAAAAUUUUUGAAUAAAUAUUUCCCAGUGCAUAAAACCAAUGCUAUUCGCAGGGAAAUUUCAGAGUUUACCCAGAGAGAGGACGAGCAAUUUUUCGAAACAUGGGAGCGAUUCAAUGGGCUACUCUUGAAGUGUCCACAUCAUGGGUAUGAGAAAUGGCAUCAAUGCCAAUACUUUUUGGAGGGAUUAUUGUCGAAUGUGCAAGAGUGGCUAAUGGCAACAAGUGGAGGAGAGCUAAUGUCAAAAAGUGCAUCAGAGAUUUGGGAAUUCUUCCAGCGACAAGCAGAUAAUUCCCAACAACGGAGUCGAUCACUCAGAAAUACUAAAAGAAUUAAAGGAGUGAAUGAGGUUCACAUUGGCGAGUCAACUUCGGGAAUCAAAGAAGUCAAGGAGAUGGUUGAAGGUCUCGCUCGACAAAUAGCAUCGUUAUCAACUGCUAAAUCAACAGAGCCACAUGACCAUGACUCAUACUCAGAUCAAGCCAAUGCCAUAGGUAUAAUGAGAAAACCAUCAAAUUACAACCCAUACUCCAACACAUAUAACCCUGGAUGGAGAGACCACCCCAAUUUCUCAUGGUCUCAAGGAUUCCAACAGAAUGGACCAGCAGCUCCAGCUCCACCAAUGCAACCAAUUCCUCAAAAUCCUCAAGCCUCUCAGCCCCCAUUCAGACCAUUCAAUCAGAACCAGAACUACUCUCAACCCAGACCAUGGGAGGAUGCAUUCCAGAAUUUCAAGAAUGUUACUCACUCUACGAUUGAGCAACAGAAUCGCACCAUUGAUGGACUACGAAAUGAGUUGAGAGCGGGCUUCAACUCACAAGCCCAAUCAGUUUCAAGCCUCGAGAAGAUGGUGGGACAACUUGCUUCUUCAGUUCAGACCUUGGCAAUGACUGUUGAGAAAGGUAAAUUUCCAAGUCAACCAGUGCCUAAUCCUAAAGGAGUACAUGAAGCAAGUACUAGUUCACCACAACAGCAUGGAGAGGUCAAAGCAGUCAUGACCUUGCGAAAAGGAAAAGAAGUCGACAACAAAGUGGAGAUGCCGGUAACAAAAGAAAAUCAAAUUGUACCUGUAAAUGCUGAGGACUCACCACCGGAGGAGAGAGAAGAAACCAACCCACGAGAAUAUGUUCCGAAAGCUCCAUUUCCUCAGAGGUUAGCUAAAAGAAAAAAGGGAAAAUCCACAGGUGAGAUUCUUGAAAUCUUCAAACAGGUAAGUGUUAACAUCCCUUUACUUGAUGCUAUUAAACAAGUUCCAUCUUAUGCCAAGUUUCUUAAAGACCUUUGUACUAAAAAGAGAAACAUUCAUGUUCAAAAGAAGGCAUUUUUAACAGAAAACGUUAGUUCUAUACUCCAACAUAAAAUUCCUUUAAAAUGAAAAGACCCAGGCUCCCCCACUAUCUCAUGUAGUAUAGGGAACCAUACAAUUGAGAAUGCUUUGUUGGAUUUAGGAGCUAGUGUAAAUCUGUUGCCUUACUCUGUAUUCGUGAAACUUGGACUGGGAGAAUUACACCCAACUCCAGUGGUGUUACAGCUUGCAGAUCGGUCCACGAAAAUACCUCGUGGUAUUGUGGAGGACGUGCUUAUCCAGGUAGACAAGUUUUAUUUUCCUGUUGAUUUCAUUGUAAUUGACACUCAACCUAUACAGGAUUCAAGGAAGCACAUCCCCAUUAUUUUAGGCCGACCUUUCUUGGCAACUGCGGAUGCUCACAUUCAAUGCAGGACUGGAAAUAUGCAGUUGUCUUUCGGCAACAUGACUAUGGAGCUGAACAUCUUCAACAUUGCCAAACAACCUCACAGUGCAGAUGAUGGAAUUGUUGAUGUUGAUUUAAUAGAAACAAUAGUUGAUAACACUUUUCUUUCAAACCUUAGUGAUGAUCCUUUACAAACAUGUUUAACUCACUUUGGUUUUGAUUUUGCUAUUGACAAAUCGGUCGAAGAGGUCAACGCCCUACUUGACUCAGCACCAUCUAUGGACACUAAUCAAUGGAAGUCAAGAGUUGAACAACUAGCACCAUCAGAGAAGAAACUCAUCCCAUCAUCAGAAUCACCACCGAAACUUGAGCUCAAACCAUUGCCCAACACAUUGGAAUAUGCAUUUUUGGGGGAAGAAAGUACUUUGCCGGUAAUCAUUUCAUCAUCCCUCAAUGACGAACAAAAAGGUAAGUUGUUGGAUGUUUUAAAAGAGCAUAAAGGAGCAUUAGGAUGGACCAUAGCAGACAUAAAAGGUAUAAAUCCAGUAGACUGCAUGCAUUACAUUCACCUUGAUGAAAAUGCUAAAUCUACUAGGGAAAUGCAACGUCGGUUAAAUCCUAAUAUGAAAGAAGUUGUUAGAACUGAAGUCCUUAAGCUAUUAGACGCAGGUAUCAUUUACCCAAUUUCUGAUAGUUCAUGGGUCAGUCCUGUGCAAGUUGUCCCCAAAAAAUCAGGAGUCACAGUAGUUACCAAUGCUAAUAAUGAAUUGAUACCAACUAGAGUAACUACAGGGUGGCGUGUAUGCAUUGAUUAUAGAAAAUUGAAUUCUGUCACACGUAAAGACCAUUUUCCUUUACCAUUUAUUGAUCAAAUGCUUGAUAGAUUAGCAGGCCAUGAAUUUUAUUGCUUUCUAGAUGGCUACUCAGGAUAUAAUCAGAUUCCCAUAGCACCAAAAGAUCAAGAGAAAACUAUUUUCACUUGUCCUUUUGGCACAUUUGCAUAUAGGAGAAUGCCAUUUGGAUUAUGCAAUGCACCUGCUACAUUUCAACGAUGCAUGCUAAGCAUUUUUUCUGAUAUGGUUGAACGAUUUCUUGAAGUCUUUAUGGAUGACUUUUCUGUAUUUGGUGAUUCGUUUGAUCAAUGUCUACAUCAUCUAACACUAGUUCUGCAGAGAUGUAUCGAGAAGAACUUGGUCUUAAAUUGGGAGAAAUGCCAUUUUAUGGUAAAACAAGGUAUUGUUCUCGGUCACAUCAUUUCGAGCAAAGGUAUUGAGGUUGACAAAGCCAAGGUGGAUCUCAUUUCUAAUCUUCCUCCACCCAAAACAGUCAGACAAGUAAGAUCUUUCCUUGGGCAUGCUGGUUUUUAUAGACGUUUUAUUAAAGAUUUUAGCAAAGUUUCUAGACCUUUAUGCAAUCUACUUGCUAAGGAUGUACCUUUUGUCUUUAAUGAUUCAUGUCUUGUUGCGUUUGAAAAAUUAAAGCAUUUGUUGACAUCAUCACCCAUCAUUCAGCCCCCAAACUGGAGCUUACCAUUUGAGCUCAUGUGUGAUGCAUCUGAUUAUGCAGUAGGAGCAGUAUUAGGACAAAGAGUUGAUCGAAUCCCGCAUGUUAUUUACUAUGCUAGUAUGACAUUGAAUGAUGCACAGUUGAACUAUUCAACUACUGAAAAAGAAAUGCUAGCAGUAGUGUUUGCAUUGGAAAAAUUUCGAUCCUAUCUCAUUGGUUGUAAAAUAAUUAUAUUCACAGAUCAUGCUGCUCUUAAAUAUCUUCUCACAAAGAAAGAUGCAAAAGCUAGACUAAUUCGUUAGGUGUUACUUUUGCAGGAAUUUGACUUGGAAUUCAAAGAUAAGAAAAGCACAGAGAAUGUUGUGGCGGAUCAUCUCUCUCGUCUUCAUUUUGACACAAUUACAGAAUCAUUACCAUUGAAUGAGUCAUUUCCAGAUGAACAAUUAAUGAAUGUAGAAGUAUUACUUUGGUAUGCUGAUAUAGUUAAUUAUCUUGUUACAGGUAAACUUCCAGAGCAUUGGACCAAGCAAGACAAGGCCAAAUUCUUUGCAGAAAUAAAGAAUUUCUUUUGGGAUGACCCGUAUUUGUUCAAGUAUUGUGCUGAUCAAAUUGUUAGACGAUGUGUCCCAGAAAAUGAAAUUCAGAAUUCUUUCAUUCUGCCACGAACAAGCUUGUGGAGGCCAUUUCAGUGCUAAGAAAACAGCAACUAAAGUUUUACAAUGUGGUUUCUAUUGGCCAACUAUAUUUCGAGACGCUUACACUUUCUGUUCUUCAUGUGAUAGGUGUCAACGAAUGGGAAGCAUUACACGAAGGAACAUGAUGCCGCUAAAUCCAAUUUUAGUGGUUGAGAUUUUUGAUGUAUGGGGUAUCGACUUCAUGGGACCCUUUCCCCUUUCUUUUGGCCAUCAAUACAUAUUGGUUGCUGUUGACUACGUAUCGAAAUGGGUAGAAGCAAUUCCAUGUAGGACCAAUGAUCACAAGGUGGUGAUAACAUUUUUGAAAAGCAACAUUGUUUCACGCUUUGGAUUCCCUCGAGCGAUAAUCAGUGAUGGUGGUGCCCACUUUUGUAACAAAGCAUUCAAAGCUCUUUUGACAAAGUAUUCAAUCACACACAAAGUGGCAACUCCGUAUCAUCCGCAAACCAGUGGCCAAGUUGAGAUCUCCAAUCGAGAAAUAAAGCACAUAUUAGAAAAGACUGUGAGGCCAGACAGAAAAGAUUGGUCAUUAAGACUUGAUGAUGCAUUAUGGGCAUAUAGAACGGCUUUCAAGACCCCGAUUGGGAUGCCACCCUACAGGCUAGUGUAUGGAAAAGCUUGCCACCUACCUGUGGAACUCGAGCAUCGUGCAUACUGGGCCAUCAAGAAAUUCAACUUUGACAUGCAGCAAGCCAGCUCAGAAAGAAGAUUACAGCUGGGAGAACUUGAAGAAAUUCGCAAUGAUGCAUACGAAAAUGCCAAGAUUUACAAGCAACGAAUGAAAGUCUUCCAUGACAAGCAAAUUAUGAGAAAAUCGUUCACUCCAGGUCAGAAAGUGCUUUUAUUCAAUUCUCGCUUACACCUAUUCCCAGGUAAGUUACGCUCUCGUUGGUCUGGCCCAUUUAUUGUACAUACUGUUUUUCCACAUGGGGCAAUUGAAAUUAAGGACCCAAAGAACGGCGUCACAUUUAAAGUUAAUGGUCAAAGAUUAAAGCCAUAUCUAGAGUACCAACCACAUGGAGAGGACACUGAAAUAAAUUUGAGUGACCCACCAGAUUUGAAUUAAUUUUUUUUUUCUUUCUUUUCGUUGAUUUGAUUUUUCUUUCUCUCUUUUCAUUAUUCUUUUGCUAAAUUGAAAUUAUUUAUGCAUAAGUGUGUUUGUUUUACCAUUAAGUUUUCUCUUAUCAUUGUUAAUCAUGAGUACCAUGCUUAGACCGUUCCUCCUGAACAUUCUUAAACCACUUCAACGUGUCAAAACUCAUCUCAAAAGGCAGAUUCAAUUUUGUAAAACACAUCGUAUUUGGACUCUGCAACCACCAGAGUUAGUAGCCUAUGUUGAGGGUUUAGAAAGCCAACUCAGAGACAUUGAGAGAAGUGUUUACGACAUCCAGUUGGAGCUUGAGGUAAAUUCAAUAAGAGGACGAUUUUAAUUUUCUUUGUGUGUUUUAAUUUGUUUUUCUGUUUUUGUGCUUUAGUUUGUUACCCCGGUGAAGUGGCGGAUAACGGUACUCCGUGACAAUCAAGUCGGUUACUUCAGUUUCCCAUAAUAACUGAUAUUCUGAGGCGAAGGUAUGGACAGAAACGAGACUCUAGUGAUGCUUCACAAGCGAUUCCCUUCACUUCCUCAGAAUGCCCUCCUUACGAUCUAUAAAGCUCGGUCCGAACGCAUGCGAUUACUCAUGAGGAAUAACAUACCUGCUGACAUCCAUUGGUUAAUAGAGGCUAAGUAUGAUCGGCAGGUGAGUUACCUCCAAACUUUAUUGCAUACAUGCCUGGUUGUGGUAAAGGAAAUUAUGCAAGAAAACGACGAGCUCGAAGAAUUUCUGUUGCUUGUCAUAAGUGUGCCAGAAUGAGUUGCGAUAAAAACCCAUGUUCUUUAGGAAUGGUGUCUGAUAACAGAGAAGAUAAGAUUCAAUUCAUUAGGGAUGGCUUGAAUAAGGAGUCAUUGGAUGAUAUCCUUCUGUCUCUUGAAACGCAUCCCAGUGGAUAUGUGCAAGGAGCGAUUCUCCAGUUAUGGCCAUUAUUCCAGAAAGAGCAUGCACGAUAUAGUCUCGGGAAUCUGACUAUAAACGACCCUGUUUGCCAGUUUAUAAGAAAACUGGAUAGGAAGCCUAUCCUCGACCCAUAGAGGGCGUUCAAGCCGUUUCUGGACGUAAAACCAGAGGAAGAUGUGAGCCACAGUCGCAACUACCUGUAAAUAUCCUUUUACUUUACUGUUAUUUUAUUUCACUAUUGUCUUUAAUAAUUUUAUUACUGUUUGCUUUUUUUCUUUUUACUGUUUCCUUUUUGACUCGCGAGCCAUGUGCUUUACACGUUAUUUGACACUGACAUGUUAACUCAUACACAACUGUGACCUACUAUCACCAAGACUCUUAAAUGUGAUUUUCUUUGUCAAGCACUCACAAAUUGUUUUUGCGAAGUAUCACAAUGGCAGCUACUCCCAAUAGACAAUUCAAGAACAUUUGUGUGCUUUCUGGAUUUACCUAUGGCAAACAUAAAGAGUUCGUAGAGGCAGCCAUAGAUCUUGGUCGAAGCAUAGCAGCGAGAAAUUUACAUUUGGUGUAUGGAGGAGGUAACCGAGGGUUAUCAAAAAUGGUCUCAGAGGCAGCUUUUAUCAGAGGAAGUCAAGUGUUAGGCAUCAUCCCAAGAGUCUUAAAACCAUUGGGCAGUUCGUCUGACUCAUCAACUGGAGAAGAGUUAGUCGUCUCAGGUAUGCAAGAAAGAAUAACUGAAAUGCUUAAUCAUGCUGAUGCUUUUAUUUUCCUUCCAGGAGAUCUUGCAACACUAGAGGCACUUAUCACACUAGCAUCUUGGGCCCAUCUGCACAUCCACCAGAAACCCAUCGGCUUGUUAAAUGUCAAUAACUUUUAUGAUGGCUUUAUCGUAUUUCUUAAUCAUGCAAUAAAAAACUAUUUCAUUCCUCCCAAUGCCAAAAAGCUUUUUAUUUAUGCUAACACUGCUAAUGAGCUACUUGAUAUGUUACAAGCUUAUUGACCAGAGCCAGACCCCUGGACCUUUGUGUUGGAGCGUCCAAAUAAUGAUGGUAACAGUAGCCGCAGUAAGAAGUACAAAUUAGAUUUAACUCUCCGCCUGUAAAUAUUUUCUUCUGUGUUGCACCACCCAGGUGAUGUCUUCUAAACUCUACUUCUUUCCUUUAAAACAUUGAGGACAAUGUUUCGUUCUGGUUGGGGGGAGGGAAUAGUCGACAAUUGUGGAAUCUUGGUUAAGUUUUUACUAAUUUUUUGUUGUAGAAACUAACUGUUGCUAACGUUUUGUGUUGAAGAUGGCUGAAUAUGGAGUGUAGUUACUCUAGAAACGCAUCUUCAUCGGUUAAAAAAAAAAAAAAUCGUUUUCUUCCUCUUUCUCCUUUAUAAAUAUAUAUUUUCAAAUUUUUGAGUCGAAGAUGGCUGAAUAUGGAGUGUAGUGCCUCUAGAAACGCAUCUUCUAAGUUAAAAAAAAAAAAAAUUUCUUUUUCUAAUUAAUUUUUCUACAUCAUUUUCACAUUUCUGCAUGCAUAUUUUCCUUUCAUUUUUUAGAAUAGGUUGGGGGGUAGAAUGUUGUUUUAAAAAAAAAAAAUUGUGUUAUUUGUUUUAACAUUGGAUGACAUGAUUAAUUUCAAAUUUUAGUAUUUGUAUUAUCUUUGGUCUUAAGUGAUGUUAUGCUAUAUUUGCUACUUUACAUGUUGAUGUCGGACACAAAUAUGAGUUGCUUGAAGGAAUGAACAUGUCAUAAAUAAGUGCCAAGUGAGUUUUUGAGCCUAUUAUUUUUCUUGGAGAGUAACCCUUUUGCCCAUUCUUUAUACAGCUUAGCAGUUUAUUAUUUUAUAUACGACCUCUAGAUUUCUUUUGAGUUAACCCUUAAAAAAAAAUUGUAAAAUAAAAAAUAAAAAAAAAGAAAAAAGAAAAAGAAAAAAAUGUGUGUUGCUACAUUGGGAGGCCCAUCUAACUAGUAGAUAUGGAUAAUUAUUUAGAGCCCUAAAAGACGAUGGAAAUGCCAUCUUUGAUCCGUUUGAGCCUUUCUAGCCAUCCCUUUUAUUAAAUAUCCUUAGUUAACCCUUUUGAGCCUUUAAAAAAAAAUAAAAAAAUAAAAAAUAAUAAUCCUUUUCUUUGUCAACUUAUCCUCUUGACCCACUCCGAUUUGGAGUAUUACCCGAUGUCUUAUAAGUUCCAUCACCUAUUUAUGUUUGAGAAAAUGUAAAUAAUUAUGUUGUUCAGUGAAGUUAUGCCAAAUAAAAGCAAAAAGAAAAAAAAACAAAACAAAAGUUGUUGUUUCAAAAGAAUAAAAAUAACAAUAAUAGGUGAAAUCCACCUUGCAACUUCCAAAAAAAAAAAAAAUUCUGCAUUUUUCUCAAACAUACACUUUGUUUUCCUUAUUUCCUUUCUUUGUUAGCCAUAUCCCUAGCCUACGUUACGUCCUAAUAAAAGUCCUUCUUGAUUUUAGGGAACUAUAGUUUGAAGUAGAAGCUAGUUAUGUGGGCUAAAAAGAUGUAGUGAUGCAUAAUAAAAAAAAAGAAGAUAAAUAAAGUGGGUUGACUAACAUUUUAUUUGACUUGAGAUCGUAUUAUUUCUAAGCUGAGGGCAUAUUUAUUUCAUCUUGGUGAGAGCAUGUGAUAUCACUUCUUUAUUAUUUUCUCUCUCAAUUACCAUUCAUUGGAGUGACUAUUUUUAUUGGGUUUAAUUUAUUUGUGAGAGUGUCACUACUUCCAGUGAGAUUUUGGGGUUUGACAUGUCAUUCUUGAAAAUAGCUAUAACAAAGUCUACUGGGCUAAUUCAUGUGGAUGGUUGAUGUGGGUGUGAUGUUGUUUUAGACUGGAGAUAAUGCUUAUACUUUUAUUUGAUUGCUAUCAUUAAUCUGAUUGAAUAAACACGAGUGUUUCUAAAUUAAAAAAAAAAAAUCAUUUUGAAUUUGAAUUUUCUUUUCGCUUCAUUUGCUAGGGACUAGCAAUAAGCUGGUUGGGGGGUGUGUUGAGUGUUAGAAAAUGCAUAUUUAUAAAGGAGAAAACUGUCAUUUUACAUUUCAAGUCUUACUAACAACCCUUACUUUUAUGUAUUUAUCAUUCUUGUGAUUUAAUUACGUAUGUUUUAUUUUAAUUAAGUAUUUUAUGUAUUUUUAGGGGCAUUAUAGUCAUUUCUCAAUAAAGGAGAGAUCAGAUGGCAAAACAGACAUCACUUUUGAACUCAGGACGGUCGAAAACCUUAGGAGGAGCAUAAAAGGAAAAAUGGCACUAUUCACAUGUACGGUACUAUUCACGUAUAUGGUACUGUAUACGUUACUGUUCACGACACUGUUCACAUAGACAGACGAUGACGUGGCAUUGACCAAUGAGGUGGCAUUGACUGAUGAGGUGUCACGAUCCUGUUGGACUAAAAUUCUUAUGUACUGUUGAUGAUGACGUGGCAGCAUAUCAGUGGACGAAAAAUCUCGCGUACGGUACAUGCAUCACACAAGAUUAUUUUCAACCAACCGCGUUACUGUUCAUCCGGGUCAAACCGUGUUACUGUUCAUCCGCGUGGUCAAACCGUGGACUGUUGACUGAUGACGUGGCGAAAUCCUGAGCGUCCAAACUGUUUUUAAUCCGAUGGCCAUGAUUUACUCCAUGUAUCUAUAAAAAGGGGGCCUCCCCCCCCUAAUUUGAUACCUCUGAAUCCAUUUUUGGACUCUAUUUUCUGUAAUUCCCUCUCCAUCUUGUAUUUUCUACGUAUUUUAAUAAAUUCUCAUUUUGCCCCUAGUUCAAUUAUGAGUGGCUAAUUUUCUUUCAAGCUUGGGUUGAAAGUGAAGUCUCAACAUGUGUCAUGGGCUUAAUUUGGUAAAUUUAUUUUACAAAAAUCCAAUCACCUAUUUACAAAAUUAAUUCUACACACAAUUAAAAUCCACCUCCUCGUGGGAUCGACACUCGUCACUAUUGAUCUAUACUACAAUAGAUUCGUGCGCUUGCGAGUACAUUAAAAUUUGCACAACAACAUGCAGCAAGCCAGCUCAGAAAGAAGAUUACAACUGGCAGAACUUGAAGAAAUUCGCAAUGACGCAUACGAAAAUGCCAAGAUUUACAAGCAACGGAUGAAAGUCUUUCAUGACAAGCAAAUUAUGAGAAAAUCGUUCACUCCAGGUCAGAAAGUGCUUUUAUUCAAUUCUCGUUUGCACCUAUUCCCAGGUAAGUUACGCUCUCGAUGGUCUGGUCCCUUUAUUGUUCAUACUAUUUUUCCACAUGGGGCAAUUGAAAUUAAGGACCCAACGAACGGUGUCACGUUUAAAGUUAAUGGUCAAAGAUUAAAGCCAUAUCUAGAAUACCAACCACAUGGAGAAGACACCGAAAUAAAUUUGAGUGACCCACCAGAUUUGAAUUGAUUUUUAUUAUUCUUUUCGUUGAUUUGAUUUUUCUUUCUUUCUUUUUAUUAUUAUUUUGCUAAUUGAAAUUAUUUUUGCAUAAGUGUGUUUGUUUAACUAUUAAGUUUUCUCUUAUUAUUUUUAAUCAUGAGUACCUUACUUAGACCGUUCCUCCUGAACAUUCUUAAACCACUUCAACGUGUCAAAACUCAUCUCAUAAGGCAGAUUCAAUUUUGUAAAACACAUCGUAUUUGGGCUCUACAACCACCAGAGUUAGUAGCCUAUGUUGAGGGUUUAGAAAGCCAACUCAGAGACAUUGAGAGAAGUGUUUACGACAUCCAGUUGGAGCUUGAGGUAAAUUCAAUAAGAGGACGAUUUUAAUUUUCUUUGUGUGUUUUGAUUUGUUUUUCUGUUUGUGUGCUUUAGUUUGUUACCCCGGUGAAGUGGCGGAUAACGGUACUCCGUGACAAUUAAGUCGGUUACUUCAGUUUCCCAUAAUAACUGACAUUCUGAGGCGAAAGUAUGGACAGAAACGAGAUUCUAGCGAAGCUUCACAAGCGAUUCCCUUCACUUCCUCAGAAUGCCCUUCUUACGAUCUAUAAAGCUCGGUCCGAACGCAUGCGAUUACUCAUGAAGAAUAACAUAACUGCUGACAUCCGUUGGUUAAUCGAGGCGAAAGUACGAUUGGCAGGUGAGUUACCUCCAAAAUUUAUUGCAUACAUGCCUGGUUGUGGUAAAGGAAAUUAUGCACGAAAACGACGAGCUCAAAGAAUUUCUGUUGCUUGUCAUAAGUGUGCCAGAAUGAGAUGCGGUAAAAACCCAUGUUCUUUAGGAAUGGUGUCUGAUAACAGGGAAGAUAAGAUUCAAUUCAUUAGGGAUGGCUUGAAUAAGGAGUCAUUGGAUGACAUUCUUUUGUCUCUUGAAACGCAUCCCAGUGGAUAUGUGCAAGGAGUGAUUCUCCAGUUGUGGCCAUUAUUCCAGAAAGAGCAUGCACGAUAUAGUCUUGGGAAUCUGACUAUAAACGACCCUGUUUGCCAGUUUAUAAGAAAACUGGAUGGGAAGCCCAUCCUCGACCCAUAGAGGGCGUUCAAGCCAUUUCUGGACGUAAAACCAGAGGAAGAUGUGAGCCACAGUCGCAACUACCUGUAAAUAUCCUUUUACUUUACUGUUAUUUUAUUUCACUAUUGUUUUAUUGUUUGCAUUAUUGUCUUUAAUAAUUUUAUUACUGUUUGCUUUUUCCUUUUUACUAUUUUCUUUUUGACUCGCGAGCCAUGUGCUUUACGCGUUAUUUGACACUGACAUGUUACCUCAUUCACAGCUGUGAUCCACUGUCACCAAGAUUCUUAAAUGUGAUUUAUUUUUUGUCAAGCACUCACAAAUUGUUUUUGAGAAGUAUCACAAUGGCAGCUACUCCCAAUAGACAAUUCAAGAACAUUUGUGUGCUUUCUGAAUUUACCUAUGGCAAACAUAAAGAGUUCGUGGAGGCAGCCAUAGAUCUUGGUCGAAGCAUAGCAGCGAGAAAAUUACAUUUGGUGUAUGGAGGAGGUAACCGAGGGUUAUCAAAAAUGGUCUCAGAAGCAGCUUUUAUCAGAGGAAGUCAAGUGUUAGGCAUCAUCCCAAGAGUCCUAAAACCAUUGGGCAGUUCGUCUGACUCAUCAACUGGAGAAGAGUUAGUCGUCUCAGGUAUGUAAGAAAGAAUAACUGAAAUGCUUAAUCAUGCUGAUGCUUUUAUUUUCCUUCCAGGAGAUCUUGCAACACUAGAGGCACUUAUGACACUAGCAUCUUGGGCCCAUCUACACAUUCACCAGAAACCCAUCGGUUUGUUAAAUGUCAAUAACUUUUAUGAUGGCUUUAUCGCAUUUCUUAACCAUGCAAUAAAAAACUAUUUCAUUCCUUCUAAUGUAAAAAAAACUUUUGAUUUGUGCUCACACUGCUACUGAGCUACUUGAUCUGUUACAAGCUUAUAAACCGGAGCCAGACCCCUGGACCUUUGUGUUGGAGCGCCCAAAUAAUGAUGCCAACAGUAGCGGCAGUAAGAAGUACAAAUUAGAUUUAACUCUCCGCUUGUAAAUAUUUUCUUCUGUGUUGCACCACCCAGGUGAUGUCUUCUAAACUCUACUUCUUUCCUUUCAAACAUUGAGCACAAUGUUUCGUUCUGGUUGGGGGGAGGGAAUAGUCGACAAUUGUGGAAUUUUGGUUAAGUUUUUACUAAUUUUUUGUUGUAGAAACUAACUGUUGCUAACUUUCUGUGUUGAAGAUGGUUGAAUAUGGAGUGUAGUGACUCUAGAAACGUAUCUUCAUCGUUUGAAAAAAAAAAUUUUAGACAUUUUUUUUUCUUUAUUAAGUUUUUAUGUUCAUUUUUCUUCUUCUUUUUAAUUUCUCCUCUAUGAAUAUACAUUUUCCAACUUUUGAGUCGAAGAUAGCUGAAUAUGGAGAGUAGUGCCUCUAGAAACGCAUCUUCUAAGUUAAAAAAAAAAAAACCAUUUUCGUUUUCUAUCAUUUUAAGUGUAACUUUUCUAAUUAGUUUUUAUGCAUGAUUUUUACAUUUCUGAAUGCAUAUUUUCCUUUCAUGUUUAGAAUAGGUUGGGGGGUAUAAUGUUGUUUAAAAAAAAAAAAAAACAAUUUUGUGUGAUUUGUUUUAACAUUGGAUGACAUGAUUAAUUUCAAAUUUUAGUAUUUGUAUUAUCUUUGGUCUUAAGUGAUGUUACGCUAUGUUUGCUACUUUACAUGUUGAUGUCGGAGACAAAUAUAAGUUGCUUGAAGGAAUGAACAUGUCAUAAAUAAGUGCCAAGUGAGUUAUUGAGCCUAUCAUUUUCUUGGAGAGUAACCCUUUUGCCCAUUCUCUAUACAGCUUAGCAGUUUAUUAUUUUAUACACGAUCUCUAGAUUUCUUUUGAGUUAACCCUUAAAAAAAAUGGUAAAAUUAAAAAAAAAAAUGUGUGUUGCUACAUUGGGAGGCCCGCUAACUAGUAGAUAUGGAUGAUUAUUUAGAGCCGUAAAAGACGAUGGAAAGGCCAUCUUUGAUCCGUUUGAGCCUUUCUAGCUAUCCCUUUUAUUAAAUAUCCAUAGUUAACCCUUUUGAGCCUUAAAAAAAAAAAAAAAACAUUUUCUUUGUCAACUUAUGAUCUUUACCCACUCCGAUUUGGAGUAUUACCCGAUGUCUUAUAAGUUCCAUAACCUAUUUAUGUUUGAGAAAAUGUAAAUAGUUAUGUUGUUCAGUGAAGUUAUGCCAAAUAAAAGCAAAAAACAAAAAAAAACAAAAGUUGUUAUUUCAAAAGAAUAAAAAUAACAAUAAUAGGUGAAAUUCACCUUGCAACUUCCAAAAAAAAAAAAAUUCUCUGCAUUUUUCUCAAACAUACACUUUGUUUUCCUUAUUUCCUUUCUUUGUUAGCCAUGUCCCUAGCCUACAUUACGUCCUAAUAAAAGUCUUUCUUGAUUUUAGGGAACUAUAGCCUGAAGUAGAAGCUAGUUAUAUGGGCUAAAAAGAUGUAGUGAUGCAUAAUAAAAAAAAAAAAGAAAAAAAAAGAUAAAUAAAGUGGGUUGACUAACAUUUUUAUUUGACUUGAGAUCGUAUUAUUUCUAAGCUGAUGGCAUAUUUCUUUCAUCUUGGUGAGAGCAUGUGAUAUCACUUCUUUAUUAUUUUCUCUCUCAAGUACCAUUCAUUGGAGUGACUAUUUUUAUUGGGUUUAAUUUCUUUGUGAGAGUGUCACUACUUCCAGUGAGAUUUUGGGGUUUGACAUGUCAUUCUUGAAAGUAGCUAUAACAAAGUCUACUGAGUUGAUUCAUGUGGAUGGUUGAUGUGGGUGUGAUGUUGCUUUAGACUGGAGAUAAUGCUUAUACUUUUAUUUGAUUGCUAUCAUUAAUCUGAUUGAAUAAACACGAGUGUUUCUAAAUAAUAAAAAAAAAUCAUUUUGGUUUUGAAUUUUGUUUUCGCUUUAUUUGCUAGGGACUAGCAAUAAGCUGGUUGGGGGGUGUGUUGAGUGUUAGAAAAUGUAUAUUUAUAAAGGAGAAAAUCGGCAUUUUACACUACAAGUUUUACUAACACCUUUACUUUUAUGAAUUUAACCUUCUUUUGAUUUAAUUCCGUGUGUUUUAUUUUAAUUAAGUAUUUUAUAUAUUUUAGGGGCAUCAUAGUCAUUUCACAAUAAACGAGAGAUCAGAUGGCAAAACGGACAUCACUUUUGAACUCAGGAUGGCCGAAAACCUUAGGAGGAGCAUAAAAGGAAAAAUGGCAUUGUUCACAUGUACGGUACUAUUCACGUGUACGAUACUGUCUACGUUACUGUUCACGACACUGUUCUCAUAGACGGAACGAUGAUGUGGCAUUGACCGAUGAUGUGGCAUUGACUGAUGAGGUGUCACGAUCCUGUUGGGCUAAAAUUCUUAUGUACUGUUGAUGGUGACGUGGCAGCAUAUCAGUGGACGAAAAAUCUCGCGUACGGUACAUGCAUCACACAGGAUUAUUUUCAAUCAAACCGCGUCACUGUUCACCCGGGUCAAACCGUGUUACUGUUCACUCGCGUGGUCAAACCGCGUACUGUUGACUGAUGACGUGGCGCAAUCCUGAGCGUCCGAACUGUUUUUAAUCCGAUGGCCAUGAUUUACUCCAUGUAUCUAUAAAAAGGGGGCUUCCCUCCCCUAAUUUGAUAUCUCUGAAUCCAUUUUUGGGAUCAAUUUUCUGUAAUUCCUUCUCCAUCUUGUAUUUUCUACGUAUUUUAAUAAAUUUCCAUUUUGCCCCUAGUUCAAUUAUGAGUGGCUAAUUUUCUUUCAAGCUUGGGUUGAAGGUGAAGUCUCAACAUGUGUCAUGGGCUUUAUUUGGUAAAUUUAUUUUCUCUUCCCCUCUAGUUUUUUUGGAUGUUUUGACUUCUCGUCGACAAAUAAUAAUAAUCUUGUCUAGAUACCGCCUUGGUUACACCGGCUCUCUAGUACAAGGUUAUUAUUAUUUGGCACGAUAAGCCCUUAGCACCAUAUUGAUUAGAGCGUGGUUCAUGAGGUGUGGAUUCCCCCCUCAUGAUUUAAUUGGCAUUAAUAAGGAUUAUUUAGCCCAUGAUGCAUGUUGAUACGGAUCCAGAUACCCAAGUACGUCAUUUCAAUAGAAUUCUCUUCAAUUUAUUCUCGCCAUUUCAAUACCAAUUUUAGAAUUUAUUCUCGCCAUUUUAAUUUAAGUUUUAGCAUAUUCCAAAUCAUUUCCACCACAAAUCCAAUUACCCAUUUACAAAAUUAAUUGUACACAAUUAAAAUCCACCUCCUCGUGGGAUCGACACUCGUCACCAUUGAUCUAUACUACAAUAGAUUCGUGCGCUUGCGAGUACAUUAAAAUUUGCACAACAAAAGUGACCCCAAGUUGUUCUUGAAUAGAUCUUUGUUCCCAUGCAUGAUGGUGGCCACCAUUGGUUUAUGCUGUUGGUUAAAAUUAAAGACAAACAAGCGGAGAUCUGGGAUCCACUACCAGAUGCACGACGGACACGAGAUCGAGAAAUCUAAGUGAAUAGUAUUGUAAGCCCAACUAAUUUUUGAUAAAAAAGAUGAGUUUAGUUUUCUGUGUAUUGUGUUAUUAAUACAUGUGAUGUAUUUUUGCACUUGAAAAUAGUUACACUCGUUGGAUGCUAUACUUCAUGGCAUCGUGGAUGCUACAUAUUUAGUAACUUGGAGUUUCUUGUCAUUUGUAGCGACCCAUAGGGAAGGAGUUCCACGGCAACCUAACGGUUUUGAUUGUGGAGUUUACGUCAUCAAAUUUAUGGAUAUUCCUGGAAUCAUCACCAACAAAUCGUAUGUGGUACGCUCCCUUAUUUGCCUUAUGUGGUUUCUUAGUUGAUUUUACUACUGUUGUUGGGCCAUUGACAUGAUGAAAGUGCAUGAUUAUUUCCGCAGCAUGACUCACAGAAUGUUCAGGCGCAACUUGCGUUACAACUUAUAGACUCUCCGUUCAACGAACAAUGCGAUCAAUUAUUGGCGUUGGCUAAUGCACACUACAGUAACACUGCAACGUACAUAAAUGAAUCGAAGCUUGCAUCAACAGUGAAGCCUCGUAAUGUGUCCACCAGAAAAGGUCAUAUGAACAGUUGCACAAAACAUCUUUUCAGGCGGAAGGGCUGAGAUUGUUGUGAAUAUAGAUUAUGAUAAUUUUUUGAUAACUUCAUUCACAACUCUAAACUUUUGCUAAAUUUACCUUGUAACUGGCGUUGACGUACGAGUCAUGUAAAUUGUUUUGAUGAUCCGAAGCCGUAGAGGGAUCAAUUGGGCAAUUAUAAUUUUUUCCUUCGUCAACCGGUUGUAUUAAUUAAUACAUGUUGAAAUGAAGAUAAUUGCUGUAAAUGUUGCUAUUAUCACUAAGUACGCAAAAUAUGUUAUUACAUUGCCAUUGUUCACUUCUUACAUGAUAAUAUAACUCAAUGAUUUCCAAAAAGUUCGUUCUGCCCCCUCGGUUCAGAUCCAAAAAGUGCAUUAUUAGCGAUCAUCCUCUAUCCUCCAAGUAUGUGUACCGUCGUCAACUAAGCAUAAUAUAAAUCCGAGUUAGUUAAACAACCUAAGAAAGUUUGCGAGGCAAAUUCAUAUAUCAAGGGAUAUCACUUACAAGUUAUUAUGAGGCCACCAAUUAUAGUAUGUGCUUGCAUCGGUUUCAUAGGUUAUACCAAUUGUGUUACUGCUGUCGUAAUGGCCGUCAAUUCCUUCUGAGAUGUCAUGCCUCCAAGGACAAGUUGUCUUGAACGUAAAUGUUGGGGAACUUGGCGAGCCUAAUUCCAUAGAAACAGGUGGUGUUAACACAUUAUAAGAACAAUGCCUUGGCUGAUCGUCAGUCGAAACACAACCAGUACCGCCAACGUUGCAAUGAAGGUCAUUAGGCUGCAUGUCCUUUGGCGGAUAUAGCGGGCAAGUCCGUUUAGUAUGGCUAGACUAAAAACACUUACUGCAUUUGCGAUUUUUAACCCCAUCAUGUUUAACGGUUUUAGAGCUACCUUUACUAUUAACUGUAACCGAGUCUUUCAACUUCAUACUUGCUUGAAGUACAUAAUUCCUGGCUCGUUUAGCUGAUUCAUCAUCGGCAACCAUCUGUUCAACGCGAAGCGUCAGCCGUUGAAUCUCGUCUAACGCUAUCAUAUAACUUUGUUCAUUCUUUGUAGCGAAAAGACAAAGAUUCGUACAUGCCACUGAAAGUGAGCAAACCUUUGCUGUUUCUAACACUUCCUUAUCAAGGUGUGACGCUGCAGCGGUCAUUUUCAUCACUUUACUCACCUUCGCUGAUUUUUUUCAGUGACCAAGAAUCAAUGUUGGUGGUAUGCGAACUAGUUGCUCGAAUUUCAUGACGUGAAAUAUAUGCCUGUAUGGAAUACCUGCUGAUUCCAUCAUUUUACAUGAAUAAGUAAUUGCAACUUCUUUAUUAUAAAGUACCACUGUCCAUUUUUAUUCUGGAUGCUGAAAUUUCGUCAAAAUAUAGAUGUUGGAAUUAGCUGUCUUAGCACACCCGAGCAUAAUUAGCGUGGCUUCUCCGAGGAUCUCCAUCCGAAACCACUUCAAUACAUUCCUUGUAUAUAUUUCGGAUGCAUGUUUUUCAAUGCUUUGCAGAUGUGUUGUAAGAACUGGGGCUGUGUGGUUUGUCUCAUACUCAUCUUGGACUUCUUUGUGCCGUAUGCAAUACAUUGCACGAUGAAUUUGUCUAAUGAAAUCAUAUAGUUUUAGCUUCUGCUCAACAAAGCGACACAAGUGAGAAUUCAAGCUCUCACACCUUUGUGUGGUUCGCAUUCCGGCGAAAAAAGUUCCUUUCAAAUAAGCCUCUGUCCAUUUUCUACACUUUGCAUACAUUUUUUCCACCCAAGAAUUUUGUUCCAGUCCCAUAUCAUAGACAAUAGAGAACCAAUCUCGAUCAAACUCCUCCAUGGACAUUGGAUUCAACAUUAACUGCCGAAACUUCGACGUGAACUCAUUUCUCUUCACAUUUGCUUGUGCAUUCCGCUCAAGAUGCCAGCAGCAGAGUCGGUGUACAUAUCCAGACAUAACCGUUUUAAUCGCUUUACAUAGCUUUAUCACCAUCUGUUAUGACACUUAUGGGUUUUUUUUGUUUCAUUGCUGAUAAGAAAGUCUGUAGCAGCUACACAUAUGAUUCAACAGUUUCGUCAAUCAGUAUCGCAAAUCCAAAAACAGUAGUUCUUUUAUGAUGAUUUACACCAACGAAUGCGACUAAAGGUUUGUUGUAUGCAUUUUUCUUGUACGAUGUACUUAGAAAAUAAAAAUAAAAAUAAUUCUUUUGCAAGUAACAUCAUAGAUGAGAAAUUAUCCAGUUCAAGAUCUUGGACUCUCUUAAAUGUCCAAAAAACUUGUUACAACAUAUGGUGUAUGAGUGUGGCGUAAUAGUUAAAUAAUAAUGUUAAAAUUAUAACAAUGAUAAAUAAUAAUGUUCGCAUUUAAUGGCUAGUUUCAUCAUUAUAACAACCAAAACACUCGAGCAUUCCAAUGCAUUUUAACUCAAGGCACGCACGCACGAGCAUGAUUACUGAUUCACACAUGCAUCUUUAAUUAAUUAACUAAAAUUUGGUACUUGAAAAGUCUUUGGGAGUGCCCACAAAUUGAAAUUUGGUACCACAAUUAACGCUAAGAAAUGAAUCUGGCUACGGCAUAUCCUGCAACGACAUGGAUAAAGGACUGUUCCACCAUUCAACCUGAAAUCAUCAAGUGAAAGAAACAAGAUCAUGAGCGUUGUUUUUUUAUAUUGUGAAAGCCGACUCGAAGUAAUAAUAAUAAUAAUUAAUAGACCUUACCAUUGGUUAUCACAUUAUUGUCCAGUGCAUCUUCCUCCCCAUUCCCUGCAUACAGUUAACCAAGCUGAGGACCAACCACACGGCCACACCAGUAUGUCUCGAGAAUCUUUACUGACUUCUCAUGGAUCUUGUUGUUGUCAUGACUUCGUAGAUUUUCUAUCUUUUCUAAUCCCUCAGCCUCUUCAACCAACUGGGCAUACUGAUUAACAUCUCCAAUGGCUGUGUCCAUAUUCUUUUCAGCUUCCCCGACCUUCAAAAUGUUCUCUAAUCCUUGUAAGCAAACAGUGACGAUCUUUGGAUCAGCGCAAAGAAGGAGAUCACACAAUGGUUUUAUACACCCCUCUCUCACGAGGUACUUGAUUUGCUCAUGAGUGUCAACCUUGGUGGCAUUUGAAAUUGCCCGUGCGGCCCACUCCUUUAUAUCAAAUUCAGCAUUUUGAAGCAGAUUGACAAGGGGACCAAUAAAGCCAGCAUCAAUUACCGCCUGAAUCUGUUCCUUGUUUCCAGCUGUGAUAUUUGCAAUAAUCCAGCAUGCAAACUUCUUAAUGCGAUUUUCAUGAUCAUGGAUCAACAGGCCCAAAAGGUACGGCAGUGCACCACAGUUAAUUAUACACUGAGUCUGGAAAUCAUCUCCCCUCACAAUAUUUGUAACAGUCUGCAGGGCAGCAGUAAGCACUGAGGGUGAUGGAUGACCAAGGAGCUCAACAAGUCGUGGACAGACACCUGCCUCAAUCACAGCUUGAAUUUUGUCAUUCUUACGAUCACUAGAAAGAAAGAAGAGUGCCCGGCAAGCAUCAGUCAAGACCUGUUCAUCAUUUGAAUGAACAAGCUGCGCAAGCGCCGGAAGAGCUGGUCUCACCUGUUCAAAUAUUGGUCGUGGAUUGCCGCUGCAUAAAUUAGACAACGUCCGUGUGGCUCUUCUCUUCAUUGAAAGGUUUGCAUGGUUAUUUAACAGUGUUAACAAUGGAAUUAGAGCUUCUUCACUAAGCACAAGAUCACGGAAUCUAGGCGAGUCAAUAGCAACAUUUCCCAAUGCCGAAGCAGCCUUCUCCCGGAUAUUAUCUCUUGGAGAAGCAAGUAGUUUCACAAAUAUUGGAACAGCACCGUGGUCAAUCACCACCUUAGUGUCCUCCGAAGUUCCAUAAGCAAUGUUUCUAAGAACCCAAGCAGCCUCAUACUGAAUUUGCGGAUAGUCUUCCCUCAUAAGAAACUCAACAAAGCGCGGGACAACGCCAGAUUUUAUGACUUCCUCAAUUGGUAGACUCCUCUCAUUUGAAAGCAGUUUUCGGAACUGAGUAGUUGCUUCCAGCUGCAAGUUGUUGUCAUCUGACCAAACGCCAGCAACCAUCGCGGGCAAAAUUUCCAACCUAGUUUGGAGAUUGAGAUUGGGGGCAGGAGCGAAAGAAAGAAAUUGCUGGGAUGGAGGAGCUUCACGUCGCUUCUUGAGGAAGCUUUCCUCAUUAAGAUUUACCUGUUCUAUGGUUGUAUUUAAGCCCUCCUUCCAAGCCCAACAUGCUUCAUCCCACAUAUUUAGCUGCACUUUGUGUAACACGGGUGUGCUUAAUUCUCCUCUAGAGAAAAUUUUCAUAUUGGUGCAAUCAUCCACCAGUAAUCUUUCCAAAGAUGGGAAGUUCAAGGCACGACUGCCAGAGUAGAAGCUUCUCAGACUUUUUAAAUUUAAAAGCUUCAACUCUUUCAAUUCGCUGAAAGCAAUAUCCUCAUCUUUCGCUGCAUCAUGAUCAUCGUCAUCAUCUGCCAAUACUAUUUCUGUUAUCAUAACACAUGAUUCUAUCUUCAUUUCUCUGAGUCGCACCAGAGUCUUUGCAAUUGAGACUGUUAAUACGUUUUUCAAUCCGUCGCAAUACGAUAUCUUCAAAGUUUUAAGAUUCUGAAAGGAUGUCGAGGAUGGCACUAGAUUGAUCAAACGGUGACACUUCGUUACAUGUAGAAUAACCAAAUUGUUCAUAAUAGAGGAGGACUCUUGUCUCAAGAUGUACUUCAGAUCAUAACACUUGAACGCUUUUCUUAUGAUUACCUCCAUCCCAUUUUCAGCCUUUUCUUUUGGCAAACAAUCAUUAUUUCCUUCUAUUUGGAGAACUUUCAGGGUGUGAAAUCUCUGGAGGAAAUCAUCAAGUGAUAAAAUAGUAGUCAACUCAUCAACAAACUCAACAUCAAGGCAUUUAAGUUUGCAUAGCAAGUCUUCCGAAAAUAGAAAUUUAUUUGUUAUUAUAUGCUUUGCAUCUACUAUCAACUGUUCCAAAUUGGGGAACACCUGCGUGAUCAAUCAGAACAAACAAAGAAAAUGCAAAAUGGAUAAGUUUAUAUCCUUUCUAACAAUUUCACAAAAUUAGUACGGUGCUUUUUGGAGGAAAUUUAACAAAAUAGAAAAGAAUUAGAAGUUACCACUAGCUAAUACAAUAUGUCCAUCUAAUAAAUUUUAACCUUUUAGAAAAUAAUAAUAAUACACCUAACAUGCAGAAAGUAUAUACAAGAAUUGAAAAAUUAAUUUUAAAUUUCACGUACCUAUCUAAUACAAUAUGUUUAUCCAAUAAAUAUUAACCUUUUAGAAAAUAGUAAUAAUAAUACACCUAACAUGCAGAAAGUAUAUAUAAGAGUUGAAAAAUUAAUUUUAAAUUUCAUGUGCGUACCUUUUUUGUCAAGUCAUUAGCAGUUCUUUUAAAUCUCACCAUGAACUCAGGACACCGAGAUAUCCAUAAUUCUUUCAAGGAUGGAAAUUCAAGCAUAUGUACAUCUCCUGUGCUGAAGCUUGUGAGUUUUUCAAGAUCAUACAUCUUCAGAUAUUGUAACUGAGGAAACAUUACAAUAUUAUUCUUCCUUUCUUCUUCUUGGUUGUCCAUGACUAUUAACUCUUCCAAGACAUGACAUUUUUCUAUCUCAAUGUAUUGGAGUCGAACAAAGAUGUUAUCGCUAACCGUAGAAGAUGAAAAUAGACAUCUUAAAUUCAUACAGUUGUACAGGGUCAAGUGCGUUAAAUUCUCAAUACCACAAGUCAUGGCUGCAACUUGGUUUUGCCAAAUUCUCUCAAUAUUUAUUGAACGCACCGCCAACUUCUCCAACUUUGGUAACGCAACCUGGUCGAUCAAAAAAUUAACUUCUUGCUUGAUGGACAAAUCAAUAAAAUUAAUCCCUUUGUCAUGUUACAGUUCUCUUCAGUCUUUCAUACAAACAAGCAUCAAUCGAAUUUUCCAAAUUAUUCCUCACUAAUUUGAUAGGUACUCUAAAGAUGUAUAUUCAAGAAAAUGUGAAGUCAUAAAUGCUAAUCAGUUUAUCAGUCAAAAUACAUUUUCAUUAUUAGGAAUUACAAGAACAACAAUGCUAUAUUGACAAAAAAUUGAGUUACAAAAUUUUCACAAAAACAAAAAAAAGAUUGUCAAUAUCUGGGUAGUUAUCAAUCAACUUGUUUUUUGUCAAGACAUUUUAGUAUUUUCAUGCUUUUGUCAAAAUUUAAAAACCCACUUUUUUGGGUCAAAAUAACAUUUUCCUUACAACAAAUUUGGUAUUCCCUAAUACAUAUGUUUAUUAUUAUUAUUAUUAUUAUUAUUAUUAUUAUUAUCAAUUCAUUUAGUUUGUCAAGAGUACCAAUUAUUUUCUCUGAGAAUGUAUUUGUUACACCUACAACAGUUGAUAUUAAAAAUCAUAUAAUUAUUAAUUACUCUUGCCAUAUCUGCAAAAAAAACAAGAAUAUCGAAGGAUGAAAAAGCAAAAAUCAGAGAACUAAAAAGGCCAUUGGGUUAUUAGUAACCAACCUUCUCAAUGAAAAGUGUAUUAGAAAUAUUAACAUUGUCCUCCAAAAUGAUUUCAUUCGACUGCAUAUCAUUUGCUGAUUCCUCCUGUCUCUGUCAACAUUGAAGGCGUCUUGAUUUUAGAGUAUAAAUUUAAUUGUGAGCACAAUCUUUAAUACAACGUGACACAACACCUUUAAAAAUUAGUACAACUUAAUUUGGUACUAGAUCGAAAUUCGAUAUUUUGGAUUGCAUGUUUGAGAUUUCGUUAGAAAACAUAAUAAUAAUAACAGAGUUAAUAUAAAAAAAAUUAAACUUGUUACCUAUUUAGAUUAGAUAAACAAUGAAUAUUCUCUUAAUAUGAUUAUUCUAAGAGUACGGAAAAUAUAAGACAAUUAAUUAAUUAAUUAUAUAUAUAUAUAUAUAUAUAUAUAUAUAUAUAUAUAUAUAUUUGUGGUUUUAUCCUGAAGCUAAAAGAUUUAAAUAUUAAUUUAGUUGCAAACAUUAAAGACUUAGCGAAAUUGGUUACUUUGGAAAUGAGCAUGAACAUAACAUUUGAUGAUUUUUAAAAAUUAACUUUGAUGCACAAGAAACUUCUAUUUUUAUUGUAACUUAUAAUCUGACAAAACGAUGUCAAAAUUUUUAUAAAUAUAAGCUACAUAGUAGUUUUCUGGUCUAAGAUCUUAAAGUGCGGGAAAAGAAAACUUUAAAAUCGCGGGGUUUUAAAGGCUUACAACUUGAAAUGCUUAAACCGCAUGGUUUAUGCAUUUUCUCGGACGUUCCCGCACUUUAAAAUUCCAGAUUGAAACAUUUUUAUGAUGCUACAUACAUGUCUUAUGAUAUUUGGAUACGAUUUAAGGUCUGAAAAAUGGUUUAAAUUCAAGGGUUAGAUCAAUUUAGCUAGGAAAGAAUGACCAAAGUUUUAAUUUAAAAUAAAAUUACCGAUCUAAAUUUGAGAACUCUACACAAAGAAUAAAGUACAAUUACGAUUUUAUUUGAGCUUCUUUAUUAAAGGUUUAUUUUAUGUCAUCCAAGUCUGAUGUCAACAAGAUUUUGUUGUUGGGGAAUAGUAAAAAGUUAUUAAGCUAUUAUAAGUAAAUUUUAUGAUUACAGUAAAAAAGUACUUGAUGUUAUUAUUAUAUUAUUUUUAAUAUUAGAUCCCAAGUGAAAAAUUCCUUCAUACCAAUUAUUUCAAUUAGGAAUGAUCAUACCUUUGACUCUGCCGGCGGAUUGAGGGCGUCGCUGCAACCAUGGAUCCUGAGAAACUUGAGUUCUGAAGAACCCACUUUGGCUAAUUCAUUAGCAAAAUAAUUGACAUCUUGCUCUUGCAAUUCACGUAAUUCAAGGUCUUCAAUUCCCUGCAGUUGCACGAUCAGCCAAUCCUUCAAGCAAAUCUUGUUGUUCAGCCUGAGUCUGAAUUCUCUACGCCAAAUGUUGGUGCUCUCCCAAUACCAAUCUCCAAUACGUAUUCUGUACUUUUCCAGCUUCUCCAAGAACAAGCCUCUGGGCAGAGUGUUGACAUCAUGGAUGUCUAAUUCUAAAGAGGUCAAGUUAGGCAAAUGCUUCAACUCCUCAACGCUAGCAUUCUUAACCCCUUCCACCUCCACCUCCCAUUUUUUAAAGCUUCUACAACUUAUGUAUAGUUCUUCUAAAUGGGAUAAAUUUGAUAAAACAUUUGGUGGGAUAACUUCUAGUUUCCUACAUUCUCUCAAAUCAAGCAAGGUUAGCCAAGUCAAUUGACCUACUUCUGUUGGCAGCUGCUUAAUGUCAGAGCCUCUUAAACAAAGGAUUUCUAGUUUCUUCAAGCCUCCUAUGACACUUAUAUCUACCAAUUUGCAAUAACACAAACUCAGUGCUCGAAGGUUUAACAGAAAACCAAGUGUUGAAGGCAGUGACAGUAGAUUCAUGUAAGUCAAGUUUAUAACUCUGACCAGUAUCAUCCCCUUGAAAAAAUUGUUUGGAAUGGUUAAUGAUGAAGAUUCCUUAUCCGCACAUAUAAAAAGAAGUUUGAGUUGAGGACAUUCCACCACUUCAGGAAGCACAUUAGUCUUGAUAUCUUGUAAGACGAUCGAAGUGUAACGCUUUACUGCACUUUCGUCUGACCACACCCUGAAACCAUCAACCUGCUCAUUUGUCGCUGUCAACGCAAUUUUCUCUGUAGAUGCAAUUGAUAUGGCAACAUCGCGAACAACAUCAUGCAUGGAAAAGAACUCUUCACUCUUGCUUAUAUGGUCUAGCAACAUACAAGAAGCUUUGAGUUUGUGCACCAACGUCCGCACUCGAGCUCGUGCUACUUCCAUCUUAUUGACACCUUGAAAUAAACCCAAUCCCAUACCACACAUUAACAAGGCAUCAAUGGAUGAUAUGGCUGUAUAUCCUAUUAGCAAAAAUAUGUUCUUGAGCUCCUCCCCUGCUAAUUUGUUGUAACUCAACUCUAUAGCUUUACACGCAGUUGGCUGUAUGUCUUUGAAGUUCGUUGCGUAUGGCCUUCUUAGUUGUUCCAACGCAUCCUUCCAUUCAAAUAAUCUCUUGUUCCUUAAUGCCCUCGCUAUCGUCACAAUGGAAACAGGCAAACCUGCACAUUCCUUUGCCACAUCCCUUGCCACCGAUUGGAAUUCACUACCCUCAAUAUAAUCACCUGCCAUCUUCUUGAAUAGAUUCCAAGCUUCUUCUUCGUUUAAAACACCAAUUGAGAAAUUUGAUCGAGAAUCCAUCUUCCCAGACAAUACAUCUAGACUUCUGGCCGUCAACAGUACUUUACAACCUUUAUGACCAUCUCCAUGAGGAAUUCCGACAACCCGCAAAUUAAGAUUUUCCCAAAUGUUGUCUAAAAUUAUCAGGAUCUUCUUCUCUGCUUUUAUACGUUUAAAUAAGCUGUUUGCCCUUCCUGAUUCACUUUCCUCAUGAAACUUCAGGCCUAAUUUAUCUGCUAUUUCUCCUUGAAUCUUUCGUAUGUCUUGAUUCUGGGACACCUCAACAAAAACCACCAGAUCAAAGAGUUUGUCACUCUUGACUUUCCUAGCAAUUUCUUCCGCCAGCAUCGUCUUUCCGAUGCCACCCAUCCCAUAAAUCCCAAGCAUGUCGACAUCGGGAUCUUCUAGUGCACUGAGUAUAUUCCUCAAAGUGAACAUUCUUGAUUCAAAGGGCUCGUAGUCUUUGUUAGAGAUAAGCCGUAUAUCCGCUGGAGCAGUACAGUAGGAAAUUCUAUCAAAUCUUCGAGCAUCUCGGACAUUGACAACAGCCUCCUUCAGCCUCUCUGCUUCCUUGCUAAGUCGACGGCGGGUCUUCAAAUCAGGACAUAACCCCUUGAAACAACGCUUAUUUGCAGUGGCUUCGUCUUUUGUAAAAUUAUCUGCCGCUUCAAUGACAUUGUUGGCCCUUGCAAGCCAAUUCUCAACGUUCUCUUCAAUCUCUUCUCCUUUUCUUUUAGCCUCAUCAACCUGGUGCUCUGUACGCACCCUCUCAGACUUCAGAUUGUCAACUUCAGUCUUGAGAUUCUGUAAGUUACUUGUGUACUUACUCUUGCGCAAAUAGCAAAUUCGGCGAUAUGCGGGAGGAGCCAAGCACUUUACAACUUCUACAACAAUAGUAAGAAUGAUUUCAGCCAUCUUCAAUCCUUUGUCCUUGUCUCUCUAUCUCUCUUUUUCUGAAUUUGUGAAAAACAAUUGACCCAGUUAUGAAGCACACUGAGUGAUUAAACACAAAUGACUACAAGAUGGAGCAGAGUGAAAAAAAAAAAAAAUUACUGAGAGUGGGUAGAGAAUAAAACAGAGACAGCGGCACAGCUGGACACAACUAGAUAGAGAACAGAGGAAAACCAAAUAACAAGACUUAAGAUUACAGCAAACAGAGGCCAAGUAUUGUUGAGAUCAGAAGACGGAAAAUUCAAAAGAGUUGAUGGCAGAUGCUGAAUAACAAAACAACAAUGAACGCAAUAAGCAGAAGCAAAGUGUGUUCGUGAUCGACAGAAUGGAGGUACGGAAAGGGGUUGUUGAUAGAAAAUGAAUGAAUGCAAAGAAAGACUGAUAUUAAAAAUGAAGUAAAGAAAGGACUACUUGAGCAUUUUUCGUCUCAGUCAACUAACAAGACAAAUGAUGAUUGAGUGUGAACUUCUACAACAAUAACAAUCUUUACCUAUUUCAAUUAGUCUUAUAUCCAAUAGCAAAUUCGGCGAUAUGCGGGAGGAGCCACGCGCUUUACAACUUCUACAACAAUAGUAAGAAUGAUUUCAGCCAUCUUCUGUCCUUUUACUCUCUCUUUCUUUUUGUGAAUUUUUGAAAAAUAAUUGACCCAGUUAUGAAGCAAACUAAGUGAUUAAACACAAGUGACUACAACAAGAUGGGGCAGAGUAAGAAGACAAUAGAAAGAGUAGAUACAGAAUAAAACAGAGACUAGACAAAGAACAAAGCAAAACCAGAUAACAAGACUGAAGAUUACAACAAACAGAGGCCAAAUUCGAAAGAGUUGAUGGCAAAAGCUGAAUACAAAAACAACAAUGAACACAAUAAACAGAAGCAAAGUGUGUUUCUGAUCAAAGGAUGAAAAUACUAAGGAAGGGUUUGUUUUGUUGUCUGGAAAUGAAUGCAAAGAAAGACUGAUAUUAAAAAAUGAUCUCAAUAAUGGAGGAGUGACUCAACUCUGAAAAACAAAGUUUUGUUGUAUUCUUUUUAACUUUUUGUUGUGGUAGAGAACGGAGAAUAAGGAUGAGAUUAAAAACUAAAAGUGACCCCUCUGUCUUUUGGAAUUAAUUAAUCAUCUUAGUUUUAUGGCCGGCUAACCGUUGUCCGUCGGAUUAGGGAACAGAAAUCCAAACGGUGGAGAUCACUUGCUGAAACCAUGACCCUUUGUUACUUUAAUGAAAAUUUCUAAGUGAUGAUAAAUAAACCAGGUAGAUAUGGUAGAUAUUUUGAAGUAUAAUAAGUGAAAAACGGAGCCUUUACCGAUGGUUUGCUUUCUUAUUCAUCUUUUCCCUGGGCUUAUUACUCUUUUAUUUUUUAAGUUGACUGGAAAUGAAUGCAAAGAAAGGCUGAUAUUAAAAAUGAUCUCAACAAUGGAGGAGUGAUUCAACUCUGGAUAAUAAAAUUUUGUCGUAUUCUUGUUAACUUUUUGUUAUGGCAGAGAACGGAGAAUAAGGAUGAGAUUAAAAACUAAUAAGUGACCCGUCUAUGUCUUUUGGAAUUAAUUAAUCAUCUUAGUUUUAUGGCCGGUUAACCGUUGUCCGUCGGAUUAGAGAACAGAAAUCCAAACGGUGGAGAUCACUUGCUGAAGCAUGACCCUUUGUCACAUGUAACUAUGUUAGAAAUGUCCAAGACCGGUAAUUGACCGUUAGCAUCAUGCCAGUGUAGUAGAGGGGAAGCGUCUUUUUACACAACUCAUGUAUAUUCAUUGGAAUAUGGAGUGCCAAAUUAUUAUUCUAAAAAACUUUGAACACCAAAAUAUGUAUUAAACCCCAUUACUCCAUAAAACAUCAUUAAUCUAAAAUUUUACCGUAUAAAUACACAUUAAUACCCUAAUAAUAAAAUUACAUUCCUAAUUAGGAUACUAACCAAAUUCAAGCAGUUAAAGAGGUUGUUGAAAAGUCAAAGACUUACUUUCCAAUUUCAAAAGGCAAAGUUGGUGGGUUUGCCAAAUUCAAAAAAACAAAGAUGGUCGGCUUGCUAAUUUCAAAAGACAAAGUUAGGUGUUGAAAAACUUGUGCAUGCAAUACAAGAUCCAGCUCAACGUUUUGACCAAUUGAACCCAACUUGGAGCAGAAUGCACUUUAUAAAUAGAGAAGCAUUUUGCAAUUGUAAGCAUCCCGAAUUUGAGAGAAGUAGAGAGCAAUUGCAAGUGAGUUCUGUGAGAGAAUUUGUGAGAGCUUCCACUUGAGUGUUCUAGUGAGGUUCCAUUUGGGUGUAUGGGGGUUGUGGGUUUUGUGAGUUUUUCCAACUUUUGUAAAUUCCCAUUUGUUAGUAAAAUUAUCUACUAGUUUUUUGCUCGUGGCCGUAGGUAUUACGCCGAACCACGUAAAUUAUUGUGUCUUAUUUUUCUUUACAUUUGUUUAACACAACAUUUAUAUUUCUCCAAAAGUUACAGUAUUAGUAAUUGCUCAACCCGCGUUUCCACAACAAGUGGUAUUAGAGCCGACGGUUAGUACUUUGGGGAUACGGUACUAUUCACGUAUACAGUACUGUUCAUGUAUACGGUACUAUUCCCAUAUACGGUACUGUUCACAAAUACGGUGGAGACGACCAUUUAUACUUAGGAGACAGUCUAUUGUAAGUAGUGUGUAUUUUUGCAUAUCUAGGAAAGUUCUGUCAACAAAGACGAUAAGAGUCGAAGGAUUCUGGUUUUUAAUUGGGAUCGAGUUCCCAUCCAGUCUCCUAGGAACUUUCCUGGUGCAUUUAUUCACGGAAAUAAACAUCAUAGAGGCUGUUUUUUAAGUGUAAAUAGUUGUUGAAGAAACUGAUCAUUUGAGAUAAAAAGGAUGGUAGAGGCAUCGUCGUCGUCUUCAUCAGCAAUGACCACUGCGACUAAUGCAAAGUUUGAAGUGGAGAAAUUCAUCAGCAAUGACUACACUCGGAUAUGUUCAGCUGUUCCAAAUUAUCCAUAAUGGCAGAUCCUGUUGUGCGUGGAAUGCGGAAUCAAGCGCACCAAAUAAUUACAGAAAAAUAAAGGACACAAGAAUUUACGUGGUUCGGUAAUUAAACCUACAUCCACAGAGGCAAGAAAGAAUAAUUGUUUAUUUAACAAUUAAUAGAGUACAAUAUUUGAGUAACGAAUCUCACUUCCCAGAAACCCAAAUAUACCCAGUACUCUCACACUCUGCAGGAAAGAUAAAUUUCCCAGACACACUUCUCUCACUUCUCUCAAAAGCUUAGAAACUUAUAAGCUUAACAAUUUUGGGAUACUAAACAAAUGAAAAUCUCCCUCUAUUUAUAGGAAGUAUUUUGCACUAUUACAAAUUCAACGCUCACCAACAAUUUGCCAAUUUGUCAAGGUAGUUGUGAAUUUGUCAAACUGUCACAUGCUUCACCAACUUAUUUGGUUUCAAUUUCUAAGGGCCGGUGCCAACUUUGGCCAAUUAUUUCAACACGUUUUGUAUUUUCUCCAAAGCUUGCAUGCCAGCUGUUGAAAAGUUGGCUUUGGUUGCUGACUUUUCAACAGAUCCUUGUUUCAAGAAGUGCUUGAGAUCAAAACACUUGUUUACUUCUCUUAUGAUUACCUCCAUCCCAUUUUCAGCCUUUUCUUUUGCCUCCUGAGCAUGACGCCCUCCUCCUAUAGGAAGAACUUUCAUGGCGUGAAAUCUCUGUAGGAAAUCAUCAAGUGAGAAAAUAGUAGGCGACUCAGCACCAAACUCGGCUUCAAGACAUUUAAGUUUGCAAAUCAAGUCUUCUGGAAAUAGACUGUUAUUUGUUGCUAUGUGCUUCGCAUCAGCUCUCAAUUCUUCCAAGUUGGGGAAUAACUGGGUGAUUAAUCACAACCAAAAUAAAGAAAAAUUUGCUAGAUUCAGAGAUUAGUUGAUAUAUUUAUUUUAAAGAAAUUUAACAAAAUAGAAGAGAUUAAAUUUGAAAUUAACUACCACUAGCUAGUAAAAAUAGCUUUUCUAGCACGAGGAUCCAGUUUACCAUCUUUGACAUGAUAAUAAGCUGGACACCCGAAUACACGAAGGGAAUCAUAGUCUUGUGCAUACUUUCCAGACCACAUUUCCAUAGGAGUUUUACCUCCAAUUGCAGCAGAAGGCAACCGGUUUACCAAGUGACUUGCGUAGCUCAUAGCUUCAGCCCAAAACUUUUUAUCUAAACCAGCAUUAGAUAACAUACAUCGUACCUUCUCUAGUAAAGUAUGAUUCAUACGCUCAGCCACACCGUUCUGUUGCGGAGUAUGUCUCACCGUGAAAUGUCUUUUAAUACCCUCGUUCUGGCAUACUUGCAAGAAUGGAUCAGAAGUAUAUUCACCCCCAUUAUCAGAUCGUAAUACUUUGAUCUUUCUGCCAGUUUGAGUCUCCACUAAUUUCUUCCAUUUCACGAAAAUCUCUAGAACCUCAUCCUUUGCUUGCAUGGUGUACACCCACACACGUCUAGAGAAAUCAUCAACAAAUGUAACAAAAUAAUGGCUUCCACCAAUUGAUGCAGUCUUGGUUGGUCCCCAUACAUCACUAUGAACAUAUUCAAGGAUUUCACGAGUAUCGUGAUUAGCUGUACCAAACUUGACCCUUGUUUUCUUGCCUACUACACAAUGCUCACAGAAAUUAAAUUUACAGGUUUUGGUACCUUUUAAGAGUCCAUGCCUCAUCAGAGUUUGCAAAGACUUCUCUCCAGCAUGUCCCAGUCGUACAUGCCAUAGCUUGGUGGUGUCACUGUGCGCCUCAACAACAUUUGCUUCAUCAGUUGUACCUCCCUUCAAAUAGUACAGAUUGUGACGCCGAACCCCUUGCAGAAUCACCAUAGCCCCAUGUGUAAACUUCAUUAUACCAUCUUCAAUGGUAACCUUGUAGCCUUUAGCUUCCAAAGCACCCACAAAAAUUAGAUUUUUCUUUAACGCUGGAACAAAUCUAACCUCUUUGAGUUCUCUGACCAUUCCAUCAAACAUUUUGAGCCGAAUUGUUCCUAUCCCCAUUGUGCGACAAGGUUUAUCAUUCCCCAUCACUACUGCACCGGAUUUCAGAUUACGAAAAUCCGUAAACCAUUCCUUAAUAGGACACAAAUGAUAGGUUGCUCCAGUAUCAAGUAUCCACUCGCUCGAACUAGCCACGUAUGCUGCAGGAGUAAUACUUAGUGAAUAAUCAGAGCCGUCAUCUUUCCGUGCCAUGUUUGCUGCUGCUGGUUUCUUCUCAUCUCUCUUUUGAGCCUUUGGACAAUCUUUCCUCCAAUGACCCUUUUCAUGACAAAAGGCACACUCAUCUCGAGCUAUAUUUCUGCUUCUCGAUUUGGAUCGAGAAUUCUUUCCACCACGCUUCUUCUGUUUCUCCAUCACCCAAUCUCUGCUCACCAAAGCUUCAGACGAUGCUCGUUCAGAAUUUUUAUCAUUAUUCCGAAUCUCUAAGCUAGUCAAUGCUGUGCAAACAUCUUUAAAGACGGUCACACUCUUCCCAUAUAUCAAAGUAGUCACAAAAUGGCUAUAUUCCUCUAGUAGUGAGUGUAACAGAAUCAUAGCCUUGACUUCAUCCUUAAUAUCUUCAUCAAGAUUCUUCAAAUCAGCAAGUAACUUUUCAAAUCUUGAAACAUGAUUGUGCAUUGACACCCCAGGCUUCAUUCGAAAACCAUAUACUUGGCUCAUUGCAUGAAGGCGAUUUUUAGGACUUUUCACCAGGUACUUCUCCUCCAAUGUACGCCACAAAGUCACCGCACACUCCUCAUCUUUCACCAAGUAUUUCACCUCCUUGGUCAAACAAGAUCUGAUCUGACCACAAGCUUUUUCAUUCAUACGAUCCCAAAUUUCUUCAUCAUACAAGUGUCUUUUAUUUUUCAGAACAACAUCGAGAUCGAUUUGAAUAAGGGCAUCCAUAACUUCGCGCCUCCACAUGCCGAAGUUGAUUUUCCCAUCAAACUUUUCAACAUCGAUCUUCUGGCCUCCUAUAACAGGUGCUGAAUAGCGAUUUGACAAAUCUCGCCUCCCACCUGAAGUGUCUCCUGAAAUAGUCUCGGUAGAUCUCUCCCCAAUUCUGGAAGUUUCACCUUCUACUAUUUUCUCAACGAACUAUUUCCACUUGAAAAACAGCCUCUAUGAUGUUAAUUUCGCGUGAAUAAAUGCACCAGGAACGUUCCCAGAAAACUGGACGGGAACUCGGUCCCAAUUAAAAACCAGAAUCCUUAGACUCUUAUCGCCUUUGUUAACAGAACUUUCUUAGACAUGCAAAAAUACACACUACUUACAAUAGACUGUCUCCCAAGUACAAAUGGCCGUCUCCACCGUAUUCGUGAACAGUACCGUAUCCCCCAAGUACGAACCGUGUCGUAUUCAUGAACAGUACCGUAUGUGAAUAGUACCGUAUACGUGAACAAUAUUGUAUACGUGAACAAUACCGUAUCCCCCAAGUACGAACCGUCUGCUCUGAUACCACUUGUUGUGCGCGGAAUGCAGAAUCAAGCGCACCAAAUAAUUACAGAAAAAUAAAGGACACAAUAAUUUACGUGGUUCGGUAAUUAAACCUACAUCCACGGAGGCAAGAAAGAAUAAUUGUUUAUUUAACAAUUAAUAGAGUACAAUAUUUGAGUAACGAAUCUCACUUCCCAGAAACUCAAAUAUACCCAGUACUCUCACACUCUGCAGGAAAGAUAAAUUUCCCAGACACACUUCUCUCGCUUCUCUCAAAAGCUUAGAAACUUAUAAGCUUAACAAUUUUGGGAUACUAAACAAAUGAAAAUCUCCCUCUAUUUAUAGGAAGUAUUUUGCACUAUUACAAAUUCAACGCUCACCAACAAUUUGCCAAUUUGUCAAGGUAGUUGUGAAUUUGUCAAACUGUCACAUGCUUCACCAACUUAUUUGGUUUCAAUUUCUAAGGGCCGGUGCCAACUUUGGCCAAUUAUUUCAACACGUUUUGUAUUUUCUCCAAAGCUUGCAUGCCAGCUGUUGAAAGGUUGGCUUUGGUUGCUGACUUUUCAACAGAUCCUUGUUUCAAGAAGUGCUUGAGAUCAAAACACUUGUUUACUUCUCUUAUGAUUACCUCCAUCCCAUUUUCAGCCUUUUGUUUUGCCUCCUGAGCAUGACGCCCUCCUCCUAUACGAAGAACUUUCAUGGCGGGAAAUCUCUGUUGGAAAUCAUCAAGUGAGAAAAUAGUAGGCGACUCAGCACCAAACUCGGCUUCAAGACAUUUAAGUUUGCAAAUCAAGUCUUCUGGAAAUAGACUGUUAUUUGUUGCUAUGUGCUUCGCAUCAGCUCUCAAUUCUUCCAAGUUGGGGAAUAACUGGGUGAUUAAUCACAACCAAAAUAAAGAAAAAUUUGCGAGAUUCAGAGAUUAGUUGAUAUAUUUAUUUUAAAGAAAUUUAACAAAAUAGAAGAGAAUAAAUUUGAAAUUAACUACCACUAGCUAGUAAAAAUACUUAUUCAAUAAAUUUUAACUUUUCAGAAAAUGAUAACUUUUUGUUAGUAAAAAGUAACCAAGCCAUGAAGACAAUAGCAAUAGAACUUUAAGCUCUAUGAGAAUUGAAAAGUUAAAUAUAAAAUUCUUGUACGUACCUUUUUUAUCAAGUCGCCCGUAGUUUUUUUAUGUCUCACCAUGAAUUCAGGACAUCUAGAUAUCCAUAACUUUUUCAAUGAUGGAAAUUUAAUGAUGUUUACAUCUCCUGUGCAGAAGCUUGUAAGUUUUUUAAGAUCAUACAUCUUUAAAUAUUGUAACUGGCACUACAAGAAAAAUGAUAUUUUAUUAUAAAAAAAAUUAGUCAUUGAAGAUAACAAAUUAGUCACCUUAUAUUUUCUAUGAUGAUAAAGAAACCGUCACACGUUAGUCGUGGGAAGACCGUCUUAAAAGGUUUUAGGGACCAAAAUUAUUUUCGUCAUGUUAAAAAUAUGUUUUGUGACAAAAAUAAUUGUCUUAAAAUUAAGUUAAAAUUGUCACAAAUAAUGUUCAAAAUGGUCAAAUUAGAGAUUAAAAAAUGUAAUCAAUGACACUUCAUAUUUGUCACAAUAUGUAAUUUAUAAUGACUAUAAUAUUUGUCUCAAUAGGUGAUUUAUAGUGACUAAAAUAUUAGUCUCAAUAGGUGAUUUAAAAUGACUAUAAUAUUUGUCUCUAGAGUAUGUAAAUAUAAUCUCGAUAAUUACUAAAAAUCGUUAUUUCAGAGGUUCAAUGAUACAAUUACCAACGCUAUUUUUCUGUUGUUGAAAUUUACAUAUCGCGGCGUUACACAAUCGUCUCAAGUAGUUAUCAUUUGACAAUUUUUACAAAUACAAUUGGUAAUUAAUAUAGUCUCAAAUUUAUUUUAAGGACAAUUUUUAUAGUCUCACAUAAAUUUUAAUAACAAUAUGUAGUCAUAGAAUUCAAAAUUUAAUGACAAAAGAACUUUGAAGUGAAAAAUAUUAUUAACAUAAAUAUAAUUCAUCACAAAGAAAUCUAAAAUCUAAAAGGUAUAAAAUCAAUAGUCUAAAAAUAAGAUUACAUCGUAGAAGAAAAAUAAAAGUAACAUUGCACAGAAGCAUAAUUAAGUAAACAACAGGUUGUUGUUUCAUGAAUGCUUCAACUUCCUUAAAUUUGCUAUCUUCUUCCUUGAUUUUAACUUUUGAUCCUUGUUGUGCUAUAAGACAAUGUUGUAGUAGAUGAUGACUUUAAAGGUACCUGUCAUUUUCGAUCUUUAUAAAAUUAAAGAUUUUUCCAAAAGUAUUUCACAAUUUGAUCAUCUAUUAUUGAUACAUCAUUUUUCUCUAUCUAUCAUUUGGCUUUACAUGAUUAAAAAAUAAUAUUAAUAAAAAUAAAAACUUGAGAAAACACUUAAUUGGUGUAGGAGAAUAAUCUUCUAAAAGAAAAUCUUAUUGUCAAUGCAUGAAAGAAUAGUAAAUAGCAAGGCAAAUAGCUAUAAAUAAAAAUAUUUAGGUAAGAAUGCAAAAUUAAUUAAAUUUCUCAAUGAAACAUAUCCGCAAUCAAUUCUUUCAUCCAAUAAAAAAAUGGAAAAAAAUUAUAAAUGAAAGACAGGAGAUUACAAGCACAUACUUGCUUUCAUUAUUACUUCAAAUUAACAAUCUAAUCAAAGAUUACAAGCAUAUAAUCAACCUCGAUUCACUUACACAAAUUUUACAUCCAAAGCUCUGAACUUAAUCGAUUAAACAGUUGGUGUCAAACUUGAACUAAAUUAAAUUAUUAAGCAAUCAAUGAAUCAAUGUUUACAGUACAAUAAAUAUAAAGUUGAAAGAAAUAAAAGAUUAAGUCAAAAACGAAAAAUGAGAUAGCUUGCACAUUUAGAUUUUGCAUUGAGACUACUUCAACCUUUUUCCUCACUCCAAUACAUUUUAUGAAACAAAGUAAUCGAGGAAACUCUUCAUACUUUUUUGUUAUCCCAGUACAAAAGAAGAUAAGCAUAUUAUUUUUUACUAAACAUACAACCACUUGGGGAAAAAAAUGCUUUUUGACCUUUAUUUAGUCACUUCAUAUACACUUCCUAGCAAAUCCAACAAUAUUUUAAGCAAACUUUAGCAACCCAAGCUUCAAAAUCGUCCUUCCAAGAAACACAUGUGUUUUAUAAUCAAAAUUUUGUAGCUUAACUUAUUAUUAUAUCGGUUGGACUCGAAUAAUUUAUUAACUCUUUUUAUUAUAUUAAUAAUAGCUAUAAUUUUCUUUAAAAAAUAAAGAAAGAUGAUUAAUUACAUACCAAGUUGAAGUGAACAAAAAAUUGAAAGAUCCCAUUUUCGAAUGUUCUUAUGAAAGAAUAUUAGGAAAAAAAAAAAUCUGAUAUCAUCACACCCAAACCCACUGCCCAAAUUGAAAAAUAAAUUCAUCUUAAUAUCCUAAUUUUGUAAAAGUUUCUCAAAACCUACUAAACUUUGCUUCAAAUUCCUUCAUUUAUUUACAUAUAUUUUAUUUAUUUUUAUUUUUUUAACUAGAUUCUCUUAGGAAUUUUAUCAAGCACCUGAUAAGCAUAAAAAUAUUCAAAUAAUAGAUGUAAAAAUUUCAAUCCUAAUUUUACCAAACACAAAAAUAUGAAUUUCACAUAAUCCAAUCACAACUAAACUAAUCAAAAUUAAAUUGGCUGAGUUUAUAUAUACUCACAAUUUCGAAGUAGAAUGAGAGAUGAGAGUGAAUUUUGCUGAGUGGCUGAUUUUGGCAUGCAUGAGUGGACUGGUGAGGGUGGCGUGCUUUUGAGCGGCGGCAAAGUGAGGUGGCCUCCAUAGCCAUGCGUUUUUGUUUUGUUAUCAUCAUUCACACACACACGCACAAAUUGGAAAGGAUUACAAAAGAUAAAGAUGGAUAGUUUUUUAAUAAAAAACCAAUUAAAGUGAAGUGGCCUGGGAGAGAGUGGGAGGGAAUUAAAUGGUUCUAUUUGGAUGACAACAAAAUUGGUCAGGGAAUGAGUGGGAGGGGAUUAAUUUGUAUUUCACGAUUUCAUUAGAGAAACUUCUGUUCUAUUUACGUUUAGUUAUUCUUUUAUUUUAAUUUUUAUCCAAUAAAAUAUGUAUUCUUUUUAUAAAUCCAACAUAAUUAACUAUUAUAGGAUUCUUUUAAAAAUAAAAAAGAAGCUAUAAUAACUUUGUUAUUAUUGGUUUAAAAAAAGUCUAUUAUCAUUUUUUAAUAAUCCUAGUUAAUUAUUUUAAGGCUAUUAUUUUAAUUUUUAUUAAUCUAACAUAGUUAAACAAAAUUUGUAUGAAGCUAAAUAAUAAAAAAUAAUGUGCGUAAUUAAAUUUCAAGAAAAAGGUAUUAUUUAAUAAAAUACCUAUUAGUUAAAUACCUUUUUCUCGAUAUUUAAUAAAAUUAUUGAUAAUUUAUCUUAUCAAUUAUUUAAUAAAAUACAUAUAAAAAAUUUGUUGGUCACAAAAUAUAAUAUAAUUUAAAAAUAUUGAUUUUUUUUAUUUGGUCAAUGUUGUAAAGUUCGUCAAAAAAAUAUGAAUCAAAUACUAAAUAAUGUGUCUCUGAAAAAAAAAAAGUCAUAAAAUACAAAAUUACUCAAGAAAAAAUUUUAAACUAUUCUUUUUUAGUUUUGUCACAAUAGGUAAUUAUCUGUGACAAAAAAAAUAGGGUCUUAAAAAUUAAUCAAAACCAUAUUAGGUUUGGAGACUAAUAUUUUUUGUCACAAAUAGUUUUAUCCAUUUUACAUCCCUCUUUUAGUUACGAAAUAAUUAUGUCGCUUAUAAUUACAUUUCGCUACCAUAUUUUUUGUCAUAAAAGAUGAUAUAUUUGUCAAAAAAUGAUCAAUUUUGGAGGGAAUUUUUUGUGCUAAAAAAGGAUGUCCUUUUGCGGCUAAUUUUAUAUUUGUCGCAAAAAAAUUGAUUAAGUGACCAAUUAUUGUGUCAUAAAAUAAAUAUUAUUCGUUACAAAAUAUAACAUGAGCUAGGAUGAGAUUAUUUGCUACGAUUUUUAAAGAUCGUCACAAUAAGUAUUAUUUUAUGACAAAAUCUACAAAUGUCAUUAAAAAAAUUAUCUUAAAAAUUCAGAUUUCUUGUAGUGUGGGGAAACAUUACAAUAUUAUUAUUCCUUUUUUCUUGGUCCACAAUUAUUAUCUCUUCCAAGACAGGGCAUCCCAAUAUGUCAAGGUGUUGGAGUCGAACAAAGAUGUCAUUGCUAACUAUAGAAGACGAAAAUAGACAUCUUAAAUUCCUACAUCUGUAUAAGGUCAAGUGCAUUAAAUUCUGAACACCACAAGAUAUGGCUGAAACUUGGUUUUGCCAAAUCCUCUCAACAUUAAUUGAACGCAACUCCAAGUUCUCCAACUUUGGUAACGCAACCUAUUCGAUUAAAAAAUUAACUUCUUGUUAAUUACAAGUAAUAAUCAUUUCUACAGAUGGACAAAUCAAUAAAAUUAUUAAUCUGUUUCUCUUGUUAUAGUUCUCUUCAGUCUUUCAUACAAACAAGCACCAUUCAAGUUUUCAAAUUAUUCCUUGCUAAUUUUACAUGUAUUCUGACGACACAUUAAAUAAAAAUGACAAGUUAUGAAUGUGAAUCUAUUUAUUAGUAAAAAAAUGACAGUUUUCAAAUUAUUAGUUACUCUUGCAUAUUUGCUAACAGACAAGAAUAACAAAGAACAAAAAUACAAAAGUCAUAGAGAAUUAAUAAGACUAUACCGGCUUAACAAUAACUGACCUUCUCAAUGAAUAGUGCAUUAGAAAUACUGACAUUGUCCUCCAAAAUGAUUUGGUUUGACUGAAUAUCAUUUAACGAUUCCUCUUGUCUCUGUUGACAUUGAAGGUGUUAUGAGUUUAGCGUAUAAACUUAAUUGUGAGCGUAAUGUGCAUUUGCAAAGCUUAGUUUAGGACUAGAUCUAAAUUUGAUAUGUAAGAUUCCAUAAUCGAGAAUUUUUUUAAUCAAAAAUUUAGCUGGGUUAAUUUAAACAAAAAUAUGAAGAAUUAAACUUGUUACCGAUUUAGAUUAGAUAAAUAGUGAAUAUUCUCUAAAUAUGAGCAUUGUAAGAUUAUUGAAAAUAUAAGACGGUUAAUUUCACAUUUUUCAUAUGAAUAUUGUGAAUGUUAUUGAAAGUAAGAGAAGAAGAAUAAUAUUACAAGGAUAAAGCACAUACAAUAUAAAGCUAUUAUGUUAUUUUUUUUACGGAUGUAACUCUGAAGCUAAAAGAUUAAAAUAUUAUUUAAUUGCAAGCAUUAAUGAUUUUUGCUAAAUUGUUUACUGUGAAAAUGAGUAUAAAUAUGAUAUUUGACGACUUUUCAAAAUUAACUUUGAUACACUAGAAGUUUCUAGUUUUAGCAUACGUAUAAAUUAACAAAAUGAAUUUCAUAAUAACUAUAAUUUGCUAAAUUGAUCAUACCUUUGACUCUGCCGGAUUAAGGGCGUCGUGGCAACCUUCGAUCCAGAGAUGCUUGAGUUGUGAAGAGCCCACUUUGACUAGUUCAUUAACAAAAUUAUGGACAUCUUGCUCUUGCAGUCCAUACAAUCCAAGAUGUUCAAUUCCCUGCAGUUACACGAUCAGCCCAUCCUUCAAGGAAAUCUUGGAAUUCAGCUCGAUUCUGAAAUCUCUAUUGCAAAUGUUGUACUUCCAAUUCCAGGAAUCUCCAAUAAGUAUUCUGUACCUCUCCAGCUUCUCGAAGAACAAGCCUCUCGGGAGACCGUUGACAUCUCUUAUUUGUAGUUCUAAAGAGGUCAAAUGCUUCAACUCAUCAAGGCUAGCAUUCUUGACCCCGUCCACCUCCACAUCCCAUUUAUCAAAGCUAUUAUCACCUAUAUUUAGAUCUUCUAAAUGGGAUAAAUUUGACAAUAUAUUUGGUGGAAUAACUUCUAGUUUGCUACAAUCUCUCAAAUCAAGCAACUUCAGCCAAGUCAACUGACCUAAUUCUACAGGCAACUGCUGAAUAUCACUACCUCUUAAGCAAAGGAUUUCUAGUUUCUUCAACUCUCCUGUAACACUUAUAUCUAGCAAUUUGCAAUAACACAAACUCAAUGUUCUAAGGUUUGAUAGGAGACCAAGUGAUGAAGGCAGCGGCAGUAGAUUCAUGUAAGUCAAGUUUAUAACUCUAACCUGUAUCAUCCUCUCGAAAAAGUUGUUUGGAAUUGUUAAUAAUGAAGAUUCCUGAUGAUCAGCACGUACAGAAAAAAGUUUUAGCUGAGGACAUUCCAGUAGUACUCGAUCAGCUGGAAGCACAUUAGUCUUGAUAUCACGUGAGACGAUUGAAGUGUAAAGUUUUACCGCAUUUUCGGCUGACCAUUCCAUGCAACCAUCAAACAGCUCACCUGUCGCCGUAAACACAUUUUUUUCUGCAGAUGCAAUUGAUAUCGCAACAUCGCGAAUAACAUCGUGCAUAGAAAGGCCUUCAUCUAGCAACAUACAAGAAGCUUUAAGUUCGUAGACCAACGUACUUACUCGAUCUCGUGCUUCUUCCAACUUACUGAUACCUUGAAAUAAACCCAAUCCCACACCGUACCUUAACAAUUCAUCAAUGGAUUCCACAUAAGCAUAUCCUAUUAGCAAAAAGAGGUUCUUGAGCUCCUCUCCUUCUAAUUUGUGGUAACUCAACUCUAUAGCUUUAUACGCUGCUGGUUGUAUAUGUUUGAAGUUCGUUGAGGAUGGCCUUCUUAGUUGUUUCAACGAGUCCUUCCAUUUAAAUAUACUCGCGCUCCUUAAUGCCCUUGCUACCGCCACAAUGGAAACAGGCAAACCUGCACAUUCCUUCGCCACAUCCCUUGCAACGCAUUUCAAUUCACUACCUUCAACAUAAUCGCCUGCCAUCUUCUUGAAUAGACUCCAAGCUUCUUCUUCUGCUAAAGCCCCAACUACGAAAUUUUGUUGAGAAUCCAUCUUCCUUGACAACACCUCUAGACUUCUUGCCGUCAACAGUACUUUACAUCCCUUGUCACCAUCUCCGUGGGGAAUUCCCACCACCUGCAAAUCAAGAUAUUCCCAAAUAUUAUCUAAGAUGACAAGGAUCCUCUUCUCUUUCUUCAGUCGGCUAAAAAGACGUCUUGCCCUUCCCGAUUCGCUCUCCUCACGAAAUGUUAGACCUAAUUUAUCUGCGAUUUCUCCUUGAAUCUUUCUUAUGUCUGGGCUCUGGGACACCUCGGAAAAAACCACAAGAUCAAAGAGCUUGUCAUUUUUGGCUUUUCUUGCAACUUCUUUCGCCAGCAUCGUCUUUCCAAUGCCGCCCAUUCCACAAAUCCCGAGCAUGUUGAUAUCGGGAUUUCUCAAUGCACCGAGAAUAUCAUUCAGAGUGGACAUUCUUGAUUCAAAGUCCUCGCAGCCUUUGUUGGACAUAAGCAAUGUAUCCUCAGGAAUGAUACUGUGGGAAAUUCUUUCAAACCUCCCAUCUUCCCGGAGCUUGACUAUAGCGUCCAGCUGCCUCACUGCUUCCUUGCUAAGUCUACGGCGCAUCUUCAAAUUAGGACAACAACCCUUGAAACUAUGCUUAUUUUCUGUAGCUUCAUCACCUACAAAUUUCUUUCCCUCAACAGUGGCCUUGUUUGCGCUUGCAAGCCAAUUCUGAACGUUCUGUUCAAUCUCUUCACCUUUUCUUUCUGCAUCAUUAACCACGUUCUCCAUACUCACGAUCUCACCCUCCAGCUUCUCAACUUGAUUAUUGAGAUUCUUAAAGUUUCUAGUGUAGUCGCGCACAUAACUAAAUUGGCGUUCUAUGGAAGGAGCCAAGCACUUUGCAACUUCUAUAACAACAGAAACUAUGAUUUCCACCAUCUUUAAUCCUUUUCGCUCACUCUUUUUUUUUAAAAAAGAAAAAGAAAUUGGGAAACAGAACAGAGACAAGAACUGAAGUACAGAACAAUUGAUUAGUUAGGAAGCAAACUGACACUGAGAGAUUAAACGCAAGUGAAGUACAGAACAAUUGAUUAGUUAGGAAGCAAACUGACACUGAGAGAUUAAACGCAAGUGAAGUGACUACAGCAAUAUGGGGCGGAGUAAAAAUGGAAAAAAAACAAGAGUGGAUACAGAACAGAACAAAUAUAGGGAGCAGCGCAAUUCUAAAUAACAAGACUGGAGAUCAAAGAGUGCCAAGUGUCGUUGAGAUCAUAAGAUUCAAAAAUCAAUAGAGUUUAUGGCGAAAAGUGAGAGAAAACAGAAGCACAAAACUUAAGAAAAAAUAAGACAAACAAUUUUAGCAAGUUUAUCAAUUUAGUUAUUUAAUUCCUGUAAUAAAAUAUUAAAAUCUACAAGGAAGCAUUAAGGCUCGCUAAAAGUUUGAGGUACAUUCCUUCCCUCUAAUCAAAGAAAACUAGGAAUAAUGCUGAUUCAACCAUGUAUAAUUUAAAUUAAUUAAAGUUAAUAUUCGUAAAUAUGCUUUGAUUAAAGUUGUUGUGUGAAUAUACAUAUAAUAAUUGUUGGUAAAGUUUCGUAAAUGUGAAUCCUUUACAUGUCCAUCUCUUCCCUCUGAGGACACGUUAAUAUGGGAGAUGAAGCUAUACUACUAUAAACAGUGUUUGAGCAUUUUCACCAAAUACUUAAUAAGUUUAUCAACUUAUGUAUUUAUUUCAUUUCUUAAAUAUGAAAAGCUACAAAGAGAGAAUAAUGGUUUGCUAAAACUUCAAGGAAUGACAUUCAUUUCCGAUCAUUGAAGAAAAUCCAUGAAUGCUGAUUCCAUCAUGUGGAAUUUAAUGUUAAUUAAAGAUAAAUUUGAGAAAUGCAAAUCUUUUAAAUGUCCGUUUAUUCACUCUGAGGAAAAGUUAUCUUGGAAGAUGAAGCAUGGCUAAUAUGCUAUAACAGUGUUUGUAUUGUGGGCCAAUUUCUUGCGAGCAUUUCUUAGUCAAAGUUUCAUAUAAAACUAUAAUAUCUAUACGCAGGGGAGGCCAUGGCUUGGCUUGAACCCAAUUAAUUUGGGAGUAAUGAUGAUGUUUGGUAUCAUAUACGUUGAAGUUCUAGUGCAUAAUGGCAUUUAUAUAUGUUGAAUACCACUUCAAUAAACUUUACUAAAAUAGUCCACCACUUUUUACCGCUUCUGUCAUUGUUCUGAUCAGCCUCACAUUUUACCACAUGUAAGAUUAUCUAAUUACAUUUACUUUGUCACAAGAAGACGCCAAGAACUUUUUUAAUGCUGGCCACUAGUAUGCAUUCUAAGGUAUAAACAUAUAAGGGCCGUUUGGGAUUUUUUUUGGAGGUUAAAAAAUGAUUUUGAAAAGUUAAAAACUAAUUUUUGUGUUUGAUAAAUUUUUUUAGAAAUCACUUUUGGAAAAAUUACCUUAUUUUAUAGCAAAUUUUGAAAAGUAAGGAGUAGUCUUUCAACAUCUAAUUUUGAGAAUAAAUUUUAUACUCAAUAUAAUUUCAUACCACAUUUAUCCUUACACAAGAAAUAAAAUUAUUAACUUUAAAGAGAUUAUUAUUAGUAACAAUUAUAUUGAGAUAAAAAUAAAUUAAAAUUAAUAAUAUAAAAUAUUUAUUUUAACUAUCAAUUAUUAUAUAUGCACACACUAAAAAAAAGUAUACACAUUUUUAUAAAUAUAUAAAUAAAUUUUAUUCAACAUUAUAUCCAAUUCAAUCAUUUACGUUCUUAUAGUAGUUUAAGAGUAAUAUUUAUCGAACACAUAUGAUUACUUUUUAAAACUCAUAGCACCUUUAAAAUAAAUUUUAUUAAAUAUUUAAUUAAUUUUCUUCAUAGUUGAUUAUUUAUGUAGUUAUUAUUUUAAAACAUAUAGCAUUACCAAACUAGCCGAAAGUCCUCCAAAAUCUUCACGCGUAUUAGUAUAAUUAGUUUGAGUCUAUAACAUCAAAAUAUACUAAUUUACAGAGUUAAAGCCAUGAACUCACGAUAUAAUAGUAAAUAUCAAUAUGUAGUCUCAGGUAAAACAUCUUCUCACGACCACGUCAAGUAAAUGCCGCUGGUGUUGAGUCAAUCUAAAUUCCCGUUUGUCAAAUGUAAAUGAAAAAGAAAAAAAGGCAAAUGGCGAUCAUUCAUGUCUUUUGGCAUUUCACAUUUGAUAUUUGUAAAUAUGUAAAAACAAUCUAUUGAGUAUGAGAUUCUUAAUUUUUCUUUUUCAUCUAAUCUGUUAAUAUUAUUGAAUUUUCUUUUUCACCCAAUCUACUAAUAUUAUCGGACGUAAUUGGAACUUAGAACCACUUAUUUCAACUUUAAAUUAUAUCAACUUUAGAAUGACACACUUCGAUAUCUAAGUUUAUAAAAUGAUUGAUGUACUUCAAGCCCAAAGUUUUUUAUUUUUUAAAAAAAAUAAAAAAAUUAUCAGUUAAUAAAGGAAUAAAUUUUAAACUUUUUAGUAGUGUUCUAGAUCGGGCCUUGAAAUCAUAAAAUGGUUUAUUUAUAAAUUGAGUUGGACUAUUGGCACCCCCCCAAAAUCCUUUUAAAACCCCUCUUCUGUUACAAUUACAUUUAAGAACAAAUACUCUAAUAUAUCUCACUUCAAACUUUUGUAUUUUCUCUCUUUAAAAAAAAAAAAAAAACUCUUGUAUUUUUUCUGCUAUCAAACUCACACAUGUAAUUUUUUUUCUCAAAUUCUCUAUAAAUUUUUCUUCAAUUACUAAGACAGUCUAUUGAUAAUAAACAAAACACAUUCUAACAAAAUUAUCUACCUUUUUUUAAGGCUCAUAAUAAAUUUUUUUACAUCAUAAUAUUACAGAUAUUUUAUUUAAUUAAUUGAUUUUUAUCAAGAAGUUUAUCACCCAUAAAAGUUUAUUUGUGAGGAGUGAGAAAAUAAUAGAAAAUUAAAAGAUUCACAAAUUAAAUGUAUUUAUUUAGAAAUAAGGGUAUUUUUGGCAUUAAGCUUAGCAUUAUUGAAAAAGGAGUUUCAGAAGAAUUUUGGAGGAGUACCAAUAGUCCAACUCUUAUAAAUUAAAUAUAAAGAUUAAUAACUGGACCUAGACUCAGCCCGGUCCGGGUCUAAAAAUUUCAAGCCUAGGUCCAUCACUCCCACCAACUGCUGGACUGGACGUUCCAUUCAUAUGCUGUUGAGAUAUAUAUAUAUAUAUAUAUAUAUAGUUUAGCUUUUAGCACCCUUAUGAAAAUUCUUAUGACACCUCUUUUGUAUUUUAUUUCUUAAAAUAUCUUAGUUUUAAUUUAUAAAGUAUAAAUACCUAUAAAAAAAACCAUAUUCCCCCAAAAUAUGAUCCUAAAAAAAGUCUCUUUGAAGUUUUAAUUAUAAAAUACAUAUAAAUCCUAAUUUUUUUUAAUUAUUUUCUUUUUAUUAUUUUAAUUAUAUCUCCAUAAUUCAAAAAACUUUUAAUUUUUUUAAAAAUCAAAUUAAAAUUUAAAAUAUAACUAUAAAUUAUGAAAUGGGGUGGGUGUAAAAAUUUUGUUAAAAGAAUCUCAAAAUAAAAAUAAAUUAAUUUGUCUUUGGUUAUAUAGGUCAUUUAAUAACAAAGGGGUUUCAUGAAGAAUUUUGAGAAAGGCAUACUCGUAUGUCAUACAUGUGUGUGUGUGUGUGUUGUUUUUUUGGGGGGGGAUCAGUACCUCCACCUCUUUCAUGCUGUCAAGAUUAGUUUAAUUAGAACAAAAAACACAUAUCUAGAAAAUUUUAAUUUUUCAUUCAAGUUAAAAUUUUAAACUUUAUAUAGGUUUUUAUCAAGAUUUUUGAGGGGUGUGAAAAGCUCCACUUGUGUAAAACCAAUAGACCACAAUGUUUUUUUUUUUUGUAGUAUAUUUUGUGAUUCUACUAAUUGGCUUAAAUUGAAUUGUAAAAAAUAAUGCCACUAGAAGAAAACAGACAAUAGAUGAUAGACAAUUUGUGACAGAUUCUAGACAAAAUAACUUAAAUCAUAGCAUUAUGAAGGAUUCGUAAUAGAAAUUUCAAUCUAUCACAUAUCAAUGAUAGUUUUGUAAUAGAAAUAUUUUUUUAUCAUGAAUAUAUGAUGGUUUUGUGAUAAAAUUAUUGUUUAUCACGAAUUUAUGAUAGAAUUGUGAUGGAAAUUUGAUCUACCAAGAAAUUGUGAUAGAAUAAUGAUUUUGACCACGUUUGACACAAAUUUGAUGUAUUAUUUUAUUUAAGAAAACAAAAGGUACAUUUUAAUAAUUAAAAAAAAAAGAAAGAAAACGCUAGCCAAAUGCUACCGUUUUGGUACUUAACACCCCUUUUCUUUUUCUUGUCUAAGUGUUAAACACUCACACACUUGGAAAUCAAAAUCCUUGAAAGCUACAUUUGUAGCUCGUUUCUCCUAGCGAGAAUUCUUAAUCCCCAAGUUUGCUGGUUAAUCAUUUUCUUUAUUGCUUUAACUUUUGUUUUAGAAAACUUGUUUGAUGUGAAUGGCCUUGUUUAAAUCCAAAAAGACUGCGAAUCUUGUAUCUUUCAUAGUUUUUUUCUUUAAUUAGCUUGAACUAGAAAGAACUAAAUUGUUUUAUGUAUGUUUGAGUUUUGUUGAUGUUAGUUUUCCUCUAGGCAACUCGAUAAUUCUGAAAUUGAAAUGUUGAAGGGAUUAUUAGUAAAUAUUGUUGAGAAUUUAGAAUCUGGUGUUGUUUGGUUUUUUAUGACGUUUGACCAAAGUGGGAUAAAUGCUCUUGCUACGCAUUUGGUCCUCCAAUUAUAUAGUGCUUCAUUUUACAUAACGUAGUGCCAUUAAUGAUUUUGUUCAAGGCGGCCGUAUUGGAUUAUUUUAGAAAUCUAUUAUUAGGUAUUUGAAUAAAUGGUUAGAUAUCUAUCUUUUGCUUGAACUCUGUGAAUUUUUAUUUCAUGUCUUAUUAUUUUUUCUUGAUGUUUUCAUGGGUUUCAUUAAGUUAUAAUCUUUCUAAUGCUUCGUUUUUUUCUAUUUUAGAACUAGUUUUGAGAUGGAUACCCCUAUUGCAAACGACAGAAUUUGAUUGCUGCUACAAAUACUUCAUUUGUGAAAAUGGUUUUCUAAUUUUUAUGUGUUGGCUUGCGGUAAAAUUGCUGAUUUAAAAUAUAGCGAAGACAAAGUUCUUAUGAGAAUGUGAAUCGAUGAUAACAUAUAUUGGCAUUAUAGUAGCAUGUGAUGAGCUUUUUUUCUCCUUUCCUUAAAUUAGGCAAUUGAACUGUCAAUUUUGCUUUCUUUUAGCUUCUAUAUUCUCUUUUUCUUUGGAGGUACAAUGGAUGUUUUCAUUUGGAUAGUUCAGCUUAUGAAAAAAUAGCUCUGUGCAAUUAUUAGACUGUAAACUAUUAUUAAGGUAUGCAUGUUUGUUCAUAGUUACACUAGUUACUGCUCUAAUUCUUUUCUUGGGCAGGAAUAAGAUGCAGAGUUAUGGGACUCGGAGUUAAGAGACUAGUAUUCUUGAGGCCAACAAUUGCAGGCUAUUUAAGAUAAGUUGUGAAAUUUUGGAUUGUUGUAGUUUGAAUACUUCAAUGGUGUGGAUUGUAUGGUUAAAUGGAUAUCCAGGUUGUAUUAAUUGGGGUUUUUAAUUUUUUGUAUCAUAUUUAAUAUUUAUUGUAGAUUUAUAAAUUUAUUCUAGAAACAAAUUUAUAGAAUUUGAGAAUUCUAAUAGUAGCAGGAUCAACAACGACGACGAUGUUAAUAUUAAUUCAAUACAAAUAAUGAUAACAAUGUAAUUCAAAAUAAUAAUGCUUUUAAUUAAUUUUAAUAUUGAAAUAAUAUCAAUUUUCAGCCAAAAAUUUCAAAAAAAAUCCAAUAAUUUUAAUAAUUUUAAUUUCCCUUUAAAAGAUUGAGUAACAUAUAUAUGACUGUGAAAAACUGUCAUGAAUUCAUGAUGGAAAAUAUUCUAUCAUAAAUUAAUUAUAUUGAUAUAGAUGACGGAUAAAUUAUCUGCAAUGCGCUCUCUUUUAUGACAGUUAUUUACUGUCAUCUAUUGUCUAUUUUCUUGAAAUGUGCUUUUGUAAGUAACAUCAUAUAUUAGAAAUCAGUCCACGAUCUUGUUUUUAAAGUCCAAAAAAGAUAUUAUGUCAUAUGGUGUAAACUUUAAGAAAGUUCAGAAUCCUAGAUCAGACGAGUACUCCAUCAUAUAUACUCUAAUAAAUUCUUAGCAACACAUCUUUUUUAUUUCGAGUCUAUAUCGAAAGGAUUUUAUUUAAUUAAAUGCAAAAUAAUAUAAAAUCUAAUAAUUUUUUUUUAGUUACUAGUUCAUGCUUAUAAUAAUGUUCGAAAUUAAUAGAUGAAAGAAAAAUAUUAGUUUUUUAAUUUAAUUCAUAUAUUCUAAAUCAUAAUUUAUAUAAAAAAUCGCUGGAAAGAAAUGAAACUUUUUUAAAAAAAUAUAUGUAAUGGGUAUCAUUUGAAAAAAAAAAAAAAAAUUGCAUGAUUACAAUGAUUAUAAGCUCAUUCAACGGCUAGUUUCAUCAUUAUAACAACCGAAACACUCCAGAAAUCCAAUGCAUUUAACAAAAGGCACGCGCACACAAGCAUGACAAUUGAUUCACACAUGCAUAUUUAAUUAAUUAACUAAAAGGAUAAAAUAUUUGAAAGUGAGCCUUUUUAUUUUUUAAGUGCAUGCUACGCUGUAAAGCCAAAGUUCAAUUUAAUUUAGAAUUGAAGAAAAAGAAUGAAUAAAUGAAGAUAAAGGAUGAGAAGGUGAUAGCUUUAAUUAUGAUUAUUUGUUAGCCUAGGGAUGAUAGACCAAGUAUAAAUGUUAAAUUCAGAACAGAAUAUUUAUGAUGUCAGUUGGUACUUGGUACUAAAAUCCUGAAUACUUGAGUAGUUAAAAGCCAAAAUUAAAUAUUAAAAUAUACAAAGGAGAACAAUGGUUUGCUAAAGGUUUAAGGAGUGAGGUUCCUUUCCGCUCAUUGAAGAAAAUCUAGGAACAAUAAUGCCGAUUCAACCAUGUAUAAUUUAAUGUUAAUUAAAGUUAAAGCCAUCAUAUUCGUAAAUAUGCUUGGAUUAAAGCUGUUGUGUUGAAUAUACAUAUAAUAAUCAUUGCUCAAGUUUCCGAAAUGUGAAUCUUUAAAUGUCCAUUUCUUCACUCUGAGGAGAUGUUAACGAGGAAGAUGAAGCAAUGCUAUAACAGUGUUUAAUUUCUUGCGACCAUUUCACCAAAUACUUGGUACGCAUAAAUGGUCAAUCAUACUUGUCAAAAAAAUUGAUGAACAUUCACUCCUACAGAAGCAAAUCAAUGUUUGUAAAAAUCAUAAUUGGCCAAAGAAAGUUCAUGUAAUGUUUGUAAAAAUCAUAAUUAGCCGAUGAAAGUUCAUGUAUUUUUUUUUCUUUUAAGAUUCAAGACAAUUCUUCAAAGAUGAAAUCAGUUUUUAUUGAUACGUUCAACAAAUUCGAAGGCAUUCGAACCUUUUGUGGCACGAAUUGCUAGUUUUCUACACAAUUAAUCAAAUCAACGACAAAGUACAAAAUAUGUUAUUGCAUUUGUUUUGUUAUAUAUGUGUGUUACAAAAAUAGAGAUAAUCGCUAUGCCAAUAAAAAAACAGUAAUGAUAUACUUACUACCAUUAAUAUUGCCGUUAGUAGUUUGUACACCAUUACUACUGGAUAAAAAAAAUUUUACUACAAAACAAAAGAAAAUUAAAUGAUAAGACAAAUUGUUUUUGGUCUCUUAUAGAUUUUGUACUAAUUAUCAAUAUUCAUAAGAAAAUAAUGUACAACAAUGAAGGAACUAUACAGAGGUAAAAAUGUUUUUUUUUAUAAUUUUUUUAAUGAAAGUAAAGCAUUUGGCUAAGAUUUAUUUUGGUACUUGGAAGGAUAUACAAAGCAAAAGAGUAUAUGAUAAAGUGCAAAAAACCACACCCUUCAUGGUAAUAUAAUGAGUUGAAUUAUUUUUUAAAUCUAGUUAAAAAUUUAGCUUAAUUGUAAAUAAAGUGAAAAGAGCUAGAUUGAUUGUCAAUAUCAAAAUUUAAAAUUUAAUUUUGAUCACCCAUUUAACUAGAAGAGAUUAAGAGAGGAAAGAAAACUAAGAGAAGAUCUUUGUCCCAUGAAUAAACUCAAGAUGUAUCAAACAGAUACUUUUGGUGAAGUCAGGGGAGCUGCAAGACUGCUCUUUCCCGCCCCUUUGUAACGAACUUAACUGACCUUUGACUUGGUCAGAAUACGUGAUGCACGCAAUGCAAGCACGUGAGGACCCAAAUGAGGAAUUCCAAAAGUUGGACACUCCCAAACGCAGCGUUUUGGUUCUGGUCUUGAAUAUUGAUUCAUCAACAACAAAUAUCAUUCCAACUUGGGGAAAAAAAAAACACUAUAAACUAUAUCUUUUCCAUUCAUUAUAUCAUAAGAAUACAAUGAUUAACAAUAUCAAAUUUAAGUGACAAUCAAUAAAAACUGAAGCCAAUAUAUACACAACACUAAAACAAUGAAAUUGUUACAGUUUGACAAAAUAAAAAAUUAUACAAAUUAAACAAACUGAAAAAAGAAAAAAAAAUUGUACAUUUCAAUCAAUAUCUCUUAAUUAAUGUUAGUGAAUUAACGAAUAUGUACCUUUGUUUUACGAAAGAAUGAUCUUUUAAGUGUAUGUGAUGUCAUUUAAAUACAAAAUUAAUGUCUGGGUUAUAUAGAAAUAUUAACUCAAAAGACCAUUUUACUUUUUAUAGUUGUAGGUGCAUAGAUUUACACCAACAAAUCCUAUUUCAUCACAUUAUGGUGAGCGCGAAGCAGCUGCACUUGCACAUUCAAGAGAAAGAUAGUUAUUUUCCUCCAGAAACAACUACAAAUACAUAAAAAGGGAACUUUUCAUCUCUUUCAAUUUCUUAUACACACAACUGAUGGACAAUAGUGCUCCUGCAAAAUCUAUUAUGUGUCUCUCUCUCAUUUUUUUCCCUUUAAUUUUCUCAUUUUUUUUCAUUUAAUUUUCAUUAUAGUGUCUUUGACGAAUAUCAGGCCGACAUUUUAGACCUUUGGAAACUCAAGACAACAAAGGCUAAUUUAGCCAUUUUAAGAAAUUAUGAUUUCGUCCCCUUCAAUAUUACAAUUGUUUAAACUCUUCUUAUAUUAUCAAUGUAAAUUCCAUCCGUCGUUCCAUUACGGGAAGACCACGCAACCAGAGCAUUAUACCAAUUUUGUAUAUCCACGUCAAUCUUUAUAAUAAUAAUACUACAAAGUUCCGAAGAGAAAAAGGGGGGAUAGGCGGCGGGUUCCUAUUGGGCCAGAAGUUACCGACUGUAGAAGCUAAGCCACAGGGCUCCCAUUGGAGAGUCGAUCACGGCCACCACCUAGCCCAGCGUGGAUUUACAAGAGCAGUUGGCCGCACUCGUGCUCGUCAAAAAGUGAUAAUAUUUCAGAUGCACCAUUAGAGUUCGGUAAUUCCAAUAACAUAAAGUACUAAUAACAGACUUUAUUGAAACAAAAAGUACCAAUAAGAGGGCUUUUUCGUCUUCGUAUGUUACAUGUGUAAACUUAAGUUGCAAGUUAACACGUACAAGGUACAACUUUUACGCGAUCAAAGUCGUCAACCACCAAAAUUUAAAAACGGGCCAUUAAUUUGUAAAGAAUUUUGUUCAGAGUCGCGUAACACAAGUGUCCUAUGGAGCCUACAACUCUCUCUUUCAUCUUGACACGCGUAUAACAACGCAACAGAGAAUUACAAUUACUCUGAGAAUACAAAUUAUUUGAUACUUAUGAAUUACCAAUUACUCUAAAAGACACUCCCAAGUCCAAUGUCCUUUAGGCUUUAUCAACGCAGUUCGGCGUUACUCUGUCCAAUUUGGGUUUUUGUUCGAUUCUCCUCCACAUAAAUCUUCACAAUGGGGCAACCAUCCAUCAAUAAUCUUUCCAAAGAUGGGAAUUUGAAGGCAUAAUUGCCAUAGCAGAAGGUUGUCAGACUUUUUAAGUCUAAAACACACGGACAUUCAAUUAGAUUAAAAUAGGAGUUGUUGAUGCUGAAAUCCGGAUGAGUUGAUCAGAUCUCAGAUCCCUGCAUCAUCAUUAAAUUUGUUUGGUGGGAAGCUGAUGAUUAGUUAGCACCAUGAGCAGAUUUUCUAUGAGUAGAUGUUCUGUGAGCAGACAACCCAUGAGCAGAUAAUCUAUGAGUAGACGAUCCAUGAGCAGACGAUCCAUGAGCAGAUAACCCAUGAGCAGACGAUCCAUGAGCAGAUAACCCAUGAGCAGACGAUGCAUGAGCAGACGAUCCAUGAGCAGAUAACCCAUGAGCAGACAAUCCAUGACCAGAGAACCCAUGAGCAGACGAUCCAUGAGCAGAUAACCCGUGAGCAGACGAUCCAUGAGCAGACGAUCCAUGAGCAGACGAUCCAUAAGCAGAUAACCCAUGAGCAGACAAUCCAUGAGCAGAGGACCCAUGAGCAGAUAACCAUGAGCAGACGAUCAAUGAGCAGAGAACCUGUGAGCCUGUGAACACAACCAACAGUUAGGAGGUGCCAGAAGUUUUUCCGGCGAGAACCCUCCGACGCUCAAGUCAGCGUUUCGGGUCUUACUUGGAAAAACCCAUACCACAAUUCAUGUGGCUUAACUAUGAUUGCUUUAAACAAAAAGCUUUUAAGUAAAUUUAAAGGAAAAGAAUUUGAAAUAAUCAAUCUUAAAGAAAUCACAGGCGAAAGAGAAAUUUCUUAGUGGUAGAGAGAGAAAAAUGUCCAAUGGGUCCAGUUGCUUCGAGAGAGAGAGAGGCCUAGAAAGGAGCGUCCCCCCUUAGGGUUUUUAUAGAAAACUAUAGCAGUUUUUAUCCUCUCCCCUAAGAUUCUCAAGAAAACUACUAAUUUUCAGCCCACUAAGAAUAUGGUCCCUAAUAUUUCGAAGUAAAUGUUUUGACUGAAUCGUGCUUUCUAGUAACUUACUGGUCGAGGUGACCAAUAAUAUCCUGGUCGAGGUGAUGUGCUCGAGGUCACCAUAUAUUAUUCUAGUCGAGGUGACCAAUAAUAUCCUGGUUGAGGUGAUCUGCUCGAGGUGACCAAUAACAUCCUGGUCGAGGUGAUCUGCUCAACCAUUUGCUCGCUUUUACUCUGGAGGAGAGCACGAUAAUGUAUAAGCAAACACCUCUAUCUUGGUCACCCUAUUUCAUUCCCUAAACACCAGUCCCCCAGUUUCUAGUGUUGAGAGUGAAACGAAUCAAGACUGAAAACUUUGGUGGUUUGCUCGCCUUCGCUUGGUUGAGCAGAUCCUGGCAUGCUUGGCUUCCUGUCUCGCCAUAAAACAGGCUUUAAGACUUUGCAGCCUUUGCAAGCCUUAGGAAUUUUUAUAACACUUGAGGGUCUGCUCGCCUUCGCUUGGUCGAGCAGAUCCUAGCACGCUUGGCUUCUGGUCUCGCCAUAAAACAGGCUUUGAGACUUGGUGAGCCUUUGCAUGCCUUAGGAAUUUUUAUAACACUUGAGGGUCUGCUCGCCUUCGCUUGGUCGAGCAGAUCCUGGCACACUUAGCUUCUGGUCUCGCCAUAAAACAGGCUUUGAGACUUGGUGAGCCUUUGCAUGCCUUAGAAAUUUUUGGAACUUUGGUGGUCUGCUCACCUUCGCUUGGUCGAGCAGAUCCUGGCAUGCUUGGCUUCCUGUCUCGCCAUAAAAUAGGCUUUGAGACUUUGGAGCCUUUGCACGCAUUAGAAAUUUUUUUUGGAACUUUGGUGGUCUACUCGCAUUCGCUUGGUUGAGCAGAUCCUGACAUGGUUGGCUUCCUGUCUCGCCAUAAAACAGGCUUUGAGACUUUGGAGCCUUUGCACGCCUUAGAAACUUUUUGGAACUUUGGUGGUUUGCUCACAUUCGCUUGGUUGAGCAGAUCCUGGCAGGCUUGGCUUCUUCUCUCGCCAUAAAACAGGCUUUGAGACUUUGGAGCAUUUGCAUGCCUUAUUAGUAAACUUUGAUUGGCUUCUCAACGCUAGCCUAGCUCUCCCUUCUUAAAUCAUUCUCAUAUUGAGUAACUUUCAAGAAAUCAAGUUAACUAAGUUAUACCGUCAACUCUAAUAUGAGCACAAUCAAUUUAAUGAAUAUAAGGUAUCUUCAUCUCACAUAGCAAGAUUUAGAGAAAUAAUUAAAUUUUCAUGAAAAAAUUGCUUGUAAAUAAAAAUUUAACUUCUAACCUGUUCUGAUUUCUACAAACGUGUGCCUUCAAUGUGCUCUCAUUUAAGGUUUUUACUUCCUUGUUUAAGCAAGCUCAUCCAUUUAUGAACUGUAACAUUCUGAUUUGCUUCGACUAGAUGAAAAUUGAUAGAGACAAAAAAUUGGCUUCUCGUACCGGUCCCCACAGACGGCGCCAAAUGUUGAUGCCGAAAUCCGGAUGAGUUGAUCAGAUCUCAGAUCCCUGCAUCAUCAUUAAAUUUGUUUGGUGGGAAGCUGAUGAUUAGUUAGCACCAUGAGCAGAUUUUCUAUGAGCAGACGUUCUGUGAGCAGACGAUCCAUGAGCAGAUAACCCGUGAGCAGACUAUCCAUGAGCAGAUAACCCGUGAGCAGACGAUCCAUGAGCAGAUAACCUCUGAGCAGACGAUCCAUAAGCAGAUAACCCAUGAGCAGACAAUCCAUGGGCAGAGGACCCAUGAGCAGAUAACCAUGAGCAAUCCAUGAGCAGAGAACCUGUGAGCCUGUGAACACAACCAACAGUCAGAAGGUGCCAGAAGUUUUUCCGGCGAGAACCCUCCGACGCUCAAGUCAGCGAUUCGGGUCUUACUUGGAAAAGCCCAUACCACAAUUCAUGUGGCUUAACUUUAAUUGCUUUAAAUAAAAAGCUUUUAAGUAAAUUUAAAGGAAAAGAAUUUGAAAUAAUCAAUCUUAAAGAAAUCACAGGCGAAAGAGAAAUUUCUUAGUGGUAGAGAGAGAAAAAUGUCCAAUGGGUUCAGUUGCUUCGAGAGAGAGAGCCCCAGAAAUGAGCGUCCCCCCUUAGGGUUUUUAUAGAAAACUAUAGUGGUUUUUAUCCUCUAUCCUAAGAUUCUCAAGAAAACUACUAAUUUCCAGCCCACUAAGAAUAUGGUCCCUAAUAUUUCGGAGAAAAUGUUUUGACUGAAUCGUGCUUUCUGGUAACUUCCUGGUCGAGGUGACCAAUAAUAUCCUGGUCGAGGUGACCAAUAAUAUCCUGGUCGAGGUGAUGUGCUCGAGGUCACCAUAUAUUAUUCUAGUCGAGGUGACCAAUAAUAUCUUGGUCGAGGUGAUCUGCUCAAGGUGACCAAUAACAUCCUGGUCGAUGUGAUCUGCUCAACCAUUUGCUCGCUUUUACUCUGGAGGAGAGCACGAUAAUGUAUGAGCAAACACCUUUAUCUUGGUCACCCUAUUUCAUUCCCUAAACAGGAGUUAUACAUCUGAAAGCUAAAAGCACAGAAACAGAACAACUAAUAACACAGAAACAGAACCUCGAAUACAAGAAGUGGAACACUGAACAAUUGACUAGUUAGGGAGCAAACUGACAUUAAGAGAUUAAACAUGUAAUAUAUGCACCUCGAUUUCUUUAAUUGAGUGUAUUAUAGUUUUUAUUUCGACAUUCGUUUUAAGUCAUCAAAUUAAUUAUAAAUUUCGAGGGCGAAAUUUUUAUAAGGGGAGAGGAUUGUAAUAUAUGCACCUCGAUUUCUUUAAUUGAGUGUAUUAUAUUUUUUAUUUCGACAUUCGCUUUAAGUCAUCAAAUUGGUUGUAACUUGUUACAAGUAAUUUUGAUGUGUUUAUUAAUUAGAUCAUGUUUGAAUUAUUUUAAAAUUGUCACAACAUUCAAUCGAGACAAAUCGAGCGCGAUUAAAAACUCGGGUAGUCGGAUUGUAUUCAACUUAAGUGAGAAGGAACAAAAAAAAAAAAAAAAGGCCGGUUCUAUAAAUUGUGAGAGAGAGAGAGAGGAAGAAGUUGACCGGGUUUGACCCGACCCGGAUCCGACCUGCGACCUUGACCCGGUCAGAUCUCGCUCUUCCGGCCACCUCACCAGCCGAGCAAGGUACCGAUAUGAAGCUUGAAAGCCGGCCGUCAUACCCCAGCCGUCAUCGUCUCCGGAACGCCGGAAAUUUAGCUUGAAAAAACCCGCCGCUCAACUCCUUUUUUCGCCAUCGAUCUCGCCGGAUUGUAGCCGCGCCACCGCCUGGAUCUUGUUCCUCAACUCACGCUCAUCACUUUCCGACCUACCACAACCACCGGGGACGCCGUCUUGGCCGCGAACGACCACCGUGAAACUCACGGAUUUUGGAGCUUCGAUCCGCCACCGUUGCCGCGCGUGGGUUGUCACCGGUGGCACCGUUGGACUCACCGAGGUCUGAACUAUCCGACCUGAGCUUUCUGUCGUCGUUGACUGAAGUCCGGUCAUCGUUGACUGGUAGGGGCAAUUCGGUAAUUUCACAAAAAACUUAGGGGUAAAUUUGUAAUUUAUGGAAAUGGUCGAUAAUUUGGUAAUUUCAUAUUAGGGCAAUGAGGUAAUUUGAGAUUUUGAGGGUAAUUCAGUGAUUUAAGUUAUUAAGGGCAUUUUAGUAAUUUUACACUCCGAGGGUAAUUUUCUAAAUUAUGACAUUGUGCUUAUUUUUGUGAUUUGAAUUUAGGACAAUUUGAUAAUUGAAGAUUUUAAUUAGUUACGUGAUAUUUAACAUGACAUUCAAUAAUAAAGAAAAUUAUUAGUUUCGUAGUAUCAUGUCAUUAAUGAUAGGUAAUAAACCCAACUUUUAUUUAAUACAAUGAAGCAUCGGAAAGAGUGGCUAAUUACGCCAAAAAGUAAUAUCUUAACUUUUUAGGAAUCCAUUUGGAUACAUACACACACAGUAUGGAUAUGAAAAAAAUUUCAAUCCAGAAUUUCCAGAUUGAAUUUUUUCUUUAUUUCAUUUGGUAAUUAUUGAUGUCGGGGACAUUUUGGUAAUUUUGGCAUGCAAGGUUAUUUUGGUAAUUUGAUGCAUACAGAAUACCUGAUUAUAAAUGAAUAUUUGUUUUUGAGCUCUAUUGCAUAAAAUUAGUUGUAUUUCAUGUUUACAAAAAAUGAUUUUGUCAUUUACUUGAUUAGGAGGACCUGCGAACGAGAAUCAACCUGCGAAUGUUGGUGAUACCGAGUCUGGACACCGUCACUGUGGGUGGAAUAUACAAAAUUUAUUUUCAUUAUAUAUUCUGAUUUUACGAUACAGUACAACAUGUUUUGAUGAAUAAGUAUUUAAUGUUCUGAUUAAUAUUUUUUAGAAAUGAAUUUUAUUCUACGUGCUGAUAUUUAUCAUUAUUAAAAAUGAAUUUGAUUGAUGAUUUUAUUAUCGUUUUUGAGUAAAUGCAUGGUAAUACUUUUAAAGAGAAUAAAGUGGAUUUGAAGUAUGUAACGUGGAAAUAAAAUGAGAUUUCACAUGUGAUUAUAUGUUUAUGUACAUUUGUAUUAAAGGUUGUUUGGAAAAUCAUUGGACAGUACCCUUCCCCUUCAGAUACAGUGAUACAAAUGAUAUAAGAUGAAUACAAUGAUACAAAUGAUAUGAGAUGAGAGGCCUUUAGGGUCUGUCUGAGUACACACAGAGGCUUUGGGCCAUGUACUUGGGUGUCUUGUCUUUUGGGGACCAGAUUAUGCGUGCACAGAUAUGAUGAGAUAUAUGAGAUACGAGAUGGCAUUUCCCUGUCUAUCCGUUGUAGCUCGAGGCAUGAUGGUUCCCUGAUUGCCCGUCCGUCGAGGUCCGGAUAUGAUGAGAUUAUUUCCCUGAAUACUUGUUUGGUGAUAGUUAUCAAUAUUCAGUAUUUGAUAUUAUAAGUGUUAUGAUUUCAUUGAUUUUAUGCGGAUUUAUGUGACAUUGUUGUUCGAGUACAUGGUUUGAAUUAAUAAUUUUUAUUUAAGUUCUUAUGAUAUUUUGAUGAGAUUGUUUAGAAAAAGAUUAAAUUAUUUUUUUAAAAUUGUUUAUUUUCAAAAACUACUAUCCACUCACUGAGUUCAUUGAGUUUUUAUACUCACUUUAUUUUUAUUAUAUCCCCCCCCCCCCAACAAGAGAUUUGCAGGUACAUUAGUCGACCCAGUAAAAAUAGUUAUUUAGAUAUUAUGGCCACGUGAUGGUGCUAGAAGUCGUAAAUUUCUUUUAUAUUCGGGAUAUCGCAAAUUGUAUUAUUUGUUAUAUUUUGUAAUUAAGGAAAACCAUUGUAUUUUAAUAUUAGAAUGAUGUGGGUGAUAUUUGGUAUGUUGAUUUGAGAAAUGGAUUAUGGAGGAUGGUUGGAUAUUGAAUUAUUUUGGGAGUGUUAUUUUGUAAAUUGCAGGUUUGAGGUUGUUAUACUUAUGGGGGAGAUUCUACCGAAUUUUUUGUAAAAUUUUUAAAUAUUAGAUUUAUUAUCGAUUUGAUUAGACGAGUUUAGAUAGACUUGUCAUAGGGGUGCGGGACGGAUAGUUUCAAAACACAAGUGAAGUGACUACAACAAUUUUGGGUAGAAAAAAUUUAUAAAAAAAAAAGAAAAAAGAAAAUUACAAGAGUCAGUACAGAACAGAACAAAACAGAGACAACAGCAGGACAAUUAGAUAGGGAGCAGAGCAAUUCUAAAUAACAAGCUGGAGAUCAAAGGAUGCCAAGUGCUGUUGAGAUUAAAAGAUUGAAAGUUCAAGAGAGUUUAUGGCAAAAACUGCGAAACAAACUGCGCAAUAGUGAGCACAAUAAACAGGAGCGAAUUGAAAUUGAGAUCAAAGGAUGUAAACAAGGGAAGGACUUUGUUGAUUGUAAUGAAUGAAUGAUACUAAACGACGAUGGUUUUUACCAAAAGUUUUAAGAAUGACAUUCCACAAAUUCAAAAUGUCAAGAAAGCAACGAAAGUUGAAAGUGACCCAUUUUAUUUUGAUGUGUUGUGCUAUAAUUGCAUAUCUCUAGGUGCUGGAGCUGCCGAAAGCUGCUGAUCGCCGAAGCUGAAAAUAUAUAUUUCAAUUUUUGAAUCAAUUGUAUUAGACUUUGAAAACGAGAAAACAUAUCUGGAAGUUGAUUAUCCCAAAUCUUUUCAACAUUAAUUUUGUACAGCUCCAUGUUGGGCAAGAGAAGCAGAAAAUAAAGUGGAUAAAUUGCUUCUCAUGAAAGUGCUCUACACAAUGUUGCUUUGGGAGUACCAAGUACCUGCUCUGUUUGGCAUUUCACAUUCAGUAUUUGUAAAUGUGCAAAGACAAUCUUUUGAGUAUGAGAUUUUUAUUUUAAACCAACUGUAUUAGUAUUAAUCAACGUCGUUAGAACUCAUAACCUCUUAUCUCAACUUUAGAACCAUAAACUUAGAUAUCUAAGUCUACAACAUCAUUGAUCUACUUCAAGCCCGAAGUUUUUUUUUUUAUUUUUUUUUGGAAAAAAUAGAUAUUUUUUAAUAGUUAAUAAAGGAAUAAAUUUUUAAUUUUUUCAGUAACCUUUUAGAUUGGACCUUAGUCAUAAAUUGGUUCAUUUAAAAUAAAAAAGACUAAUGUACUUAGAAAAUAAAAAUAAUUCUUUUGCAAGUAACAUCAUAUAUGAGAAAUUAUCCAGUUCAAGAUCUUUGACUCUCUUAAAUGUCCAAAAAAAUUGGUACAACAUAUGGUGUGUGAGUGUGGCGUAAUAGUUUUCUCAAACUUUAAGAAAGUUCAGAAUCUUGAACUAGAUGAGCACUCCAUCAUGCAUGCUCCAAUAAAUUCCUAUCAACAAAUCUUUUUAUUUAGAGUCUGUAUCAUAAGGAUUAUAUUUAAUCAAAUGCAAAAUAAUAUAACAUUUAAUAAUUUUUUUAAUUUUUAGUUCAUACUUAUAAUAAUAAUGUUCGUAUUUAAUAGGUGAAAGAAAUAUAUUAGUUUUUAAGUGUUAAAUUUUAACUCUUAUAUUCUAAAUCAUAAUUUAUAAAAAAAAAUCGCUGGAAAAAAAUUAAUCUUUUUUCAAAAAAUAUGUGUAAUGGGUAUCAUUUAUGUACGUUGAAGCUACUCCAAUGAAUUUCACUACUAAAAUAUUAAAUUAUCUUCAUGAAAAAAUUGCAUGAUUAGAAUGAUUAACUCAAGGCACUCGAGCAUUUAAAAUUGCAUCACUACUAAAAUGUUAAAUAAUAAUGUUCGCAUUUAAUGGCUAGUUUCAUCAUUAUAACAACCAAAACACUCGAGCAUUCCAAUGCAUUUUAACUCGAGGACACGCACGCACAAGCAUGAUUACUGAUUCACACAUGCAUCUUUAAUUGAUUAACUAAAAUGUGGCACUCGAAAAGUCUUUGGGGGUGCCUACAAAUUGAAAUUUGGUAACACAAUUAAUGCUAAGAAAUUAAUCUGGCUACCGUAUAUCCUGCAACGACAUGGAUAAAGGACUGUUCCGCCAUUCAACCUGAAAUCAUCAAGUGAAAGAAACAAGAUCAUGAGCGUUGUUUUAAAAUCUGAAAGCCGACACCAACAAAGUGUUGGCUCCACUGGCAAUGGAGUCCCCUUAAGUGGCUUGACUGGGUUUGCUCCCCAGUUCGAGUCGCAGGGAAGUCGCCUUUGUUGGGAGAACCUGUGCCUCCCGGUUCGAGCGGGGACUUCUAGUCUGGGUUGUGGUACGGGCUUAAAGGUGUCUCCCAUAGUUGGGGCCCUCCCUAGGAUACCUCGUGAUUAUAUCAAAAAAAAAAAAAAAUCUGAAAGCCGACUCGAAGUAAUAACAAUAAUAACAAUUAAUAGACCUUACCAUUAGUUAUCACAUUACUGCCCAGUGCAUCUUCCUCCUCAUUCCCUGCAUGCAGCAAACCAGGCUGAGGACCAACCACACGGCCACGCCAGUAUGUCUCGAGAAUCUUUACUGACUUCUCAUGGAUCUUGUUGUCAUGACUUCGUAGAUUUUCUAUCUUUUCUAAUCCCUCAGCCUCUUCAACCAACUGGGCAAACUGAUUAAGAUCUCCAAUGUCUGAGUCCGUAUUCUUUUCAGCUUCCCCGACCUUCAAAAUGUUCUCUAAUCCUUCUAAGCAAACAGUGACGAUCUUUGGAUCAGGGCAUUGAAGGAGAUCGCACAAUGGUUUUAUACAUCCCUCUGUCACUAGGUACUUGAUUUGAUCAUGAGUGCCACGCGAGGUGGCAUUUGAAAUUGCCCAAGCGGCCUCCUUCUUUGUAUCAAAUUCAGCAUUUUGAAG